rnacentral:lncRNA from 1 species
CCCUAUGUUUCAUUAGAAAGGAAAAACAGGUCACUGUCGAACAGUGGCGGAGCUUAGUACAACUCUGAGGGGCCCCAGCCCAAAAUUUACUAUGCAUGGCUUAGAUUUGGAUAAAAUCAAAUCUUUUUUCUCCUAGUUGUUCAUAUUUUCGCUUUGCCCACCCCCUCACGAGAUUAUUGUCAAGCUCCGCCACUGCUGUCGAAUAACCCAAAGUUCCAGGACAUCAGCACCCACUCGACAAACAACUGUGGACGUUCUACUCGCCAAUGAUUCAACAACAUAUUAGCAGAAAAGACACAUCUGUGCUGACAAGAUUUAAGAUUCCAGCGCGAUGAAAUUACAAGACGAGACAGACUCUGUGGUCGGAAAUUUGUAUACAGCUGAAAGCCUGAAACUGCAGCAACAUCUAGGGCGCAAAGCUUGACUGUUGGUGUGUCUAACUAAAAUGAACAAGGGUAUGAACCAGUACACACGAGGUAAUGAAGGGGGCAGCUUUGUCUCUAGAGGUCUUUCACCUGACCGUAGGAUAGCCGUCGCCCGUUGAGGAUUGCAGUGGUUGAAGCUUCUUCAGUUUCGUCGGACUUGAAUUUCCACUCUGAAAAUGAACCACCAUACCUGCAUCUCUGACUUUCUUGUGGGCGCAAAUGAGAUUGUGAGAACGACAACCACAACUAUGCUCAAGGACAGCCAGUAAUGUAUUUCCCAACACACCCUGAACUUGCUUUUACAGAUUAUUAUUACAUUUCCUCUACUGACCUACUAGUAGACAUCAUCAACUCAACUAGUAAUAAUGUAUUUCCCAGCUCCUGAAUCACUGCUAUGAUUACCACGCCAUCCAAGUGCAGUAUCAGGAUCAGUCAUGCAAACCAUACCUGCUAGUUUACUGAAACUUAAAUUAUCAGGGAACUCAUGAACCAUCCCCACUUGCUUGCAUACUGCAGGUCAGGCUUCCCUAGAAAAUGGUAUAUGGUAUUGUAGGUAAUAGGUAAUGGAAGCCUUUCAUUCAAAGCUUCCUAUACACUCACUUCCCUCUGGGAACGCAAGUAAAACACUGACCUUGUACAGCUAGGAAUCAGCAAGUUCCUGAAGGAGUCUGACUGACUACAAAUUACACCUUCCCAGAAUUUUCAUAGCAAAGGAUGCAUUCCAAAACAUGCCACCACAUUGUGUGACGAUUCGGUAUUCAACUAGACAGCCUGUGCAACUUCUACUCACUUCAUUCACUGCUACUCAAUGUAAAAUAUUAGGAGACCAUGACAGUUCUAAUGCAAACGAUACAGAGGAGCUGCAGUCCCCUCCACAUUUUCUCAUCCGGGUCGGCAAAGGCAGUGUUAAACUACUCCUACUUAAACACAAAAAACAGCAAACACUACAAACAAUUAUAUUGAGCUAAGCACACAAGCCACGCAAUCAACCAAAGGCGGCAUUGACAUGGCACACGAUUGGCAAUAAAUAUUCAUGCCAUGCGGAACAAACAAAGAAUGCCAUAAAUUCCAGAACCUGAAUGAGAGUGAGCGUGAUUCAAAUCUUGCACAGAGAAAGCUUUCGUAGCAUUACAGCGAAACAGAAUGGUGGCAUGUGUAUAAGUUUUGAGUUAAUCGGCAGGAAUCAUCAAAUUAGUAUUUUUGCUAGUUGCCAACUAAAUUAAAACUAGGAAGUUCCCAGAGAACUGAGAAUAUGUAAUUGAAGAUUUGAGAAUAUGUAAUUAAGAUUUCACAAUUCACAUCAAAUUAGCAGUUUGUCAUGAAGAGAUCAUAGUAGCCAUUAGAGGACCGUAAGAUGUGGGAGCACUUUGUGUUUUUAAAUCCAGGAUGAAUAAAAUACUAAACAAACUGCCAUAUGUUGAAAGUACUUGACAGGAAUAGGGUUGAACAAAAUCCAGAUCCCACUGGAGAAGCACCAGCGAGAAGAACACCACUUCUGAAAAUCUACUCCAUACCAACAAACCAGAAUCAUAUUCAGUGGAGUUGACACUAAUCAAAGACAUGCCUAUUCAGGGCAAAAUAUUCGUUCAAGCUUCCAGUUCAGAUCCUUCAGCUCUCAUUGUUUUAGUAUAUAGCAACAGGAGGUCACUACUAUUAAACCAACACAAGUGGGUGGUAGGAUCUUUCUUGUAUCAUUAUAGUUAAAAAUAUGGGCACACCAAAAUUUGAUUUUCUGUCAUAAGUGCACUCAUGGACAAUAGUAUGUAUAGAAUAGUAAACCCACAAAUCCAAGUGUAAUCAAUUCAUAUAUGUAUGAACAUUUUUACUGCAUUCAGAGCUCACGUACAUGCGAUCUUUACUUCCUAUUAUAGGUGAUAAAUUUGCAAGUUGAAAGAUACAAGCAGCCAAAUAUCAAAAUCCAACUUCCUGAAACAGUAUUUCCAUUUUGAUAAUCUGCUAUACAAACUGAGUACCAACUGAUAUUUCCAUUUUGGACCCUUGUUUGAGACUUCUAGCAUUUUCUUGAUUCAAGCGAAAGAUGAGAUCAUAUUCCAUCCAAACCAGUAGGAUGGCACAACAGAAACCAAAGUAAGAUGCUUCAGGACAGUCGAAAGAAUCAGACGUGCACACUACCAACUCAAAGCUGCACCAAAUAUACGAGGCCCCUGAAUGCAAGUUCAAACUGAAAACUACCACAAAGACCAAAUCAUUAUGCUUCAGGAUCAGUAAUCAGAGGUCAAAACCAUCAGGGAAGUCCAUCUUGCAAUAAAACCUCCAACAAUGCAAAUCAAUGAACAACCCAAAUAUAAUCAGCAUACUUAAAGUUUCUUCAAGGAAAGUCAGACCAUAGUGAAAUCUGGUAAUCAGUUGAAACAAGCAUGGAGUCCAGGUGUAAGUUUUUGUGGUUGAAGAAGAUUCCGAACGAAGAUCCCAAACAGCCAUCAGACGAACAUAAAUCGAAGAACUUAAUGUAUAUUCACUCAAAUCUGACGUCGCCAAGCACAGAUGAGGAAUCCAGUAAACCAAUGCGACCAAACAUGGGAAACUGACCUGCCUCGAGUCCCCUUCACCAUACGUUCACAACCCACAUGGAGCUUUACUUCCACACCAGAUCGAGAUCUAGUCCUGCAAGCCAAAUUGUAGAGGAGGCGACAACAGAUGAAAUCCAUGUACAGAGCAAAGGUUUGGGCCCAAACUCCUAAUAACAAUUAUAUCUUGCCAACCCACACACGCAUAAGAAGAAAACACAGGGAUCAAGAGUACAGAUAACAAGCAUGGAGAGCUAGUCAUUGGCAACAUGGCCUGGGCUAAAUAAAAAUCUGUAACCAUAGGAAGGGCAGGGGAAAAAACCUAUAUCAGAGAGAUGCCCAAGUAACUAAAUGAAAUUAGAAAAAAUAGGAUCGUAUGAGUCUUUUUCGGUUGGAGGAUGUGCCAUUAGUUGAAAGCUCUGGAUUAUCCUCAUAUUCGUGCUGCAUAUGAAUCUGUAUUUAAAAUAGUGUCUAGUAAGAUAAUCAAUAGGUUAUGUAAGUUACAAUGAAUUGAAACGAUACUAGUAGAUUUAGAAGAUCAGCAGACGGAUUCAUCAUCAAGCUGAACAUGAGUUCGUCAACUACAACCUGCAGCAAGCAAUAAAAAAAAAUUUAGGGGCAAAUGCUGCUUAUAAAUAGCUAAAGCACGGACGAAAAGAUGAGUGGGAACAAGCAGGUAUGGAUGAUGGAGGACAACAACGCCGGUUCCAAACUGCAGUUAUAUCCUUUCCAAGUCAGUAUCUGCAAGAGCUGAGAAUUACUAAGGCAAAGAAACCCUAAUGUCUAUAGAGUUCAAUUAUAGAGUAAAAAAGUUUUAGCCACGGAAGGAACCGCCACACCGAGGCAAAAUAGGACCGCCUUCUAAAAACAGAUAGUUUAAAUCAGAAAACUGUGAGAAACCAAAACAGAUCAGUGAAGACGAAAGAGUAAAACAGAGGGAGUGAUAAUUAUCCAAACACAGAGCAUCAAGAUGCGUCGCUCCUGCUAAGCCAUAGCCACCGACAUAUCCAAUUAUAUCCUGCACAUAGGCCCAGACUUCCUAAAUAUAUCCUGCAACUGAUACGUGCAGAAGACCAGCACAGGGAUCAAGAGUACAAACAACAAACGAUCCACACACACAGAGAGAGAGAGAUCGCAAACCAAACAAUUUUAACAGAUUCCGACUCACUACCAGCAUGGUUUGGGCUUAAUCUGCAACCAAAGGGAGGGUAGAAGGAAAAACCUAAAUCAAAGACAUGAACAAGUAACUACGUGAAACAAAAAUAGGAGGUGAGUUAAAACUGGAGGAGUCUUUUUCAUUGUAGGAUGUUCCAUUAGUUUGAAUCUCCAUUGUUGAACCUUGGCAGAUAAAUCUGAAUUCAAAAUAUUGUCUGGUAAGAUAAUUUUAAAGGCUGUCUAAGUUCUGAUGAAUUGAGAAAAUAAUAGAAUUAGAAGAACUGCAAACAGAUUCAAGUCAGCAUCAGGUUGGAAGAGUCAUCAACUACGACCUGCAACGAGGGAGAUACCUUUCUACAAGUUACAAGAGGAAAACUAGGCUCAGCUAAAGCAUGCAUCAAAUGUUGAGGUAAAGGGUAAGUAAGCCUGUCUCGGCCGGAGUCGGGUAGACAACACUGGUUCCAAUUAUUUCGCUCCCAAGUCAGCAUCUGCAAGAGCUGCGAAUUACCAACCAAGGCAAAGAAACUAACAUUUGGAAGUUCAAUUAUCAAGGGAGGAUAAAAGGUCAGAUAUGUUGGGCCACAGAAAGAACCUCCAUGCCGAGGAAAAAUAGGACCACCCGCUAAUCCAUAUAAUUCCAAUUUCUGGAGAACCAGCAAAUAUUCUAAAUCAGAAUUGUCGGGCAACUAAUUGAGCUACGGAGAAGAAAUUAAACAGAGAGAGUAAUGAUCAUUCAAGUGCAGGUCAGCAAGAAGAUAGGUCGCUCCCGCUAAGCCAUAUAAUCCCAAUUUCUGGACAACCAGCAACAAAUCCGAAUCAGAAUUGUCGGAGACUAAAAUUGAAUUGAGGAGAAGGAAUUAAAUAGAGGGGUUCGUAAUCAUUCAAAUGCAGAUCAGCAAGAAGAUAGGUUGCUCCUGCUAAACCUUACUAAGCCCAAUUUCUGAAAACAAAUAUAGAUCAGAACUGCCAAGACUAACUUGUACUGUGCAAACCAAAUAAAUUGAAUCGGGGCAGAAUUCAUUAUCCAAACGCUGAUAGCAAGUUCCAGGUUCCAAAGCUACAUUAUCCAACCAAUCAAAAUGAUGAACAGAAACCAAAUCUCCACCAAUUAACCUCAAUUUCUGGAAAACCACAAACGAAUACAGAUCAGAACUACCAAGGGCUAAAUUGUACUGUGCGAACCAAAUAAAUUGAAUUGGGACGGAAUAUAUAUUAUCCAAACGCAGAUCACAAGUUCCAGGUUGGUAAGAGAUCCAAAGCUUCAUUAUCCAAUCAAUCAAAGAACUACUACACUCCUGCAUCUGCUGCAAGCAAAGGAGCACAAACACACACCAACAGCGCGAUCAGCUGCUGCAAUAAGAAUCCAACAGGACCUCUAAUCCACCUCAUAUUAGCUGAUGAUGAAGAAACACGUGAUGAGAACCAGAAGACCACACGGGCGAUAGCCAUUCAAACCUGACCUGCUCAAAUCCCCUUCAACAUACAACACCACAGGAUCUCCACGUUCCAGAUCCAAUCCUGAAACCAAUGUGUGGAGGAACACAACUAAACCAAACAAACCGUUGAUAGAACACUGACCUGACUCACUGUACAGAGAUUUACCCAUAAGCCCAAACUUCCUAAAUAUGUCCUGCAGUGGACAGGAUAAGAGUACAGAUAACGAAUUGAACCGCUUUGAGAUAUAUUGCAAACCAACCGAUUUUAACAGAUUUCGACUCACUACCAAGUACCAACAUGCUCUGGGCUAAAAUAAAUCUGCAAUGCAAGCCUAAAUCAAAGGCAUGAACCAAGUAGUUUGGUGAAAUAAAAAUAAGAGGCAAGAGUUAUAAAUGGAGCAGAGUCUUUUUCUGUUGUAGGAUGUGCCAUUAGUUUGAAGCUCCAUUCUUGCACCUUUGCAGAUGAAUCUGAAUUCAAAAUAUUGCCUGGUGAGAGAUCUUAAAGGUUAUCCAAUUAAUAAUGAAUCGAAGGUUAUCCAAUUAAUAAUGAAUUGAUUAGAUUUAGAAAAAAUGCAAGCAGAUUCAACUCAGCAUCAGUAUAGACUUUGCGUUUGUCAAAACUGCAACUCGUCAAACCUGAAACGAGCAAGGUACUUCUCUGUAAAUUAGGGGGAAACUAAGCUCAGCUAAAGCAUGCUUCAAAUGAGGAGGAGGUAAAAGUUAUAAGAAAGUCUUGUCUGGGAAAGCCAGGUAGACAGCACCGGUUCCAUCCAAGAUGAUGUCUGCAAGAGCUGAGAAUUGACAAACUAAGGCAAAGAAAACUUGUCUGGUGUGUUUUAAUAAUUAUAUUAUUGAGUAAGAAAUAUUUUGAGCCACAGAAAAAGAACCGCCAUGCCAGGGAAAAUAGGACCACCCGUUCAGCCGUAUAAUUCCAAUUUUCUGGAGUAGGAGCAAGAAAUCGAAAUCAGAAUUCUGUGGAGGCUAAUUGAACUGUGGAGAAAAGAAAAUGAACAGAGAGGGGAUGAUCAUCCAAACACAGGUGAGGAAGAAUGACAAGUCGCUCCCAGUAAGCCGUACAAUCCCAAUUUCUGGACAAGCAUGAACAAAUCUAAUUCAGAACAGACUAAAAUUGAACCGUGUAGAUGAAGGGAUUAAGUAGAGGGGGGUAAUUAAUCAUCCAAACGCAGAUGUUGCCCCCGCUAUGCCGUGUAAUCCAAUUUAUAAUUUCUGGAGAAGCAAAGAAUUCAGAUCAGAAUUGCAUGCCGUUGACUACUGUGCAGACCAAGAAACUAAAGUUGGGAGGGUUCAGGUUGGUAAGAGAUCCUAGGCUUCAUCACCCGAGAAGAUCAGACCAUAUCAGGGUAACCGCUGGUCCGUAGCCAAUCAGAAUAACCUCUGAACCUUAACCAACCAUCAAUCAAUCAGAAUAACCAUGAAAAGAAACCAAACCUCCAGAUCUGAAGAACUAGCGCGCCCUCUGGAUUCCUCUGCAUCUAGGUUGAGAGCACAAGACAUACCAAAACCGAGAUCAGCCGGUACAAUUAUAAGAAUAUUAUACGAGGGCCUCGAAUUAAUCCACCUCGUACCAACGGAUGACACGGAGUAAACCAGAGCGGUCGGGGAACCAGAAGAUGACGCGGGCCAUAUCCAUUUGAAAUCUGGAAUCACGGAUGAGCGCAGAGGAAGCGGUGUGAACGAGCACGGGAAUCUGACCAACGCGCGCGGAUGCGAACACGAAUACGAGGAACACGGGAUCCACAGUUGUAAACAGAACCGUACACACGAAACAGAAUCUGAGAUAGACUCGCAAACCAAAUGAAUGAAUCCCCCGAUCGAUCGCUUCCCGGGAUCGCACGGAGGCGGAGGAGACGAGACGGGUCGAAUCCAAGGCAACGGCGACGGCGAGUGAAAUCAAAUCAAACGCGAUUCGGAACGAAUCGGGAAUUGGUGGAGGAGACGCGAGGACGCGAGGAGGCGACUCGGGCGAUCGAGGGCGGAGGCGCGGCCGGAACGAAAGCUCCAGAGGAGAAGAGAGGAGGCCGGAGCGCGGGGUGGAGGGGGCGCACCUGGGGCGCCUUUUCUAGCCGGCGCAGAGGCGGUGCGGGAGGCCUGGCGCCAACCGGUUCCUUACCGGACCGGACACGGCUUCGCCUCGCAAGGAAGGGAUUAAUCAGGCUUUCUGGUCACAGGUGGGCGGCGGAAAUCAAACGGGAGUGGACCUGGUGAGACCGGACUUGGUUUGGUUUGGUUCGGUUCGGGUGGGGCGGCUGGCGGGUCGGCAAAGCAUCGGGUUGGGACGUGGGCCGCACCGACGGAACGCGAAAUUUCUAGGCUGCUCGCUGCUCGGGGUUGCAGACGGGCCAUGUGAUGUGAGAUGCCGUGUGUGGCUGCCGUUGAUUGCUGACCGUGUCCGUGAGCGCGAGCCACGAUGAACGCGUGGAUGGAUGAGAACCUGGAACAGGCCGUGCGCUGGGGGAGGAUCGCUGCCCUGGUCUUAACGCUCGCGUCCACCACCUUGCUUGGAUGCCCGAAAUCACUAGUUAAGGCCCACUCCAGCGCUAGACCCCGUUUUAUCCGCCGAAGGCAGUUUGAAUAAAAACGGAUGCAUGCAACGACCUAGCGCGCAGAAGAAUACCCAUAUUUUAUCCGGUCCGUGUCCGUUCUGCCUCAUCUUCACACUAAACUUGAGCUGGAUUUGGGACCAAAGCGGACAGAAAACAAACAAGUCUGUGGCCUCCUCGUCCGCUCCUGUCCGGCCCGGGCUCAUUUGUCAACCUCUUUGCACCCUACCUAUCCCGCUUUUGUCUCUCUCCUCUCGCUCGUGCCCCCUCUUGCGCCUGGAUCCCUUUGCCUAACCGAUAACCAUCGCCGUCGGGGAGCGGCGGCGGGCGCAGUGGCGCGACGCCGAACUGGAAGGGGAAGACGCAGAUGGAGCGGCUGGUGGUGAGUGACGCGCCCACGCCCCGCGGCGACGGGAGCAGCGGAGGUGCGGCUAGGAGCGCAACAGCCGGAUGCCGGCGUGCAUGUGGACCGGCUCCCUCUUGGGCCGCCGCCCCGCCAGCGCAUGCGCGUGCAUGGACGACGACGCGGCCGCCACCCCGGCAAUGUUCGGCACCAUGGCACCAUGGCACGACGAGUAAUUGACAAAAAAUUACCACAUUUCACGUAAUCGUCCCACAGAACUACCACAUUUUGAAAACUGACCAAAAACUCAAGUUUAGCGCUGAUUUUGUGACAAAAACUACCAGAUCGAGUUGAUGACAUAUUGAAGUGUUUUAAACGGCUUUCUGACAUAUCCGGCCCACCGGCCAGGACGGAGGCCGCGCUAACGGCUAACGGCGCUCGCCUGCCACCCGUUAGCCGCGCGCGUCGGUCGGGCCCGGUCGGACCAGGACUAGCCUGGCCGACCGGCUAGCUCGUCGUCCUCCCACCUCACUCUCCCCCGAGCUCACUGUCCUAGCCCUAGCCGUCUUCGUUCACGGCGGCGGAUCCAAACUCUGGCGCCAAAUCGCUUGGAGGAGCGCCCCUCGAUGUGCUAGGCGGCGGGGAUGCCGUCUUCGUUGAGGUUGAUAACUGGCUAGGCAGCAGUAGCUUUGCGGUCGAAAACCAAUCACAACCUCAAUCUCAGCCGUCCCAAACGAUUGUGAGGCGGCCUGUAGCAACAACGUCGAAGAGAAGAAGCGCAGGUCGAGGCCGGUGCAAGCUUCCUUGUCCUGCUGGUGGCGCGAGGUAUGACAACAGAUCUAUAAUUGUUUUUCUGAAAUGAUUUGUUUUGUUAGGAAUCACGAUAUAUAGGCUAGUUGCAUAGUUAGAUUUACAUUAGAACCAUGUUUGAGCACAACGGGAAUUGAAAUCUGUUGGGAACAUUAACAUUUUGUUUUGCUGUGACUGAAUCCAACAUGUCAGAAAAUAGAAAAUUUGAACUGUCAAACACUAAAUAUUGUGCAGAACAUUUAAUUACAAAUUUUCCAAUUUGUGGUGCAGUAUUGAUGACCCAAAGUGAGAAAUUUGAUGACCCAAAGUGGGAAAUUUGAUGACCCAAAGUGGGAAAUUUCUUAGCCAGAGAAUCUGUGGUUAGAGGAAUUUACCAGUUAGACAUAUCAUUUUUGACUAUGGUUUCUCUUAUUCGGAGUGAGGGCUAUGGAGCUGAUGAUUAUAUGUACUAUGUUCUCAAUGAGGAGAAAGGAAUAGAAGGUAUGGAGCAUCUUGGUUCUGAACAUGAUGUGCAGCAGAUGUUGAUCCACUUUGAGAAGGAAAAGAGUGUGAACAUACGAGUUGUCAGGGCAGAUGAGCAAUGUAAUGCAGAUGAAAAUAGAGAUAGUUAUUUUGCUGAACAUUGCAUUAACACUCAACAAAGUUGCACAAAGUUGGUGGAUGCAAUCAGUGACAGAAAGGAUGAGCUUAAGCAAAGUAGUCUGCAGAUGAAAGCUGACUUUAACCAUUUUGAAGGUGACACUAAUGUGUCUGAAUUUCUUUCUAAUGAUGCGUAGUCAGGUUUAGAUGACAACAAUGUGCAAUUACAUCCAGGUUCCCCCUCUGAAGAAGAAGCUGCAGAAGUAGAUACAUCAGUGGUCAAGAAACUUAAGCCAGUCAGAAACCCCUGGUCCAACCAUUAGAUCCCACCAAGAGGUUGAGAAAGAGGUAAAACCAGACUGGUUUCCUAAAGCAGAUGAAUUUUGUUUUCCUGGUGAUGUUGGCAUUAGUGAUGAAGAAGAAGAGCCUGAAGGAGCUUUCAAACUAGCAAGUGGCAGGAAGAGAGUGUUGAAGAAGUCAAAGGAUAGAGUAUGGUUCAAUGAGAAGCUUCCAGAUCCACAUGAACAGUUUUGUAAGGGAUUGUGCUUCACCACUGUUUAUGAGUUCAGAGAUGCACUUAGGGAUUUUCACAUCAGGACUCUGAGGAAUUUCCAGUAUCACAGAAAUACCCCUAAUAGGAUUAUUGUUUGGUGCUCAGAGAGAGCCCAUGGAUGUGAUUUUCAUAUCAGUGCAUCUAAGAUAGCUCAUGAAAAAACGUAUGCAUCAAGAAGUGUGAUAUGUUGCAUAAUUGUGGAGCAUGUGUAGAGACCACAAAGGUUACUACAAAGUGGUUGUCCAAAUUAGUACAACCAGCAUUGAGAUAAGACAUUAGAUCUCCUAUGGAUGCAUUAAUAAAGAAGACUAAGACUAAAUUCUCAGUUGAUGUUUCAAGAAGUGUUGCAUAUUGUUGGGGAACAUAGUAAUUUCAAAAAAAAUCCUACGCACACGCAAGAUCAUGGUGAUGCAUAGCAACGAGAGGGGGAGUGUAUCUUCAUACCCUUGAAGAUCGCUAAGCAGAAGCGUUUAACAACGCGGUUGAUGUAGUCAUACACCUUCACGAUCCGUCCCGAUCAAGUACCGAACGUACGGCACCUCCGUGUUCAGCACACGUUCAGCUCGAUAACGUCCUCACCUUCUUGAUCCAGCAAGACGGGCGAAGUAGUAGAUGAGUUCCGGCAGCAUGACGGUGUGGUGACGGUGUUGUUGAAGAACAAUCUUCGCAGGGCUUCGCCUAAGCACUACAAAAACUAUGACAGAGGAUAAACUAGAUGGGACGAGGUUGCCGGCACACGGCUUGGUGUUUCUUGAUGUGUCUUUGGUGCUAGCCCUUCCCCUCUAUUUAUAUGUUGAGCCUUGGGGUCGAAACUUGGAGUAAAAGCCUCCACAAAAUCGGUUUCACCCAAAGGCAAGAGUCCUUCUCGGACUCCAGGGCCAGACGCCUGGGACCUUGGCGUCUGGCCCCUGGACUAUGCAAAACUUCCUUUUACGCUUUCCAAAAACCUUGUGGGCUUUCCACUUUGGCCCAAAUAAAGUGUUCUCGCACCUAAACAUUUCGGGAAACAUCAGGAACCCCUUCCGGUGAAUUCUGGAACCCUUUCGGAGACCAAACACUAUUAUCCCAUAUAUCAAUCUUUAUCUCCGGACCAUUCCGGAAUUUCUCAUCACGUUCGUGAUCAUAUCCGGGACUCCGAACAACAUUCGGUCACCAACAUACAUAACUCAUAUAAUACUAUAUCGUCAACGACCAUUAAGCGUGCGGACCCUACGGGUUCGAGAACUAUGUAGACAUGACCGAGACACCUCUCUGGUCAAUAACCAAUAGCGGAACCUAGAUGCCCAUAUUGGAUCCUACAUAUUCUACGAAGAUCUUUAUCGGUCGAACCGCAUAACAACAUACGUUGUUCCCUUUGUCAUCGGUAUGUUACUUGCCCGAGAUUCGAUCGUCGGUAUCUCAAUACCUAGUUCAAUCUCGUUACCGGCAAGUCUCUUUACUCAUUCCGUAAUACAUCAUCCCGCAACUAACUCAUUAGUCACAUUGCUUGCAAGGCUUAUAGUGAUGUGCAUUACCGAGAGGGCCCAGAGAUACCUCUCCGAUAAUCAAAGUGACAAAUCCUAAUCUUGAUCUAUGCCAACUCAACAAGUACCAUCGGAGACACCUGUAGAGCACCUUUAUAAUCACCCAGUUACGUUGUGAUGUUUGGUAGCACACAAAGUGUUCCUCCGGUAUUUGGGAGUUGCAUAAUCUCAUAGUCAUAGGAACAUGUAUAAGUCAUGAAGAAAGCAAUAGCAACAUACUGAACGAUCAAGUGCUAAUUAAGCUAACGGAAUGGGUCAAGUCAAUCACAUCAUUCUCUAAUGAUGUGAUCUCGUUAAUCAAAUGACAUCUCAUGUCUAUGGCUAGGAAACUUAACCAUCUUUGAUUCAAUGAGCUAGUCAAGUAGAGGUAUACUAGUGACAUUCUAUUUGUCUAUAUAUUCACACAUGCACUAAGUUUCCGGUUAAUACAAUUCUAGCAUGAAUAAUAAGCAUUCAUCAUGAUAUAAGAAAAUAUAAAUAACAACUUUAUUAUUGCCUCUAGGGCAUAUUUCCUUCAGUCUCCCACUUGCACUAGAGUCAAUAAUCUAGAUUACACGGUAAUGAUUCUAACACCCAUGGAGUCUUGGUGCUGAUCAUGUUUUACUCGUGAGAGAGGCUUAGUCAACGGGUCUACAACAUUCAGAUUCGUAUGUAUCUUGCAAAUCUCUAUGUCUCCCUCCUUGACUUGAUCGCAGAUGGAAUUGAAGCGUCUCUUGAUGUGCUUGGUUCUCUUGUGAAAUCUGGAUUCCUUUGCCAAGGCAAUUGCACCAGUAUUGUCACAAAAGAUUUUCAUUGGACCUGAUGCACUAGGUAUGACACCUAGAUCGGAUAUGAACUCCUUCAUCCAGACUCCUUCAUUUGCUGCUUUCGAAUCAGCUAUGUAUUCCGCUUCACAUGUAGAUCCCGCCACGACGCUUUGCUUAGAACUGCACCAACUGAUAGCUCCACCGUUCGAUAUAAAUACGUAUCUGGUUUGUGACUUAGAGUCAUCUAGAUCAGUGUCAAAGCUUGCAUCGACGUAACCAUUUACGACGAGCUCUUUGUCACCUCCAUAAAUGAGAAACAUAUCCUUAGUCCUUUUUAGGUAUUUCAGGAUGUUCUUGACCGUUGUCCAGUGAUCCACUCCUGGAUUACUUUGGUACCUCCUUGCUAAACUAAUAGCAAGGCACACAUCUGGUCUGGUAUACAGCAUUGCAUGCAUGAUAGAGCCUAUGGCUGAAGCAUAGGGAACACCUUUCAUUUUCUCUCUAUCUUCUGCAGUGGUCGGGCAUUGAGUCUGACUCAACUUCACACCUUGUAAUACAGGCAAGAACCCUUUCUUUGCUUGAUCCAUUUUGAACUUCUUCAAAACUUUAUCAAGGUAUGUACUUUGUGAAAGUCCAAUCAAGCGUCUUGAUCUAUCUCUAUAGAUCUUGAUGCCCAAUAUAUAAGCAGCUUCACCGAGGUAUUUCAUUGAAAAAAUCUUAUUCAAGUAUCCUUUUAUGCUAUCCCGAAACUCUAUAUCAUUUCCAAUCAACAAUAUGCCAUCCACAUAUAAUAUUAGAAAUGCUACAGAGCUCACACUCACUUUCUUGUAAAUACAUGCUUCUCCAAAAGUCUAUAUAAAACCAUAUGCUUUGAUCACACUAUCAAAACGUUUAUUCCAACUCCGAGAUGCUUGCACCAGUCCAUAGAUGGAUCACUGGAGCUUGCACACUUUGUUAGCAUCCUUUGGAUCGAUAAAACCUUCAGGUUGCAUCAUAUACAACUCUUCUUCCAAAAAUCCAUUCAGGAAUGCAGUCUUUACAUCGAUUUGCCAAAUUUCAUAAUCAUAAAAUGCAGCAAUUGCUAACAUGAUUUGGAUGGACUUAAGCAUCGCUACGGGUGAGAAAGUCUCAUCGUAGUCAACUCCUUGAACUUGUCGAAAACCUUUCGCAACAAGUCGAGCUUUGUAGACAGUAAUAUUACCGUCAGCGUCAGUCUUCUUCUUGAAGAUCCAUUUAUUCUCGAUGGCUUGCCAAUCAUCGGGCAAGUCAACCAAAGUCCACACUUUGUUCUCAUACAUGGAUCCUAUCUCAGAUUUCAUGGCCUUAAGCCAUUUCGUAGAAUCUGGGCUCAUCAUUGCUUCCUCAUAGUUCAUAGGUUCGUCAUGGUCAAGUAACAUGACCUCCAGAAUAGGAUUAUCGUACCACUCUGGUGCGGAUCUUACUCUGGUUGACCUACGAGGUUCGGUAGUAACUUGAUCUGAAGUUUCAUGAUCAUCAUCAUUAGCUUCCUCACUAAUUGGUGUAGGAGUCACAGGAACAGAUUUCUGUGAUGAACUACUUUCCAAUAAGGGAGUAGGUAUAGUUACCUCAUCAAGUUCUACUUUCCUCCCACUCACUUCUUUCGAGAGAAACUCCUUCUCUGGAAAGGAUCCAUUCUUAGCAACAAAUGUCUUGCCUUCGGAUUUGUGAUAGAAGGUGUACCCAAAAGUUUCCUUUGGGUAUCCUAUGAAGACACAUUUCUCUGAUUUAGGUUCGAGCUUAUCAGGUUGAAGCUUUUUCACAUAAGCAUCGCAGCCCCAAACUUUAAGAAACGACAACUUUGGUUUCUUGCCAAACCGUAGUUCAUAAGGCGUCGUCUCAACGGAUUUAGAUGGUGCCCAAUUUAACGUGAAUGCAACCGUCUCUAAAGCAUAACCUCAAAACGAUAGCGGUAAAUCAGUAAGAGACAUCAUAGAUCGCACCAUAUCUAAUAAAGUGUGGUUACGACGUUCGGACACACCAUUACACUGUGGUGUUCCAGGUGGCGUGAGUUCCGAAACUAUUACGCAUUGUUUCAAAUGAAGACCAAACUUGUAAAUCAAAUAUUCUCCUCCACGAUCAGAUCGUAGAAACUUUAUUUUCUUGUUAUGAUGAUUUUCUACUUCACUCUGAAAUUCUUUGAACUUUUCAAAUGUUUCAGACUUAUGUUUCAUUAAGUAGAUAUAUCCAUAUCUGCUUAAAUCAUCUGUGAAGGUGAGAAAAUAACGAUACCCGCCGCGAGCCUCAAUAUUCAUCGGACCACAUACAUCAGUAUGUAUGAUUUCCAAAAAAUCUGUUGCUCGCUCCAUUGUUCCGGAGAACGGAGUUUUAGCCAUCUUGCCCAUGAGGCAUGGUUCGCAAGUACCAAGUGAUUCAUAAUCAAGUGAUUCCAAAAGUCCAUCGGAAUGGAGUUUCUUCAUGCACUUUACACCAAUAUGACCCAGAUGGCAGUGCCACAAAUAAGUUGCACUAUCAUUAUCAACUCUGCAUCUUUUGGCUUCAAUAUUAUGAAUAUGUGUAUCACUACUAUCGAGAUUCAAUAAAAAUAGACCAUUCUUCAAGGGUGCAUGACCAUAAAAGAUCUUACUCAUAUAAAUAGAACAACCAUUAUUCUAAGAUUUAAAUGAAUAACCGUCUUGCGUCAAACAAGAUCCAGAUAUAAUGUUCAUGCUCAACGCUGCCACUAAAUAACAAUUAUUCACGUCUAAAACUAAUCCUGAAGGUAGAUGUAUAGGUAGUGUGCCGACCGCGAUCACAUCGACUUUGGAACCAUUUCCCACGCGCAUCGUCACUUCGUCCUUAGCCAAUCUUCGCUUAAUCCGUAGUCCCUGUUUUGAGUUGCAAAUAUUAGCAUCAGAACCAGUAUCAAAUACCCAGGCACUACUGCGAGCAUUAGUAAGGUACACAUCAAUAACAUGUAUAUCACAUAUACCUUUGUUCACCUUGCCAUCCUUCUUAUCCACCAAAUACUUGGGGCAGUUCUGCUUCCGGUGACCAGUCCCUUUGCAGUAGAAGCACUCAAUGUCAGGCUUAGGUCCAGACUUGGGCUUCUUCACUUGAGCAGCAACUUGCUUGCCGUUCUUCUUGAAGUUCCCCUUUUCCUUUAACCUUUUUCUUGAAACUGGUGGUCAUGUUAACCAUCAACACUUGAUGCUCCUUUUUGAUUUCUACCUCCGCAGCCUUUAGCAUCACUGUCGGUGUCAAAACCGGCGGAUCUCGGGUAGGGGGUCCCGAACUGUGCGUCUAGGCGGAUGGUAACAGGAGACAAGGGACACGAUGUUUUUACCCAGGUUCGGGCCCUCUCGAUGGAGGUAAAACCCUACUCCUGCUUGAUUAAUAUUGAUGAUAUGGGUAGUACAAGAGUAGAUCUACCACGAGAUCAGAGAGGCUAAACCCUAGAAGCUAGCCUAUGGUAUGAUUGUUGUUCGUCCUACAGACUAAAACCCGCCGGUUUAUAUAGACACCAGAGAGGGUUAGGGUUACACAGAGUUGGUUACAAUGGGAGGAGAUCUACAUAUCCGUAUCGCCAAGCUUGCCUUCCACGCCAAGGAAAGUCCCAUCUGGACACGGGACGAAGUCUUCAAUCUUGUAUCUUCAUAGUCUAGGAGUCCGGCCAAAGGUCAUAGUCCGGCUAUCCGGACACCCCCUAAUCCGGGACUCCCUCAGUAGCCCCCGAACCGGGCUUCAAUGACGAUGAGUCCGGCGUGUAGAUUUAUCUUCGACAUUGCAAGGCGGGUUCUUCUCCAAACUCCAUAUACCUGUUGAAUAGUGUCCGACUUCUGAUGAAUGUCGCACUCCUUGGCUUCUGCGCCCAAUAAUGGCCAUCUUCCACGUGUCAAGCGAAUGCGAAAAGCCAGGGUGUUUUUUCAUUUACCCCCUAGCUGCGCAAAUGAGCCGCCUAUAAAAGAGACGGGGAUUUAGAUCCGAAUCACAUAAUCUUCCCUCCGCGAGCAUUCAUCGGAGUGCAUUCGACAGAGAUCCAUUCCAUCAUGGCCAGUCGACGCAGCUCCUCCUCUCGCCCCCAGCCCUCAGCCUGGAGAUUGGGAGAGAUGCUCUGUCCCGCACAGCAAGCUAGUGGCGCUCCAAACCAAGGGGUUUCUCCCCCAGCCUACAUGGUCCUGAUUCGAGCCGGGCUUGCCACCUAUAAUGGUGGAGAGCAAGCGGAGAGCGUCCCCAAUCCCUCCAAAGGAGAGCGGGUAUGCCUUGUCCCUUAUUUGAUAAGAGGGCUCGGAUUUCCAAUUCAUCCGUUUCUCUGGGGGCUCCUGGAGUUCUACGGCCUCCAGUUGCACAACCUUACGCCCGCCUCCAUAUUGCAUAUUGCGGGCUUCAUAGCCCUUUGCGAGCUGUUUCUGGGCGUCAAGGAUCAUUUCGCGCCAUGGAAGAAACUGUUCUGCCUUGUGCCCCGUUCACAGGAGGGGUCGAUAUAUCAAGUGGGCGGAGCCGAACUAUGGCGCAUCACCGGGACUGGAUAUCUAUUCGGAACCCCAAAGAAGGCGUCCGAAGACUGGCCCUCAGAAUGGUUUUAUAUAGAAGAUGCCCCCCUGCCGGAUCCUGUUCGGAUCAGCCUCCCUGAGUUUAAUAAUGCUCCUUUGAAGAAGCGCCUAAGCUGGCGUCCACGGAGCCCUCAGAAGGAAAAUGAUAGGGACGUCCUUUACCUGAUGAGCCGGAUAAGGUUGUUAGCUCAUUCCAGACUGACCAUGAUCGAGGUCAUGGCCACAUGCAUUAUGCGGGGGGUGCAACCGCUUCAGUAUAGAGGCCACCCCAUGUGGGAUUUCAACGGGGAGGACGACGCCACCCGGUGCGGCCGUAAGGGGCCGGAGUCAGUUGCCGCUCUAAUAAAGAUCUUGUCCACUUUGUACAAGGGAGAAGGGGAGGAAUUUCUCCGUGUCAACCCACGGGGCGGAUUCUCCAUGUACAAUCCUCCAAGUUGGGUAAGCGAGCACUUUCACUCGUCCAUCCGUUUCAUAUUCCCAUAGUUAAGUAUUCAGCCUAGCAAUUUCAAUGCAAGAGCUACGCCAGGCUGUAAAGGAGAUAAACAACCCUCCUCCACAACCUGAGGACCCGGAACGGUCCUUCGACCCGGACUCCCAAGAGGACCCGGACUUAGCUGUGGAGCUGAUCGAUGGGGUGUUUCAUCAAUUGAGCAAGGACAACACCUUGGUGGCCAUUACGGCCAAUUAUCCCAGACUACUUCCAGCCUCACAAGUAACCAAGACCGAAGUCCCCGUACUUUUAAAAUGAUCUACCCGUGCUUAUUUUUGACCACCAUAUACCAAUGGCGUUUUUGCGGGGGAAGUCCUUGAGGCAGAGGGCCGAGCCUGCGGUGGCUAGCCAACAAGGGGUGUCAAGGCCCGGCAGGCUUAAAAGAAGUGCGAUCCGGAUUGAGACACCGGUGCAGCGGUAUGGCGCGCGAUUUUAUUCCCAGGUUUUAUUCCCUCAAGGUAUACUAACGCUCGUGCUCUCUUCAGGAAGAAGAGCGCUCGCCGGACUAUAUCCAGAGAGGUUGCCAAUCGCACCUCCACCGGCCAGGCUCCAAGGCCGGGUCCGGAAGCGGAGACGAACAUGAGGCGCGCACCGGGCGCUCCUCUGACAGAGGAUGCGGACGGGCUGUCUGCUGCCAAUUCCGAGGUGGAAAGUGCCAUGAACCACAGGCGUCACCGGACAGUUCUUCGUGACACUUGUUUCUCCCAGGAGGCAUUGGAUACCUUUAAUAUGGGAGAUGCGUACCUCCGUGCCACUCAAAAUGGUCUAGCCAGAGCCACAUAGCAGUAUGUAAAAGACAUACGGGUGAGAAAAUUUGAUGGUUAUAUAUGUCAGUAGCCCCCGAGACUUGAAACAGUUAGAAUAACUGAUUGAAGGAUCAUUUGUUAUGCAGGAUCUUACAGAAAAGAAUACCCAACUGUCCCAGGAGCUGGAAGAGUGCAAAGCCCAACUUGAGGCUGCACUAGCCGCGGUGGGGGAGACCAAGGAGACUCCCUCUGGUAAUAUAUGCUUCGAAAGAUAAGUAUGUUGUGAAGGGCGGCAUGUGUGCGAAUCUGACAAUAACAUUGCAGAUGGUGCCGGAGUGGAUCCGGACAAGCAACAACUCUUGCGCCGGUUAAAGGCCAGCGAGAACGUGCUUACGAGGGUGAGGCAAGAGAAGAAUAAGCUCCAAGAUGCCAACACCCAGCUGGGCGAGGAACUAAAGGAUGUUCGUGCUCAGCUGUCGGACUCCGUGAAGGAGAAUCGGCGGCUUCGACGCGACAUUUUUAGUAAGUGCUUGAACGAACUUCGAAAAAGAGUUCGGCGAGGAACUCGAUUGACAGAGUUAUGUCUGUAGGUAUGCUGACAGGUCAGCCUGCCGAGGAAAUGCCCGGUUCUACGGGUGACCUUCUUCCCGAGCUCUUACAACUGCACGAACGAGUUCAGCAGGUAAUGCAAGGCAUCGUCCAGGCCCUAUGGCCAUCCGUCUCCAUGCCCGAAGGCCUUGGAGAGCUUGCAGAGAAGCUAAAGGGAGUGCGGCGGCGCUUUCGAUUAUGGAAGAUAUCAGCCUGCCGUCAAGGCGCUAGGGAGGCCUGGGCCAUGGUGAAGACGUGGUACACGAAGGCCAACCCAAACCACAUGGCCGAGGUCAGACCUAUGGGGCCCGAUGGGAAGGAGAUCCCUGUGAGUUUAGUGUACGGCCAGGUAGAGUUGGCCGCCAAAUAUUCCCAACAGGACUGUAAACUAGACAGCCUGUUGGAUGGUAUUGAAGAGGAAUAUACCCAGUCAAAUUGACUAUGUAAUUUAAAAUGACAUAUAAAAUGCCUUCUAGCCGGAUUGUAGAUCGUUUGUCAUGGCGGACCUUUUCGCUUCAACCUCGGGACCCAAUAGUCUGGAGUGUGUCCGAAUACCCUCUCGGUUAUGUAAGAACCGGGGCAUGCGUGGAGACCAGGCGUAGGGGUCAUUAGUGCUUGAACAGACAAGUGCCCAACUAGUUAUGUUAUAUUACAUGGUUAGUAAGAAACAUCUUCCAGGGAGAAUAGUUCCGUUAGGGGUUCCUUUCCCUGGGGAGGCAUGCCCUAAAGUGCAUGUACGGACUGCAAAAAGAGCAGAAAAGCAUCUGGGGGCAGAUAGAUAAACGAGUGGGAAAUCAUCUUUAGUUCACCGACCGAAUAUUCCCUUAAGAACGCUAGAUUUCGGCUUCACCCAGUCUGAGGUACACAUCCGGCUGACCCGGCAGUAACAAUCGCAGAGGUGCUCCCUUUACCGCCUAGCCGAACAAUCGGGAACGUAGGGGUAAGCACAGGAGCCAGGCAAGCCUGCUUGGCCAAAACUUAAGUCAUAUUGAUGCAUAUAAUGGUGAGAAAAAAGGUACAUGCAGAAGUGUGACACAUGUGUUGGGCAUGAAGCCCUAUAUAAACAAGCUUCUGUUAAAGAAGCCCCCAGGUAUGAUGAGCGCGGGUAGCGCGUCAAUUUGUGUGCGAACAAGGCGCGAACGAGCCCUUAAAGGCUGUAAGAGAAAAGGAGGGAGAAGUAGAGAAAUGUAAGACAGCUAAUGUAUAAUAAAUGGACAGAGGAAAAAGACGAACACAGAGUCCGGUGCUAGGCAUAGAAUCUCCGGAGACGGGCUGCGUUCCAUGGGUUCGGCUCGAGUCGGUUAUGCGAUGCAUCACGCAGACGGUACGCUCCACCAGUGAGGACUUGGUCAAUAAUGAAGGGACCUUCCCAUUUGGGCUUGAGUUUGUCCUUUUUCUUGUCCGGCAGGCGUAGAACUAACUCGCCAACAUUGUAAGUUUUGGCCCGUACUUCCCUGCUUUGAUAUCUUCGAGCCUGCUGUUGAUAGAAUGCUGAAGGUGCUUUUGCCACGUCACUCUCCUCCUCCAAGGCGUCCAAACUGUCCUGCCGAUCGAGUUCGGCUUCUCUUUCUUCGUACAUGCGCACGCGAGGUGAGUCAUGAAUUAUGUCGCAGGGCAGAACUACCUCUGCACCGUAUACCAUAAAGAAUGUUGUCAAUCCGGUUGUGCGAUUUGGAGUGGUCCGUAGCCUCCAGAGUACGGAGUCGAGCUCCUCUACCCAGUGCGUGUUAGAUUCCUUGAGGGACCGCACUAAUCUGGGUUUGAUGCCGCUCAUUAUUAGACCAUUUGCUCGCUCGACUUGACCGUUAGUUUGUGGGUGAUAGACUGAAGCGUAGUCGAGCUUGAUGCCCAUGUUUUUGCACCAGAGUUUGACCUCGUCGGCCAUAAAGUUCGUGCCGUUAUCAGUGAUGAUGUUGUGGGGGAUGUCGUAACAGUGUACGACCCCUGAUAUCAAGUCUAUCACUGGUCCGGAUUCGGCCGUCUUAAUAGGCUUGGCCUCUAUCCAUUUGGUGAAUUUGUCCACCAUGACAAGUAGGUAUUUUUGCUUGUGGGUUCCUCCUUUAAGGGGUCCAACCAUGUCAAGCCCCCAGACCGCGAAGGGCCAGGUGAUGGGUAUAGUUUGGAGGGCGGUAGGUGGCAUAUGGCUUUGGUUAGCAAAGAGUUGGUAACCGACGCAUCAUUGGACUAAGUCCUGAGCAUAUGCCCGGGCCGUCGGCCAAUAAAAUCCUGUACGGAAGGCCUUGCUAACAAGGGCCCGGGCUGCGGCGUGGUGCCCAUCGAGUCCGGCAUGAAUUUCAGCCAGAAGAUUCCGCCCCUCCUCUUCAGAGAUACACCUUUGAAGGACUCCGGUAGUGCUUUUCUUAUAAAGCUCCCCUUCAUGGACUUUAUAGGCUUUAGAUCGCUGCACUAUGCAGCGUGCCUCGUUUUGGUCCUCGGGAAGUUCCUGCCUAGUUAGAUAGGCUAGGAAUGGUUGUCCACAGGGCAAUGACUGCCAUUAUUACGUGGGCUGAGGAUGUUACUUCGUUGGCAUAGCCUCCCGCUGUGUCAGAAUGUUCGGUGUUGGGCGGUGCGGUUGGGUCCGGGCUGUUAUUUCAGGAUUCCCCUUCCCAUGAUACGGAUGGCUUGAAUAGCCUCUCCAAGAAAAUGUUGGGGGGGGGGCUGCAUCGUGCUUUGCGCCGAUGCAUGCCAAUAUGUCUGCUGCCUGAUUGUUUUCCCGUGCUAUAUGGUGAAAUUCGAGCCCCUCGAACCGAGCUGACAUUUUUAGGAGGCGUUGCGAUAAGCUGCCAUUUUCGGAUCCUUGGCAUCAAAGUCUCCAUUUAUUUGGGAUAUCGCAAGGUUCUAAUCCCCACGCACCUCUAGGCGUUGGAUGUCUAUGGAGACUGCUAUCCGGAGACCAUGUAGAAGGGCCUCGUAUUCGGCUGCGUUGUUAGAGUCUGUAUACAUUAUCUGGAGUACAUAUUGAACUGUAUCUCCUGUUGGGGACGUCAGAACGAUGCCAACCCCCAGACCCGCUAACAUUUUGGAGCCGUCGAAGUGCAUGAUCCAGUUGGAAUAUGUGCCAUACUCUUUAGGGAGUUCGGCUUCAGUCCAUUCGGCGACAAAGUUGGCCAAAACUUGCGACUUGAUAGCCCGCCGUGGCUUAUAGGUUAUGUCGAACGAGAGGAGCUCAAUGGCCCAUUUGGCAAUCCAGCCCGUCGUGUCGCGGUUGUUUAUAAUAUCGUUAAGUGGUACUUCGGAGGCUACUGUUAUCGAGCACUCUUGAAAGUAGUGUCGUAGCUUCCGGGAUGCCAUAAACACCGUGUACACUAUCUUUUGAUAAUGCGGGUACCGUGACUUGCAUGGAGUGAGGACAGUGGACACGUAGUAAACUGGUUUUUGAAUGGGGAAUUUGUGUCCGUCCGCUUCUCGUUCGACGACGAGCACUGCGCUUACAACUUGAUGGGUUGCCGCAAUGUAUAAUAGCAUUGGUUCGCCGAUGUUAGGCGCGGCCAAGACCGGGUUUGUUGCCAAUAUGGCUUUUAUUUCUUCUAGUCCCGCCAUGGCAGCAUUCGUCCACUCAAAGUGUUCGGUGCGCCGGAGGAGGCGAUAAAGGGGUAAUGCCUUUUCUCCCAAGCGGGAGAUGAAGCGGCUUAGAGCCGCCACACAUCCAGUCAAUUUUUGUAUUUGUUUGAGGUCCUUUGGAAUAUCCAAUUGUGACAGAGCUUAGAUCUUGGCUGGGUUUGCUUCAAUUCCUCUACCGGAUACAAUGAAGCCCAAGAGCUUUCCGGCUGGUACGCCAAAACACAUUUUUCCGGGUUGAGCUUAAUGUCAUAUGUUUGGAGGUUAUCAAAUGUGAUCCUUAAGUCGUCUACUAGAGUUUCGACAUGCUUGGUUUUGACGACCACGUCGUCUACGUAUGCUUCUACUGUUUUGCCGAUCUGGUUUGCCAGACAUGUCUGAAUCAUGCGCUGAUAUGUUGCGCCGGUGUUUUUGAGCCCCAAGGGCAUUGUGUUGAAGCAGAAUGGGCCAUAUGGGGUGAUGAAUGCCAUUGCGGCUUGGUCUGGCUCUGCCAUCUUAAUUUGAUGGUAGCCGGAGUAUGCGUCAAGGAAACAAAAUGAAUCGUGUCCUGCGGUAGCAUCGAUAAUUUGCUCGAUGCGAGGGAGGGGGAAGGGAUCCUUUGGGCAAGCCUUGUUGAGGUCCUUGAAAUCGACACAGUGGCGCCAGGAUUUGUCCUUCUUUGGUACCAUUACCAGGUUUGCUAGCCAGUCCGGAUGUUUUAUAUCUCUGAUGAAUCUGGCCUCCAGUAGUUUGGCUAGCUCCUCUCCCAUGGCUUGUUUCUUAGGUUCAGAGAAACGCCGGAGAGCCUGCUUGACAGGCUUGAAUCCUUUUAGGAUGUUUAGGCUGUGUUCGGCCAGCCUGCGUGGGAUUCCUGCAUGUCUGAAGGGUGCCAGGCAAAGAUGUCCCAAUUUUCGCGUAGGAAUUCUCAUACUGCGGCGUCUACAUCAGGGUUUAAGUACGCCCCGAUGGAGGCCGUUUUUGUAGGGUCCAUUGGAUGGACUUGGAAUUUGACUAUUUCGUCCGCCGGUUUAAAGGAGGUGGACUUGGAUCUUUUAUCGAGUAUCACGUCGUCCCUGUUCACCGUGGAGCGUAGCGCAGUCAGUUCUUCGGUCGCUAGGGCUUCGGAUAGUGCCUCAAGGGCCAGUGCGGCUGUCUUGUUUUCGGCGCGGAGUGCUAUGUCCGGGUCACUAGCAAGAGUGAUAAUUCCGUUGGGUCCGGGCAUUUUGAGUUUCCGUAAUGGGUAUAGCUUGAAAAAUUGUGAAUGCCUCUCGUCCUAAUAGAGCGUGGUACCCGCUGCUGAACGGGGCCACUUGAAACGUGACCUCCUCGGACCUGUAAUUAUCCGGCGUGCCGAACACCACAUCCAGUGUGAUUUUUCCCGUACAACACGCUUCCCGACUGGGGAUUAUUCCUCUAAAGGUUGUGUUGCUUCGCUCAAUACGGCUCCAGUCUAUUUCCAUUUUUUGAAGGGUUUCCUCAUAAAUGAGGUUCAAUCCGCUGCCACCGUCCAUGAGUACCUUGGUAAGGCGAAAGCCAUCCACUAUUGGACUGAGGACCAAUGCGGCUGGUGCUCGGGCUGUUCGGAAUUUAGGUUCAUCACUGGCAUUAAAGGUAAUAGCCGUGUCACUCCAUGGGUUUAUUGUUGCUACUUGGUAGACUUCGGCAAGGCUGCGGAGUGUUCGUUUCCGCAUAUUAUUUGAUGCGAAAGUCUCGAAGACUGUUAAUACCGUACUGGUAUCCCUGGGCUGGUGCUCUGUGAAUUCUGGAGUUAGAAGCUCCUCGCCACUCCUGGCCACCUGCCGGAGUAUCCAACAUGCUCUAAGGCUAUGAGUUGGUGUGGCACCCUCUAUACUAUGAAUUUUAUAGGGUCCAUUGAGCCAUCCCUCCAGUAUGGUUCCAUGCCCUAUAGACGGUUUUUGCUUUUUGGUGUUUAACCCAGGUGCCUGGUGAUAAUGCACCCUUUCAUUUCGGACUGUGGUUGUAUUCAGGGCCGUAUUGUCCCAAAAUUUUAUUUCGGUUUUCCAGGCACUUUCCAUCGCACAGUACUUUCGUACUAUGGAUGCCAAGUCGGCGAAGCGUGUAAUUUCACGGCGACUUAUGGCGUUGAGGAUUCCGUUGUCCGUGCAAUUAUUGCAGAAGAACGGAAUUGCAUCCUCCUCGCGGCAGUCCUUUAUCCUGUUCAUAACCAGGAGGGAUCUGGCCCAGUAAUGGUGUACUGUUUCUGCGGCCUCUUGCCGAAUUUGGGAUAGAUCCCUUAUAUUUGGGUGGGCGGGUGGAAUCAAAUCCGGAACCUCGCCCAAUCUGAGACUCGGGGGCCAAGGAGUUUCCGAACUCGGAAGCUCGGGUUCUUGGAUGUUGUCCAAUGAAUCUAGCCCGCUGCCUGACUUUAGGUUUAGUGCUUGAGUGACGUCCUCCCCUCCGUGGGUAUCCGGCUUGGAGGGGUCGGGAAUCCGGACAUAACUAGUCCUUAAGAUAGGUGAAGACUUACCGCAUUGUUCCUCCACCAUUGCGACGUGGUGGGUGACCUGGGGAGAGUUAAUCUCUCUCGGAUCGGGUUUAAGCCCAAUCUGAUCGUAGUCUGCAGCGACUCCCAGGGCAGCGAUGUGAUCCAAGAGCUCGUUUACGGAAGAGAGAUCCAUCGGAUCUAACUACUCGGCGAGUUCCGAGUUGACGUGGAGAUUGCUUUUGAUGACCCGAGAAGUCAUCGUCGGCGCGGCGGCCGAACAGGCGGUCAUAAGAAAACCGCCUAGCCGGAGAGUUUGGCCGAUAGCCAAAGCUCCUUUAGCGACAGCGCCGUCUUUAAAGACGGGAUGAGGCAUCCUUCCUGAUGGCGACAGCACAGCGGAACUCUCAAUGAAAGCACCAAUGUCGGUGUCAAAACCGGCGGAUCUCGGGUAGGGGGUCCCAAACUGUGCGUCUAGGCGGAUGGUAACAAGAGACAAGGGACACGAUGUUUUUACCCAGGUUCGGGCCCUCUCUAUGGAGGUAAAACCCUACUCCAGCUUGAUUAAUAUUGAUGAUAUGGGUACUACAAGAGUAGAUCUACCACGAGAUCAGAGAGGCUAAACCCUAGAAGCUAGCCUAUGGUAUGAUUGUUUUUCGUCCUACGGAUUAAAACCCUCUGGUUUAUAUAGACACCGGAGAGGGUUAGGGUUACACAGAGUCGGUUACAAUGGGAGGAGAUCUACAUAUCCGUAUCGCCAAGCUUGCCAUCCACGCCAAGGAAAGUCCCAUCCGGACACGGGACGAAGUCUUCAAUCUUGUAUCUUCAUAGUCCAGGAGCCCGCCAAAGGUCAUAGUCCGGCUAUCCGGACACCCCCUAAUCCGUGACUCCCUCAAUCGCGAAGAGCUCGGGAAUUGUCUUGUUCAUCCCUUGCAUAUUAUAGUUCAUCACGAAGCUCUUGUAGCUUGGUGAUAGUGAUUGAAGAAUUCUGUCAACGACACUAUCAUCCGGAAGAUUAACUCCCAAUUGAAUCAAGUGAUUGUUAUACCCAGACAUUUUGAGUAUAUGCUCACUGACAGAACUAUUCUCCUCCAUCUUGCAGCUGUAGAACUUAUUGGAGACUUCAUAUCUCUCAAUCCGGGCAUUUGCUUGAAAUAUUAACUUCAACUCAUAGAACAUCUCACAUGCUCCAUAAUGUUCAAAACGUCGUUGAAGUCCCGGUUCUAAGCCGUAAAGCAUGGCACACUGAACUAUCGAGUAGUCAUCAGCUUUGCUCUGCCAAAUGUUCACAACGUCCGGCGUUGCUCCUGCAGUGGGUCUUGCACCUAGUGGUGCUUCCAGGAUGCAACUCUUCUGUGCAGCAAUGAGGAUAAUCCUCAAGUUAUGGACCCAGCCCGUGUAGUUGCUACCAUCAUCUUUCAACUUAGCUUAAUCUAGGAACGCAUUAAAAUUCAACGGAACAACAACACGGGCCAUCUAUCUACAACAACAUAGACAUGCAAAAUACUAUCAGGUACUAAGUUCAUGAUAAAUUAAAGUUCAAUUAAUCAAAUUACUUAAGAACUCCCACUUAGAUAGACAUCCCUCUAAUCAUCUAAGUGAUCAUGUGAUCCAUAUCAACUAAACCAUGUCCGAUCAUCACGUGAGAUGGAGUAGUUUUCAAUGGUGAACAUCACUAUGUUGAUCAUAUCUACUAUAUGAUUUACGCUCGGCCUUUCGGUCUCAGUGUUCCGAGGCCAUAUCUGCAUAUGCUAGGCUCGUCAAGUUUAACCCGAGUAUUAUGCGUGUGCAAAACUGGCUUGCACCAGUUGUAUGUGAACGUAGAGCUUAUCACACCCGAUCAUCACAUGGUGUCUCGGCACGACGAACAUUCGCAACGGUGCAUACUCAUGGAGAACACUUAUACCUUGAAAUUUAGUGAGAGAUCAUCUUAUAAUGCUACCGUCGAUCUAAGCAAAAUAAGAUGCAUAAAGGAUAAACAUCACAUGCAAUCAAUAUAAGUGAUAUGAUAUGGCCAUCAUCAUCUUGUGCCUUUGAUCUCCAUCUCCAAAGCACCGUCAUGAUCACCAUCGUCACCGGCACGACACCUUGAUCUACAUCGUAGCAUCGUUGUCGUCUCGCCAACUAUUGCUUCUACGACUAUCGCUACCGCUUAGUGAUACAUACAAUAAAGCGACAACCAUAUGGCUCCUGCCAGUUGCCGAUAACUUUGUUACAAAACAUGAUCAUCUCAUACAAUAAAAUUUAGCAUCAUGUCUUUGACCAUAUCACAUCACAACAUGCCCUGCAAAAACAAUUUAGACGUCCUCUACUUUGUUGUUGCAAGUUUUAUGUGGUUGCUACGGGCUAAGCAAGAAGCGUUCUUACAUACGCAUCAAAACCACAACGAUAUUUCGUCAAGUUAGUGUUGUUUUAACCUUCAACAAGGACCGGGCGUAGCCACACUCGAUUCAACUAAAGUUGGAGAAACUGACACCCGCCAGCCACCUAUGUGCGAAGCACGUCGGUAGAACCAGUCUCGCGUAAGCGUACGCGUAAUGUCGGUCCUGGCCGCUUCAUCCAACAAUACUGUCAAAUCAAAGUAAGACAUGCUGGUAAGCAAUAUGACUUGUAUCGCCCACAACUCACUUGUGUUCUACUCGUGCAUAUAACAUUUAUGCAUAAACCUGGCUCGGAUGCCACUGUUGGGGAACGUAGUAAUUUCAAAAAAAUUCCUACGCACAUGCAAGAUCAUGGUGAUGCAUAGCAACGAGAGGGGGAGUGUAUCUUCAUACCCUUGAAGAUCACUAAGCGGAAGCAUUUAUACAAUGAGGUUGAUGUAGUCAUACACCUUCACGAUCCGCCCCGAUCAAGUAGCGAACCUACGACACCUUCGCGUUCAGCACACGUUGAGCUCAAUGACGUCCUCGCCUUCUUGAUCCAGCAAGACGGGCGAAGUAGUAGAUGAGUUCUAGCAGCACAACGGCGUGGUGACGGUGUUGGUGAACAACAAUCUCCACAGGGCUUUGCCUAAGAACUACAAAAACUAUGACGGAGGAUAAACUAGAGGGGACGGUGUUUCCGGCACACGGCUUGGUGUUUCUCGAUGUCUCGAGGCAUAAGCUAACAUACUUUCUCUUCUUGGAUUAUAUGCACUUAUGAUUGGAACUCUAGCAAGCAUUUGCAACUACUAAAGAUUCAUUAUAAAGGGACAAUUGCAUUUUUACCCCUAGUUGGUUCCUACCCACGGGUUUUGCCCUUACUUUUCGAGCUUGCUCAGUUUUGCCCUUACUUUUUCCAUCGAGGUCCCUCGAAUGCCCUUUGACCGUUUGACCAAAACUUUGAAAAUUCAUAACUAAUUCAUACGAACUCAAAAAAAUGCAAAUAAGAUAUCAAAAUGUUCAAAUAAAAAUUACCUUUAUGGGCAUAUCAUUUGCAUUCAGGACAAAAGCAUCAUUUAAACUACCCGAGGUAAUUAAUGUUAUUAACAUUAUUAUAAAUAAAUAGGUAUAAAUAAUAUUUUUUUCAUGAAUAAAAAUUACAUCAAAUGUAGGUGAUGUUUUCUGAACAUCCUGAUACCUUAUUUCCAUUUUUCUGAGUUUGUAUCAACUUGUUAUGAAUGUUCUAACGACUUUGACCAUUAUUUGGAAACUUCAUAACAAGUUGAUACGAAGUCAGGAAAAUGCAAAUAAGGUAUCAGGAUGUUCAGAAAACAUCACCUACGUUUGCAUACAAUUUUUAUUCACGAAGAAUAUAUUGUUUAUACCUAUUUAUUUUUAAUAAUGUUAAUAACAUUAAUUACCUCAGGUAGUUUAAACGAUGCUUUUGUCCUGAAUGCAAAUGAUAUGCCCAUAAAGGUAAUGUUUAUCUGAACAUUUUGAUAUCUUAUUUGUAUUUUUCUGAGUUCAUAUGAAUUAGUUAUGAAUUUUCAAAGUUUUGGUCAAACGGUCAAAGGGCAUUCGAGGGACCUUGAUGGAAAAAGUAAGGGCAAAACUGAGCAAGCUCGAAAAGUAAGGGCAAAACCCGUGGGUGGUAACCAACUAGGGGUAAAAAUGCAAUUGUCCCUAUGGUAAAACCCAACCAUAGCAUUAAAGUAUCAAGUCCCCUUUAUCCCAUUUGCAACGAUCUACUUACUCGGGUUUGUGUUUCAGUCACUCACGCAACCCACUAUACGCGAAUCAUGAACGCAUUGCAACACCCUACAGCGGGAAUCCCUCACGCUUGAGCGACACGGAGGGCACCAUAGGACAUCACCAAUAAUAAAAUAUGCAACUCAAACCAACCAUAGCAAUUCAUCAAUCACCGAUAGGACAACAAAAAUCUACUCAGACAUCAUAGGAUGGCAACACAUCAUUGGAAAAUAAUAUGAAGCAUAAAGCACCAUGUUCAAGUAGAGGGUACAACAGGAUGCGGGAGAGUGGACCGCUGGAUAUAGAUGGGGGAAGGUGAUGGAGAUGUUGGUGAAGAUGGCGGAGGUGUUGGUGAAGAUCGCGUUGAUAAUGAUGGCCCCCGGCAGCGCUCCGGCGCCACUGGAAGCAAGGGGGAGAGAGGGCCCCUUCUUCUUCUUCUUCCUUGACCUCCUCCCUAGAUGGGAGAAGGGUUUCCCCUCUGGUCCUUGGCUCCCAUGGCUUGGGAGGGGCGAGAGCCCCUCCGAGGUUGGAUCUAUCUCUCUGUUUUUGCGUCCUCUGUUUCUGCCCCUUCACUGUUUCCUUUAUAUUUGGAGAUCCGUAACUCCGAUUGGGGCGAAUCUUUCGCCCACAUUUUUCUUGUAAAAUUAGCUUUCUUGCGGAAAAAGAAGAGCGUCAACUGCCUUACGGGUAGCCCACGAGGGUCCAGGGCGCGCCCAGGGGGGUGGGCGCGCCCCCCAGUCUCGUGGUCACCUCGGACACUGUUUUGCGUUGAUUCUUCCUCCGGAAAAUCCCAAAUAUUCCAAAAUAAUUCUCCGUCCGUUUUUAUCCCGUUUGGAUUUCGUUUGAUAUGGGUUUCCUGCGAAACAUAAAACAUGCAACAGACAGGAACUGGCACUGGGCACUGGACCAAUAUGUUAGUCCCAAAAAUAGUAUAAAAAGUUGCCAAAAGUAUAUGAAAGUUGAAUAAUAUUGGCAUGGAACAAUCAAAAAUUAUAGAUACGACGGAGACGUAUCAACAUCCCCAAGCUUAAUUCCUGCUUGUCCUUGAGUAGGUAAAUGAUAAAAAAGAUAAUUUUUGAUGUGGAAUGCUACCUAGCAUAAUCUUGAUCAUAUGUCUAAUCAUGGCAUGAAUAUUAAGACACGAGUUAUUCAAAGCAAUAGUCUAUCAUUUGACAUAAAAAACGAUAAUACUUCGAGCAUACCAAUAAAGCAAUCAUGUCUUUUCAAAACAACAAGGCCAAAGCAAGCUUAUCCCUACAAAAUCAUACAGUUUGUCCAUGCUUCAUCUUCGUCACACAAAAUGCUCCCAUCAUGCACAACCCCGAUGACGAGCCGAGCAAUUGGUUCAUACUUUUUAACGCGCUUCAGCUUUUUCAACCCUCAUGCAAUACAUGAGCGCAAGCCAUGGAUAUAGCACUAUAGGUGGAAUAGAAUAUAAUGGUGGAGGUUUAUAUGGAGAAGACAAAAAAGGAGAAAGUCUCACAUCGACGCGGAUAAUCGACGGGCUAUGGAGAUGCCCAUCAAUUGAUGUCAAUGCGAGGAGUAGGGAUUGCCAUGCAAUGGAUGCACUAGAGCUAUAAGUGUAUGAAAGCUCAAACUGAAAACUAAGUGGGUGUGCAUCCAACUUGCUUUGCUCAUGAAGACCUAGGGCAUUUGAGGAAGCCCAUCGUUGGAAUAUACAAGCCAAGUUCUAUAAUGAAAAAUUCCCACUAGUAUAUGAAAGUGACAACAUAAGAGACUCUCUAUAUGAAGAACAUGGUGCUACUUUGAAGCACAAGUGUGGAAAAAGGAUAGUAACGUUGCCCCUUUUCUUUUUCUUUUAUUUCUUUUUUCUUUCGGUGGGCUUCUUUGGUCCCCUUUUUUAUUUAGGCUUCUUUGGCCUUUCCUUUUUUUCUUUUUUUUCUUUUUCUUUUUUAUGGGGCAAUGCUCUAUAAUGAUGAUCAUCACACUUUUAUUUACUUACAACUCGAUAUUACAACUCGAUACUAGAACAAAGAUAUGACUCUAUAUGAAUGCUUUCGGCAGUGUACCGGGAUGUGCAAUGAUCUAGCGGAGCAAUGACAUCAAAACGGACAAGCCAUGAAAACAUCAUGCUAGCUAUCUUACGAUCAUGCAAAGCAAUAUGACAAUAAAUGCUCAAGUCAUGUAUAUGAUCAUGAUGGAAGUUGCAUGGAAAUAUAUCUCGGAAUGGCUAUGGAAAUGCCAUAAUAGGUAGGUAUGGUGGCUGUUUUGAGGAAGAUAUAAUGAGGCUUAUGUGUGAUAGGGCGUAUCAUAUCACGGGGUUUGGAUGCACCGGCGAAGUUUGCACCAACUCUCGAGGUGAGAAAGGGCAAUGCACGGUACCGAAGAGGCUAGCAACGAUGGAAAGGUAAAAGUGCGUAUAAUCCAUGGACUCACAUUAGUCAUAAAGAACUCAUAUACUUAUUGCAAACAUUUAUUAGCCCUCGAAGCAAAGUACUACUAUGCAUGCACCUAGGGGGAUAGAUUGGUAGGAAAAGACCAUCGCUCGUCCCUGACUGCCACUCAUAAGGAAGACAAUCAAAGAAACACCCCAUGCUUCAAAUUUGUCACACAACGGUUACCAUAUGUGCAUGCUACGGGACUUGCAAACCUCAACACAAGUGUCUCUACAAUCCACAGCCACCCACUAGCAUGACUCUAAUAUCACCAUCUUUGUAUCGCAAAACUAUUGCAAGGAAUCAAACAUAUCAUAUUCAAUGAUCUACAAGUUUAUGUAGGAUUUUAUGACUAACCAUGUGAAUGACCAAUUCCUGUCAUCUCUCUAAAUAGAUAUAAAUGAAGCAAGAGAGUUUAAUUCUUUCUACAAAAGAUUUACCCACACUCUAACAAAUAUAACUGAAGAAAAAGAGCAUUCUACAAAUGGCGGUUUUCUAUAUGAAGAGAAACAUGCAAUCCAAACUUCAAAUGGUAUAAGUGAAGCACAUGAAGCAUUCUAUAAAGCCAUACUCAAAAGAUCUAAGUGAUGUGCAAUGAGCAUUAUAUAAAUCAACCAAGGACUAUCUCAUACUAGCAUAGUGCAUAAAAGAAAAGUGAAAACUAAAUGCAAAAGACGCUCCAAGACUUGCACAUAUCGCAUGAACGAAACGAAUACGAAAACAUACCGAUACUUAUUGAAGAAAGAGGGGAUGCCUUCUGGGGCAUCCCCAAGCUUAGAUGCUUGAGUAUCCUUGAAUAUUUACUUGGAGUGCCUCGGGCAUCCCCAAGCUUGAGCUCUUGCCUCUCUUCCUUUUCCUCAUAUCGAGACAUCCUCGCUUAGACACUUCAUCCACACAAAACUUCAACAGAAAACUCGGUAAGAUCCGUUAGUAUAAUAAAGAAAAUCACUACUCUAAAUACUGUUGCAAACCAAUUCAUAUUUUGUUUUUGCAUUAUGUCUACUGUAAUAUAACUUUUUCAUGGCUUAAUCCACUAAUAUAAAUUGAUAUUUUCAUCAAAACAAGAAAACUAUGCAUUAAAAAACAGAAUCUGUCAAAAACAGAACAGUCUGUACAAAUCUGAACAUCCACCAUACUUAUGGUACCCCAAAACUUCUACCAAAAUUAGGAACAAUAAACAAGUUGUAUAGAAAGACAGUGCAAAAGGAAUCUGAACCAAUUAACCUUCCAUUUAAAAAUGUAAAAUCGAGCACUACAGCCAAAGUUUCUGUCCUGCACCGUACAAACCAACAAGCAUUGUAAACAUCCUAAAGGCAAACCUUGGCACAUUAUUUUUAUAAUACAAUGGAAUUGUACAAGGGGAUAAUUAUUUUUGUUGAGAAGUUUCCGUAAUCAAGAUUCACAAAGUUUCCAUGAGCAUGAAGAAAGUCCAAGGCUAGCUCCCACUUCAACAAUGCUUGUCUUUCUCACUUUCACUUUCCUUUUUGAAAAGUUUUUAGGUUCCCCUCUUUAUUUUUUUUGUUUUUAAACUAUACAAAAGCACUCAGCAGAAAUAAAUGACUCUCUAAAACUUCCGGGUUAUCUCCCUGGCAGCGCUUUCUUUAAAGCCAUUAAGGUAGGCAUUUAGUGCUCAAGUAAUGAAUCCACCCGGAUCCCAAGGUAUAUCAAAGCCAAUUUUAAUUAACAAUGAUUUGUAAUUUAGUAGUGAGCACAAAGUAACAUAUAUCAUGCAACAAUGAACUCUAACUCUCUUCCUAUGCAUCAGCAUGUCAUAACAGAAUAAUUCAUGCACACCAAGUAAAGGCCAAUGCAUACUAUAAACAGUUUCUUGCAAUUCUAUCGUAUUGGAAACAUAGAGAGGUGGAGAUAAAGUUCCUCUCUCAUAAUAAUUGCAAGUAGGAACAGCAAGCACAUGCAUAUUAUAUUCAUCAAAAUCAUCAUGUGCAAUGGUAAAAGGCAACCCAUCAAUAUAAUCCUUAAUAAGCACAAACUUCUCCGAUAUAGUGUAGUAGGGAGAAUUCAAGAAGAUAAUAGGACUAUCAUGCGUGGGUGCAAUAGCAACAAUUUCAUGUUUAACAUAAGGAACUAUAGCAAGUUCAUCUUCAUAAGCAUAAUUCAUAUUGGCAUCUUGGCCACAAGCAUAGCAAGCAUCAUCAAAAAUGGAUAUUUCGAGAGAAUCAACGGGAUCAUAGUAAUCAUCAUAGCAACCAUCCUUCCGUAAGCACGAAGGGGAAUUAAACAAUGUAUGAGUUGAAGAGUUACUCUCAUUAGAAGGUGGGCACGGGUGAUCAAUCCGCUCUUCCUCCUUUUGUUCUUCGCUCUCCUCAUCAUCUUUUUCAUCCAAUGAGCUCACAGUUUCAUCAAUUUCUUCUUCCAUAGCUUCUUGCAAAAUAUUAUCUCUUCUUGGACAGCGGAGAAGACCUCAAUAUAUGGUUUAACAUAGGCAUUAGAAGCAUAAUUAUCAUAACAAUAUUCAAGUAUGGCAAAGUUUUCAGAUUUGUAGAGAGUAGCAUCAUACUUUUGAAUCAAAGAAGCAAUUUCAUAAGCACCCUUAAAGCAACAAAUUCUUCAGUUUGUUGAACAUCAUAGUAAUUAUAAACACCUUUAGCAUAUGAAGAUACAAUCCCAUUAUCAAACUCACAUUGGUAGGGAAGGUGUUUCUUAGGGUUUUCAGAACAACAAGUAAUAUCAUAUAUUUCACAUAAAUUCCAAGCAUAGCAUCGCAAACAUUGAAUUCGAUCCCAUAAUAGUUUCCCUUUUUCCAGAUAUACGGUGUCGCACAUAACAGGCAUGCUCAUCUAAAGAUUUGCCCUCAACUAAGCUAGUGGGGGUUUCAGCACGAGCACAUAGGGAUCGAAGAUGAUCAAAGUAAAAAGCUUUAGGAGUGCGAUAGAUUUUGAGUGGUUCUUCAACCAUUGGUGUAGUAGGUACAACUAACUUUUUUGGUAUUUUGCGUUUCCUACCCAUAACUAAAGAUAGAAAAUAACUAAGAACAGCAAAUAAAAAUUACUUAGUGAUAAAGCAAACAAGCACACACAAGAAUAUUCACCCCACGCUAUGACUCCCCGGCAACGGCGACAGAAAAAGGUCUUGAUAACCCACAUGUGUAGGGGGUCGCAACAGUUUUUGAUAAGUAAGAGUGUUGAACCCAACGAGGAGCUAAAGGUAGAAUAAAUAUUCCCUCAAGUUCUAUCGACCACCGAUACAACUCUGCACGCUUGACGUUUGCUUUACCUAGAACAAGUAUGAAACUAGAAGUACUUUAUAGGUGUGAUAGGAUAGGUUUGCAAGAGCAUAAAGAACACGUAAAUAAAAAGUAGGGGCUGUUUAGAUAAAGAUGCAAGAAAGUAAAUAUAGCGAGUGUGGAAAAGUGGUGGUAGGAGUUGUGAAAUUGUCCCUAAGCAAUUGACUAUGUUACUAGACCGGUAAUCACUAUCACAAUUCUAUUUGAGGGAGAUGCAUAAGCUAACAUACUUUCUCUUCUUGGAUCAUAUGCACUUAUGAUUGGAACUCUAGCAAGCAUCCGCAAAUACUAAAGAUUCAUUAAGCUAAAACCCAACCAUAGCAUUAAAGGUAUCAGGUCCCCUUUAUCCCAUACGCAACGAUCUACUUACUCGGGUUUGUGUUUUAGUCACUCACGCAACCCACUAUAAGCGAAUCAUGAACGCAUUGCAACACCCUACAACAGGAAUCCCUCACGCUUGCGCGACAUGGAGGGCACCAUAGGACAGAACCAAUAAUAAAAUAUGCAACUCAAACCAAUCAUAGCAAUUUAUCAAUCACCGAUAGGAUAACGAAAAUCUACUCAGACAUCAUAGGAUGGGAACACAUCAUUGGAAAAUAAUAUGAAGCAUAAAGCACCAUGUUCAAGUAGAGGGUACAGCGGUAUGCGGGAGAGUGGACCACUGGAUAUAGAUGGGGGAAGGUGAUGGAGAUGUUGGUGAAGAUGGCGGAGGUGUUGGUGAAGAUCGCGGUGAUGAUCUGGCUACCAUUCUACACUAUUAUGCAGCAGGCUCAUUUGGAUGAUCUGGCUGCCCAACAGGCUCAGAACGAGGAGGCUUGGAAUGCCCCUGUCCCUGCACAAGAGCAAAUUCAGGAAAAUGGUUGGAGGGCUUGUCCUGUGGUGCCCCCACCAUACACUGGUUUCAGCUUCAGGUCCUUUCUUUCAGUAUGAUGGCCCAUCUUUGAUGGAUGGAGUGGACCCUGAGAAAAAUGUGCAUGACAAUCUAUCUGACGUCUGGGCAUCUGAAGAUGAAGUUGCUGCAGUGGAGAGCCUGGCGGAUGGCUUUAUAAAUGGUAAUUUGGCUGCAAGGGAGGCUUUUGCUCGUGCUGGGGGUGACUCUGUUUAUGUCACCAUUACGCUGGAUCAUGAGCUGCUGCUGUGGAUGGGCUCGAUGCUCAAACGCAUCUACACGCGAGCCAUCACCAAUGGACACGCUGGGUCUAUUAUGCUUCCUCUUAACCCUUUCCAUCUGAUUCAAAAACAUUUGGAGGCAGCCUUGCUCUUUGGUUGCAGAAUCUGAAGCCUGAACCUGACCACAUAGCCAUCAUUUUCAGUGCUCGCUCUCUGUUGGGUGUUUGCAUUGGACCGCUGCAAUUAUCUGCUUCUUUUGGUGUCAUAACAGAGGUGACCCAGGUUUCUGAUGGUACCUUGUGUCUGUCACAGGAGAUCCCAAUUCCUAAUGUGCCAUCUCAUACUGCAAUCCAGGUUGAUCUGAAUGCCCCAACUACUGGCAUUGCUCUGCAAGUGUUGGCGUCCUCCUCUUCAUUUAAUUCUGCUGCAGGUCAUAAUGCCAAGGUACCUCUCGACACUACUGCUGUCCGGAGGAGUUCUAGAUGCAACAAAUAUGAUGGCUUCAAGGUUUCCAACGCUUCUGAGAUGAAACCCAGCUGCUCGAGGGUGAAGGCCAGGAUCGUCCCCACCGUCUCUGCUGUCUCCACGGCUGCUGCUCCAACUGCGUCGUGCCCUCCACCAACAACCAUCCUGGAGCUCCAGUAGGUGGGCGAUGGUUGCGGCAUUGAGCCUAAAGAUAUCUCUGAAGACAAGCUGCUGGCUACCCAGCAGAUUGCCUCUGAUGAGGCGGCCUGAUUUUCUUUCUGUUAAUGAAUAAAUCGUGGAACAUCUUGUCGUGCAACAUCAGAGGGAUUAACUCUGAUAGCAAACUUUUGGCUCUUAGGAAUGCUAUCGACUCUAGUGGUUGUUCUGUUAUAUGCAUUCAGGAAACCAAGCGGGAAUAUUUUGAUUUAGCGUUUAUUAAAUCUUUCUUCCCCAAGCGGUUUGAUAAAUUUGUUUUCGCGCCAUCAAUUGGGGCCUCGGGUGGAAUUAUCACUAUCUAGAACAGUUCUGUUUUUGUGGGCACACCUUGGCAUGUGGAAUCUUUUGCGGUGGGCGUUUCUUUUGUGGAUAAUCAGUCAAAUGAGUCAUGGAAUUUGGUCAAUGUUUACGGCCCAUGUACGGGUCAGAGACGGGUUGAUUUCACCUCCUGGCUAUUUGACCUCACCAUACCAGAUGAUAAAAAUUGAUUAUUUUUGGGUGACUUCAAUUACAUACGAUCCACUGAAAACAGAAAUAAGCCAGGGGGAGAUGCAUCUGAUAUGCUGUUGUUCAAUGAGCUUAUACGUGCACAAUCUUUAAUGGAAAUCCCAGUUAAGGGUAGAGCCUUCACGUGGAGUAAUAUGCAGGACGACACGCUCCUAGAACAGCUUGAUUGGUUCUUCUCAUCAUCAAAUUGGACCACAUCUUUCCCUAAUACGACGGUUCUACCUCUGGGAAAACCAGUCUCUGACCAUAUCCCAUGCGUGAUUUCAAUCGAAUCCAAAAUCCCAAAAUCAAACCUUUUUCGGUUUGAGAACUUCUGGAUCAAUCACCCUGGUUUCUCUGAUGUUGUGGCCAAUUCUUGGAGUAAACCAUGCCACGCCUCCAAUUCUGCUACUGUCGUUUGUAAGAAGCUCAAAACGCUUCGUUCUGAUCUCAAGCGUUGGAGUAGAGGUAUCUCCAAACUGAAGACCAUGAUUUAAAAUAGCAACAAUGCUCUAGCCAAUCUUGAUGCUUUAGAAGACAAGAGGGUUCUGUUUGUCUAGGAAGCAAACUUUAGAUGUAUCCUGAAAAGACACCCAACUGUCUCCUAAAGUAUCAGAAUGAAUAUUGGAGGAAAAGAUGCACCGUUAGAUAUUUCAGAUUUGCUGACGAGAACACUAAGCUGUUCCAAUCUCUUGCUACUGAACGCUUUAGGCAUAACUCAAUUGCCAGCUUGCAAGAUAGAGAUGUUGAGGUCACUGAUCAUGCUGGCAAGGAAGGGGUGUUGUUCAACACAUUCAAGGAACGUUUGGGGGCCUCUAAACCCACUAACAUGCGUUUUGAUCUGAACCGCAUCAUCAAAAAGGUGGAUGGCCUGGAUGUGCUCUCAGCCCCUUUUUCUAAUAGUGAGAUCGAUGCGGUGAUCAAAGAGAUGCCUACUGACAGGGCUCCAAGUCCCGAUGGUUUUAGUGGUUGCUUCCUCUAAACUGGCUGGCACAUUAUAAAGGAAGAUAUCUACAAAAUUUGUCAUGAUUUUCACGAAGGCAACCUUGACAUAUCCAGCAUCAAUGAGGGUUAUAUCACUCUCAUUCCAAAGAUCUCCUCUCCGCUUAUGGCUAAUUAUUUCAGGCCCUUAACAUUACUAAACUGCUGCCUGAAAAUUAUCACGAAAAUCCUAGCCAACCGCCUGCAAAAAGUCAUCCUGAAAAUCAUCCAUAGGAAUCAGUAUGGGUUCCUCAAGGGCCAUACCAUCCAGGACUGUUUGGCGUGGUCGUUCGAAUACAUCCACCAAUGUCAAACAUCUGCGAGAGAGAUAGUGUUACUGAAGCUUGACUUUGCCAAAGCAUUUGAUACAAUUGAACAUGAACCGAUGUUGUAGAUCAUGGAACACAUGGGCUUUGAUGAUAGGUGGCUCGGCUGGAUGAGGUCCAUUUUUUCUUCUGGGGUUUCUUCGGUUCUUUUGAAUGGGGUGCCUGGAAGAAAAUUUCUGUGCAAAUGUGGAGUGAGACAGGGCAACCCGCUGUCACCACUCAUCUUUGUUUUGGCGGCUGACCUACUUCAAGCGGGUAUUAAUGAUGCUUACACCCAAGGUUUAAUUGAGCUACCCUUUCCAUCCAACCGGAGAGGGGAUUACCCAGUGAUUCAAUACGCCGACGACACGAUCCUGGUCAUGCCUGCUUGCCCGGACCAAGCUGCCCGUAUGAAGUCCAUUCUGGUUGAUUAUGCUGAGUCAGUUGGCCUGAAAAUAAAUUUCCACAAAUCAACAUUGAUCCCAAUCAAUCUUGAUCUGCAACAGUCUCCUGUUUUGGCUUCUAUUUUUGGAUGCAACAUGGGGUCACUCCCUUUUACCUACCUGGGGAUUCCCAUGGGAACCACCAAACCAACGUUGCUUGAGCUAAUGCCUUUGGUGUGUGGGGUUGAGAGGAAGCUGUCCACGGCCCUGUCCCUGCUCUCAGCUGGCGCCAAACUCACAUUGGUCAACUCCACCAUCACUUCCAUGAUGAUAUAUGUGAAAGAUCGUGGAUGUCGCCUAGANNNNNNNNNNNNNNNNNNNNNNNNNNNNNNNNNNNNNNNNNNNNNNNNNNNNNNNNNNNNNNNNNNNNNNNNNNNNNNNNNNNNNNNNNNNNNNNNNNNNNNNNNNNNNNNNNNNNNNNNNNNNNNNNNNNNNNNNNNNNNNNNNNNNNNNNNNNNNNNNNNNNNNNNNNNNNNNNNNNNNNNNNNNNNNNNNNNNNNNNNNNNNNNNNNNNNNNNNNNNNNNNNNNNNNNNNNNNNNNNNNNNNNNNNNNNNNUUACGGUUGAGGCUUGAACAAAUGCGGAAUAAACCUAGCGGUUAAUUUGUCAAGCACAAAACCUACAACAACUAGGCUCACCUAUGUGCACCAACAACUUAUGCUAAGCAAGAAAAACUUCUUAGGUGAUAGCAAGAUAUAUGACAAGAAACAAUAUGGCUAUCACAAAGUAAAGUGCAUAAGUAAAGGGCUCGGGUAAGAGAUAACCGAGGCACGCGGAGACGAUGAUGUAUCUCGAAGUUCACACCCUUGCGGAUGCUAAUCUCCGUUUGGAGCGGUGUGGAGGCACAAUGCUCCCCAAGAAGCCACUAGGGCCAUCGUAAUCUCCUCAUGCCCUCGCACAAUGCAAGAUGCCGUGAUUCCACUAAGGGACCCUUGAGGGCGGUCACCGAACCCGUACAAAUGGCAACCCUUGGGGGCGGUCACCGAACCCGUACACUUUGGCAACCCUUGGGGGCGGUCACCGAAACCCGUCAAAUUGCUCGGGGCGAUCUCCACAACCUAAUUGGAGACCCCGACGCUUGCCCGGAGCUUUACACCACAAUGAUUGAGCUCCGAACACCACCAACUAUCUAGGGCGCCCAAGCACCCAAGAGGAACAAGCUCAAGGGUACCAAACACCCAAGAAUAAUAAGCUUCUCAACUUGUAACUUCCACGUAUUACGUGAAGAACUCAAACCGAUGCACCAAAUGCAAUGGCAAGGGCACACGGAGUGCCCAAGUCCUUCUCUCUCAAAUCCCACCGAAGCAACUAAUGCUAUGGAGGAAAAUGAGAGGAAGAACAAGAAGGAGAACACCGAGAACUCCAAGAUCAAGAUCUAAGGGGUUCCCCUCACAUAGAGGAGAAAGUGAUUGGUGGAAAUGUGGAUCUAGGUCUCCUCUCUCUUUUCCCUCAAAAACUAGCAAGAAUCCAUGGAGGGAUUGAGAGUUAGCAAGCUCGAAGAAGGUCAACAAUGGGGGAAGAACACGAGCUCAAAGAUAAGGUUCAUUGGGGAAGAAGACCCCCUUUUAUAGGACCUCCCGAAUCCAACCGUUAUGUGCUCAGGUCGUGCACAAGCUGUACUACCGCUUGGACGAGCGGUACUACCGCUUAGCACGGUCAAAACAGCCCAACGAGAGAGGAAACACGAGUUUUUGGUCCCGAGCGGAAGUAGCCAUGGAAGUAGCCGCGGUAGUACUGCUCCAAGCGGUAGUACCGCUCCCAAGAGCGGUAGUAAAAAAUUACUUCCGCUCCCGUCCGCGGUAGUACCGCUGCAGCCUUUUCAGAACACCAAAACUCACAACUUCUGCAAACGGACUCCGAAUUCAACGAAACCAAGUUUGUUGGAAAGCUAGCGACAAUGGCUAACACAAUCUUGAUAGAAAAAUCAAUAAGAAGCAAAUUAGAAAAGGCCCAAAAUAAAAUGGUGAGAACCCUUCCUCGGAUAAGACCGGUAAAACCUCCAACACCGAAAACAUCAUAGAAGACGCAUGCAAACUCCGUUUUCGAUGAACUCAAGCUUGUCAUCAAGAUGACCAUAAGCUCUAAGACUCACAAAGAGAACCAAACAAGAACCAAGAAACAUGAUGCAAGGAUGCAAUGGUUUGAGCUCUCGACGAACGAUACGAUCAAGCUACUCACUUGAGAGCCCCCCUUGAUAGUACAACUAUCGAUCCUAUAACCCGGUCUCCCAACUACCACCAUGAGACCGGUAAAAUAGAAAACCUAUGAAGGGAAAACCUUUGCCUUGCACAUGAUCCACUUGAGCUAGAUGAUGACGAUCUUGUCCUCCUCAAGAUGGACCACCUUUCUUGAUUGCGUUGGGUCGAUGGAGACUAGAUGAUUGCUCCCCCAUACUCCAGUAUGGGUGAGCCACUCUUCUGCACAUCUUCACAAGUCCAUUGACACCACAAUGGAUGGAAAGAUUCAAGCACUUGAUCUCUUCAUGAUGCUACACUUGAACUUGCACACGACAAUCUUGAUGACGAUCACUACUUGAUGUCAUCCUUUCCAUGGGUUAUAUGAUAUCUUCCUCUUGACGCAAGCCCAUGGACACGUACCUAACCCCACAUACAACUCUCACAUAGACCAUGGGUUAGUACAUAAAGUGUAAUGGACAAUGCUUACCAUACCAUGGGAUCACUUGAUCCCUCUCAGUACAUCUUCUAUGCUUUGUGAGUUGAUCAACUUGAUUCACUCUUGACUUAGUCUUGAUCAACCUUGAAUCUUUGCAACUCUCUUCAUUUGGAUGAUGUCUUGAAGGUAAACAUGAAUGAUCACACAACCUUCUUCUUCAAGACAUGCCUGCAAUAAGCUCAACACUCACAUGACCAAUCUUUGGAUAAUUCCUUAAUAGCACCUUGGUCAACACAUAAACUCCUUGAAACCAACACAUGGACUUCAAGAAAUGCCUAUGGACAAAUCCUUCAAAUAUAACUCAAUGCAACCAUUAGUCCAUAGAGAAUGUCAUCAAUUACCAAAACCACACAUGGGGGCACCGCAUGUCCUUUCAAUCUCCCCCAUUUUGGUAAUUGGUGACAAUCACUUUCAAGAGAGUUUAUACAAGGAAUUAUGCUUCCCUAGCAAUGCAACACCCAAUAGUGCAUGCGUAUGAGAUGCACAUGCUUCGGAACACAACCAAAGCAAGAGGAUAAAACUUUGAAACCUUCUCCACAAAACUCUCUGAAACUUCUCCCCCAUUGGCAUCGAUUGCCAAAAUGGGCGAAAAGCUUAGAAGGCCAAAAUAAAUUGUGGUCCUCCAUAAAUUGUGUAUUUCUCAACAAGAGAGUGGAAUGCAAUACACAUAUCCAACUGUCAAUACUUGGAGGAAGACAGACUAUAUUGAGGCCCAAAGAUUGCAACAAAGAGAUAUGCCACAAAGACAUAACAAAGAGAGACACAAGCAAUCAGAAGAUACCAAUUGAAGCAAGCAAUCAACGGAUAUCAAUUGAAUCAACUAGACCAAUGAUCCUACGUGUCACAUGAAUAAAGAUAUUAUGAUAUGAGCAGAGGAUUGUUCUAAAGAAACUAGAGAAUCCCCCCAUGAUUUGUGCACAUCAAGAAUUUUUGUAUUUGGAUACAAAGUGCACAAAAUAGGAUCAUAGCUCCCCCAAAAUCAAUAGAAACUCACAACCAGUGCAAGUGGGCAAAUAGGAGACAAAGCCUAGCACUUGUAAGAAGCACAUGGUUGAGCAACAUGUAACAGAGGCGACUAAGAAUAGGCUCAACCAACACCAAUGUGUGUGAGUCAAGGCAAUGCACUUGAGAAGACUAAUGUACGGAUAAGCAUUAAGCAUCAAUAUAGUCUUGAAAGAAUGAGAUACACGGUGCAAGGCAUUUCAUUCCCAUACACAAGAAGCAAACGGGUUCACAAGAUCACUAAUAAGCAUAUAAAGAACCUAUGCUUGUGACAACCCAUGGUGAAGAUAGAAGAUGAAAGCCUCAUCAAGACGAGGAAUACCAAGAUGGCAACCUCGUAAAGAUAAGCAUGAGGAAAUAAUCUUCACCACACAAGAGUGCAUCAAGAUGCAACGAUAUAAGACAUGCACUCAAGACAAAACCUUUCACGGAGCCACCAAAGAAAUAACAUAAGAAAGACAAGGUGGACGUGAAAGAAAGGAUAUCACCUAGAGAUGUAAUUUCUCUCAAGUGUAUAAGGGUCUAGGUAGAUGAAAUCAUGACGAUAUAUAUCUACAAAGAAGGAUGUACACCCGAAAUAGUUACAACAUGAAGGAACAAGAUAUCCAAAAGGAAGUCAUACAUAUACCAAUAAGAUAUGUGCUUGGAAGCAUAGCCCAAGGCUAGAUAUGGUCUUAUUGUAUAUAAAUGAAUUCCUACCACACAACCAUCAAAGACAUCACAACUAGCAACAAGAGAUCAUUGUUGGGAUGCUUUGAGAAAGGAAACAAGUAUCACAAGAAAGAAAGAAUAACAUGCCAUGAUACAACCCACACACGAUUGAUGCAAUAAUGUGUGCAUGUAGUAGAUGAUGAUACUUGUUACCGAGAUAACAUUGGAAGGAUGUAGUAGAUACCAAUUGAAGGUAGAAAGUAGUUCAUCGAUCAUCCUAGCUUGACUCCAAUAAGCACAUGGUGACAACACCUUCCUUUUGAAUGAGCCGAGUAUCCAAUGCAUCUCCAAUUGUUCCUAGAACAACAACACAAACAAAAUGGCACCCAAACUCAUUGGGACCAAAGAGUUAGAGAACCAACAAUACAUAGGACAAACUCCACAUAGAUAUAUGCAUAUAGAUAUGAAAAUGAAUCUCAUGCACAUCUCAUCCAAUUUGAGACUUGGUGGAGUUUCCCCUAUAUAUUGGGUCAAAGAAAGAAAACAUGCCAAAGGAACUACAUGAAAUUAAAAUGCAUGCUCAAGACUUCCAAGAAUCGAUACCAAAAUACAAGGAAAAACCAAGUGAAAAGGAUACCAAAUGGAGAAAUCAUCACUUGGAAGAUAUCAUUAAAAGAUACAUCAAGGAAUGAGAUAUCCAUUGGAACACACACAAAAAAAGAUGUCAAACUCCCAAAGGAGAGGAUGGUUCCAAACAAACCAAGCUGUCUACAAAGUUUCAUGUUGGCACAAAGUACCAAAAGAAACGACUUGCCAUCCACCCACACACACUUAAUAUGGAUCACAAUAUGAGUGUUUUAUAGAAAAUAGGAUAGCUCCCCCAAGACUAGUGCAUUAUAGAGAAUUUGCAUUUGAAUACAAAAUGCACAAGGUGGGAUCACCACUUUCACUAUAUCUAGAAAACACUAAACACGAGAAAUAUGUUGAAGCGAAGGCACUAUGCUGUGGCAAACAACAACUAUGCCUGUAUGCUCUGCCAGAAUCCUCCUGAGGAAAUAGUUGAUCACCUAUUUUUCACCUGCCCCUUUAGCCAACAUUGUUGGGACAAGGUUGGUCUGACAUGGCCGCAUAAUGGCAACAGGAUUUCCAUCUUGCAUGAGGGUAAAAAUCGCUAGAGGCAACCUUUGUUCAUGGAUAUUUUUUUGAUGGCCGCCUGGAGCAUAUGGAAGGAGAGGAACAAUGAGUUCUUCAGGGGUGUUCUGCACUCUUUCGCUGCAUGGCUUGAUAGAUUCAAACAUCUGUUGGGCCUCCUUGCUCAUAAUUGUAAAGAAGAGCUUCAUCCCUUCUUAAGCACUUUCACACAUAACUUGUAGGAGGCACACAUUGUUUCUUUUUCUUUGUACAUAUAGGGUGUAGGGGGACCCUGCAAAACCCCCAUGUAAACAUGUAACACCCAUCUGUGAGUAAUACAAAGUCAGUGGGAGCCUCUCCCACUGUCAUUCAUCGUAAAAAAAAGAUCGUGGUGAUGAUGAUGGCCCCCGGCAGCACUCCGGCGCCACCGGAAGCAAGGGGGAGAGAGGGCCCCUUCUUCUUCUUCUUCCUUGACCUCCUCCCUAGAUGGGAGAAGGGUUUCCCCUCUGGGCCUUGGCUCCCAUUGCUUGGGAGGGGCGAGAGCCCCUCCGAGAUUGGAUCUAUCUCUCUGUUUUUGUGUCCUCUGUUUCUGCCCGUUCACCGUUUCCUUUAUAUCUGGAGAUCCGUAACUCCGAUUGGGGUGAAUAUUUCGCCCAGAUUUUUCUUGUAAAAUUAGCUUUCUUGCGGAAAAAUAAGAGCGUCAACCGCCUUACUGGUGGCCCACGAGAGUCCAGGGCAUGCCUAGGGGGUGGGCACGCCCCUUGUCUCGUGGCCACCUCGGACACUGUUUCGCGUUGAUUCUUCCUCCGGAAAAUCCAAAAUAUUCCAAAAUAAUUCUCCGUCCAUUUUUAUCCCGUUUGGAUUCCGUUUGAUAUGGGUUUCCUGCGAAACAUCAAACAUGCAACAGACAGGAACUGGCACUGGGCACUGGAUCAAUAUGUUAGUCCCAAAAAUAGUAUAAAAAGUUGCCAAAAGUAUGUGAAAGUUGAAUAAUAUUGGCAUGGAACAAUCAAAAAUUAUAGAUACGGCGGAGACAUAUCACCAUCCCCAAGCUUAAUUCCUGCUCGUCCUCGAGUAGGUAAAUGAUAAAAAAGAUAAUUUUUGAUGUGGAAUGCUACCUAGCAUAAUCUUGAUCAUAUGUCUAAUCAUGGCAUGAAUAUUAAGACACGAGUGAUUCAAAGCAAUAGUCUAUCAUUUGACAUAAAAAACGAUAAUACUUCGAGCGUACCAAUAAAGCAAUCAUGUCUUUUCAAAACAACAAGGCCAAAGCAAGCUUAUCUCUACAAAAUCAUACAGUUUGGCCAUGCUUCAUCUUCGUCACACAAAAUGCUCCCAUCAUGCACAACCCCGAUGAUGAGCCGAGCAAUUGGUUCAUACCUUUUAAUGCGCUUCAGCUUUUUCAACCCUCACACAAUACAUGAGAGCAAGCCAUGGAUAUAGUACUAUAGGUGGAAUAGAAUAUAAUGGUGGAGGUUUAUAUGGAGAAGACAAAAACGGAGAAAGUCUCACAUCGACGCGGCUAAUCAACGGGCUAUGGAGAUGCCCAUCAAUUGAUGUCAAUGCGAGGAGUAGGGAUUGCCAUGCAAUUGAUGCACUACAGCUAUAAGUGUAUGAAAGCUCAAACUGAAAACUAAGUGGGUGUGCAUCCAACUUGCUUGCUCAUGAAGACCUAGGGCAUUUGAGGAAGCCCAUCGUUGGAAUAUACAAGACAAGUUCUAUAAUGAAAAAUUCCCACUAGUAUAUGAAAGUGACAACAUAAGAGACUCUCUAUAUGAAGAACAUGGUGCUACUUUGAAGCACAAGUGUGGAAAAAGGAUAGUAACAUUUCCCGUUUUCUUUUUCUUUUUUUUCUUUUUUAUCCUUCUUCUUUUUUCUUUCGUGGGCUUCUUUGGCCCCCUUUUUUAUUUAGGCUUCUUUGGCCUUUCCUUUUUUUUUUCCUUUUUUCCUUUUUCUUUUUUUAUGGGGCAAUGCUCUAUAAUGAUGAUCAUCACACUUUUAUUUACUUACAACUCGAUAUUACAACUCGAUACUAGAACAAAGAUAUGACUCUAUAUGAAUGCUUCCGGCAGUGUACCGGGAUGUGCAAUGAUCUAGCGUAGCAAUGACAUCAAAACGGACAAGCCAUGAAAACAUCAUGCUAGCUAUCUUACGAUCAUGCAAAGCAAUAUGACAAUAAAUGCUCAAGUCAUGUAUAUGAUGAUGAUGGAAGUUGCAUGGCAAUAUAUCUUGGAAUAGGUAUGGAAAUGCCAUAAUAGGUAGGUAUGGUGGCUAUUUUGAGGAAGAUAUAAUGAGGCUUAUGUGUGAUAGAGCGUAUCAUAUCACGGGGUUUGGAUGCACCGGCGAAGUUUGCACCAACUCUCGAGGUGAGAAAGGGCAAUGCACGGUACCGAAGAGGCUAGCAAUGAUAGAAAGGUAAAAGUGCGUAUAAUCCAUGGACUCACAUUAGUCAUAAAGAACUCAUAUACUUAUUGCAAACGUUUAUUAGCCCUCGAAUCAAAGUACUUCUACGCAUGCCCCUAGGGGGAUAGAUUGGUAGGAAAAGACCAUCGCUCGUCCCCGACUCCCACUCAUAAGGAAGACAAUGAAAGAAACACCGCAUGCUUCAAAUUUGUCACACAACGGUUACCAUACGUGCAUGCUACGGGACUUGCAAACCUCAACACAAGUGUCUCUACAAUCCACAACCACCCACUAGCAUGACUCUAAUAUAACCAUCUUUAUAUCGCAAAACUAUUGCAAGGAAUCAAACAUAUCAUAUUUAGCGAUCUACAAGUUUAUAUAGGAUUUUAUGACUAACCAUGUGAAUGACCAAUUCCUGUCAUCUCUCUAAAUAGAUAUAAAUGAAGCAAGAGAUUUUAAUUCUUUCUACAAAAGAUAUGCCCACGCUUUAACAAAUAUAAGUGAAGCAAAAGAACAUUCUACAAAUGGCGGUUUUCUAUGUGAAGAGAAACAGGCAAUCCAAACUUCCAAUGAUAUAAGUGAAGCACAUGAAGCAUUCUAUAAAGCCAUACUCAAAAGAUCUAAGUGAAGUGCAAUGAGCAUUCUAUAAAUCAACCAAGGACUAUCUCAUACCAGCAUGGUGCAUAAAAUAAAAGUGAAAACUAAAUGCAAAAGACGCUCCAAGACUUGCACAUAUCGCAUGAACGAAACGAAUACGAAAACAUAUCGAUAUUUGUUGAAGAAAGAAGCUUAGACGCUUGAGUAUACUUGAAUAUUUACUUGGAUUGCCUCGGGCAUCCCCAAGCUUGAGCUCUUGCCUCUCUUCCUUUUCCAAAUAUCGAGACAUCCUCGCUUAGACACUUCAUCCACACAAAACUUCAACAGAAAACUUGGUAAGAUCCGUUAGUAUAAUAAAGCAAAUAACCACUCUAAGUACUGUUGCAAACCAAUUCAUAUUUUGUUUUUGCAUUGCGUCUACUGUAAUAUAACUUUUUCAUGGCUUAAUCCACUAAUAUAAAUUGAUAGUUUCAUCAAAACAAGCAAACUAUGCAUCAAAAACAGAAUCUGUCAAAAACAGAACAGUCUGUAGCAAUCUGAACAUCCACCAUAUUUAUGGUACCCCAAAAAUUCUACCAAAAUUAGGAAAAAAAAGUUGUAUAGCAAGACAAUGCAAAAGGAAUCAAAACCAAUUGACCUUCCAGUUAAAAAUUUAAAAUCGAGCACUACAGCCAAAGUUUCUGUCCUGCACUGUACAAACCAACAAGCAUUGUCAAUAUCCUAAAGGCAAACCUUGGCACAUUAUUUUUAUAAUACAAUGGAAUUGUACAAGGGGAUAAUUAUUUUUGUUGAAAAGUUUCUGUAAUCAAGAUUCACAAAGUUUCCAUGAGCAUGAACAAAGUCCAAGGCUAGCUCCCACUUCAACAAUGCUUGUCUUUCUCACUUUCACUUUCCUUUUUGAAAAGUUUUUAGGUUCCCCUCUUUAUUUUUUUUGUUUUUAAACUAUAUAAAAUCACUCAAUAGAAAUAAAUGACUCUCUAAAACUUCUGGGUUGUCUCCCUGGCAGAGCUGUCUUUAAAGCCAUUAAGCUAGGCGUUUAGUGCUCAAGUAAUGAAUCCACCCGGAUCCCAAGGUAUAUCAAAGCCAAUUUUAAUUAACAAUGAUUUGUAAUUUAGUAGUGAGCACAAAGUAACAUAUAUCAUGCAACAACGAAGUCUAACUCUCUUCCUAUGCAUCGGCAUGUCAUAAUAGAACAAUUCAUGCACACCAAGUAAAGGCCAAUGCAUAGUAUAAACAGUUUCGUGCAAUUCUAUCGUAUUGGGGACAUAGAGAGGUGGAGAUAAAGUUCCUCUCUCAUAAUAAUUGCAAGUAGGAGCAGCAAGCACAUUCAUAUUAUAUUCAUCAAAAUCAUCAUGUGCAAUGGUAAAAGGCAAUCCAUCAAUAUAAUCCUUAAUAAGCACAAACUUCUCCGAUAUAGUGUAGUAGGGAGAAUUCAAAAAGAUAAUAGGACUAUCAUGUGUGGGUGCAAUAGAAACAAUUUCAUGUUUAACAUAAGGAACUAUAGCAAGUUCAUCUUCAUAAGCAUAAUUCAUAUUAGCAUCUUGGCCACGAGCAUAGCAAGCAUCAUCAAAAAGGGACAUUUCAAGAGAAUCAACGGGAUCAUAGCAAUCAUCAUAGCAACCAUCCUUCGGUAAGCACGAAGGGGAAUUAAACAAUGUAUGAGUUGAAGAGUUACUCUCAUUAGAAGGUGGGCAUGGGUGAUCAAUCCGCUCUUCCUCCUUUUGUUCUUCGCUCUCCUCAUCAUCUUUUUCAUCCAAUGAGCUCACAGUUUCAUCAAUUUCUUCUUCCAUAGCUUCCUGCAAAAUAUUAGUCUCUUCUUGGACAGUGGAGAAGACCUCAAUAUAUGGUUUAACAUAGGCAUUAGAAGCAUAAUUAUCAUAACAAUAUUCAAGUAUGGCAAAGUUUUCAGAUUUGUAGAGAGUAGCAUCAUACUUUUGAAUCAAAGAAGCAAUUUCAUAAGCACCCUUAAAAGCAACAAAUUCUUCAAUAUGUUGAACAUCAUAGUAAUUAUAAACACCUUUAGCAUAUGAAGAUACAAUCCCAUUAUCAAACUCACAUUGGUAGGGAAGGUGUUUCUUAGGGUUUUCAGAACAACAAGUAAUAUCAUAUAUUUCACAUAAAUUCCAAGCAUAGCAUUGCAAACGUUGAAUUUGAUCCCAUAAUAGUUUCCCUUUUUUAGAUAUAUGGUGUCGCACAUAACAUGCAUGCUCAUCUAAAGAUUUGCCCUCAACUAAGCUAGUGGGGGUUUCAGCACGAGCACAUAGGGAUCAAAGACGAUCCAAGUAAAAAGCUUCAGGAGUGCGAUAGAUUUUGAGUGGUUCUUCAACCAUUGGUGCAGUAGGUACAACUAACUUUUUUGGUAUUUUGCGUUUCCUAGAAAACAACUAAGAACAGAAAGUAAAAAUUACUUAGUGAUAAAGCAAACAAGCACACACAAGAAUAUUCUCCCCACGCUAUGAUUCCCCGGCAACGGUGCCAGAAAAAGGUCUUGAUAACCCACAAGUGUAGGGGAUCGCAACAGUUUUUGAUAAGUAAGAGUGUCGAACCCAAUGAGGAGCUAAAGGUAGAAUAAAUGUUCCCUCAAGUUCUAUCGACCACCGAUACAACUCUAUGGACGCUUGACGUUCGCUUUACCUAGAACAAGUAUGAAACUAGAAGUACUUUGUAGGUGUGAUAGGAUAGGUUUGCAAGAGCAUAAAGAACACGUAAAUAAAAAUUAGGGGCUGUUUAGAUAAAGAUGCAAGAAAUUAAAUAUAGUGAGUUUGGAAAAGUGGUGGUAGGAGUUGUGAAAUUGUCCCUAAGAAAUUGACUAUGUUACUAGACCGGUAAUCACUAUCGAAAUUCUAUUUGAGGGUACAGCGGGAUGCGGGAGAGUGGACCGCUGGAUAUAUGCACUUAUGAUUGGAACUCUAGCAAGCAUCCGCAACUACUAAAGAUUCAUUAAGGUAAAACCCAACCAUAGCAUUAAAGUAUCAAGUCCCCUUUAUCCCAUACGCAAUGAUCUACAUACUCGGGUUUGUGUUUCAGUCACUCACGCAACCCACUAUAAGUGAAUCAUGAACGCAUUGCAACACCCUACAGCGGGAAUCCCUCAUGCUUGUGCGACACGGAGGGCACCAUAGGACAUCACCAAUAAUAAAAUAUGCAACUCAAACCAAUCAUAGCAAUUCAUCAAUCACCGAUAGGACAAUGAAAAUCUACUCAGACAUCAUAGGAUGGCGACACAUCAUUGGAAAACAAUAUGAAGCAUAAAGCACCAUGUUCAAGUAGAGGGUACAGCGGGAUGCAGGAGAGUGGACCGCUGGAUAUAGAUGGGGGAAGGUGAUGGAGAUGUUGGUGAAGAUGGCGGAGGUGUUGGUGAAGAUCGCGGUGAUGAUGAUGGCCCCCGACAGCGCUCCGGCGCCACCGGAAGCAAGGGGGAGAGAGGGCCCCUUCUUCUUCUUCUUCCUUGACCUCCUCCCUAGAUGGGAGAAGGGUUUCCCCUCUGGUCCUUGGCUCCCAUGGCUUGGGAGGGGCGAGAGCCCCUCCGAGAUUGGAUCUAUCUCUCUGUUUUUGCGUCCUCUGAUUCUGCCCCUUCACGGUUUCCUUUAUAUCUGGAGAUCCGUAACUCCGAUUGAGGUGAAUCUUUCGAGAUUUUUCUUGUAAAAUUAGCUUUCUUGCGGCAAAAGAAGAGUGUCAACCGCCUUAUAGGUGGCCCACNNNNNNNNNNNNNNNNNNNNNNNNNNNNNNNNNNNNNNNNNNNNNNNNNNNNNNNNNNNNNNNNNNNNNNNNNNNNNNNNNNNNNNNNNNNNNNNNNNNNNNNNNNNNNNNNNNNNNNNNNNNNNNNNNNNNNNNNNNNNNNNNNNNNNNNNNNNNNNNNNNNNNNNNNNNNNNNNNNNNNNNNNNNNNNNNNNNNNNNNNNNNNNNNNNNNNNNNNNNNNNNNNNNNNNNNNNNNNNNNNNNNNNNNNNNNNNNNNNNNNNNNNNNNNNNNNNNNNNNNNNNNNNNNNNNNNNNNNNNNNNNNNNNNNNNNNUGGCCACCUCGGACACUGUUUCGCGUUGAUUCUUCCUCGAGAAAAUCCCAAAUAUUCCAAAAUAAUUCUCCGUCCGUUUUUAUCCUGUUUGGAUUCCGUUUGAUAUGUUUCCUACGAAACAUAAAACAUGCAACAGACAGGAACUGACACUGGGCACUGGAUCAAUAUGUUAGUCCCAAAAAUAGUAUAAAAAGUUGCCAAAAGUAUAUGAAAGUUGAAUAAUAUUGGCAUGGAACAAUAAAAAAUUAUAGAUACAACGGAGCCGUAUCAGGGUCAUCUUCACACAAUCCCAUGUAAUGAACAAGAAAGGGAUAAAGAGUUGGCUUACAAUUGCCACUUCACACAAGUACUUAAAUAAAUCAUACAUCAUUCAUAGUACACAAUAGUCCAACUACGGACAAAUCCAAAUGAAAAGAAGAUAACCCCAAAUGAUAGAUCCCCAAUUGUCCCAACUGGGCUGCACUACUGAUCAACAUGAAAUGAAACAUAACAACGACCAAGAUCUUCGUUGAGCUCCCAACUGAGCUCGGUUGCAUCACCAGCACUGGUAUCAUCGGCACCUGCAACUGUUGUGAUAGGAUCUGGUGAGUCACGAGGACUCAACAAUCUCAAAACCCGUGAGAUCAAGACUAUUUAAGCUUAUGGGUAGGAAGUGGGAAUGAGGUGGAGUUGCAGCAAACACUAAGCAAAUAUGGUGGCUAACAUACGCAAAUAAGAGCGAGAAGAGAAGCAACCCAACGGUCGAGAAGCUAGAAGUGAUCAAGAAGUGAUCCUGAAACUACUUACGCACAAUCAUAACAUAAAAACCGUGUUCACUUCUCGGACUCCGCUGAAAAGAGUCCAUCACGGCUACACACGCGGUUGAUGCAUUUUAGUUAAGUCAAGUGUCAAGUUCUCUACAACCAGAUAUUAACAAAUUCACUUCUGCCACAUAACCGCGAGCACGACUUUUAAAAGUUUAUACCCUGCAGGGGUGUCCCAACUUAGCCCAUCACAAGCUCUCACGAUCAGCAAAGGAUAUUCCUUCUCCCGGGAAAACCCGAUCAGCCUCGGAAUCCCGGUUACAAGACAUUUCGACAAUGGUAAAACAAGACCAGCAAGACCGCUCGACUGUGCCGACAAAUCCCAAUAGGAGCUGCACAUAUCUCGUUCUCAGGGCACACCGGAUGAACACUAUGUACAACUAAAACCAACCCUUAAGUUUCCCCGAGGUGGCGCUACAAGUGGCUCUAGUUCGGACCAACACUUAGAGAAGCACUAGCCCGGGGGGGGGGGGGUUAAAAUAAAGAUGACCCUCGGGGCUGCAGACCCCAAGGGAGGGUUAUAGGUUGUUAGGCAAAUGGAAAACCAAUGUUGGGCCUUGCUGGAGGAGUUUUAUUCAAGAGUGGAACAAAACACCAGGCAUAAGGCCGAGCCUUCCACCCUUUACCAAAUAUAUAGAUGCAUUAAUUAAAAUAAGAGAUAUUGUGAUAUCCCAACAUAACCAUGGUCCAAGAUGGAGCAAUCUUCAACUUCACCUGCAACUAGCAACGCUAUAAGAGGGGCUGAGCAAAAAUGGUAACAUAGCCAAACAACGGUUUGCUAGGAAGGGUGAAAAAGUUAGAGGCUGACGUGGCAAUAUGGGAGGCAUGGUAAACAAGUGAAAGGUAGCGCAACAUAGUGAUUGAACGAAGCAACUAGCAAGCAAAUAUAGAAAGUAUAUCGAGGGUAAUGGUCAUCUUGCCUAAGAUCCCGCAAGGAAAAAGAAUGAGUCCAUGAAGAAGACAAAUGGACGUAGUCGAACAAAUCCUCACAAAGGCAACAUUACCGGAACUAUCGAGGGGAAGUGCAACCGGAAAGAAGCAAACAACAUGGUAAACAACCAUUACAUAAACAUGGCAUGAUGCACAAGUAUGAUGCAUGUCCUGUUUAAAGAGGCAUGGCAUGGCAAAGUGCAACAAACAAUACUACACAUUAAGUGGAGCUCAAUAUGCAACGAGUUGCAUAUUGACGAAACACCACAUCAAUUAUUUAGUUCUCUCUCAGUUAUGUACCCAACAAUAUUAAAUGUCAUUAAACAUGGCAAGAUGUGAAACAUAGUAAAACUAUCUAGCUAGGCAAGUUUAGAUGAGGCCGGAAAUAACAAACAACAAUUCCGGAAAAUCCUCAUGUGCAUAUUUCGAAUUCGGUACUGUUCUGCCCUAAACCAUAUUUUAAUGUUGUUAAGCAGUAAAACAAAGUGCACCAUGUUAAACUAUGCAUUUUUCCACCCCAUUUACAUAUAAAGUUUAUUAAAAUUGGAGCUACGGUUAUUUAGUUAUGAAAUAAAUCAUUUUAGCAUGGCAUUUGAGCAAAUUUAAUCAAACAACAUUUUAAACAUUUCAAACAUGGAUGAAAGUUGCAUAUUAUUAAACUAGAUGAAAUUCUAAGCAUUUUACAUGUUUAAAUCAUUUUAAUCCAAUGCACCAUUUGUGAGUUAUUAAAUGCAUGAUCUAGAGGUACUUUUCUGCAAAUCUGCACUCUCUGGAUAAAUACUAAAAUCUCUGGAGAGGAAAAAAACAUAACGUGCUGAAUCAAGUUGGCCUAACAGGAGGAAAAACAGAGGAGGGGGCGCUGCUCACGUUGGGCCUUGAGGCCGAAUCUGGAGCUGGGCCAGGGGCGCUGGGAUGAGGCAGCCCACGCAGCAGGACGACGCGUCCACGACGCGGGCGAACGGGCGGUCAACGCGGGGCGGGGCGCUCGUCUUCGAAACAGAGGAAGCAGGGCCAGUGGACUUGGCAAAGGGCGGUGCGACGGACAACGACGAUGGACUAAGGCAAAGCAGGGGUCUCGGGAAUGGCGGGAAUUGAGCACGGAGGAGGCCAGGAGGCGCGGGGACGGCGGAUCCAGGCGACGGCGCGCCCGGCAAGAACUUGGCAACGAUGGUUCCUUGCUGCGGCAAGAGCAGAGAGAAAGAUGUGAGAGAGAGUGUUAGGAAAGGGAGAGAGACAGGGAAAGAGAGGAGCGGGAUGAGGCCGGUCUUGGUCGUGGUCGCCGGAGGGCACGGCCUGCGGUGUUGGCGAGGAGGCAGUCGGGAACGCCGGGGUGAGGUACGAGGCGACGAGGAGGAGGCAGGGCCUCGGGUGCUCGUGGACGAGGGACUUGUGGAGGUGGCUAUGGAGCUCAGUGAUCAACGCAGAGGAGGAGGUGCUUGGGAAGCACGGGAGCACGGCGAUGAGGGUCGGCGUGGAGUGGAUCGAGGGGGGCUGCUGGCAUCUGGAUCGAGGAGAAGCAGUGGAGAGCGAUGGUUGGGGAGGGAUGGAUCUCGAGGGGGAUUUGGUGAGUGGGUGGCGGCGGCUAAUCCAAGGAGGGGAUGGGACAAGAGGGCUAGGAUCUAGGGUUUUGAUUGAUUUAGUAAGUAGGUGGCCUAUAUAUAUACGAAAGGGGGAUGAUUUGGAUCUUGCAAUCGCGAUCGGGCGGUCCGUAAUAAAUAGGUAGGGAGUCCUAAUAAGAAAACCAAGAUAUUUUAGGGAUGUUAGGGGAUGAUUCGAAUCCAAUGGAGAUGACUGAGCGGGUCAGGUUCAGGGCAGGUUUCAGACAUGCGCAAGAGGGGGUCGGUGGUUGUGUAGAGAGGUUAGGUGGUCAGACAAGAGGGACUCUAAAAACCCGGUUGGUCUCGGAAUGGUCAAAGGAGGCAAGGGGAAUGCGGCAACUACGAAUAGGUGUGAGUUUUAUGAAAACAUGCAGAUGCAAUGCACAUGAUGCCAUGAGAUGAGAUGCAUGACAUGAACAAAAUGCAAAACAAAAGACAAAAACCCAACCACCGAGAAAAUAAUAUAUCACAUAGCCGAAAAUGGCAAGAGUUGGAGUUUCAAUUAUGGAAAGUUAUAUCCGGGGUGUUACAACACUCCACCACUACAAGAGGACCUCGUCCCGUGAUCUAGGAUGGCACCGGGAAGAAACGGAAGAGGAGGAGAAGAGGUAAAACUAAGUUUCUUCUUUGAUGAAUGAGUGAAACCAUGAACCUUGAGAGGUUGAGCAAUUUAAAAGAAAGAGUACAACAGAGAUGAACUAGAUUGCAAACAAUCCAUUAGAAAAGAGUAACAAGGAACAUUACGAGAACUUGAAGGUUGCAAAGACAUGAAUCAAGAGUUAAUGGACAAGAUAGAAUUCGAAACCACUCCAGUUAAAACAAGAUGAGAGAGGAAGAAUUCGGGCAGCACUCCGGUUGAACAUGGAAGGAAUAGAACAUGAACUUGAGAAGAUGGGAUGAUACUUGAUGAAAACAACAACACACUGCCUCCGGAACUAUUGAAAGAAUGGCACAAUGGCUAAGAAGGAUUUCAGACAGCACUCAGGUUGAAAAGAGAGGCAAAACUUGAUAAGAUGAAAGAAGUUGAAUGAGAACACAACACUUCGGUUAAAUGGAUAAGCAAGAAAAUAACAUGAUCUUGACAAAACAAGGUGAUGGGUGAAGAGAGAAACAUCACAAUGCCUCCGGAAGAAAUAAUAGAAGAUAGAUCAUUGGAAUAAAAGAAUGGAGAAGAAAAUGCCAACUUCUGCCACAAAUGAACUUGGAAAGCACCCUUCCAAGAAGGUUACAACGGGGUUGUUGGAAAAACCAACAAUGAAACGAAUAAGUUUGUAGUGGGCUUAUGGAAAACUUCUCAAAAUUUGAGGUUAAAUUCUGCCACUAACGAAUCAAUGAUAGGUUGAGAUCAACGAAGGGAUGAAAACUUGUUUCGCCGAGAGGAUAGGAGAAAACUUGGAUCAUUAAUAAGCACCAUAAAUAGCUACAUUCCUUAGGGAAGGCUGCAGGUGAGAUAUAACGCAAUAUAACUCCAACAAAAGAUUGAUUGGUUGAAAAGAUCUCUUGAACGAACAGAAAAUGAUGGAUUUAAAUAUGUCAGUCUUGAAAACUUGUGAAUCAUGAAACACGAAGGAAAAUUAUCAAGAAUGACAUAACACUGCCUCAAAAGAUAAGGUAGGAAGAAUUGCACUUCGGAUGCAAGAUGAAGAAUGCUUGAACUACUCAAAACAAAACAUGUGUUGGGCACCAUGUUUAUUUUAGAGUAUAGCUUGGCGGAUCUUAGCUUCGAGAGAAAUCUUGAAGAACAACUGAAGAAUGAAAAGAAUUCUUGACGAACCACGAUGUAGAGCCUCCGUGAAAAACUCCAGUAAUAAAAGGAUGAUAGAAAGAAAGAGAAGUUGAAAACACAAGGUGAAGCCUUGCGAUGAUUUAGAAGGAGCUUCACGACGAGAUAACUGAGAACUUGGAACUCCAAAAACAAAAGAUGAAGCAUCUCGAACCGAGAAUGUGAUAUGAUGAACAACUCCGAAAAUAAGAAAUUUAUCACUUGGAUGAAACAAGAAUAAUAAUUAUGUUAUGCGUAUCCUUCACCAAUUUAAAUUGAUGACAAGCAACGGAUUUAGCAUGCCACUUAUUCUCGUAGAAAGGAUUAAGAGAGAUAUAGCGUAAACUAGAGAAAAGUCUUCAACGAUCUACCGGUAGGAUUUAAACAACGAAUAAAUUAAUAUGAGAACAUAGGAAGAGGAAUCUUGAACAAACCACCAGUAGGAUUCAAAAAGAACGAAUUAAUUGAUAUGAUAACAAAGGAAGAGGAAUGUUGACCACCAUAAAAAUUGAAAAUGAAAGUAGCAAAGGCACAAUUCACGGGGAAGAAUUGGAAAACGAAUGAAGAUACUUGAGGGGAUUUAGAUACAUGAGAACGAAGAGAUCAUGAACUGAUUAGAGGGUAUUUGAACGAUGCACCGGUAAGAUUUGGAGAACGAUAGCUACACGCUAAGAAUGAAGAAUUAUGACAUGAUGGCCUUCGGAGGAAAUAAAUGGAAACAACUCAUGAAAUGCUCUGGAUGGGUGAAAAGAAUUCUCACAAUUGAAAACAAUUAUGAAAGGAUGGCAUCAAGCUUGAACUACACAUCUUUGGAAGAACGGGUAAGGAUUUAAGAGGAACUCUUUUUCGGUCUUCAAAGCUGAGAAUGACGAGGAGAAACACCACCCAAUUGUUGAGACACUCCGGAAGGAUUAAAAGAGGAAAGGUUGAGCCAAAGCUGAAAAGAAUUUGAAAGCGACCUUGGAGAAGGCAUGUGACUGAUGAAAAUUCAUUCUUACGUCAAACUUGGAAAUGAAUUUGAGAAUGGCUCUGGGAAAAUUAGAAGAGUCAGGUAAUUUCUUGGGAAAAGACCUGUGGGUUAGGGCCCACAGAAAAUAAACAUCGUUGAAGGAUUGCUUGAAAUAGAGAUUGCCCCGGUUGAAUUAAAUCGCUUGAAUGAGAGAAAACCUUGAAGUAACUCGAACGGAUUAAGAAUGGAAACAUGAUUCUUCUAAGAUAUUUUGAGCACUUCGGAUAUGAACUGGGAGAGGUGAAUAAAUAAGAGAGCCUUGGAUAAGAAAUUCACAUGGGAAGAGAUGUGACACAAAAGGAAGAGAUAUAAUCAACACCAAAGCUUGAAAUUAAUCCACCAGAGAAGAAAAGAGACAAAGAAUAAUAGACUUGAAGCUCUGUUAGUAUCUUCCUAAAAAACACCGGAUAAGAACAUUGAUUGAAAAGAGUGAAGAAACUUCACAUCAAUAAAAGGAUACUUGAUUAAGAAAUCUAGGUUCUUGAAGAAAAAAGUGUGGGAGGGCAGGAAACAAAGGCAACUUGGGACGGAUGGAAGAAACACUGUUGAGAAAACUUAGAAAUGAUCUUGCGGAUGGGAAAAAUGAUAGGAUCCACUUGAAGAGAAGCACGCCGGUUGGAAAAGAAUUAACAUGAUGACCUCGAUGAUCAAGAAGGAUUAGUAUUCACAUAGCAAUAUGAGAACACCGUUUGGGAAAGGUAUGGAUUCAACAUUUGACUUCGAAGCAACUCGAAUACCACAAAUAAAACAAAACUAAGGAUUUGGCUUGCAGAAUAAGCCGGGACAAAUACAUAUGAUAGAGAUUUACCCAAUCCCAUAUCAUGUAUCUGUCGGAAAGAUAUUCUAGGAGCUACUUGAAUUCCCACCUAUAAAACUCCCGAAACUUUCUGGUUAUGCAAUCUGGUGUUGGGGAUACAGGGGAAGCAAUAUAUAUCUGACCCAAAACUAACAAUCCCUACAUCCAGCUGUAUCCAUCCGUCAACACAUAACCAAGAAACUUUCAGAAAUCGUGUACCUCAACCUUGAAAAAGCAUCCGUUAUACUAGCUAUGGCAAUACUCCCGAACUCCCCAGUACUGGGUGGUGUCGAGGUUAUCUUACCACUUGCUGCAUAAAAGAGAUUUUCGAUGUCGGCGAAACUCAGGUAUUCUAGAACUGCAAUGAUAAAAUUGUGACGACAACACCUCGGAGCUCAACUCCCCGGGACACUGCCAUAACCCCUAAAUGUCAGGAGGCACCAAGAACAAUGUUCUCGUCAUAAGACUAUCGGAACGAUCCCAAGAUACCCGCGUGAUCCUAAAUUUUUUUAGUGAAAUUUGAGGAGAGGGAAGACAAAACAUCUACGUGAGGAGGCCUCACCAGAGCGACGAAGGGACUGAGGAGUAAAAAGAAUCCUACUCUCCGAUAUAUAUAAUCCAAGACUCAAAACAUUUUUGUUCUAGACUCAACAACGUCAACGAUUCGAUCAAGCAGGGGGCUCCUAAGUCGGGGAUGGCUCUGAUUACCAACUUGUAACAUCCACGAUGAGGCUAUAUCUCCCACAUGUCGAAGCACGACUUAGAGGCAUAACUGCAUUGUGGUUUUAUAGCAAGAAGGGUCAUCUUCACACAAUCCCAUGUAAUGAACAAGAAAGGGAUAAAGAGUUGGCUUAUAAUCGCCACUUCACACAAGUACUUAAAUAAAUCAUACAUCAUUCAGAGUACACACAUAGUCCGACUACGGACAAAUCCAAAUGAAAAGAAGAUAACCCCAAAUGCUAGAUCCCUGAUCAUCCCAGCUGGGCUGCACUACUGAUCAACAUGUAACAAAACAUAGCAAUGACCAAGAUCUUCGUUGAGCUCCCAACUAAGCUCGGUUGCAUCACCAGCACUGGUAUCAUCGACACCUGCAACUUUUGUGAUAGGAUCUGGUGAGUCACGAGGACUCAGCAAUCUCAAAACCCGCGAGAUCAAGAAUAUUUAAGCUUAUGGGUAGGAAGUGGGAAUGAGGUGGAGUUGCAGCAAGCACUAAGCAAAUAUGGUGGCUAACAUAUGCAAAUAAGAGCGAGAAGAGAAGCAAUGCAACGGUCGAGAAGCUAGAAGUGAUCAAGAAGUGAUCCUAAAACUACUUACGCACAAUCAUAACACAAAGACCGUGUUCACUUCCCGGGCUCCACUGAAAAUAUACCAUCAGGACUACACACACGGUUGAUGCAUUUUAGUUAAGUCAAGUGUCAAGUUCUCUACAACCGGAUAUUUACAAAUUCACAUCUACCACAUAACCGCGGGCACGGCUCUCGAAAGUUUAUACCCUGCAGGGGUGUCCCAACUUAGCCCAUCACAAUCUCUGACGAUCAGCGAAGGAUAUUCCUUCUCCCGGGAAGACCCGAUAAGCCUCGGAAUCCCGGUUACAAGACAUUUCAACAAUGGUAAAACAAGACCAGCAAGACCGCCCGACUGUGCCGACAAAUCCCGAUAGGAGCUGCACAUAUCUCGUUCUUAGGGCACACCGGAUGAACACUAUGUACAGCUAAAACCAACCCUCAAGUUUCCCCGAGGUGGUGCUGCAAGUGGCUCUAGUUCGGACCAACACUUAGAGAAGCACUGGCCCCGGGGGGGUUAAUAUAAAGAUGACCCUCGGGGCUGCAGACCCCAAGGGAGGGUUAUAGGUUGUUAGGCAAAUGGAAAACCAAUGUUGGGCCUUGCUGGAGGAGUUUUAUUCAAGGCGAACUGUCAAGGGGUUCCCAUGAACCCGACCGCGUGAGGAACGCAAAAUCAAGGAACAUAACACCGGUAUGACAGAAACUGAGGCGGCAAGAGUGGAACAAAAUAGCAGGCAUAAGGCCGAGCCUUCCACCCUUUACCAAAUAUAUAGAUGCAUUAAUUAAAAUAAGAGAUAUUGUGAUAUCCCAACAUAACCAUGGUCCAACACGGAGCAAUCUUCAACUUCACCUGCAACUAGCAACACUAUAAGAGGGGCUGAGCAAAAGCGGUAACAUAGCCAAACAACGAUUUGCUAGGAAGGGUGAAAAAGUUAGAGGCUGACAUGGCAAUACGGGAGGCAUGGUAAAGAAUUGAAAGGUAGCGCAACAUAGUGAUAGAACGAAGCAACUAGCAAGCAAAUAUAGAAGUGAUAUCGAGGGUAAUGGUCAUCUUGCCUGAGAUCCCGCAAGGAAGAAGAAUGAGUCCAUGAAGAAGACAAAUGGACAUAGUCGAACAAAUCGUCACAAACGCAACGUUACCGGAACUAUCAAGGGGAAGCACAACCGGAAAGAAGCAAACAACAUGGUAAACAACCAUCACAUAAACAUGGCAUGAUGCACAAGUAUGAUGCAUGUCCGGUUUAAAGAGGCAUGGCAUGGCAAUGCGCAACAAACAAUACUACACAUUAAGUGGAGCUCAAUAUGCAACCAGUUGCAUAUUGACGAAACACCACAUCAAUUAUUUAGUUCUCUCUAAGUUAUGUACCCAACAAUAUUAAAUGUUAUUAAACAUGGCAAGAGGUGAAACAUAGUAAAACUAUCUAGCUAGGAAAGUUUAAAUGAGGCCGGAAACAACAAACAACAAUUCUGGAAAAUCCUCAUGUGCAUAUUUCGAAUUCGGUACUGUUCUGCCCUAAACCAUAUUUUAAUGUUGUUAAGCAGUAAAACAAAGUGCACCAUGUUAAACUAUGCAUUUUUCCACCCCAUUAACAUAUAAAGUUUAUUAAAAUUUGAGCAACGGUUAUUUAGUUAUGAAAUAAAUCAUUUUAGCAUGGCAUUUGAGCAAAUUUAAUCAAACAACAUUUUAAACAUUUCAAACAUGGAUGAAAGUUGCAUAUUAUUAAACUAGAUAAAUUCUAAGCAUUUUACAUGUUUAAAUCAUUUUAAUCCGAUGCACCAUUUGUGAGGUAUUAAAUGCAUGACCUAGAGGUACUUUUCCACAAAUAUGCACUCUCUGGAUAAAUACUAAAAUUGCUGGACAGGAAAAAAACAUAACGGGCUGAAUCAAGUUGGCCUAACAGGAGGAAAAAAAUCAGAGGAGGGGGCGCUGCUCACAUUUGGCCUUGAGGCCGAAUCUGGAGCUGGGCCAGGGGCGCUGGGAUGAGGUAGCCCACGCAGCAGGACGAUGCGUCCACGGCGCGGGCGAGCGGGCGGUCAACGUGGGGUGGGGCGCUCGUCUUUGAUACAGAGGAAGCAGGGCCAGUGUACUUGGUGAAGGGCAGCGCAACGGACAACGGCAGCGGACCAAGGCGAAGCAGAGGUCUCGUGAAUGGUCGGAAUCGAGCGCGGAGGAGGCCAGGAGGCGCGGGGACGGCGGAUCCAGGCGAUGGCGCGCCCGACAAGAACUUGGCGAUGACGGUUCCUUGCUGCGGCAAGAGCAGAGAGAAAGAUGUGAGAGAGAGUGUUAGGGAAGGGAGAGAGACAGGGAAAGAGAGGAGCGGGAUGAGGCCAGUCUUGGUCGUGGUCGCCAGAGGGCGUGGCCUGCGGUGUUGGCGAGGAGGCAGUCGGGAACACCGGGGUGAGGUACGAGGCGACGAGGAGGAGGCAGGGCCUUGGGUGCUCGCGGACGAGGGACUUGUGGAGGUGGCUAUGGAGCACAGUUAUCGACGCAGAGGAGGAGGCGCUCGGGAAGCACGGGAGCACGGCGAUGAGGGUCAGCGUGGAGUGGAUCGAGGGGGGCUACUGGCAUCUGGAUCGAGGAGAAGCAGUGGAGAGCGAUGGUUGGGGAGGGAUGGAUCCCGAGGGGGAUUUGGUGAGUGGGUGGCGGCGGCUGAUCCGAGGAGGAGAUGGGACAAGAGGGCUAGGAUCUAGGGUUUGGACUGAUUUAGUAAGUAGGUGGCCUAUACAUAUACGAAAGGGGGAUGAUUUGGAUCCUUCGAUCGUGAUCGGGCGGUCCGGAAUAAAUAGGUAGGGAGUCCAAAUAAGAAAAUGAAGAUAUUUUAGGGAUGUUAGGGGAUGAUUCGAAUCCAAUAGAGAUGACUGAGCGGGUCAGGUUCAGGGCAGGUUUUAGACAUGCGCAAGAGGGGGUCGGUGGUUGUGCAGAGAGGUUAGGUGGUCAGACAAGAGGGACUCUAAAAACCUGGUUGGUCUCGGAACGGUCAAAGGAGGCAAGGGGAAUGCGGCAACUACGAACGGGUGCGAGUUUUAUGAAAACAUGCGGAUGCAAUGCACAUGAUGCCAUGAGAUGAGAUGCAUGACAUGAAUAAAAUGCAAAACGAAAGGCAAAAACCCAACCACGGAGAAAAUAAUAUAUCACAUAGCCGAAAAUGGCAAGAGUUGGAGUUUCAAUUAUGGAAAGUUACAUCCGGAGUGUUACACCUGGACUCUGCAAAACUUUCUUUUGCACUUUCCAAAAACCUUGUGGGCUUUCCCCUUUGGCCCAAAUAAAGUGUUCUCGUACCCAACCAUUUCGCGAAACAUCAGGAACCCCUUCCGGAGAGCAAACACUAUUAUCCCAUAUAUCAAUCUUUAUCUCCGGACCAUUCCGGAGUUCCUCGUCAUGUCCGUGAUCAUAUCCGGGACUCCGAACAAGAUUCGGUCACCAACAUACAUAACUCAUAUAAUACUAUAUCAUCAAUAAACGUUAAGCGUGAGGAGCCUAUGGGUUCGAGAACUAUGUAUACAUGACCGAGACACCUCUCUGGUCAAUAACCAAUAGCGGAACCUGGAUGCCCAUAUUGGCUCCUACAUAUUCUACGAAGAUCUUUAUCAGUCGAACCGCAUAACAACAUACGUUGUUCCCUUUGUCAUCGGUAUGUUACUUGCCCGAGAUUCGAUCAUCGGUAUCUCAAUACCUAGUUCAAUCUCGUUACCGACAAGUCUCUUUACUCGUUCCGUAAUACAUCAUCCCGCAACUAACUCAUUAGUCACAUUUCUUGCAAGGCUUAUAGUGAUGUGCAUUACCGAGAGGGCCCAAAGAUACCUCUCCGACAAUCGAAGUGACAAAUCCUAAUCUUGAUCUAUGCCAACUCAACAAGUACCAUCGGAUACACCUAUAGAGCACCUUUAUAAUCACCUAGUUACGUUGUGACGUUUGGUAGCACACAAAGUGUUCCUCCGGUAUUCAGGAGUUGCAUAAUCUCAUAGUCAUAGGGACAUGUAUAAGUCAUGAAGAAAGAAAUAGCAACAUACUAAAUGAUUAAGUGCUAAUCUAACAGAAUGGGUCAAGUCAAUCACAUCAUUCUCUAAUGAUGUAAUCCCGUUAAUCAAAUGACAUCUCAUGUCUACGGCUAGGAAAUUAACCAUCUUUGAUUCAACGGGCUAGUCAAGUAGAGGCAUACUAGUGACAUUCUAUUUGUCUAUAUAUUCACAGAUGUUCUAAGUUUCCGGUUAAUACAGUUCUAGCUUGAAUAAUAAACAUUCAUCAUGAUAUAAGGAAAUAUAAACAACAACUUUAUUAUUGCCUCUAGGGCAUAUUUCCUUCACCUAUAGGGCAAGGAGGAAGGCUGUUGGUGUGGUGCAGGGUGACCACAAGUAGCAGUACUUGAGGCUAAGGGAUUACCUUCAAGCUGUUCUUGAUACAAACUCUGGGAGCAGGUGUAUUGUAACAACAUUUGUUGACCCAGAAAACCCUGCACCCACUCCUAGAUUCAAGUACAUGUUCUACUGUUUGACAGCUUCAAAGGAAGGGUUUCUUAAUGGUUGUAGACCAUUUAUAGGUAAAUAUUUCCUAAUUGUGUUGUACAUAUUUGUGUGUCAAUUUUCUUCUAUAGCUAAUGUGUGACUCCAUCCAGGGCUUGAUGGAUGUUUCAUCAAGUUAACCACUGGACAACAAAUUCUUGCUGCCAUAGGAAGGGAUGGCAACCACAACAUCUACCCUAUAGCUUUUGGUGUGGUUGACAAGGAAGAUGGAGACAGUUGGACUUGGUUUUUAACUCAGUUGAGAUGUUGCAUUGGUAGUGGCAACAAAUUUGGAACAUACACAAUAAUAUCUGACAUGUAAAAGGUUAGAAACUAAAUCAUUGAUCAUAGUUGCUAUAGUAAUUCAUUGAAUUAUGUGAGUGUGUUCAUAUGUAGAUCUAUUUUGUGAAUGUAAAGGGUUUACUUAAGGCAAUAAAUGAAGUGUUCCCUGAUUCACCUCAAAGAUUCUGUCUUAGGCACAUAUAUGCCAACUUCCAAUCAGCUGGUUACAGAAGCAAAGAACUACAGAAGUGUGUUGACAAGGCUAGCUACUCUUAUACCAGACAUGGGCAUGAAUUAGGGACGGCAGAGCGGAAAGCACAGUGUGAGGAUGCUUGGAAAUGGCUUAAAAAUAUAUAAGUCUCUGCUUGGGCUAGGUAUGCUGUGGACCAUACUUGCAAAACAGAUCUAGUUGUGAACAACCUUAGUGAAGUCUUCAACAAGAUGAUACUUGAUGUUAGAUCCAAACCAAUAAGGACAAUGUUUGAAGGGAUCAGGACAAAGCAGAUGAUCAAGAGGCAACAGACUAGGGAGAAGUUACAGACUUGCAGGUGGACAAUCACACCAAAUUACUCAGAGAUUCUAGAGGAGAAUAAAAAAUAUGCCAAGUACUGCCAGGCUAACAGAGCUGGUGAAAUAAUUUGGCAAGUAACAAGCAAAGAAAAUCAAUAUUGUGUGGACAUAGCAACCUGCACAUGUGACUGCAAGAGACGGAACAUGACAGGUGUACCUUGCAGUCAUGGCAUAUCUGCAAUGACAAAGCAAAAGCUGCAUCUUGAGGAUUAUGUGUCUGAAUUCUUCAAGAAGCCAUUGUACAUGGAGACAUGGAAAGCAAUUAUUUACCCUGUCCCUGGUCCAGAUUGCUGGCCUAAUAUAAACACUCAAGACAUUCAUCCUCCUGCGUUUAAAGAAAAGGCAGGCAAAAAGCAGACAACAAGGAGGAAGGGAGAGUUUGAGGUUCUAGCUCCAAGAGACACAAGUAGGAUGGGCACUAUCACAUGUGGAAACUGUGGUUUGGAAGGACACAGGUAUUCAACAUGCAACAAGACUCUGAAGCCUAGUCUUCAGAUGAGGAAAAACAAACACGAGGUAAUUAUCAAGCUUGGGAAAAAUCUCAGACACUUCUGAAUGAGUACACUUUUAGAAAUAAAAGUUAUGUUUGACAUGCAUGAAAACAUGGCAGUUUACUCUGAUAUACCUACUGCAAGAACCACAUCAGUCCCUGUUACAAGAGGUAGAAGAGGAGCACAAGCAUCAUGUAGGCCUACUACAUCUCAACCAGGUCCUUCUACUUCUGCACCAGGCCCUACACCAAGAGCUAAAAUAGGUAGGACGGCAGGUGGAGGGAGGACUCAUGGAUUCACUGCACCAAGAGCUUCAACCACUUCAGAUAUUCAAGAGGAAGAGGAACGCAAGCUCAAAAUUGGCAGGCUACUUCUACUGCAGUGGUAACUACUGAAACCUGUCAGCACUGUUGUUGGUUUUAUGUGCACUUUCUAGAUUUGUUGUGCACUUUUUGAAUUUGUUGUGAACUUUUGUGAACCUGUCGUGCACUUUUCUGAACCUGUUGUGCACUAUCUGAACCUGUCGUUGAAAGUGCAACUAUCCCUAGGUGGUUUUGGUAAUUCCUAACAACAUAUAGCUCAUUGAGCUAACAUCUUUCCAAGACAAACAUUUCAGGAAAAUCUCAAUGAAUGGCAUGGCAUAGAUGAGGAUAAAAGGAUUGGCUCAAGCUCAAAAGCUCAAGACUCUACAUUUUACAUUUUAGUGGUCCAAGAUCACAUUGAGUCUAUAGGAAAAGACAAUACUAUGAAGGAGGGAUGAGGUGUUGCUUGAUGAAUUAUUGCUUCAAGUGCUUAGUGAUAUGCUCCAAAAACCCUCAACUACUUUCUCAUAUCCACAUAUGACCUAAACCUAUAGUCAAACUCACCCCCACCGAUUCUUUCUAUCCGGCGCCACUGAGUUCAGAUGUCAUAGCCACUGCCACAAACCCUAGGCAAAUCGGUCUCACCGAUUGGGAUCUCGGUCCACCGAGAUGGGAUUGUAAUCUCUUUUUUUCCCUUCGUAACGUUUCGGUCUAACCGAAGUGAGCGAUCGGUCCCACCGAGAUUGCAAUGUAAACUCUCUGUUUCCUUUUCAUAACAUUUUGGUCAAACCGAAAAGAGCGAAUCGGUCCCACCGAAUUUACCUGACCAACUCUCUGGUUUGCUUAUUACUAAAAUCGGUCUCACCGAGUUGUGUAAUCGGUCUCUCCGAGAUUACAUUAUUCCCUAACCCUAACCACAUCGGUCCUACCGAGUUGCAUGUCGGUCCCACGGAAAACCCUAACGGUCACUAGGUUUACUAAAUCGGUCUGACCGAGUUUGUUGAUUCGGUCCCACCGAGAUUGGUAAAUUGUGUGUAACGGUUAGAUUUUGUGUGGAGGCUAUAUAUACCCCUCCAACUCCUCUUCAUUCAUGGAGAGAGCCAUCAGAACAAACUUACACUUCCAACUUACCAUUUCUGAGAGAGAACCACCUACUCAUGUGUUGAGGCCAAGAUAUUCCAUUCGUACCAUAUGAAUCUUGAUCUCUAGCCUUCCCCAAGUUUCUUUCCACUCAAAUCUUCUUUCCACCAGAUCCAAAUCUUGUGAGAGCGAGUUGAGUGUUGGGGAGACUAUCAUUUGAAGCACAAGAGCAAGGAGUUCAUCAUCAACACACCAUUUGUUACUUCUUGGAGAGUGGUGUCUCCUAGAUUGGCUAGGUGUCACUUGGGAGCCUCCGACAAGAUUGUGGAGUUGAACCAAGGAGUUUGUAAGGGCAAGGAGAUCGCCUACUUCGUGAAGAUCUACCGCUAGUGAGGCAAGUCCUUCGUGGGCGACGGCCAUGGUGGGAUAGACAAGGUUGCUUCUUCGUGGACCCUUCAUCGGUGGAGCCCUCCAUGGACUCGCGCAACCGUUACCCUUCGUGGGUUGAAGUCUCCAUCAACAUGGAUGUACGAUAGCACCACCUAGCGGAACCACGGCUCAAAAAUCACCGUGUCUCCAAAUUGCAUUUGAAAUCUCCAAACCCUUCCCUUUACAUUCUUGCAAGUUGCAUGCUUUACUUUCCGCUGCUCAUAUACUCUUUGCAUGCUUGCUUGAAUUGUGUGAAUAUUGCUUGACUUGUGCUAAGAUAGCUAAAAUCUGCCAAAGACUAAAAUUGGGAAAAGGUUAAGUUUUUAAUUGGUCAAGUAGUCUAAUCACCCCCCUCUAGACAUACUUCCGAUCCUACAAGUGGUAUCAGAGCUUUGGUCUCCAUUUGCUUUGAUUUCCAUAGCUUUUGGUGGUCAUAGCCUUGGUUUCACAACCUAGGAGAGAGUAUGGCGUCUAGCGAGGGAAAUUAUCACCGUAGAGGUCCUUACUCCUUACUUUGAUGGUACUAAUUUUGCAUGUUGGAAGCAUAAGAUGAAAUUGCAUAUUCUCGGACAUAACCCCGCCAUUUGGGCUAUUGUGUGUAUUGGCUUGCAAGGUGAAUUCUUUGAUGGGAGGGAACCAAACCAUGAAGCUAGCACGGAAGAAUUGAAGAUGCUGCAAUACAACGCUCAAGCUUGUGAUAUCCUCUUCAACGGAUUGUGCCCCGAAGAAUUCAACAAAAUCAGCCGUCUUGAGAAUGCAAAGGAAAUUUGAGAUACUUUGAUUAAUAUGCAUGAAGGAACUGACUCCGUCAAGGAAUCCAACUUGGAUGUGCUCCAAAGUCAACUUGACAAGUUCAAAAUGAAGGAUGGUGAAGGUGUCGCUGAAAUGUACUCUAGGCUUGCUCUUAUCACAAAUGAGAUUGCGGGCUUAGGAAGUGAAGAGAUGACGGACAAAUUCAUCAUCAAGAAGAUCCUAAGAGCAUUGGAUGGAAAAUAUGAUACCGUGUGCACAUUGAUCCAAAUGAUGCCCAAUUACAAGAAUCUCAAGCCAACGGAGGUCAUUGGAAGGAUUGUUGCUCAUGAGAUGUCACUCAAGGAUAAGGAGGAACUUCACAACAAGUCAAGUGGUGCUAACAAAGCCUCAUGUGAAGCUCCUACAUCAUCAAGUGAGAAACAAACCUUCAAUGAAGAAUUGAGCUUACUGUGAAGAAAUUCAACAAAUUCUACAAGAGUAGAAGCAAAGAGAGAAGCUCCAAGUCAAGGUCCUACAAUGACAAAAGAUCUUCCAGUCGAGAGCGCAAUUGCUACAAUUGUGGGAGACCCGGACACUACUCCAAUGAGUGUACGACUGCCUACAAAAGAAGAGAAGAUUCUCCCAAGAGAAGAAUUAGAAGAGAAGAAUCACCGCCAAGAGAGAGAAGGAGUAGAGAUGAUCGUUAUGAACGAAGAACAUCCUGGAGAAGCAAGGAUUCGGAAAGGAAGGAUAGGUCACCAAAGAGCUACACAAAACGAAGACAUCAAGCUCAUGUUGGUGAAUGGGUAUCCGGUUUCGACUCUGAACAUCACUCCGAGAGAAGCUAUCACUUUGACUCCGAACAUAAUCAAGAUGAAGGUGUUGCCGGUCUAGCAUUUGUCUCAACCAACUCCUACGACAUAUUUGAUUCACCAAAUGAAGGAAUUGGAAGAUGCUUCAUGGCUAAAGGCCCAAAGGUAACACACCCCGAGUAUGUUGAUUUCAAUAGUGAUGAAGAUGACUUGUUAGGUGAUGAUGAUUUACUUAUUGACAACUCUAGUGAUGAAUACUAUGAUGAAACGUCAAUUAAUCAUGCUAAUCAAGAUAAAACGAAUGACAAUGAUAAGGAGAAAAUUGAGCUCCUAACUAAAGAACUAAACACUCUUAAGUUACCUCAUGAAACUAUCUUGGAAGAUCAUCAAGAACUUUUGAGGACUCAUGAGAAGUUACGCUUUGAAAAGCUCAAUCUUGAGCAAGAGCAUGAGUUCUUAAAGGCAAUCAAUGAUGAUCUUUGUAAGAAAAGUUCUUCUUACAUUGCCAAGCGUUUACUCUUAUCUACUUACAUGACUCAAGUCAAGUCUAGUAACAAAAACAAGACGGAUUCUUCCUCUAGUAGUAACAAUAAUCAUGCUAAAUCCAAUAUUGUUGCUUCUAGUAGUUCUCUUGAUUCCACUAAUGAUUCUCUUAGCCAAGUUACACUUGAGCAAUAAAAUAGCUUAUUGAAGGGAAUCAUAGAGAAAGGUGUUUACAAGAGCCUUGCCGGGAGUAAGAAAUUCGAGGAAAUUGUACGCAAGCAAGGAAGUCACCGGAAGAAUCAAGGUGUUGGUUUUGAACGAAAGUUCAAUGCCAAUGGACACUACAAGAAUCAUGUUAAUACGUGACGAUAUAAAUCCGUCAUGGACCAGUGUUAAACCGUCAAGGAAGGGCAGGCAUGACGAAUUUGAAAUCCGUCAUGUAUAUCGUGUCAUAAUUUGACCAUAAUGAUAUCCUUGACGGAUGUGUGAAACCGUCACGGAUUCAUGACAGUUUUUGUCCGUCAUGGAUGGCACUUAACUUACAUGCUCAUAACGGCGUUAAGUUGUCCGCCGUGUCAUCAUUUGACGUGGAUCUGAUGUGGCAGCCCAUGAACUAAGCGACCCAAUUAAUAUUCCGGCCCAUCAUUUUUCAUCUCAAUGCAAGACCUACCAACCAUGUAGUAGUCGGCCUAAUUGGAAUUUCAGCCCAUUAAAUUUCAGAUCGGUGCAAGGCAAACAAUUUUUAGCCCUAUAAGCCAGACCAUCUCACAUUUCUCUUGGUCCAUGAUUUUUUUUAUUUUAAGCCAAUAAUUAUUUAUAGAAAAUACAUGGUAUGUAAUUAAAGAAAAGGAAAUCACCAAAAAAUAACAAUUUGUGCAAAAGGAAAAACACCACAAAAACAUAAAUUACAGACAUUUCUAGAUGAUACCAUGUAGAGGAGCAAAAACACAAGAAACUUCAAUCUAUAAACAAGUGCUAGAGAACACCCCAUGCUGCUUGGCAGCCACUGCCGCCCAGCGCUCAACAGACGACAACCGGGGGUAAUUCACAUGCCUUCCUGGACACAGAUCCAGCCAUCCCCACCAACAUCAUCGAAGGAAGCAACCAUAUCACCUCAACCCAUGCUCCUAAGGACCCGCGGGACGUUGCCUGCACAUAGACAACCCGUAAGACUGACUCAAAAAAUGAAAAGUAUGGGUUUAAGCAUGUGUUUUCAUCCAUACACAAAACUAUACCAAAGGUAAAGUGAACCGUGCAUGUCAACUUCAAAUAAUGGUAUUUUUACUAUGACGCCAAUGCAGCACAAGCUAGCAACCAACAACGAUUUCAGGAUAACAUAAAAUCACAUUUGAAAUAUCAAACAGGAAAAGAAACAGAAGCAUGGAAAUUGAUGAUAAAGAUCCUGGUACAUAUAUUCUUUCCAUUUCUUAAUUUCACAAUGCACACAUACAGUUGCAAUAAAAAGUAUUAUGAGAUCUGAGAUGUUCAUGAAAACAACACAAAAUGAUAAAAUUGGACCAGAUUAAGAGCAUAGUGAAAUCCAAUGAUGGACAAAAAAAGCCUAAUAGUGAGUUCCCUAUUGAGUUGAGAUGGUUACGUAGAAACAAAUCAUGUCGCUGGUGGCCAGAUCAAACAUUUACGGAUAAGGGGAAAGUGGUAGCUUUGGUGCAGCUACUGUACCUUGGAUGCGUAGCAUUGGAUGGGGAUCACGAGCACGCAGCCGCACCUGUACCCAGUUCCCUAGGACCUUGAGAACCUGUACCUUUGAUGUGUAGCAUUGGAUACAGAAUCAAGGAGGUGUGAGAUUGCUGCGAGGGAAAGAUCAUCCUGGCUGCAACCACAGCAAGCAACAGCAGCCUCACUCCGCCAACGGUUAUUUCUUUUCAGAUGAAUGUGGAGAUUUGGUGAUGUUUAAACAAAAGAGCUUCCCUAUGAAUAUUUCUUUUCAAAGUUGUAACGGGGGAUGAUUCUAUGUGAGAGAUAAGUAGCUAACAGCAUAUACUUGGAAGGGAUGAUAAACGUACUGAAUUUAGGAUACAGUGCCAUCUUUUACUCUCAAGUAAUGAUAGCAAAUGUUGUUUGCAGAUUUGUUUCUACAGAAUGUUGUGUGGAUAUUCUUAUGGGACAAUUGCAUUUUUACCCCUAGUUGGUUCCUACCCACGGGUUUUGCCCUUACUUUUCGAGCUUGCUUAGUUUUGCCCUUACUUUUUCCAUCGAGGUCCCUCGAAUGCCCCUUGACCGUUUAACCAAAACUUUGAAAAAUCAUAACUAAUUCAUACGAACUUAGAAAAAUGCAAAUAAGAUAUCAAACUGUUCAGAUAAACAUUACCUUUAUGGGCAUAUCAUUUGCAUUCCGGACAAAAGCAUCGUUUAAACUACCCAAGGUAAUUAAUGUUAUUAACAUUAUUAAAAAUAAAUAGGUAUAAACAAUAUUUUUUUCAUGAAUAAAAAUUACAUGCAAAUGUAGGUGAUGUUUUCUGAACAUCCUGAUAACUUAUAUGCAUUUUUUGAGUUUGUAUCAACUUGUUAUGAAUGUUCUAACGACUUUUACCAUUAUUUGGAAACUUCAUAACAAGUUGAUACGAACUCAGGAAAAUGCAAAUAAGGUAUCAGAAUGUUCAGAAAACAUCACCUACAUUUGCAUAUAAUUUUUAUUCAUGAUUUUUUUUUAUACCUAUUUAUUUUUAAUAAUGUUAAUAACAUUAAUUACCUCGGGUAGUUUAAACAAUGAUUUUGUCCUCAAUGCAAAUGAUAUGCCCAUAAAGGUAAUCUUUAUAUGAACAUUUUGAUAUCUUAUUUGCAUUUUUCUGAGUUCAUAUGAAUUAGUUAUGAAUUUUCAAAGUUUUUGUCAAACGGUCAAAGGGCAUUCGAGGGACCUCGAUGGAAAAAGUAAGGGCAAAACCGAGCAAGCUCGAAAAGUAAGGGCAAAACCCGUGGGUAGGAACCAACUAGGGGUAAAAAUGCAAUUGUCCCUAUUCUUAUUGCUGCAGAUGAAUCCUAUAUAUUAUUUUACAUAUACUCUCUAAGUUACAGUAGUUCUGGUGCAGUGUGCAGGUUUUGUUAGAAGAUGCCACGUGCAAAUUCUCAUCUCUGUAGGUGAUUCUCAAUAAUUAUAACAAAGAAAGGUUAGUAAGAGUUUAUCUCCAUCUCCAAUUUAUCUAUUGGAUUUUAAUUCUAAUCUUUUCCUAGGUGGCAAUCAUGUUAACAUAUUACCUGGAGGUCGUCAAUUUUCUACUUCCAUAAUUUUGUCCUUGCGUGCAUUUUUCGGAGACACAGGGAAAGAUUAGCAUGGCUCCAACCAUGGCAAGGCACCCAGCAUGCAUGUCCCUUACAAGUGGCAGCACCUUUACUAACAAGUAUGAAAUUGAUACCCAGCGGCAAGCAUUGCUCAUCCCUGCCCAACAGAAUUAACUUUUAAAUGGAUAACAGUGUUUAUUUCUUUCCACAUGAUUGUGGAGAUAUGAAUUUAGGAAAAUGAUAGAAUUACAUGUGAAAGCUAACAGAUUAUCCUUUGAGGCAAUGCUUAAGGUCCUGAAUUUAGGAUACGGUGCAUCACAUAUUAUCAAAGUUUUGGAUAGCAUUCUGUCUCAGCGCUAUAGCAGCACUAUACUAUUCAGAGGGGCAUCAUGCUAAGCCACUUAGCGCAAAUAUAGCACGCUAUUGCUUCUGCCGCUAUCUGCCGUAGCCCUCUAUUUAAAACUUUGCAUGUUAUAUCAGGUAAUAGUAGUUGAUGUUGUGUGCAGAUUUCUCUUCUAAAUGCAGUCUGUACACAUUUCUUGCACCUGUCAAAUGAGUGAUGAAUGAAUUAUUUUUGCAGCACAACAAGCAAACACUCCAUUCACAAGAGAAGAAAGUCCGAUUUUACACAAGCAAUGGUUAAAGGUUGAAUGUUCAGUGGCACACAUAAUAUAACAGUAAAAAAGAUGCCAAUUGUGGCAUCAGAUUGGGAGCAAGAUUUUUUUCAUGCUGUGGGCAUGGAGAACUCUAUAUAAAUUGAACCAAGCCAAUGAAUCAAUAUUCCCUAAGCAGAACCAACUGAAAACCAUGGUAAAAAAAGAGUUGAAAGUAACACAGAACAUAGGGCCUGGACCAUCCAUCCAUCUCUCUCUCUCUCUCUCUCUCUCUCUCUCUGGAAGCAACCAUCCAUGCAUGUACAAAGUAAACUGGAACCAAAUCCAAGCUGCUCCAUGGAUAUGAUAGGAUCAGAUUGGAGCAAAGGAAACUAGUUUGCUAGCUAGGCAGGGCGGAGGUAAACUAAAACGCUGCAAAUAGGAAGGAAGGGUCGUGGUCUUACCACCGCGGUGGUGCAGGGGCGCUGGAUAUGGCUGGCCAGGCCGGAUCUGAAGAAAUAGUGGGAGAAGCGAGACCUUACUUGCUCCAUUGCGACGUCCCUGCAUCUAUUGAGCUGUAGCUGCGUGGGGAAGGAAAUCAGGGAAGGAGAUCAAAUCAAACCGAAUAGAUAAGAUGGGUAAUGGCUGACCUUGAGGCGCAGCCAUGUGUGUGCUCAUGCAGCUCUUAUGGCCUCCAUCGAUGGACGGUCAAUCUCCGUCAUCGGAUCCUUGACGAAGCCCUCUUCUCGGUUGUGGGAGGAAGCCGGAUAGGGAGGGAGAGGACGCUGGUUGUGUCCCUGGCAGAUCUGACCGCCGCCCGACCCGCAUUAAUGGCACCGGCAGCGCAUGCACUAGGUUCGCUCUCAGGGGCAUCCACGCCUCCGGGAACGAGGCUACCGUCGCGGCGUUUUCGGGAAGCAAAGGGGCAGAUGGACGUGGUUGGGGAGGUGGCGGCGGCCGUGGUUGGGUAGGUGGCGGCGGCCGCGGAUGGCGAGGGUGGGGGAUCUGGAAGAUGGGGAUAGUGAGAUCUACAGGGAGUCGGGGAGGAUGGAGUUGAUUGCUUGCCGUUGGAUCACACAAGAGGAGACGGUCUGGAUUUGCGAUCCGUGGGAUUGUUAGCUCAACCAAUCAGAACGCGAGUUUUCCCUCAUGCUGGAUUGCCACAUCAGCACCAUCCAUCCAUGACGGUCUAAAUGUUGUAUAAGAAUAAAAAAUAAAUGCCCAGUUAGUUGACCCAUGACGGUUUCUGUGACAGCCUCUCUUUAUCUGUCAUAAUGGGGCUACCGGUUUAGGGGGCCAUCGUUAAGUUGCUGAUAUAUGACGGAUUUUGUGACGAACCUAAUAAACUCCGUCAUAAUUUGUGACAGUUUUCGAGAACGUCACCAGAAAACUGUCAUGGAUUAACAGGUUUUUUGUAGUGGGAGUUGAGUGGGAAGAAGAUCAAUACCCCAAGACGAAGUUUGUUCCUCAACAAGAGAAGUAUGAUCCUACUUCCUUCAAGGGGACACAAGCUCAAGAUGAUCUUCCACCACAAGACCACAAGAAAAAAGGCAAUGACAAGCUUCAAUAGGAGAUUGAUGCAUUUGAAGAAGCUCCUAAGGCCUUGGUCAAGUGGGUUCCCAAGACUACAUCAAGUUCUACUUCAUCAAGUACGACUACAACUCCAUGGAUUCCCAUCAAGAUGAUGUGGAUCCCGAAGAAGAAGAACUAGAGAGUUCUUGACGGUGACUCCACCAACAUACUUCGCCCAUAUCUUUUUGGCAACAACAAGUGCAAUCAACUUCCACAUCUUGCACUAGUUCAAGGAGUCACAAACCCUCAUGUUGGUAAGGCAAGGGACAAGGUAACCUAAUGCUUUCAUGGACAUCAUCUUGUGUGUGCAUCACUCUAUGUCUAUGGAUAUACUUGUUUGUUCCUUGUGGGACUAACCCAUGUAGGUAUUGAAAGUGCAACUCACUCGAAAGGAUUGCUCCAAAUGAUCUUCAUCAACAUUGAGCAUCCACAUCUUCAACACCUACAUGAAGUCAUCAUCGACAAAACCCAAGGUUAGUUCAUCUCGCUUAGGGGGGAUCUCACAUCUAGGGGGAGCUUAACUCUAAGAAAUGAGUCGAAGCAACUCUAAUGAUGUGAACACAUCAAUGCAUUAUGUAAAAGUGGUAACCCCACUUGAGCUUAAACGAUGAGUAUGACCUAUGAUCAAAUGUUCUCAUUUGGCUCCUAAGUCAAUAUACUCAUAUAUAGAUGACCUAGUCAUCGCCAAUUGCUUGAUAGAUGCUAGAAUUGGUUGUGCAUGCUUUGCCACAUAUUUCAUUUGCCAUUUUACUGUGUGAGCAUGUUGGUUGCAUAUUUAACUCAUUCAAGGACAUCCACUUGUUGCUUUGAUUGAUUGGCUUCUUUUUCUUUUGCCAAGUGGAUGAACAAGAAUCCCUAAGAACCUUCUCUAGCUAUCUAUGUUUUUCUUGUCUCAAACUCUAUUCAUGCCACAUCACAAAAUUUGAUCAAGUCAGAUUCGAACCACUCUGUGUGAGGAGCACUCGGAGUCCCCGAUUUUUCAUAGACUUAAACUUACAAAACUUGUUUGUGCGUUUCGGUCUGACUGAUUCUUCCAUUUCGGUCAUACCGAGAUCACUAAGUCGAUCUAGGUUUUCAAUCUCGAUGCAACCGAUUUGAACUUUUCGGUCUCACCGAGUUGCUGUAACUGUCAACAGUUAUGCAUCUUGGUGCCACCGAGUUGUUCCAUUCGGUCACACCGACAGGGUCAGGCUAUAUAUACUCAUGGGCAAAAAUUUGGAAACUUUCUCCAAACCCCUUCGCUCGCGCAUAGCUUGCUCUGCCUCUAGGGUCUCCGGAUCGUCGACUUCGUCACCAGCCGCCUCCAGUCGCUGGUCUCCGCCGCCGUUAACGGAAUUCAACCCCGCCGUUGCCCCGUAGCGAGUUCAUCGCCAAACUAGGGUAUGGACUCGAUCACAGUGCUAUCCCCGUCCAAUUCCUAGCACAUUGUGUUCAUCAUGAUUCUUGCCACGAUUGAAAUGAAUCUAUCCAGUCAAAACAAUCCUUAGAUUAGAUGUGAAUUGAAAAUUUAGGGUCAGGUGUCCGCCGAAACCAUCUCAGACCCAUCGAGUUGAAAAACUCGGUUCCACCGAUUCGGCUAAGGCCAUUGCACAAGUCAUUCUCGGUCUGACCAAGAAUUGCAAAUCGGUGUGACCGAGUUUAGAACUCUGUGAAACCCUAGCAGUUUCGGUGCCACCGAACUGUGACUCGGUAUGACCGAGUUUACUAGUUUAGGUUCCAAAAGCUGCUUUGGUAUCACCGAGUUUGCAAAUUGGUUGAUCCGAAAUGCUUUCUAUGGAAAACUAAAACUAAGUUCUUGAAUCAUUCUUUUGCAAAAAUCUCUGCAUUUUGUGAUGCUCAUCCAUUCUAUCUCAUCUAUAUCUAUUCACAGGGUCAGCAGUCAGUGUUUGCAGCAUGUGAAACGAAAGUGACAGCCAGAACAGGGAAGAGGAGCAGGUUCAUAUGAGUGAGGGCACUAGUCCCUCUAGCACCUCAGAUGAGGGCAGCAGAAGCACCCCAAGCAACUUGCCCAAAGCUGCCACCAGGGCCAGAAGGAAGAGAACCUCAGACUCUGAGGAUGAAGACUAUGUGGCAGCUGAAGAUGAGGCCACUUCCAAGAAGAUAGUGCUCAAGAAGGAGUAUGGCUCAGCUGCAGCCACAAAGCCAGGACUAAAAAGGAAGGUCCCUGCCAAGAGGACACCUAUGCUGAAAGUCAGAGGAUCAACUCAAGAACCUGAGAAAUCUGAUCCCAAAGAGGCUGCUGCAGAAGGGAAGAAGAGGAAGGAAAGGGUCAAAAAGACCAUGGCCAGAGUUGUUGGACAUCCUUCCAUGAUGGAAGAGGAAGAGGAAGAAGAGGCUGCUGCUCUAGCACCCAAGGCACAAAAGCUUAUGGGUGAUGCUAUAAAGUCAGGGGCUGCAUCAUCAAUUCCCAAAGAAGCACCCAAAGCUGCCUCCAAGCCCAAGACUGCACCUAAAAGGAAUACUAGGAGUAUACCAGUUGCUGAGAAGAACAAGGCCCCAGUGCCUGAAGUUGCUGAAGAAGAAGAAGAUGAAGGACAAGUUCCGAGGAAGCUAAAACCUAAGAUUCCAGACCACAAUGAUGCCCAUCCAGUGGCUGAGAACAUGAAGCCGAGGAAGGAUGCAGGGCUCAGACAGUGGAGAUUGUCUGAUCCUUAUGCAAUCAGGAGAAGGACUGCUGUUGACUACAGGUUCCACACUAAGGAACAACAGGAUUUCUAUGAGACUGUGCUGCUGGAUAAGAAACCCAUAGUUUGUGACAUGAGGUGGGUGGACUGGAAAUACAUGAAGGCAAAUGAGGAACACUACCCAGGUGUGUUUGACAGCUUCAAGGGUUGUGGAGUUGAUGACUUUGUUGGACAGAAGUUCACCAACUCGAAUGAUGAGCUUGUAAUGCAAUUCUACUCCAUAGCUCACUUUUAUCCUGAUGGCAGAAUAGUCUAGAUGUCUGAAGGUACAAGGUACCAGUCCACAAUUGAAGAAUGGGCAAGCCUGAUCAAUGCACCAGAGGAGGAAGCUGAUGAAUUGGACGUCUAUUCCAAGAAGAAAAUGGAUCACAACUCAAUGUCGCACAUGUACAAGGAGAUACCAGAUAAAGCUCUUGAGACUUUCAAGCUUGGGUCUAUCCAUUUCCUUCUGUCAGGACUGCCAACGAUCAACUGGAUCCUAAGGCACACUCUCUUGCCCAAGUCAGGUGACCACAACAUGAUCAGAGGGCAUGCAAUAAACUUUCUACACAUAUUUGAUGUGCCUCAGAAGUUCAAGGUCAUGAGCCUCAUAGUUGAGACUCUCAAGAGGACAGCAGCAGACCAGUAGAGAAGCUGUGGGUAUGCCCCACAAAUCCAGGAGCUGAUCAACUCCAAGAUGGGCACAUGCAAAUACUGGUUGGAUAAGGAACACUUUGCUAUCUAUCCAGACUUUGAGGACAACCAAGUAGUCAUGAAUGAGAAUGAACCAUCUUUAGUGCAAGCACAAGAGAAGAAGGAGAAGGCACAGAAGGAGAAGGCUGCCAUGAUGCCAACAAUUGAUGAGGCAUCUGAGUACUUUUUGAAGAGCAAGCAGGACAAGCUUGGUUACUUAAUAGCAUCAACUCUGAGGAUUGAGAAAGGGUUGGCCACCCUAACUCAAAACCAGGAGAGCCUGGAAAGAACCAAAAAGUUCUAUGACUUAGAUGUGAAAGUAACUGAGAUCCAGUCUAUUGUGGAGUAGCUUCAAGAUGAUAUGCAGGAGAGGAAGGGCAAGACAAUCACUGAUGCAUUUGCUAGAGUGCCUCGAGCUCAGAGAUCAGUUGCAGAGCUAGUGUCAGACAACAGAGCCACUUCAUCUUCACCAUCUACAGCUCCAGUGCAACUAGCUCCAGCACCAACUCCUCCAGCUCCAUCCACAUCAACUGAAGCCUUCGUCCUUGGAGUCAUAUCUACACCACCACAUCAAGACCAUGCCUGGGAGACGAAAUAGCUAUGCAUUUUCUAGGAACUUUUUGGUAACUUGUUGGCAAAGGGGGAGAAAAAUGUAUAGAUCAUAGGCUUCGAGAGAGAGAGAGAGAGUUUGAUUUUGUUCUCUCUUGUCUUUGUGGUUGAACUUUAUUUGCUUUUGCUUGCUUGAGAUACUUUAUUGUCUGUGUGAUACAAUGAUGAUCAUGUGUUUGAUCAUAUGCUACCUUAAUGCUUGUUAGAUGACUAUAUCCCAUUUAUCUUUAUAUGAUCAUUCACUUUGCUUGGUGAAGAGUGCAUGUAUUCAAUCCUUAAUAUUUUGAGCGCUCCACCAAGAUGUAUGUGACAUGGAAGAGUAACCCAUGAGCCUAACUCCUUGUGCAUUUGCAGUCCAAAGCAAAUCUUAAACUAUGCACAAAUUUAGGGGGAGCUCUUUCUUAUCACAUACUUCUCAAAGCGACGAUGUUUUUCAAUCUUAUUAUCAUUUGUCGAAGCUUUGAUCUAUAUGUUGUCAUCAAUUACCAAAAAAGGUGGAGAUUGAAAGUGCAACUAUCCCUAGGUGGUUUUGGUAAUUCCUUACAACAUAUAGCUCAUUGAGCUAACAUCUUUCCAAGAAAAACAUUUCAGGAAAAGAUCAAUGAAUGGCAUGACAUAGAUGAGGAAAGUGGAUCCCUCAAAAUUCUAAGGAUAAAAGGAUUGGCUCAAGCUCAAAAGCUCAAGACUCUACAUUUUACAUUUUAGUGAUCCAAGAUCACAUUGAGUCUAUAGGAAAAGCCAAUACUAUCAAGGAGGGAUGAGGUGUUGCUUGAUGAGUUUCUUGCUUCAAGUGCUUAUUGAUAUGCUCCAAAAACCCUCAACUACUUUCUCAUGUCCACAUAUGACCUAAACCUAUAGUCAAACUUGGCCCCAUCGAUUGUUUCUAUCCAGCGCCACCGAGUUCAGAUGUCAUAGCCACUGCCACAAACCCUAGGAAAAUCGAUCUCACCGAGAUGGGAUUGUAAUCUCUCCGUUUCCCUUCGUAACGUUUCGGUCUAACCGAAGUGAGCGAUCGGUCCCUGUCGGUGUCAAAACUGACGGAUCUCGGGUAGGGGUCCCGAACUGUGCGUCUAGGCGGAUGGUAACAAGAGACAAGGGACACGAUGUUUUUACCCAGGUUCGGGCCCUCUCGAUGGAGGUAAAACCCUACUCCUGCUUGAUUAAUAUUGAUGAUAUGGGUAGUACAAGAGUAGAUCUACCACGAGAUCAGAGAGGCUAAACCCUAGAAGCUAGCCUAUGGUAUGAUUGUUGUUCGUCCUAUGGACUAAAACCCUCCAGUUUAUAUAGACACCGGAGAGGGCUAGGUUUACACAGAGUCGGUUACAAUGGGAGGAGAUCUACAUGUCCGUAUCGCCAAGCUUGCCUUCCACGCCAAGGAAAGUCCCAUCCGGACACGGGACGAAGUCUUCAAUCUUGUAUCUUCAUAGUCCAGGAGUCCGUCCAAUGGGCAUAGUCCGGUCAUCCGGACACCCCCUAAUCCAGGUCUCCCUCAGUAGCCCCUGAACCAGGCUUCCAUGACGACGAGUCUGGCGCGCAGAUUGUCUUCGGCAUUGCAAGGCGGGUUCCUCCUUCGAAUACUUCAUAGAAGAUUUUGAACACAAGGAUAGUGUCCGGCUCUGCAAAAUAAGUUCCACAUACCACCGUAGAGAGAAUAAUAUUUGUACAAAUCUAAUCUGAUGACGUAUUCCGCAGCGUGACAUCAUGCUACGGCCAAGCCUUUAUUCGAAUCAUUUUACUGUCCCACCUCAGCGCGUUUAGCGAGGUGGUUUCCUUGGCACGUCUUGUCGAAGCAGAGAUCGUGUCCCCUUAUUCCGGGAUUCUCAUCAAUACGGGUGUGGGUAACCCAACCAUGCCAUUAAUCACGGUGCUUGGGAGAUAAGCAAGUUUUACCAGGCUGGUGGGGGUACAUAGUUUCGUCCGCCCAUAUAAGGGGAUAAGGAGCCACCCUUUCGAUAUACGCCUUCUUCCUCCUUCGCUUCUCCAUUUCCGCGCACUCGAGCUCCAGCGCCCAAGUCCGCACUUCCCACCUCAACCUUCUCCAGCCAUGUCUUAGCGGGAGGCAGGUGGAUGGCCUCCUCCAUCACGGAGGGGCACAUCAAAAAGUUGAGGAAGGCCGGAUACUUGUCCAACAACAUUGCGCACCGGCUUCCAGGCGAGGGGCAGCUCAUCUCCACCCCCACGCCCCAUGAGAGGGUGGUGUUCCUCCCCCAUUUCCUCCGUGGACUGGGCUUCCCACUCCACCCAUUUGUCCGUGGGCUCAUGUUCUACUACGGCCUGGAUUUCCAUGAUCUGGCCCCGAACUUCAUCCUCAACAUCUCGGUGUUUAUCAUCGUGUGCGAGGUCUUCCUCCGCAUCAAGCCCCACUACGGCUUAUGGCUGAAGACCUUCAAUGUCAAGCCGAAGGUAGUGGGUGGCCCGCAAGCGGAGUGCGGAGGCUCCAUGGUGGGCAAGAUGCCCAACGUCACAUGGCUCGAGGGCUCCUUUGUGGAAACCAUCAAAGGGUGGCAAUCGAGGUGGCUCUACAUCACCGAGCCGCGUGACCCUGAAUGGGCCGCGGCCCCCGAAUUCCAAUACGGCAUCCCCACACGGCUCACCUCCUGGAAAGAGAUGGGCCUGUCGUGGGGUAAUUCGGAAGAGGUGACUGGACUCCAAACCUGCGUCCAAAACCUAGUGGACAAGAAGGUUAAACUUGUCAACGUAGUCCAGGUCAUGCUCUUCCGCCGGAUCCUCCCGUGUCAACGACGGGCUUUUAACUUGUGGGAGUUCGACCCGGCCCAGCACCAAACUUUGUCCAGGCUCUUUGACACAACGCACAAGGAUGUCUGGAAGGUGCUAUUCAAGGGCUCCGAGGUUCCCCCUCCCAUUACCGAGGAUCGCGGAUUCUGCGCAAAGCGCCAAGCCAGCGCAGUAAACUUGUUUUUCAUAGUUUGACUCUAUGCGGGAUCUAAGCUCCCAUUCCUUUGACAUGACUGGCAGAAGACGUCCGGAUAGAUCGACUGUCCGGCUCCUUUGCCCGAAGGCCCAGCAGAUGCCCGCUUGUCGAAGCUGCUGGUUCCAGCACCUCAUGUGGUGCUGGAGAAGAAGGCCAAGAAGAAGGCCAUGGGAACUUGAAAGAGUUCCCGGCGCCUGGUGGUGUCGGAUUCAUCGCCCGACGACCCAGAAGCGCACUCCUCCCACGAAGACGAGGAGGAGGAAGAAGAAGCCCCUCCCCCUCCAACGGGGGGAGGAAAGAAAAGGAAGGCUGCCCCAACUGGGGAGACCGGAGGGUCCAAGAAGGGAAAGACCCUUGUUCCGGACUACUCCAGCAACGCCGACGACGGCAGAGAGGAGUGGCCAUCCAGGGCCAAGCCCCUGGCAAAAUUGUAAGUAUACGGAUACCAGAAUAACUCAUGGCGCUCCUUUAUUGCACAAUAUCUUCUGACGCCGAAUAUAAUCAUGCAGUCCGCCCCUGGCCCAGCUCGAUGCCUCAUCGAGCGGCUCCCUGGACUCGUCGGAUGUGAAUAGUCUUUCACUCCCGACUGCUACCUCCCCUCGCCCUACGGACGAUGCCGAGGUGGAGUCCCAAAAGGGGCCAAGUCAGGAGGAGGUGGUCCUGGAGGCACCGCAAGGCGACCUCCCGGACUCCAGGCGCAAAGGGAUAAAACCCCAAAGGGCUCUAAGUCCGGCCCUGGGCCGGACACCGCACUGGAACCUUCAGUGGUUCCGGAGUCCGGCAGGCAGCCCCUCGUAAGAAGGGCAAGCUACGACGCCGGUGGCCUCCGUCCAACCGGAGGCACCGGACAAUUUGCUGGAGGUGCUUAACGGCGCCUCCAUCGACGAGGAGCACCGCACUAUUAUGAGUGCGGUGAACCAGAAGGUUCAGUCCGCCAAGAACGGCCUGACAGAAGCCUGUGCCAGACUUCUAACAGGCUUUGAGGUAUGUAUUUAAGACAUGUAAAAAUAUAACCGCAUAGACAGUAGCCCCUGAUGCUCAGUUUGGUGUUCAGAAAGAAAAGCCGGACUGAGGAUCUAAAAAGAUAUACACAUGAGUCUAACAUAAAUAUGUCAGUAUGGGAAUGCAGGCUGCGCUGCUGACCUUUGCCGCACUGACUGCGAAGGUUGGUGCAUUGAAGCAGAGCCUCAAGCGGUCCGAGAACGAGCUCAGCCUUGCCAAGAAGCAGCUCGAGGACAAGGAAGGUAAGUAGUACCUUAUGUAAGUAUAUAAAAAUACCUGGUUGCAAAUAGUGACAGGACCAACGUGAGUGUUACAGGGGCCACAACCAAGGUGGCGACCCUGAAGGAACCGCUGUCCAAGGCCGAAGACAAUGCGGCCGUGGAGCGCACCGAGCGAGAAAAGCAGGAGGCGCGUGCGGAGGAGGUGCGGCAAGAGCUCCACGCUCUUGUGAAAAAACACGAGAGUUUGGAGCUUGACUCAAAGACUCGAGAGUCCGAGCUUGCCCUGGCCCUUGAGAGCGCCAAAUCUGCCAAGGCCGAAGCCCAAAAAGCCCUCCAGGAAAUUGAGGCGAUGAAGAAGAUAGCGGCGGGUAAGGCAUUCUUUAUGCAAAGCAAUCACGUGAAAGUGAAUUACUUGUUACUUACCCGAGUCCGGUGCUCUCCAGGAGCAUUCGCAGAUCUGCCCCGCAGUCUGUUCGACGCCGCCGCAUUCUACCGAGCCAAGGAAGGGAGCUCGACGGAGAAGGUGUUCUGGUCCCAGUAUGUUGAGGCCGGACACCCGAUGCCCUUGAGCGACCAGCUGAAGCAGCUGGUUGAGCUCCAUAAGGCAGCCAAACAGGCCAUGAAGGGCCUUAUAGGUCGGCUAUGGCCUGGGGAGGCCAUGCCUGGGAGCUACUUUGGGCUGGUGAGGCGGCUGGUUGAUGCCUGUCCAUGGCUUGAAAUCAUCAAGCGCUCCGUAUGCAUCGAAGGCGCCCGUAGGGCCCUUGCCCGUGUUAAAGUGCAAUGGGGCAAGAUAGAUGCUGAGAAGCUGGUGACAGAUGGGCCACCGGAGGGGAAGGAGCAUCGCAAGCCCGAGUUGAUUAUGAGGGCAUCCUGAAGGGUGCCUGCCUUGUGGCGGAUGAGUGUUCCAAGGAUGUAAUUUUUGAGUAAACUCGCUCGUGUUAUCGUGUGCGCUGAAAACUUGUCCAUAUGCGCUAAGCAACGCUUUUUUGAAUUUAAAAUAUUACCUUCUGUGCGGCCGUUUAUUAAAUCUGAGAGAUGCGAGUCAUCGGCUUCUACCCCCAUGCCACGAGUGCUGGGGUGUGUUGAAAAUAUGCCCUAGAGGCAAUAAUAAAUUAGUUAUUAUUAUUAUAUUUCCUUAUUCAUGAUAAACGUUUAUUAUCCAUGCUAUAAUUGUAUUGAUAGGAAACUCAGAUACAUGUGUGGGUACAUAGACAACACCAAGUCCCUAGUAAGCCUCUAGAUGACUAGCUUGUUGAUCAAUAGAUGGUUACGGUUUCCUGACCAUGGACAUUGGAUGUCGUUGAUAACGGGAUCACAUCAUUAGGAGAAUGAUGUGAUGGACAAGACCCAAUCCUAAGCCUAGCACAAAGAUCGUGUAGUUCGUAUGCUAAAGCGUUUCUAAUGUCAAGUAUCAUUUCCUUAGACCAUGAGAUUAUGCAACUCCCGGAUGCCGUAGGAAUGCUUUGGGUGUACCAAACGUCACAAUGUAACUGGGUGGCUAUAAAGGUGCACUACAUGUAUCUCCGAAAGUGUCUGUUGGGUUGGCACGAAUCGAGACUGGGAUUUGUCACUCCGGUUGACGGAGAGAUAUCUCUGGGCCCACUCGGUAGGACAUCAUCAUAAUGUGCACAGUGUGACCAAGGGGUUGAUCACGGGAUGAUGUGUUACGGAACGAGUAAAAAGACUUGCUGGUAACGAGAUUGAACAAGGUAUCGGCAUACCGACGAUCGAAUCUCGGGCAAGUACAAUACCGCUAGACAAAGGGAAUUGUAUACGGGAUCGAUUGAGUUCUUGACAUCAUGGUUCAUCCGAUGAGAUCAUCGUGGAACAUGUGGGAGCCAACAUGGGUAUCCAGAUCCCGCUGUUGGUUAUUGACCGGAGAACGUCUCGGUCAUGUCUGCAUGGUUCCCGAACCCGUAGGGUCUACACACUUAAGGUUCGAUGAUGCUAGGGUUAUAAAGGAAGUUUGUAUGUGGUUACCGAAUGUUGUUCAGAGUCCCGGAUGAGAUCCCGAACAUCACAAGGAGUUCCGGAAUGGUCCGGAGGUAAAGAUUUGUAUAUGGGAAGUCCUUUUUUGGUCACCGGAAAAGUUUUGGGUUUUAUCGGUAACGUACCGGGACCACCGGGAGGGUCCCGGGGGUCCACCAAGUGGGGCCACCAUCCCUGGAGGGCUGCAUGGGCCAAGUGUGAGAGGGGACCAGCCCCAGGUGGGCUGAUGCGCCCCCCCCCACAAGGGCCCAAGGCGCCUAGGGUUUGGGGAGGGGAGCGCACCCACCUAACUUGGGGGGCAAGUUUCCCCUCUUCCCCCCCUUGGCCGCACCCUAGAUGGGUUGUGGGCUGCCGCCACCCCUAGGGAGGGAACCCUAGAGGGGGUGCAGCCCCCUCCCUCUCCCCUAUAUAUACUUGAGGACUUUGGGGCUGCCAAUAGAUGAGUUUGACCUCUCCCUGGCGCAGCCCUACCUCUCUCCCUCCUCCUCUCCCGCGGUGCUUGGUGAAGCCCUGCAGGAUUGCCACGCUCCUCCAUCACCACCAUGCCGUUGUGCUGCUGCUGCACGGAGUCUUCCUCAACCUCUCCCUCUCUCCAUGCUGGAUCAAGGCAUGGGAGACUUCACCGGGCUGUACGUGUGUUGAACGCGGAGGUGCCGUCCGUUCGGCAAUAGGAUCUCCGGUAAUUUGGAUCACGACGAGUACGACUCCUUCAACCCCGUUCUCUUGAAUGCUUCCGCUUAGCGAUCUACAAGGGUAUGUAGAUGCACUCUCCUUCCCCUCGUUCCUGGUUUCUCCAUAGAUAGAUCUUGGUGACACGUAGGAAAAUUUUGAAUUUCUGCUACGUUCACCAACAGUGGCAUCAGAGCUAGGUCUAUUGCGUAGAUUCUUUGCACGAGUAGAACACAAAGUAGUUGUGGGUGUUGAUUUUGUUCAAUAUGCUUACCGUUACUAGUCCAAUCUUGUUUCGACAAUAUUGUGGGAUGAAGCGGCCCGGACCGACCUUACACAUACACUUACGUGAGACAGGUUCCACUGACUGACAUGCACUUGGUGCAUAAGGUGGCUAGCGGGUGCCAGUCUCUCCCACUUUAGUCGGAAUGGAUUCGAUGAAAAGGGUCCUUAUGAAGGGUAAAUAGCAAUUGGCAUAUCAUGUUGUGGUUUUGCGUAGGUAAGAAACGUUCUUGCUAGAAACCCACAGCAGCCACGUAAAACAUGCAAACAACAAUUAGAGGACGUCUAACUUGUUUUUGCAGGGUAUGCUAUGUGAUGUGAUAUGGCCAAGAAGAAUGUGAUGUAUGAGAUUGAUCAUGUUCUUGUAAUAGGAAUCACGACUUGCAUGUCGAUGAGUAUGACAACCGGUUGCGUAUAUCAUGUUCGCCAUCCGCACUUGUGGGGGAAAGCCUUUCUGUCCCCUAUUGUUCGGCGGUCAGGGCUCCUCCUCGUCAUCGCUAUGCAGCCCCUUGUCUCUGUUUUUGCCACUUAACUUGCCUGCCUGCUUGAACACCCAACAAUCCCUGUUGGUGUGAUUGACUGGUAUUUCGGGGGUGCCGUGUAUCUGGCAUGAGCGAUCGAGUAUUCGGUCCAAACUGGAUGGGCCCGGAGUAUUUCUUUUGAAAGGCUUUUUCCACUGACCGGGUUUAGAGCUUCUGAAUCCGGCAUUAACUGCCGUAUCCUCAGCAUUGUCGCCAUUAAUGCGGCGCUUGUGCUUGUUGCGACGCGACCUGCCAUUGUUGUCCUUGGUAUCCGAAUUACCAGGGCUCUUGGUCAUGUUAUUACUACGAGCUAGCCAGCUGUCUUCUUCCGCGCAAAAGCGGGUCAUGAGUGUUGUGAGGGCUUCCAUGGAUUUCGGAUUUUCCUGUCCUAGGUGCCGGGCAAGCCAUUCGUCUCGGAUGUUAUGUUUGAAGGCUGAAAGGGCCUCUGCGUCCGGACAGUCGACUAUUUGAUUUUUCUUGGUUAGGAACCGUGUCCAGAAUUGUCUGGCCGAUUCCUCUGGCUGCUGAAUUAUGUGGCUUAGGUCAUCGGCGUCUGGUGGUCGCACAUAGGUGCCCUAGAAAUUGUUGAGGAAUGCGGCUUCCAAGUCCUCCCAGCAACCAAUUGACUCUGCUGGCAAGCUGUUAAGCUAAUGCCGAGCUAGUCCUUUAAGCUUGAGUGGGAGGUAUUUGAUAGCGUGUAUAUCAUCACCGCGGGCCAUGUGGAUAUGAAGGAGAUAAUCCUCGAUCCAUACCGCAGGAUCUAUUGUGCCAUCGUAUGAUUCGAUGUUUACGGGCUUAAAACCCUCAGGGAUUUGAUGAUCCAUUACUUCAUCUGUGAAGCAUAGUGGGUGUGCGGCGCCUCUGUACUAGGCUAUAUCACGACGUAGCCCAAAUGAGCUUUGUCUGUUGUGUUCGGCCUGGCCGUAUUUGCCAUACCCGGCAUGACGAUUAUCGUCACGUGCCGUGGGGCACCCACGCGAUCCAUAGAUCGAUCUUGUUUGCCUUGCCUUGUCCCCCAAUAUGUCUCGCAGGUCUGGCGCAUUUCCCCGUGUCUUGGUAUUUUUUUGAGCGAUGCCGGGGUGCGGCUUGAGUGGAUGGCCGAGAGGCCUCUCUGUCGCGGCCACGAGGUGGCCGGUCGGCCGUGUCGUGUGCUGGUGAUGUAGGUUUAGGUGCUUCCUCCUCUAAUCGGGGUAGCAGCCUGCGCUUUGGGUAGCUCUUGGAGGGGCGUUCGGGUUCGUACUCUUCGGCCGCAAGGACUUCAGUCCAUCUGUCGGCUAGCAAGUCUUGGUCAGCUCUAAGCUGCUGCUGUUUUUUCUUGAGGCUGCUCACCGUGGCCAUAAGCCUGCGUUUGAAACGCUCUUGUUCGACGGGAUCCUCAGGCAUGACAAAUUCGUCGUCGUCGAGGCUUGCCUCGUCUUUGGAGGGAGGCAUGUAAUUAUCGUCCUCUACCUCUCUGUCUGCCGCUCUCUCAUGAGGGCUGGCUUCUCCAUCCUCCUGUGCUAAAUCUUGAUGGAGGGGGUUGUCUUCGGCACUGUGUGGGGUGUUAUUAUCUCCCGUGCCGGAAUCGCCGUUUUUGCUUUGGCGGGAUUUAGAGCGGCGCCGCUGACACCGGCGCUUGGGCUACUUCUUGGAGGGGUCAUCCUCCGUUGUUCCAUCACCAUUCCCUUCUUUUGGGGUGUCCACCAUGUAUAUGUCGUAUGACGAGGUGGCUUUCCAGUGCCCUAUAGGCGCUGGUUCUUGGUCGUCUCCCGCAUCGGCGUCCAUACCGUCGAUGUCUUCGGAGUCGAAGUCGAGCAUGUCGGUUAAAUCAUCGACAGUGGCUAUGAAGUGGGUGGUGGGUGGGCUUUCAAUUUCUUCAUUGUCCGCAUCCCAACCUUGCUGACCAUAGUCCGGCCAGGGCUCUCCUGACCAAGAGAAAGACUUUAGUGAAUUCAGAAUGUCGCCGAAGGGCGAGUGCUGAAAGAUGUCCGCGGUGGCGAACUGCAUGAUCGGCGCCCAAUCGGGAUCGAUCGGUAGGGGCGCGGAAGGUUCGGAGUCCAGAAAGGAGUCCGGCACCUUGGAGUCACGAGCUUCGCAAAGGACAAGGCUGGUGUUCGGCUCGAUCAUCGUAGAGAUUGCAGCCCCCGAGGCGGUGUCUAGCCACCUGUCCUCGAUUGGCGUAGUCGGCUCCGAGCUAAGGGUCGGAGCGGACACUAGGGCGGCCUCCUGGGCACUGUUCAGCGGCAGAGCUAGAUCAUGCCCGUCGUGACAGUGCGGCGCGCUCGGCUGUGGCUCCAACCUGUCGAAGAUCAAGUCUCCGCGGAUGUCAGCCGUGUAGUUCAAACUUCCAAACCUGACCAGAUGGCCAGGGGCGUAGCUUUCGAUCUGCUCCAGAUGGCCAAGCGAAUUGGCCCGCAGUGCAAAGCCGCUGUAUACGAAGAUCUGCCCGAGGUGAAAAGUCUCACCCUGGACCGCAUCGUUGUUGAUGAUCGGAGGAGCCAUUGGGCCUAAAGAUGAUGACACAGAGGAACUCUCAAUGAAAGCACCAAUGUCGGUGUCAAAACCGGCGGAUCUCGGGUAGGGGGUCCCGAACUGUGCGUCUAGGCGGAUGGUAACAGGAGACAAGGGACACGAUGUUUUUACCCAGGUUCGGGCCCUCUCGAUGGAGGUAAAACCCUACUCAUGCUUGAUUAAUAUUGAUGAUAUGGGUAGUACAAGAGUAGAUCUACCACAAGAUCAGAGAGGCUAAACCCUAGAAGCUAGCCUAUGGCAUGAUUGUUGUUCGUCCUAUGGACUAAAACCCUCCGGUUUAUAUAGACACCGAAGAGGGCUAGGGUUACACAGGGUCGGUUACAAUGGGAGGAGAUCUACAUAUCCGCAUUGCCAAGCUUGCCUUCCACGCCAAGGAAAGUCCCAUCCGGACACGGGAUGAAGUAUUCAAUCUUGUAUCUUCAUAGUCCAGGAGUCCGGCCAAAGGUCAUAGUCCGGUCAUCCGGACACCCCCUAAUCCAGGACUCCCUCAGUCCCACCGAGAUUGCAAUGUAAACUCUCUGUUUCCUUUUCGUGACAUUUUGGUCAAACCGAAAAGAGAGCUCUCUGGUUAUCUUAUUACCAAAAUUGGUCUCACCGAGUUUGUGUAAUCGGUCUCACCGAGAUUACGUUAUGCCCUAACCCUAACCACAUCGGUCCUACCGAGUUGCAUGUCGGUCCCACUGAAAACCCAAACGGUCACUAGGUUUACUAAAUCGGUCUGACUGAGUUUUUUGAUUCGGUCCCACCGAGAUUGGUAAAUUGUGUGUAACGGUUAGAUUUUGUGUGGAGGCCAUAUAUACCCCUCCACCUCCUCUUCAUUCGUGGAGAGAUCCAUCAGAACAAACCUACACUUCCAACUUGCCAUUUCUGAGAGAGAACCACCUACUCAUGUGUUGAGGCCAAGAUAUUCCAUUCCUACCAUAUGAAUCUUGAUCCCUAGCCUUCCCCAAGUUUCUUUCCACUCAAAUCUUCUUUCCACCAGAUCCAAAUCCUGUGAGAGAGAGUUGAGUGUUGGGGAGACUAUCAUUUGAAGCACAAGAGCAAGGAGUUCAUCAUCAACACACCAUUUGUUACUUCUUGGAGAGUGGUGUCUCCUAGAUUGGCAAGGUGUCACUUGGGAGCCUCUGACAAGAUUGUGGAGUUGAACCAAGGAGUUUGUAAGGACAAGGAGAUCGCCUACUUCAUUAAGAUCUACUGCUAGUGAGGCAAGUCCUUCAUGGGCGACGGCCAUGGUGGGAUAGACAAGGUUGCUUCUUCGUGGACCCUUCGUGGGUGGAGCCCUCCGUGGACUCGCGCAACUGUUACCCUUCUUGGGUUGAAGUCUCCAUCAACAUGGAUGUACGAUAGCACCACCUAUCAGAACCACGGCUCAAAAAUCACCGUGUCUCCAAAUUGCAUUUGAAAUCUCCAAACCCUUCCCUUUACAUUCUUGCAAGUUGCAUGCUUUACUUUCCGCUGCUCAUAUACUCUUUGCAUGCUUGCUUGAAUUGUGUGAAGAUUGCUUGACUUGUGCUAAGAUAGCUAAAAUCUGCCAAAGACUAAAAUUGGGAAAAGGUUAAGUUUUUAUUUGGUCAAAUAGUCUAAUCACCGCCCCUCUAGACAUACUUCCGAUCCUACAGUCGUGCACUUUUCUGAACCUGUUGUGCACUUUGUGCAUUUGUUUGAAAGUGUUUUGUUCACAUAACUGUGGAAAUGGGGCUCACACUGGGCUCUCAUAUUGGACCACAGUCCACAAGCUUGCGUAGGUGUCUAUAAAAAGACCCUAACAUGUCCCUUUCCCAUACCACUAAAACCCUAUCUGCCAACAUCACUACAACCCUUGCCUAGCCAAAAAGAUGGAUCCAAGCAUAGGAGAGGUUGUCGACGACCAGAAAGAGAGUUCUAGAGCAGCAAGAAGGGCCGCAGGAGCAGAAAGGAGGGGUCGUAGGGCUCAGGCACGUGAGCAACGCCAGAGGCUAGCUGCCACGAUUAUGGCAGCCUGCAACUCCUCAAUGUGAUGCAGUUCAAGGAGGUGUUCCCAGAUGGAACAAUCAUCACCAAUGGUUUGAUCAUUUGGUGGGCUAGAGAUAGGACAACCUUCCAUCGCUACCAAGUCACAAGGGCUAGGUGGAGCAGAAUCCUUGAUUCUGCGUCUUGAAACAGUUCAAGGUUCAAUACUUCAAUGUUAUCUGAAUUCUCCAAGUCUCUUGUUCUAUGUAUGUGAUGAUGUGUCUGAAAUUUCUCUGAAUGUAUGCGCACUUGUAUGCGUAGAUUUGCUGAAUUUUCUAAAAUUGUGCUCUGAAUGUAUGCGCACUUGUAUGCGUGGAUUUUCUGAAUAUUCUGAAUUUGUGCUACUGAAUGUAUGUGAAUUUGUGUGAUUUUCUCUAGAACAGCUUGAUUUUAACAGUACCUCAGUCAACAAAAUAUGUUUUCACCACGAAAUAACUAUUGCACAACUUUCAACUAACAUCACUUAACCAGCACAAGUUUCACCACACAAUAACUACUGCACAACUACCACCCUGUCAACUACUACUUCACAAGUUUUACUUCUCCACUGCCUCACUCCACCUCUCUUUAACUCCCCCCUCUUUCUUCAGCUACUCUACUCACAUCACUCUACCUCACCACAACUUCACCUCGCUCAACACCACUGCACUCACCACUUCCUGCUCCAACCAUGGCUGCUUCUUCCUCUUCUCCGGACCCAUUUCUUUGUUGGGGAACGUAGUAAUUUCAAAAAAAUUCCUACACACACACAAGAUCAUGGUGAUGCAUAGCAACGAGAGGGGAGAGUGUUAUCCACAAACCCUCAUAGACCGAAAGCCGAAGCGUUAGCACAACACGGUUGAUGUAGUCGUACGUCUUCACGAUCCGACCGAUCCAAGUAUCGAACGUACGGCACCUCCGAGUUCAGCACACGUUCAGCUCGAUGAGGUCCCACGAACUCUGAUCCAGCUGAGCUUUGAGGAAGAGUUCUGUCAGCACGACGGUGUGGUGACGAUGAUGAUGUUCUACCGACGCAGGGCUUCGCCUAAGCAUCACUACGAUAUUAUCAAGGUGGAAUAUGGUGGAGGGGGGCACCGCACAUGGCUAAGAGAUCAAUGAUCAAUUGUUGUUCACUAGAGGUGCCCCCCUGCCCCCGUAUAUAAAGGAGCAAGGGGGAAGGGGGCGGCCGGCUAGGAGGGGCGCGCCAGGAGGAGUCCUACUCCCACCGGGAGUAGAACUCCCUCCUUUCCUUGUCCAAGUAGAUGGGGAAGGAAGGGAGAGAGGGGAGGAAGGAAAGGGGGGCGCCGCCCUCCCCAUCCUUGUCCUAUUCGGACUAGAGGGGGAGGGGGCGCGCGGCCUGCCCUGGCCGCCCCUCCUCUUCUCCACUUUGGGCCCAUGAGGCCCAUUAACCCCCGGGGGGUUCCCGUAACUCCCCGGUACUCCGGUAUAUAUCCGAUAACCCCCGGAACUACCGGUGUCCAAAUAUAGUCGUUCAAUAUAUUAAUCUUCAUGUCUCGACCAUUUCGAGACUCCUCGUCAUGUCCGUGAUUGCAUCCGGGACUCCGAACUAUCUUCGGUACAUCAAAACACAUAAACUCAUAAUAUAACCGUCAUCUAACUUUAAGCGUGCGAACCCUACGGGUUCGAGGACUAUGUAGACAUGACCGAGACAUGUUUCCGGUCAAUAACCAAUAGCAUAGCCUUGAUGCUCAUAUUGGAUCCUACAUAUUCUAUGAAGAUCUUUAUCGGUCAAACCGCAUAACAACAUACGUUGUUCGCUUUGUCAUUCGUAUGUUACUUGCCCGAGAUUCGAUCGUCGGUAUCUCAAUACCUAGUUCAAUCUCGUUACCGGCAAGUCUCUUUACUCGUUAUGUAAUGCAUCAUCCCGCAACUAACUCAUUAGUAACAUUGCUUGCAAGGCUUAUAGUGAUGUGCAUUACCGAGAGGACCCAGAGAUACCUCUCCGACAAUCGGAGUGACAAAUCCUAAUCUCGAAAUACGCCAACUCAACAUGUACCUUCGGAGACACCUGUAGAGCUCCUUUAUAAUCACCUAGUUACGUUGUGACGUUUGGUAGCACACAAAGUGUUCCUCCGGUAAACGGGAGUUGCAUAAUCUCAUAGUCAUAGGAACAUGUAUAAGUCAUGAAGAAAGCUAUAACAACAUACUAAACGAUCAAGUGCUAAGCUAACGGAAUGGGUCAAGUCAAUUACAUCAUUCUCCUAAUGAUGUAAUCCCAUUAAUCAAAUGAUAACUCAUGUCUAUGGUUAGGAAACAUAACCAUCUUUGAUUAAUGAGCUAGUCAAGUAGAGGCAUACUAGUGACAUUAUGUUUGUCUAUGUAUUCACACAUGUAUUAUGUUUCCGGUUAAUACAAUUCUAGCAUGAAUAAUAAACAUUUAUCAUGAUAUAAGGAAAUAAAUAAUAACUUUAUUAUUGCCUCUAGGGCAUAUUUCUUUCAGUCUCCCACUUGCACUAGAGUCAAUAAUCUAGAUUACACAGUAAUGAUUCUAACACCCAUGGAGCCUUGGUGCUGAUCAUGUUUUGCUCGUGGAAGAGGCUUAGUCAAUGGGUCUGCAACAUUCAGAUCUGUAUGUAUCUUGCAAAUCUCUAUGUCUCCCACUUGGACUUGGUCCCGGAUGGAAUUGAAGCGUCUCUUGAUGUGCUUGGUCCUCUUGUGAAAUCUGGAUUCCUUUGCCAAGGCAAUUGCACCAGUAUUGUCACAGAAGAUCUUCAUUGGUCCCAAUGCACUAGGUAUGACACCUAGAUCGGAUAUGAACUUCUUCAUCCAGACUCCUUCAUUUGCUGCUUUCGAAGCAACUAUGUACUCCGCUUCGCAUGUAGAUCCCGCCACGACGCUUUGUUUAGAACUGCACCAACCGACAGCUCUACUGUUCAAUAUAAACACGUAUCCGGUUUGCGAUUUAGAAUUGUCUGGAUAAGUGUUAAAGCUUGCAUCGACGUAACCAUUUACGACUAGCUCUUUGUCACCUCCAUAAACGAGAAACAUAUCCUUAGUCCUUUUCAGGUAUUUCAGGAUAUUCUUGACCGCUGUCCAGUGAUCCACUCCUGGAUUACUUUGGUACCUCCCUGCUAAACUUAUUGCUAAGCACACAUCAGAUCUGGUACAUAGCAUUGCAUACAUGAUAGAGUCUAUGGCUGAAGCAUAGGGAACAUCUUUCAUUUUCUCUCUAUCUUCUGCUGUGGUCGGGCAUUGAGUCUGACUCAACUUCACACCUUGUAAUACAGGCAAGAAACAUUUCUUUGCUUGAUCCAUUUUGAACUUCUUCAAAACUUUAUCAAGGUAUGUGCUUUGUGAAAGUCCAAUUAAGCGUCUUGAUCUAUCUCUAUAUAGAUCUUGAUGCCUAAUAUAUAAGCAGCUUCACCGAGGUCUUUCAUUGAAAAACUUUUAUUCAAGUAUCCUUUUAUGCUAUCUAGAAAUUCUAUAUCAUUUCCAGUCAACAAUAUGUCAUCUACAUAUAAUAUCAAAAAUGCUACGGAGCUCCCACUCACUUUCUUGUAAAUACAGGCUUCUCCAAAAGUUUGUAUAAAACCAUAUGCUUUGUUCACACUAUCAAAGCAUUUAUUCCAACUCUGAGAGGCUUGCACUAGUCCAUAAAUGGAUCGUUGGAGCUUUCACACUUUGUUAGUACUUUUGGAUCGACAAAACCUUCUGGUUGCAUCAUAUACAACUCUUCUUCCAGAAAUCCAUUCAGGAAUGCAGUUUUGACAUCCAUUUGCCAUAUUUCAUAAUCAUAAAAUGCGGCAAUUGCUAACAUGAUUUGGACAGACUUAAACAUCGCUACGGGUGAGAAAGUUUCAUCGUAGUCAACCCCUUGAAUUUGUCGAAAACCUUUUGCAACAAGUCGAGCUUUAUAGACAGUUACAUUACCAUCAACGUCAGUCUUCUUCUUGAAGAUCCAUUUAUUCUCGAUGGCUUGCCGAUCAUCGGGCAAGUCAACCAAAGUCCAUACUUUGUUCUCAUACAUGGAUCCCAUCUCAGAUUUCAUGGCCUCAAGUCAUUUUGCGGAAUCUGGGCUCAUCAUCGCUUCCUCAUAGUUCGUAGGUUCGUCAUGGUCAAGUAACAUGACCUCCAGAAUAGGAUUACCAUACCACUCUGGUGCGGAUCAUACUCUGGUUGACCUACGAGGCUCGGUAGUAACUUGAUCUGAAGUUUCAUGAUCAAUAUCAUUAGCUUCCUCACUAAUUGGUGUAGUUGUCACAGGAACCGGUUUCUGUGAUGAACUACUUUCCAAUAAGGGAGCAGGUACAGUUACCUCAUCAAGUUCUACUUUCCUCCCACUCACUUCUUUCGAGAGAAAUUCCUUCUCUAGAAAGGAUCCGAAUUUAGCAACAAAAGUCUUGCCUUCGGAUCUGUGAUAGAAGGUGUACCCAAUAGUCUCAUUUGGAUAUCCUAUGAAGACACAUUUCUCCGAUUUGGGUUCGAGCUUAUCUGGUUGAAGUUUCUUUACAUAAGCAUCGCAGCCCCAAACUUUAAGAAAUGACAACUUUGGUUUCUUGCCAAACCACAGUUCAUAAGGUGUCGUCUCAGCGGAUUUUGAUGGUGCCGUAUUUAACAUGAAUGCGGCCGUCUCUAAAGCAUAACCCCAAAACGAUAGCGGUAAAUCAGUAAGAGACAUCAUAGAUCACACCAUAUCUAGUAAAGUACGAUUACGAUGUUCAGACACACCAUUACGUUGUGGUGUUCCGGGUGGCGUGAGUUGCGAAACUAUUCUGCAUUGUUUCAAAUGUAAGCCAAACUCAUAACUCAAAUAUUCUCCUCCACGAUCAGAUCGUAGAAACUUUAUUUUCUUGUUACGAUGAUUUUCCACUUCACUCUGAAAUUCUUUGAACUUUUCAAAUGUUUCAGACUUAUGUUUCAUUAAGUAGAUAUACCCAUAUCUGCUUAAAUCAUCUAUGAAGGUGAGAAAAUAACGAUACCCGCCGCGAGCCUCAAUGUUCAUUGGACCACAUACAUAAGUAUGUAUGAUUUCCACCAAAUCUGUUGCUCGCUCCAUAGUUCCGGAGAAUGGCGUUUUAGUCAUCUUGCCCAUGAGGCACGGUUCGCAAGUACCAAGUGAUUCAUAAUCAAGUGAUUCCAAAAGUCCAUCAGUAUGGAGUUUCUUCAUGCGCUUUACACCAAUAUGACCCAAACGGAAGUGCCACAAAUAAGUUGCACUAUCAUUAUCAACUCUGCAUCUUUUGGCUUCAACAUUAUGAAUAUGUGUAUCACUACUAUCGAGAUUUAAUAAAAAUAGACCACUCUUCAAGGGUGCAUGACCAUAAAAGAUAUUACUCAUAUAAAUAGAACAACCAUUAUUCUCGGAUUUAAAUGAAUAACCGUCUCGCAUCAAACAAGAUCCAGAUAUAAUGUUCAUGCUUAACGCUGGCACCAAAUAACAAUUAUUCAGGUCUAAAACUAAUCCCCAAGGUAGAUGUAGAGGUAGCGUGCCGACCGCGAUCACAUCGAAUUUGGAAGCAUUUCCCACGUGCAUCGUCACCUCGUCCUUAGCCAAUAUUCGCUUAAUCCGUAGUCACUGUUUCGAGUUGCAAAUAUUAGUAACAGAACCAGUAUCAAAUACCCAGGUGCUAUUGCGAGCAUUAGUAAGGUACACAUCAAUAACAUGUAUAUCACAUAUACCUUUGUUCACCUUGCCAUCCUUCUUAUCCGCCAACUACUUGGGGCAGUUCCGCUUCCAGUGACCAGUCUGCUUGCAGUAGAAGCACUCAGUCUCAGGCUUAGGUCCAGACUUGGGUUUCUUCUCUUGAGCAUCAACUUGUUUGCCUUUCUUCUUGAAGUUCCCCUUCUUCUUCCCUUUACUCUUUUUCUUGAAACUGGCGGUCUUUUUGACCAUCAACACUUGAUGCUCCUUUUUGAUUUCUACCUCCGCAGCUUUUAGCAUUGCGAAGAGCUCGGGAAUAGUCUUGUCCAUCCCUUGCAUAUUAUAGUCCAUCACGAAGCUCUUGUAGCUUGGUGGCAGUGAUUGAAGAAUUCUGUCAAUGACACCAUCAUCAGGAAGAUUAAUUCCCAAUUGAAUCAACUGAUUAUUAUACCCAGACAUUUUGAGUAUAUGUUCACUGACAGAACUAUUCUCUUCCAUCUUGCAGCUAUAGAACUUAUUGGAGACUUCAUAUCUCUCAAUCCGGGCAUUUUCUUGAAAUAUUAACUUCAACUCCUGGAACAUCUCAUAUGCUCCAUGAUGUUCGAAACGUCAUUGAAGUCCCGGUUCUAAGCCGUAAAGCAUGGCACACUGAACUAUCAAGUAGUCAUCAGCUUUGCUCUGCCAGACGUUCUUAACAUCGUAAGUUGCAUCUGCAGCAGGCCUGGCACCCAGCGGUGCUUCCAGGAUGUAAUUCUUCUGUGCAGCAAUGAGGAUAAUCCUCAAGUUACGGACCCAGUCCGUGUAAUUGCUACCAUCAUCUUUCAACUUAGAUUUCUCAAGGAACGCAUUAAAAUUCAAUGGAACAACAGACGAGCCAUCUAUCUACAACAAACAUAGACAAGCAAAAUACUAUCAGGUACUAAGUUCAUGAUAAAUUUAAGUUCAUUUAAUCAUAUUACUUAAGAACUCACACUUAGAUAGACAUCCCUCUAAUCAUCCAAGUGACCACGUGAUCCAAAUCAACUAAACCAUGUCCGAUCAUCACGUGAGAUGGAGUAGUUUUCAAUGGUGAACAUCACUAUGUUGAUCAUAUCUACUAUAUGACUCACGCUCGACCUUUCGGUCUUAGUGUUCCGAGGCCAUAUCCGUAUAUGCUAGGCUCGUCAAGUUUAACCUGAGUAUCCGCGUGUGCAAUUGUUUUGCACCCGUUGUAUUUGAACGUAGAGCCUAUCACACCCGAUCAUCACGUGGUGUCUCAGCACGAAGAACUUUCGCAGCGGUGCAUACUCAGGGAGAACACUUAUACCUUGAAAUUUAGUGAGAGAUUAUCUUAUAAUGCUACCGUCAAUCAAAACAAAAUAAGAUGCAUAAAGGAUAAACAUCACAUGAAAUCAAUAUAAGUGAUAUGAUAUGGCCAUCAUCAUCUUGUGCUUGUGAUCUUCAUCUCCGAAGCACCGUCAUGAUCACCAUCGUCACCGGCGCGACACCUUGAUCUCCAUCGUAGCAUCAUUGUCGUUUCACCACCUAUUGCUUCCACGACUAUCGCUACCGCUUAGGGAUAAAGUAAAGCAAUUACAGGGAAAUUGCAUUGCAUACAAUAAAGUGACAACCAUAUGGCUCCUGCUAGUUGCCGAUAACUCGGUUACAAAACAUGAUCAUCUCAUACAAUAAAAUAUAGCAUCACGUCUUGACCAUAUCACAUCACAACAUGCCCUGCAAAAACAAGUUAGACGUCCUCUACUAUGUUGUUGGAAGUUUUACGUGGCUGCUACGGGCUGAGCAAGAACCGUUCUUACCUACGCUUCAAAACCACAAUGAUAGUUCAUCAAGUUAGUGCUGUUUUAACCUUCUCAAGGACCAGGCGUAGGCACACUUCGUUCAGCUAGAGUUGGAGAAACUGACACCCGCCAGCCACCUAUGUGCAAAGCACGUCAGUGGAACCAGUCUCGCGUAAGCGUACGCGUAAUGUCGGUCCGGGCCGCUUCAUCCAACAAUACCACUGAACCAAAGUAUGACAUGCUGGUAAGCAGUAUGACUUGUAUCGCCCACAACUCACUUGUGUUCUACUCGUGCAUAUAACAUCUACACAUAAAACCUGGCUCUGAUGCCACUGUUGGGGAACGUAGUAAUUUCAAAAAACUUCCUACACACAUGCAAGAUCAUGGUGAUGCAUAGCAACGAGAGGGGAGAGUGUUGUCCAUGUACCCUCGUAGACCGAAAGCAGAAGCGUUAGCACAACGCGGUUGAUGUAGUCGUACGUCUUCACGAUCCGACCGAUUCAAGUACCGAACGUACGGCACCUCCGAGUUCAGCACACGUUCAGCUCGAUGACGUCCCUCGAACUCCGAUCCAACCGAGCUUUGAGGGAGAGUUCCGUCAUCAUGACGACGUGGUGAUGAUGAUGAUGUUCUACCAACGCAAGGCUUCGCCUAAGCACCGCUAUGAUAUUAUCGAGGCGGAAUAUGGUGGAGGGGGGCACCGCACACGACUAAGAGAUCAAUGAUCAAUUGUUGUUCUCUAGAGGUGCCCCCUGCCCCCGUAUAUAAAGGAGCAAGGGGGGAGGGGGCGGCCAGCCAGGAGGGGCGCGCCAGGAGGAGUUCUACUCCCACCUGGAGUAGGACUCCCUCCUUUCCUUGUCCAAGUAGGAGAGGGGGAAGGAAGGGAGAGAGGGGAGGAAGGAAAGGGGGGUGCCGCCCCCCCCCAUCCUUGUCCUAUUCGGACUAGAGGGGGAGGGGGGCGCGGCCUGCCCUGGCCGCCCCUCCUCUUCUCCACUUUGGGCCCAUGAGGCCCAUUAACCCCCCGGGGGGUUUCGGCAACUCCCCGGUACUCCGGUAUAUAUCCGAUAACCCCCGGAACUAUUCCGGUGUCCGAAUAUAGCCAAUAUAUCAAUCUUCAUGUCUCGACCAUUUCGAGACUCCUCGUCAUGUCCGUGAUCACACCCGACACUCCGAACUAUCUUUGGUACAUCAAAACACAUAAACUCAUAAUAUAAUCGUCAUCUAACUUUAAGCGUGCGGACCCUAUGGGUUCGAGAACUAUGUAGACAUGACCGAGACAUGUUUCCGGUCAAUAACCAAUAGCGGAACCUGGAUGCUCAUAUUGGCUCCUACAUAUUCUACGAAGAUCUUUAUCGGUCAAACCGCAUAACAACAUACGUUGUUCCCUUUGUCAUCGGUAUGUUACUUGCCCAAGAUUCGAUCGUUGGUACCUCAAUACCUAGUUCAAUCUCGUUACCGGCAAGUCUCUUUACUCGUUAUGUAAUGUGUCAUCCCGCAACUAGUCAUCAUCGGUGAAUAUCUUCAUGUUGAUCGUAUCUUCUAUACGACUCAUGCUCGACCUUUCGGUCUCUUGUGUUCCGAGGCCAUGUCUGUACAUGCUAGGCUCGUCAAGUCAACCUAAGUAUUUUGCAUGUGUAAAUCUAGCUUACACCCAUUGUAUGUGAACAUUAGGAUCUAUCACACCCGAUCAUCACAUGGUGCUUCGAAACAACGAACUUUCACAACGGCGCACAGUUAGGGGAAACACUUUCUUGAAAUUGUUAUGAGGGAUCAUCUUAUUUACUACCGUCGUUCUAAGCAAAUAAGAUGCAAAAACAUGAUAAAGAUCACAUGCAAUCAAAUAGUGACAUGAUAUGGCCAAUAUCAUUUUGCUCCUUUGACCUCCAUCUUUGGGGCGCCAUGAUCAUCAUCGUCACCGACAUGACAUCAUGAUCUCCAUCAUCUUGUCUCCAUGAAGUUGUCUCGCCAACUAUUACUUCUACUACUAUGGCUAACGAUUUAGCAAAGAAGUAAAGUAAUUACAUGGCGUUAUUCAGUGACACGCAGGUCAUACAAUAAAUAAAGACAACUCCUAUGGAUCCUGCCGGUUGUCAUACUCAUCGACAUGCAAGUCGUGAUUCUUAUUACAAGAACAUGAUCAAUCUCAUACAUCACAUAUAUUUUAUUCAUCACAUCCUUUUUGGCCAUAUCACAUCACAAGGCAUAUGCUGCAAAAACAAUUUAGACAUCCUCUAAUUGUUGUUGCAUGUUUUUACGUGGCUGCUAUAGGGUUCUAGGAAGAACGUUUCUUACCUAUGCCAAAACCACAACAUGAUAUGCCAAUUUCUAUUUACCCUUCAUAAGGACCCUUUUCAUCGAAUCCGAUCCGACUAAGGUGGGAGAGACAGACACCCGCUAGCCAACUUAUGCAACUAGUGCAUGUCAGUCAGUGGAACCUGUCUCACGUAAGUGUAUGUGUAAGGUCGGUCCGGGCCGCUUCAUCCCACGAUACCGCCGAAACAAGAUAAGACUAGUAGUGGCAAGUAAAUUUACAAAAUCUACGACCACAACAAAAUUUUGUUCUACUCGUGCAUAGAAACUACGCAUAGACCUAGCUCAUGAUGCCAGUGUUGGAGAUCGUUGCAGAAAAUAAUAAUUUUCUACGCAUCACCAAGAUCAAUCUAUCGAUAAACUAGCAAUGAGAGAGAGGGGAGUGCAUCUUCAUACCCUUGAAGACAGCAAGACGGAAGCGUUGCAAGAACGCGGAUGAGGGAGUCAUACUCGAAGCGAUUCACAUCGCAGUGGAUUCCGAUCUUAGCGUCGAACAACGGCACCUCCGCGUUUAACACACGUGCAGCCCGGUGACGUCUCCCGCGCCUUGAUCCAGCAAGGAGGAGGGAGAGGUUGAGGAAGAGGGACUCUAACAGUAGCACGACAGCGUGGUGGUGAUGGAGCGGCAGUACUCCGGCAGGGCAUCGCCAAGCUCUUGCGGAGGAGGAGAGGUGUUGGGGAGGGGAGGUGCUGCGCCUUGGAUGUGGUGCUAUAGCCCUCCCCUCGCCCCUCUAUUUAUAGGAGGAGGGGUGCUACCUCUUGAGCACUGCGUUGGAUUUCCCCGAAGAGGAGAGGAUGAUGCAGUAAAGUAGCGUAAGUAUUUCCCUCAGUUUUUGAGAACCAAGGUAUCAAUCCAGUAGGAGAUCACGCACAAGUCCCUCGUACCUACACAAAACGAUAGCAACUCGCAACAACGCUUAGGGGUUGUCAAUCCCUUCACGGUCACAUACGAGAGUGAGAUCUCAUAGAGAUAAUAGUUUUGGUUUUUUUGAUAGAUAGAUGCAAAGUAAAAAGUAAAAGGCAAAGUAAAACCAAGCAAGUAAAUAAAGUAAUAUAGAUUGAUAUGAUGAGAAUAGACCCAUGGGCCAUAGGUUUCACUAGUGGCUUCUCUCAAGAGCAUAAUUAUUCUACGGUGGGUGAACAAAUUACAGUUGAGCAAUUGAUAGAAAAGAGAAUAAUUAUGAGAUUAUCUAAGUAUGAUCAUGUAUAUAGGCAUCACGUCCAAAACAAGUAGAUCGAAACGAUUCUGCAUCCACUACUAUUACUCAACUCAUCGACCGCUAUCCAGCAUGCAUCUAGAGUAUUAAGUAAAACAGAGUAACGCUUUAAGUAAGAUGACAUGAUGUAGAGGGAUAAAUUCAUGCAAUAUGAUAAAAACCCCAUCUUGUUAUCCUCGAUGGCAACAAUACAAUACGUGCCUUGCAACUCUUUCUGUCACUGAGUAAGGACACCGCAAGAUUGAACCCAAAGCUAAACACUUCUCCCAUGGCAAGAACUACCAACCUAGUUGGCCAAACCAAACGGAUAAUUCGAAGAGACUUGCAAAGAUAACUCAAUCAUACAUAAAAGAAUUCAGAGAAGAAUCAAAUAUUGUUCAUAGAUAAGCUGGAUCAUAAACCCACAAUUCAUCGGUCUCAACAAACACACCGCAAAAAGAAUAUUACAUCGAAUAGAUCUCCACAAGAGAGGGGGAGAACAUUGUAUUGAGAUCCAAAAAGAGAGAAGAAGCCAUCUAGCUAAUAACUAUGGACCCGAAGGUCUGAAGUAAACUACUCACACUUCAUUGGAGAGGCUAUGGUGUUGAUGUAGAAGCCCUCCGUGGUAGAUGCCCUCUCCAGCGGAGCUCCGGAACAGGCUCCAAGAUGAGAUCUCGUGGAUACAGAAGGUUGCGGCGGUGGAAUUAGGUUUUUCGCUCCGUAUCUGAUCUAACGGGGGUACGUAGGUAUAUAUAGGAGGAAGGAGUACGUCGGUGGAGCUCCAAGGGGCCCAUGAGGCAGGGGGGCGUGCCCAGGGGGGCGCCCUCCACCCUCGUGACCGCCUCUGGCACUUCUUGGAGUAGGGUCCAAGUCUCCUGGAUCACGUUCGGUGAGAAAAUCACGUUCCCGAAGGUUUUAUUCCGUUUGGACUCUGUUUGAUAUUCUGUUUCUUCGAAAUACUGAAAUAGGCAAAAAAACAACAAUUUUGGGCUUGGCCUCCGGUUAAUAGGUUAGUCCCAAAAAUAAUAUGAAAGUGGAAAAUAAAGCCCAAUAUAGUCCAAAACAGUAGACAAAGUAGCAUGGAGUAAUCAAAAAUUAUAGAUACGUUGGAGACGUAUCAAGCAUCCCCAAGCUUAAUUCUAGCUCGUCCUCGAGUAGGUAAAUGAUAAAAAAGAAUUUUUGAUGCGGAGUGAUACUUUGGCAUAAUUUCAAUGUAAAUCUUCUUAAUUGUGACAUGAAUAUUCAGAUCCGGAAGAUUCAAGACAAAAGUUUAUAUUAACAUAAAAGUAAUAAUACUUCAAGCAUACUAAUCAAAGCAAUCAUGUCUUCUCAAAAUAGCAUGGUUAAAGAAAGUUAUCCCUACAAAAUCAUAUAGUCUGGCUAUGCUCUACCUUCAUCACACAAAGUAUUUAAUCAUGCACAACCCCGAUGAUGAGCCAAGCAAUUGUUUCAUACUUUAGAAAUCUCAAACUUUUUCAACUUUCACGCAAUACAUGAGCGUGAGCCAUGGACAUAGCACUAUAGGUGGAAUAGAAAGGUGGUUGUGGAGAAGACAAAAAGGAGAAGAUAGUCUCACAUCAACUAGGCAUAUCAACGGGCUAUGGAGAUGCCCAUCAAUAGAUAUCAAUGUGAGUGAGCAGGGAUUGCCAUGCAACGGAUGCACUAGAGCUAUAAGUAUAUGAAAUCUCAACAAAAGAAACUAAGUGGGGGUGCAUCCAACUUGCUUGCUCAAGAAGACCUAGGGCACUUUUGAGGAAGCCCAUCAUUGGAAUAUACAAGACAAGUUUUAUAAUGAAAAAUUCCCACUAGUAUAUGAAAGUGAUAACAUAUGAGACUCUCUAUCAUGAAGAUCAUGGUGCUUAAUUUUGAAGCACAAGUGUGGAAAAAGGAUAGUAGCAUUGUCCCCUCUCUCUUUUUCUCUCAUUUUUUUAUUUUUUAUUUGGCCUUUCUCUUUUUUUUUCUUUUUUUUGGCCACUCCUUUUUUUUAUAUUUUUUUUCAUAAAGUCCGGAGUCUCAUCCCGACUUAUGGGGGAAUCAUAGUCUCCAUCAUCCUUUCCUCACUGGGACAAUGCUCUAAUAAUGAUAAUCAUCACACUUUUAUUUUUCUUACAACUCAUCAAUUACAACUCAAUACUUAGAACAAGAUAUUCGAUAUGAAUGCCUCCGGCGGUGUACCGGGAUAUGCAAUGAAUCAAGAGCGACAUGUAUGAAAAUUAUGAAGGUGGCCUUGCCACAAAUACAAUGUCAACUACAUGUUCAUGCAAAAAGCAAUAUGACAAAAGUAAUGUGUGUCAUAUGAACGGAACGGUGGAGAGUUGCAUGGCAAUAUAUCUCAGAAUGGCUAUGGAAAUGCCAUAAUAGGUAGGUAUGGUGGCUGUUUUGAGGAAGGUAUAUGGUGGGUGUAUGAUACCGGCGAAAAGUGUGCGGUAUUAGAGAGGUUAGCAAUGGCGAAAAGGUAAGAGUGUGUAUAAUCCAUGGACUCAACAUUAAUCAAAAUAACUCAUGCACUUAUUGCAAAAAUUUAGAAGUCAUCAAAAACCAAAGCAUUAAACGCAUACUCCUAGGGGGAUAGAUUGGUAGGAAGAGACCAUCGCUCGUCCCCGACUUCCACUCAUAAGGAAGACAAUAAAUAAAUAAAAUUGUGCUCCGACUUCAUCACAAGCGGUUCACCAUACGUGCAUGCUACAGGAAUCACAAACUUCAACGCAAGCAUUCUUUAAAUUCAUAAUUACCCCUACUAGCAUUGCUUUAAUAUUAUCACCUCCAUAUCUCAAAACAAUUAUCAAGCAUCAAACUUAUCUUAGUAUUCAACGCACUCAAAAGAAAGUUUCACAAAUCUUGAAUACCAAGUAUAUUAACUUUGAGCAAUUUACCAUGCUAUUAACAACUCUCAAAAUAAUCUAAGUGAAGCAUGAGAGAUCAAUAGUUUCUUUAAAAUAAAUCCACCACCGUGCUCUUAAAGAUCUAAGUGAAGAACUAGAGCAAAAAUUAUUACUCUCAAAAGAUAUAAGUGAAGCACUAUGAGCAAAACUAUCAAGCUCAAAAGAUAUAAGUGAAGCACUAUGAGCAAAACUAUCAAGCUCAAAAGAUAUAAGUGAAGUACAUAGAGUAUUCUAGCAAAUUCCACAUCAGGUAUGGCUCUCUCAAAAGGUGUGUACAGCAAGGAUGAUUGUGGCAAACUAACAAGCAAAGACACAAAUAAUAAAGAUGCUCCAAGCAAAGCACAUAUCAUGUAGUGAAUAAAAAUAUAGCUCCAAGUAAAUUACCGAUGGAAGUAGACGAAAGAGGGGAUGCCUUCCGGGGCAUCCCCUUGCUUUGACUUUUUGGUGUCCUUGGAUUAUCUUGGGGAUGCCAUGGGAAUCCCCAAUCUUAGGCUCUUCCCACUCUUUGUUCCAUAAUCCAUCAAAAGAAUUCACCCAAAACUUGAAAACUUCACAACACAAAAUUCAAUAGAAAUCUCGUGAGCUCCGUUAGUGAAAGAAAACAAAACACUACUUCAAGGUACUGUAAUGAACUCAUUCUUUAUUUAUAUUGGUAUUAAACCUACUGUAUUCCAACUUCCUUAUGGUUUAUAAACUAAUUUAUUAGCCAUAGAUUCAUCAAAAUAAGCAAACAACACACGAAAAACAGAAUCUGUCAAAAACAGAACAGUCUGUAGCAAUCUGUAACUAACGCAAACUUCUGGAACUCUAAAAAAUCCUACCAAAAUAGUACGCACUAGAAAUUUUUUUUAUUGAUCAGAAGCAAAAAGAAUCAAUGCAAAAUCUCGUUCCUUUGAUUUAUUGAAUUUUUUCUCGUGAGCGCAAAGUUUCUGUUUUUCAGCAGAAUCAAAUAAACUAUCACCAUAGCUUAUCCUAUAGGUUCUACUUGGCACAAACACUAAUUAAAACACAAAACCACAUCUAAACAGAAAGUAGAAACAAAAUUUAGCACUAAACAAGAACACAAAAUAAAAUUGGGUUGCCUCCCAACAAGCGCUAUCGUUUAACGCCCCUAGCUAGGCAUAAAAGCAAAGAUAGAUCUAAGUUUUGCCAUCUUUGGUAGGCAAUUCCUCAAAGAGGCAUCUACCUCCUUCAGAAUUUCCUUUAUUUCUAGUAAUUAUCAAAUUUUCAGGCAAAAGAUCAAAAAAUUCAUUCAUAGCAAAAGGUUCCUUAAUGAUAGUAAAAAGAUUGGGAUGAACACUUAUAGAUUUAAGAUUCGCAGUUUCCUUACUAGAUAAUUCACCCUUAUUCCUAGGAACAUAAAUUAGCUUAGUAUUUUUAGUAGAAGAACUUGGAGUGUUUUGUACGGAAGAAAAAGCGGUUCCCAAAUUGGUAAUGAUACCCUCAAGUUUAUCGUUUCUUGUGGAAUCUAGAUUUAUUUUAUCAUUAACUAUGGGUUCUUUUUCUUUAAUAUUCUUCAAAGUCAUUCCUACCUUAGAUCCAUAUUGGGUAAUUUGAUUGUGGAUCUUUUUAUAAAGAUUUUCAAUUGAUUCAAUGGUAGCAACUUCAUUAUCAAUAAUUUCAAGUAUUUGCAUAACAUGCUCCAAAGUUAAUGUAGUUCCAUUAAUCAAAAGAGGUGGGGUGCCGAAUAAAUCUAUUAAAGCAUUAUAGGAAUCAAAAGUGUGGCUACCCAAGAAAUUCCCUCCAGUAAUGGUAUCAAGGAUAUAUCUAUACCAAGGAUUAGCAACUACGUAAAAAUUACGACGAAGAACUGAAGUAGAUUGCUUCCUGGUAGAUCUAUUUUGAGCAUUGCAAAUUCUAUACCAAGCGUCUUUCAGAUUUUCUCCCUCCCUUUGUUUAAAAUUUAGAACUUCAUUCUCGAGAGAUAAUGGAGAAGAUAAAGAAUUAGACAUGACGACAAGCAAGCAAGCAAGCACACAGACAGGCAGGAGGACAAGCGAAGAAAGCAAAAGAGAAAGAGAGGAGGAGAUUGGGAAAGAGAGGGCGAAUAAAACGGCAAGGGUGAAGUGGGGGAGAGGAAAACGAGAGGCAAAUAAUGUAAUGCGAGAGAUAGGGAUUGUGAUGGGUACUUGGUAUAGUUGACUUUUGCGCGAACUCCCCGGUAACGGCGCCAGAAAUUCUUCUUGCUACCUCUUGAGCACUGCGUUGGAUUUCCCCGAAGAGGAGAUGAUGAUGCAGUAAAGUAGCGUAUGUAUUUCCCUCAGUUUUUGAGAACCAAGGUAUCAAUCCAGUAGGAGAUCACGCACAAGUCCCUCGUACCUACACAAAACGAUAGCAAUUCGCAACCAACGCUUAGGGGUUGUCAAUCCCUUCAUGGUCACUUACGAGAGUGAGAUCUGAUAGAGAUAAUAUUUUUGGUAUUUUUGAUAGAUAGAUGCAAAGUAAAAAGUAAAAGUCAAAGUAAAACAAAGCAAGUAAAUAAAGUAAUAUAGAUUGAUAUCAUGAGAAUAGACCCGGGGGCCAUAGGUUUCACUAGUGGCUUCUCUCAAGAGCAUAAGUAUUCUACGGUGGGUGAAAAAAUUACUGUUGAGCAAUUGAUAGAAAAGCGAAUAAUUAUGAGAUUAUCUAAGUAUGAUCAUGUAUAUAGGCAUCACGUCCAAAACAAGUAGAUCAAAACCAUUAUGCAUCCACUACUAUUACUCCACUCAUCGACCGCUAUCCAGCAUGCAUCUAGAGUAUUAAGUAAAACAGAGUAACGCUUUAAGUAAGAUGGCAUGAUGUAGAGGGAUAAAUUCAUGCAAUAUGAUAAAAAUCCCAUCUUGUUAUCCUCGAUGGCAACAAUACAAUACGUGCCUUGCAACUCUUUCUGUCACUGAGUAAGGACACCGCAAGAUUGAACCCAAAGCUAAACACUUCUCCCAUGGCAAGAACUACCAAUCUAGUUGGCCAAACGAAACGUAUAAUUCGAAGAGACUUGCAAAGAUAGCUCAAUCAUACAUAAAAGAAUUCAGAAAAGAAUCAAAUAUUGUUCAUAGAUAAGCUGGAUCAUAAACCCAAAAUUCAUCGAUCUCAACAAACACACCGCAAAAAGAAGAUUACAUCGAAUAGAUCUCCACAAGAGAGGGGGGGAACAUUGUAUUGAGAUCCAAAAAGAGAGAAGAAGCCAUCUAGCUAAUAACUAUGGACCCGUAGGUCUGAAGUAAACUACUCACACUUCAUUGGAGAGGCUAUGGUGUUGAUGUAGAAGCCCUCCAUGGUAGAUGCCCUCUCCGGCGGAGCUCCGGAACAGGCUCCAAGAUGGGAUCUCGUGGAUACAGAAGGUUGCGGCGGUGGAAUUAGGUUUUUGGCUCCGUAUCUGAUCUGACGGGGGUAUGUAGGUAUAUAUAGGAGGAAGGAGUAUGUCGGUGGAGCUCCGAGGGGCCCAUGAGGCAGGGGGCGCGCCUAGGGGGGCGCCCUCCACCCUCGUGACCGCCUCUGGCACUUCUUGGAGUAGGGUCCAAGUCUCCUGGAUCACGUUCGGUGAGAAAAUCACGUUCCCGAAGGUUUUAUUCCGUUUGGACUCCUUUUGAUAUCAUGUUUCUUAAAAAUACUGAAAUAGGCAAAAAAACAACAAUUCUGGGCUGGGCCUCCGGUUAAUAGGUUAGUCCCAAAAAUAAUAUGAAAGUGGAAAAUAAAGCCCAAUAUAGUCCAAAACAGUAGACAAAGUAGCAUGGAGUAAUCAAAAAUUAUAGAUACGUUGGAGACGUAUCAAGGGGUAAGGGGGCCAGCCCCCUCUAGAUGAGAUCUAGAGGGGGGCGGCGGCCAAGGGGGGGGGACUUGCGCCCCAAGCAAGGGGGCGCCCCCUUUAGGGUUUCCCCCCCAACCCUAGGCGCAUGGGCCCAAGGGGGGUUGGCACCCAGCCCUCUAUGGGCUGGUUCCCUUCCCUCUACAGCCCACGUGGCCCUCCGGGGGAGGUGGCCCCUCCCGGUGGACCCCCGGAACCCUUCCGAUGGCCCCGGUACAAUACCGGUAUGCCCCCGAACUUCUUCGGUGACCGUAUUACAAUUUCCCAUAUAUAAAUCUUCACCUCUGAACCAUUCCAGAACUCCGCAGGACGUUUGGGAUCUCAUCCAGGACUUCGAACAACAUUCGGUAAUCACAUACAAGUCUUCCUAAUAACCCUAGCAUCAUCGAAUACCUUAAGUGUGUAGACCCUACGGGUUCGGGAAUCACGCAGACAUGACCGAGACAGCUCUCCGGCCAAUAACCAAUAGUGGGAUAUGGAUACCCAUGUUGGCUCCCACAUGUUCCAUGAUGAUCUCAUCGGAUGAACCACGAUGUCGAGGAUUCAAGUAAUCCCAUAUACAAUUCCCUUUGUCAAUCGGUACGUUACUUGCCCAAGAUUCGAUCAUCGGUAUCCCAAUACCUUGUUCAAUCUCGUUACCGGCAAGUCACUUUACUCGUUACAUAAUGCAUGAUCAUGUGACUAACCUCUUAGUCACAUUGAGAUCAUUAUGAUGAUGCAUUACCGAGUGGGCCCAGAGAUAUCUCUCCGUCAUACGUAGUGACAAAUUCCAGUCUUGAUUCGUGCCAACCCAACAGACACUUUUGAAGAUACCUAUAGUGCACCUUUAUAGUCACCCAGUUACGUUGUGACGUUUGGUACACCCAAAGACCUUCUACGGUAUCCGGGAGUUACACAAUCUCAUGGUCUAAGGAACUGAUACUUGACAUUAGAAAAGCUUUAGCAAAUGAACUACACGAUCUGGUGCUAUGCUUAGGAUUUGGUCUUGUCCAUCACAUCAUUCUCCUAAUGAUGUGACCCUGUUAUCAAUGACAUUCAAUGUCCAUAGUCAGAAAACCAUGACCAUCUGUUGAUCAACGAGCUAGUCAACUAGAGGCUUACUAGGGACAUGUUGUGGUCUAUGUAUUCACACAUGUAUCACAGUUUUCGGUUAAUACAAUUAUAGCAUGAAUAGUAGACAAUUAUCAUGAACAAGGAAAUAUAAUAAUAAUCAUUUUAUUAUUGCCUCUAGGGAAUAUUUCCAACAGUCUCCCACUUGCACUAGAGUCAAUAAUCUAGUUACACUGUGAUGAAUCGAACACCCAUAGAGUUCUGGUGUUGAUCAUGUUUUGCUCGUGGAAGAGGUUUAGUCAACAGAUCUGCGACAUUCAGAUCCGUAUGCACUUUGCACUACAAAAAAAGGACACGUCCAUGACAUUUUGGGCCGAACGAAUUUUUUUCUGUCAUACAUAUGACACUUCUAUGACGAUAAUUGUGACAAAACCCGGUAUCACCAUAGAUGUGGUGGGCUCCUACUUCUAUGACAAAAAAUCAUGACAGAAAAUGGGCUUUUCGUCCUGGGCGGGCCGGAGACGCAGCUACAUUACAUUCUUUGGGCCAUCCAUGACGGAAAAAACCAUGGUAGAAGCGAGGGUGAGGAAAAUUUCGGGGAGUUGCCGGUUACGAUGGGAGGUCGGGGGCCGAGCGAUGCACGUUUCUCUCGUACACGUACGCGCGUGUGUGCGAGGCGUUGGCUCUAACUGAACCCGAGAGAGGUGUUGGCCUCUAACUGAACCCGAGCGAUUGCACUGCAGGCUACGCGUUACUGAACCCGAGCGAUCGAUCGAUGGCUGUUAACUGAACCUGAUCGAGCGAUUCGUUCGCUACUGCUGCUAACUGAAGCCGAUCGAUGCCGCCUCUCUGGAUGAACAGUGAGCGUUGCGGUGGGGUUUGGAUGAAUAGUGAGCUGUGGGAGUGGACAAACACGACCCGUGGUGUUGCCUCUGGAUGAACAGGACCCCGUGGUGUGGAGGGCUGGAUGAACAGGACGACCCCGUGGAGGGCUGGAUGAACAGUAGACGGUGGAGGGGUUGCCCGUGGAGGGGUGGAUGAACAGGACCCCGUGGUGUGGAGGGCUGGAUGAACAGUAGACGGUGGAGGGGUGCCCGUGGAGGGGUAGUUGAACAGUAGCCGCUGGAGUAGCGCGCGGUGGAGGCUGGAUGAACAGGAGCCCGUGGAGGCUGGAGGAGGUCGACGGUAGCCCGUGGAGGCUGGAGGAGGUCGACGGUCGAGAUGAACAGUAUCCCGUGGAGUCCUGUUUUGCAGUACGCCACACCCCUCCCGAUGAACAGGACCCCCGUUUCGACCUAGCGCUCCAACACAAGUCCGUUUCGUCCAUUUUGCGGUACACCACACCCUCCCGAUCAACAGGUCCCCCGUUUCGACCGUAGGAGGUCCGUUUCCUCCGUCUUGCGGUAUGCCACACCCCUCCCGAUCAACAGGACCCCCGUUUCGACCGUAGGAGGUCCAUUUCCUCCGUUUUGCGGUACGCCAGACCCCUCCCGAUGAACACGACCCCCGUUUCGAACGUGGCCGGUCGAACACAAGGCCGUUUCCUCCGUUCUGCGGUACGCCAGGCCUCGUUUCCAUCGCCUGUUCCAUCCAAGCCCUUCCGAUGAACACGACCACGCAUUCCAUUCCGACCCAGCCGGUUGGCUCCCCAUGAACACGAUGACGACGCUAUUUCUCCGUUCCGACCCAGCCAAUGUACACGAGCCCUGGCCAUACGCAUAUAUGCACGAGUAGGCGUUUGAGACCCCGCCCGUAUGUACACAUACGUGGCCGUAUUUUCUUUCUUGCACCCUGGCCGUUGUACGUACGUGUACAUGCUAUGUGCGCGCCUCUACUACGACACGUGCGCGCCUCUACAUCCACCAGUAUAUAUGUACGUACACGUUCGCGACCAGAAUGACAACACUACGUACGCUUCGACCAGGUGGGUCCCGACUGUCAGACACUUCCUUGCGUGUGAAGAUGUAGCUGGUGGGUCCCAGCAGUUAGGGGGGUGAAUCAUUUUUUUUUCGGACGCACUUCCUUGCAUGCGAAGAUGUAGCUGGUGGGUCCCAGCAGUUAGGGGGGUGAAUCGUGUUUUUUUUGCCCGGACACACUUCCUUGCGUAAGAAGAUGUAGAUGGUGGGUCCCGGCAAUCAGGGGGCGAAUCGUCUUUUNNNNNNNNNNNNNNNNNNNNNNNNNNNNNNNNNNNNNNNNNNNNNNNNNNNNNNNNNNNNNNNNNNNNNNNNNNNNNNNNNNNNNNNNNNNNNNNNNNNNNNNNNNNNNNNNNNNNNNNNNNNNNNNNNNNNNNNNNNNNNNNNNNNNNNNNNNNNNNNNNNNNNNNNNNNNNNNNNNNNNNNNNNNNNNNNNNNNNNNNNNNNNNNNNNNNNNNNNNNNNNUUUUUUUGCCCGGACGCACUUCCUUGGGUGCGAAGAUGUAGCUGGUGGGUCCCAGCAGUCAGGGGGCGAAUCUUUUUUUUUUGCCCGGACGCACUUCCUUGCGUCCAAAGAUGUAGCUGGUGGGUCCCAGCAGUCAGGGGGCGAAUCGUUUUUUUGCCUGGACGCACUUCCUUGCGUGAGAAGAUGUAGCUGGUGGGUCCCAGCAGUCAGGGGGAAACGUUUUUUUCGCGAAAUACAGUGGCCCGUCCGGUGGGUCCCAGCUGUCAGGUGGAGGAAUAAUUAUUUUUCGCGUAAUAAGGAGGCACUUCCUUGCUGCAGCCAUGGACCCAGCUGUCAGCCUCUCCACGUACAGUCCACGUCCGAUGGAAGUCGUUCCUUGACCAUGUUGACCAUGCCGCGCCGAGAGCACCAGGGCGGUGGACGACGGCGAGGCCUAGGAAGGGGACGACGGGGAGCCGAGGAAGACGCGGCAGUGGAAGCCCGCGCGGAGAGGAGUACUAGGGUUCACUGGUUCGGCUGCGGUGUGAGGCUGCCGUCGCCGCAGGGCCUGGCCAGCGGUGGGAAUAGUAGGGGGCGGUGAGGCCUCCGCGUCAGCAUAGCCGGCCACAGAAGGCAGGAGCAUGCGGCACGACCGGCGCUGCUUUGGGCGACUGGAGCAAGAAGACCAGAGGUUGAAGAAGCACUACGACCGUUGGAUGGACAUCGUACGGUCACUGGAGCUAGAAUCGUUCAUAUUGAAGAAGCAGCACCGCCGUUGGAUUAACAUCCAAUGGUCACUGCUGCUAGGAUCGUUUGUGGACUAAGUUGACAAAGCCAAAGUACACGUCAACCUAGUAGACCCACAAGUCAGCCUCCAAACCUGUCCCAAACAGCAUACAACCCGAAAUUUCUAGCCAGAUUCAAAUUAAUUUUAAAUCUAAAUAUACCUUAUUUUAAAUUCAAUGAAAUAUUACCCGCACAAAAAUAAUGAAAUUUUAAAUAUCAAAAUCUGAAAGAAAACAUUAUUUUGGAACUAAUUGCCUGUUUGCUGUAUUUUUUUCAUUUUAUAGCCCAUUUAUUUUUACUUAUAGCCCAUUUCUUAUUACUUAUAGCCCAUUUUCUGGGCAAAAUGCAUCCCUCCUCGUCUUGAAAGAUUUCCGGCCCAGCAGGGCGUAGAAAAGCAAGUAGGCCUAUGUUGGUUAUUCUGCAAAAAACAAAAUAGCUGGCUAGCCAUUUUUCAGAAUGGAAAAAAACAAAUUGGGCUGGUCAUGUGCUAAACAUAUGAAAUAAAAGCCUGGGCUAGAUGGGCCACGGGUCCCGCACAACCCAGUUGAUACCCUUCUCCGUCCCGAAAAAACAAAAUUACUAUGCGCGCUGCUGGGUCCCUACUGUCAUCCUCACCAUGUACAGUCAUCUCCUUAUUCCUCUUGGUUGUUGACCAUGUUGACAACACCGGAGGGCGUCGCCGCAGCGAGCGAACCAAGGCGGAGGACGAUGGUGAGGCCUCAGACGGGAAAGAACAGGAGCCGGGGAAGAUCACAGAUAGCCGUGGGAGGCGAGAGCAGGCGGUCCCGCCGGCGCUGGUUUGGCUUUGGCGGCUCGAGGAAGAAGAGACUGAAGAAACGCGACAGACGUUGAAUGUAAAUCCAACGGUCAAGGUUGGCACAAUCGUUUGCUGACUAAGUGGACACCAAGUAGCAUACUUUUUUAUAUAUAGGAAGAAAACUGCGAGGAAAAUGCGUUUGUCUACCGUCCUCCUCACAGGGAACGUUCGCCACAUAAGUGACUAGCACCCAUGGUUUUCAACCGAGAGGUCUUGGGUUCGAGUCCCAGGAAAUCUCAAUUUUGUCCUCCUUCCUUCCUUGCAAAAAAAAGGGAAAGAAAAUCAAAGACUUGGGAAGGCGUACAGAACAAGCUAGUGUACCAGUAAAGAGACAUUGCCGAGUUUUAGAAAAAAGAGAGACGUGCUCAUGUAACUGGUUCGAAUCCAAACCUAGACUAUGACUAUAUAUGGUGCUAUGCUACUCUGCAAGUAAUGAAACUGAAAUAUCCAAUGUUCGCUUCUCCUCUUCUCUACUUACUCUGCCUAGCAUCAGAAGCUCUGGGCGCAGCAACCAUGUCCACUGGCUGCUCGUCCACCUGCUCUUCAGCAGGCAACAACCAAAUAUGGGCCAAGUCACCACCCGUACCAUCGCCUGUGGGUCUCAUCACACCCCCGCCCGCAGUGCACCGCAGCCGAUUGCUCAUCGCAACCCGCUGCCGUUGGUGUGGUGCCAUUGCUGCAAAUCACGCAGAGUCAUCCAUCGCGUCUCAACCACAAUCCUCAACCCUGGCCGAGUCUUCUACAAAUGCCCGAAUCAUGGGGUAAUAAUAUGUUAAAGUGUUGUUCUGCUACUUUCAGUUGCUAAUUUUUUUAAUAGUUUGGUUGAUGAUCUUCCAAUUUGAUUCGUGCAGAAAAGGGAAGAUUCAUGUGAUUUGUAUUUCUGGGAAGUUGCUGAUGUGGGGGAAUGCAACUACGCUGAUUAUUUGGUUAGCCGAGGAAUCCCAAUACCAGCAGGUUGGGGUGUUGGACAAGUAACUAAAGGAUUGACAGAAGAGGAAGAUGCAGAGCAGAAGGUUAAAGAGGCAGUUCCUCUGAUCAUGGCCAAGCAACAGCUGCUGAACAGCCUUGACAGCAAUGAGGAGAUGAAAGAGCUUGUGAAGAUAAUGGGAAAAUCGAUGUGCUCUGUAGGAUGAUUGUCUCUUUAUCUACAGUGUAUGUAGCACUCGUGAUGUAUUCAGUGACUACGACAUGAGCACUUUGCUGAAACUAGUAAUGAAUGAAACCUGUGUAGCAGGCUGGGCGUAGUGUUGUGAACAUCUAAUGAUUUCUAUUAACGGAAAUCAGGGGGUAUCCCCUUUUUCUCAUAAAUAAAUAAAUAAUAGAGGCCCUGUCGAGUCAGCUUUGUUCUCAUUCGAAGACGUCGAGCAAAUUGCAGUCCAACAGCAAACUAUGUCAUCAAAUUCAAGUUUCACAGCCAAAUAUGAGUACAACUAAACAACAAUUUCAUCAUGUUUUAGUUGUCAUACAAUCACCAAACACAAAUCAGCAUACAUAACAAGUAAUGUUCUCACAACAAAAUACUAAACAACUUGUUCAUCAGGUUUCAGUUGUCAUAGCAAACACAAUUUCACAUAGUAGAUAAAAAACGUCUUCUAACAGGCAAAUACGACAAAAGUAAUGUAAUCAUCAUCCGCAGCAGCAGCGUCAACAUAUUCGCCAUGUGUAUCAGUCUGAAUCGUAAUUCCCCACGGUGUCAUCUUCUUCUUCGUCCUCAACGUCCUCGAAUGUUGGCUUCUUCUUGAUCAACUCUUGUAUGUCCACAGCACGACAGGCAAUCUUUUCGCCGGCGUCAUUGAUGUGAUGGUUCUCGAAGAUAUUAGGAACAUUUGUGUUAUCUUGUACAUCAGGAGCAGUGUAAGCAUCAUCUUGUUGUGCAACUUCAUUAAACGAAUUCCUCUGCUCAAACCUUUGCAAUACUCUCCAGUCAUCGCUACGUGCAAAUGUGUCUUCCAAGAAAAAUAUUUGUGUUGCUUGAUUUGCCAAAAUAAAAGGCUCGUUGGUCUGGUACACCGCCUUGACAUUGAUGGAUUUGAAUUAAUCAUCAGCUCUGGGUUUUGCGAUCCUGGAAAAUAGGUUAUACCAACGACAUCACAACAGAACCACACACCGAUGAUCCUUGAAACUGUAGAUAUACUACAACUGAACAAUGUUUGUUAUGUUAGCAUACAUUUCAGUUGUCUCUUUGUCAUACGUAUCCGUGCUCAUGAUGUCACUGUUUUGUGUCUUCCUACCUUCGUCUCAUGCAAGGGUGUUGUAGCGCACAUCUCCAAUAACGCAAGAUUCAUAAUGUCUUACCCGAGUAUCAAGACCCAUUGCUAGUGAGUAAAGGGCAUCAUCAACUGCCUGCCCAUCCUCCCGCAUCUUCUUAACCUAUGGUUAGAAAAUAGACAAGCUGAUCAUCUUAUUUACUCAAUAUAUUAAAAAAACUGACAGUGCACUUCAAAAGCUUACAUGGUUCUUGAACCAUUUCGCAAAUCCUGCCAUAACCAGUUUGUCGAUGUUUCUUGGAUUUUGCAGUAACUCCUCUUUGUAGAUGCUGCACAACAUAGUGAUCGCGUCAAACAUCUAAAUAUAUAAGAAUGUGCUGCAAGUUUAGUAGAUUACGAUGUAUAAGCUGCAGUACUGCACUUACUUGAUAUAAGGUAGUAUCUGAGGACAGUUAUUCAACACAUACCAAAACAUUUUGUCCAAAUCUUUAGGUUUGUCCUCUUGUCGACUCUUCCCUGUAACUCGAACAGAAUAAUCGAAAACAUUGAGCCCGGGAUUGUCUUCACCCACGUCUUUGCUAAGCUGAUCAGCUGUUUCAAUGUAUUUUGAGCAGAAUGUCAACACUUCUGUAGCAAUGUAGGCCUCUGCAAUGGAACUCUCGGGUCUAGCUCUAUUCCUAACAUAGCCCUUGAAAGUGCCUAGCCGCCUUUCAAUAGGGUACAUCCAGCCAUACUAUACUGGACCUCUAAGUAGUGCCUCAUCAGGUAGAUGAAUAGCCAAAUGCACCAUCACAUCAAAGAAGGCUGGAGGAUAUAUCUUCUCAAGGUCGCAUAGGAUAGUUGGUAUCUUGUCUCUAAAACGCUCCAAAGCAUCUAUCCUGAUAUUUCUACUGCAGAGUUCCCUGAAGAAUUGUCCCAACUCUGCAACUGCUCUGUAUAAGUCAGGGCGGCCCAAUCCUCUAAGGAUAACAUGUAAAACCCUUUGAAGUAGGACGUGGCAGUUAUGAGUUUUCAACCCUUGUACCUUGUUUCCAUCUGCACUGACUCUCCUUUCAGGGUUGGAAGCAAAUCCAUGUGGGAAUCCCACACAUGAUAGGACCUCGCAGAAUUCUUUUCUUCUUACCUUGUCCAAGACAUACACAGCUGGUGCCAUAUACCGUGGUUUACCUUCAUCUUGCACCUGCAAAUCCUUUCUGAUACCCAGGUGUGUCAAAUCAAUCCUAGAUUUUAAGGUAUCUUUCGUCUUGCCUUCAAUAUUAAGAAGUGUGCCGAUAAUGUUGUCACAUAUAUUUUUCUCGAUUUGCAUCACAUCAAGAUUAUGCCACAGAUCUAAAUCUUUCCAAUACUCCAAGUCCCACAAAGUGGACCUGCGGGUAAACAAUAAUCUCUCUUCUGCCCUGCCACGCUUCCUUUUCCUGCUAGCAUUACCAGGAUGGUUUCUUGGUGUAAUAUGCCUGACCUUCUCUAAUUCCACUUGCAACUCAUCGGCGGUGAGCCUCUUUGGCCCAUCACAGUUUUCAUGCUUUGCAUUGAACACAUGUCUUCGCUAUUUUCUAGGAUGCGGCUUGUCCUUGGCAAGGAAACGGUGGUGUCCAAUGUAAAAGAUCUUGCUAAGUAUUGUGUAUGACAGCGGAUUCUUGUCACAGCGAACACAUGCAUUGUAACCAUGUGUCGUUCGCCCUGACAUAGUGCCCCAAGCCGGAUAAUCAUGGAUGCACCAAAUUAUAAUAGCACGUAGAAAGAAAUCAGCUGGUGGGCUGCUAUAUAGGUCUCGAGUGAGAACACCCUUCCAUAGCUGUUGAAGUUCCUCCACAAGAGGCUCCAUGAACAAAUCAAAAUCCUUUCCCAGACUUUUUGGACCUGGGAUGAGCAAGGCCAUCAUGUAGUUUGAUUCUUUGGUGCAGACAUUUGGAGGCAUGUUGUAAGGGAUAACAAGCACUGGACACAUGCUAUAUGUGGUGCUCUGGUGGCCAAAUGGGUUAAAUCCAUCUGAAGCUAAGCCAAGUCUAAUGUUUCUCGGGUCAGCAGCAAACUUUUUGUGUUUAUCAUUGAAGCUUUUCCACUCACUACCAUGAGAUGGAUGGCUCAUUACAAUCUGAUCUCUGUACUCCUAGUUCCUAGAAUGCCACAGUACAUCCUCUCUUGUUUCAGCAUCAUGAACCAACCUCUGCAAUCUUGGUGUAAUUGGAAAAUGUCUCAGAACAUUAUGAGGAAUCCUCUUCACAUCAUCGCCAUCUUUCCAUCUUGAUGAUUUGCAUUUCAGGCAUUCACUUAAGUUGGCAUAAUCCUUCUGGAACAGAACACAAUUAUUCUUUCAAACAUGGAUCAUAUCAUAUCCAAUUGCAACAGCACGAAGGAAAUUCUUCAUUUUACUGUAGGUGUGUGGCAGCUCAGACGCAUCUGGGAAAGAUUUGCGGAAAGCACCCAACAUCGCAUCGAAUGAUUUGUUGAUCAUUCGCUCAGAUGUCUUCACCUGAAGAAAGGUGACCAUAGCUGAAAAUACUGAAAGCUUAUUUCCUGGGGUGACAACAACGUUGCUUUGUUCCAACAUGCAGGCCCACCAUUUUUCUUCUGCAGGUGAAAGUUCACGGAAUGCAUGAGCAUUUUGUAGCAUUGUUUCAAUGUUGGUCAAACUCACUGGCUCUGCCACCUCCUCCUCCUCCUCCUCUUCCACCUGAGCAUCAGGUAGAUCAAGAUGGUGAUCUGCUUCUUCCACGUAGUCAAUAACAUUGACGUUCACAGCUUCACCAUGAUGAACCCACCUAGUAUAUGUGACCGACAUCCCAUACAAGUGUUGAUGAUUUUGCACAGUUGACUGGGGUCUUGUAACUGAAUUCAUACAACUGCUACAUGGGCAGAGCACAUCUGAUUUCGGACCACCGUACUCAGCUCUGAUAAAGAUCAUGAAGUUUUCAACCCUCUCGACAUAUGCAGCGGAGAAUCUUCGAGCAGAAGUUAUUUCAAGUCCUGUCCAUCUGUUAGACAUACAAAUUAGUUCUUCUACUAGAUACUACAGGAAAAACAUAUAUGCUUUUUUAUGAAGUCUAGAAAAAAUACCUAGGUCGAUGUCUAAAGCUAUGGCAAGAUAUUUGGACGAGCAGAUCUAAGUAACGAAAUAUAUGUAAAGCUAAUUUAGCAAACAGAUUUGAGUGCUAAAUUAUGGCAGGCUGUUUCAGUAGUCAAUGAGGCCGAGCACACAGCCAUCAAACUAUCGAAGGCCAUCGCAGCAACAAAGAUCGAGUAUAAAACGGUGUAGAGCUAUUUCACCUAACAGAUUGGCUACUAGACCAUGGCAAUCUACGUCAAAAUAAAUAUAUGGCAGGAUAUUUUUGCAACUAAUCGGCCUUGGCAUGCCAUCUCAGCUAAGCAGAUUGAGUGCAGAACAGGGCAAGGAAGCUUCUUAAGUAGAGCAUAUUCACAAUAAACCACUUCAGCAAACAGUGAGAUUACCAGCGUCUAUCAGCUAACAUUCAGCGCUACACCGACAUGAAUGGGGCCUCAGUCUAGAAUGCGCGUACCGUGGGAGAAGCUGACCGCCGUGCGUAUCCACAUGAACGUCUCCAGCGGUGGCGGCGCUGACCGCGGUGCGCCUCCACAAGAACAUAGCCAGAGGUGGCGGCGCGGCUAGAGGACGGCAGUCUAUGAUAUCAUACUAUGGGAGCGAGAGGAUCAUCGUGCGUCCCCUCGAUGAACCGCGGUGCCGACGUAUCAGCGCGGCAGGGAGGGCGGGUUUGGCGGAGCGAAUGGAGUGGAGUGGGACGGUGGGGGGGGAGGGGGUUUGGGNNNNNNNNNNNNNNNNNNNNNNNNNNNNNNNNNNNNNNNNNNNNNNNNNNNNNNNNNNNNNNNNNNNNNNNNNNNNNNNNNNNNNNNNNNNNNNNNNNNNNNNNNNNNNNNNNNNNNNNNNNNNNNNNNNNNNNNNNNNNNNNNNNNNNNNNNNNNNNNNNNNNNNNNNNNNNNNNNNNNNNNNNNNNNNNNNNNNNNNNNNNNNNNNNNNNNNNNNNNNNNNNNNNNNNNNNNNNNNNNNNNNNNNNNNNNNNNNNNNNNNNNNNNNNNNNNNNNNNNNNNNNNNNNNNNNNNNNNNNNNNNNNNNNNNNNNNGGGGGAAGGAUUUUCGCGCGGUGGGCGAGGGGAGUUUGGCGCAUGGUCGGUUUCUCCAAGUGCAGUCCCACGUGUCAGUGAAGAGGCAAGCCGAAGCGCGUGAGUGCGACAGGAGUGCUGUGAGUGUACCGCCUUUUUUCCUCAAAAAAAAUUAGGUGCUUUGCCCCCUCAAAAAAAAAAUUGUUGCUUCACGCGAUCCAUUGAUACUACUACUAAAACGGCGCAGCCGGGUCUUCUCCCGCGCGAUAUGCUGGGAGGUUGGCUUAGUUGGGUUUUUUAGGAUGAGUAAUGUUACACCUAGUAAUCCCAGUUAUGUAAUUAACGUAAUGUGAAACGUGUGAGCUGUUGAUUGUAGAUUGGGGGGAGGGAGGGGCCCACCACCAUGAAAAUCAGGGGAGGAGAGAGAGAGAGGCAAUUUACGUUAACCCUUUCGUAGGUUCCCGUAGAUGUAGAAAGAUGUGAAAUGCGUGAAUGUGUAGUGAACGUACUAUUGGAGUGCCUAAGAUAAUUUGUGUAUGUAUAGACCCUAUGUGUUUAUUUUACUUCGCAUGUUAGAUUUGUAUCGGUUCAAUAAAAAGCAGAGUUAGUGAUGAUGGUGUGCCUGUCAUCCUGCAAUAUCGGCCGUCCGAUCUAUAUCUAAUGGAUAGGAAGGAAACUAUGACAAUUUACCCACACUCCACUCCACAUUUGAAGAUAAGGCUUUCCCUCGUUCAUCCUUUUCUCCCACAAGAUCUUGAUCUUCCAUGCAACGCACGGGCAUCUUGCUAGUACUCCUACAAUAUGUAUAUUAUUGUGAAAGUUCAUAUACACCAGCCAAGAUUAAUGCAAGCACGGCAUAUUUUCAUUACAUUUCGAACUUCUAUAUGACAGAAAAAUAAAAGAAACCCGACCCCAAACCUGUUCUACGGCCGUACAGCGGCGACCGACGUCCUCCAUCUGCGAUCUCUAUGUACAGGGGCGAGGUUCAAGACCCGUAAAGUGAAGGUGCAGUCUCCGGCGAGGAAAAGUAGAACACGGGAGACGGACCGACCAGUUGGCACACCAUGCCCUGCUGCCUCCCAUGCCCUACUCAUCCUCGGAGGAGUCCCUGACCUCGGCGGUGCCGGACGUUGGACGGGGGCAAGAAGGACGCGUGGCUGACGGUGCUCCUGUCGUCGGCCGCCAGCGUGGCCACCGCUUGUGCGGUCGCGUCCGCGUCCGGCUACGCCGCUAUUGCGUCGCGAGAGGCGACUUGAGCGAGGGCGGCGACCUCGACCUUCAUCCCCGAAGAUAAGCUCUCCCACAGAGUGUUCGCACUUGCGGUCAUGGCAGAUGUGGUGCCAGGUAGGAGGACGAUGCGCUAUGGUGUGGAGGUUAGCUGGGCGUUGUCGCUUUAAGUAGCGCAUUCCGGUGAGGCCAAGUGUCCGGGUGAGUCAUUAAGUUGCCGGAGUUGGUUCCUCGGGCACCGAGCCUCUUAACGACGACAUACGAACGGACGGCAUGAAUGCGGGCAGCUGGCGCCGGCUGGGAACGCACCACGCGACGGCGCGAGGGACGAGGGUUUUGGUGUGCCAGGGUAGUCAGCUGCGGUCAUGGCAACGUUGGAGAUGCCCUUUGCUCACAUGUGAUCCCCGCAUGUCAUUGAAAAAGCAAGAUGACCCGGCAUGGUCUAAGGUCCAGAGGAUGCAGUUGGCCGCGCUACACCACUCCGCGGACGCGUCACGGUGGCCCGUGCAUACUCGAUGAGCCGGGUGUUGGGGUGUGUUUGGAUUGUGGCCAAAGUGCACCUUACCAAAAUUUUGGUCAUGACCCAAAGAUUCGUCUUUGUUUGGAUGGUUGCCAUUUUUUUUGGCAUGCCAAUGAACUCUAGCCAACUCUAUUUCAUUUUUCUUGCCAAUGUCGGCCAAAUCAUGGGCAACCAAUACCUGAACCAAAAUUUUGGUCAUAACACAAAGAUUGUUCUUUGUUUGGAUGGUUGCCAUUUGUUUGGCAUGCCAAUGAACUCUAGCCAACUCUAGUUCAUUUUUCUAGCCAAUGUCGGCCAAAUCAUGGGCAACCAAUAGCUCAACCAAAAUUUUGGCUACCCAAUGCUUUGAUGCGGCAACCUUGGGCACAAACAAAACAUACUGUUGGUCGUGCCACAACACUAACGCCACCCUCGGCACACUGAAACCGACCGUGUCUAGCGACGAUAUGAGUGUGUCGCUCACCGCGGUCGCCGUGUCCAGAGGCGGUGCUGGAGCUGCGCCCCGUUGUUGGCCCCAACAACCCACAUGAACGGUUGUCGGUGGCGAGGAGGUCAUGGGCCAGCUCCUCCAUUGGACUAGUCUGCGCUAUGUCGUCCCGACGGGUGUGCCCCACAUGUCGGUUUCCUUGUUUUCCCGGCCAUAUUCGAGCGUCAGUGCUCCGCGUUGCGCAUUAGGCCUUUCACUAUGUAGGCCAAGCGAGACAACUUAUUAUUUAUUUGAGCAGUUCAAGUAUAAUCACGUGGCGUCUGCUUAUUUCUCAUUCCUCUCCAACCCUCUUCUCCAUUGAUCAUGUCGCCCUCCAGUCGAGUCCAUCCUCCCGCAUGCCUCAUUUGAACAUUCCGCCGAGUAUCAUUAGCAUGUACCCACCCUAGUCCUCUUUCAAUAGAUCUUCGGGCCCCGAGAUGAGAUCGAGAGGGAACGAGUGCGGGCACGUGAUACCCAAGGCGGAUUCAAAAUUUUGAACCGGUGAUCAUAGCAUCCGCAAAUCAUAUAUAAAGGGUAUUCAAUGUUCAUUUCGUUUUGAACGUACAAUAUACUCCCUCAUAUCCUUUCUAGUUUACAUAUAGGUUUUAUGUGUAGUCAAAGUAUCUCUACUUUGAUCAAGAAGGUAUCAACAUUCAACAGCGCCCAAUCAAUAUUGUUAGAUUCGUACGUACUCCUAGAUUUGUACUCGAGAUGGUUUCCAAUUUGACCAUUGACAAGAUUAAUAGUACAUGAGAUGUAUAAUGUUUAAAUUAUAUCAUUGGAAACUCCUUUCACAUACGAAUUUGACCGUAUGCUUUGUGUAAGUUGCAUGUCAUAUAUUAUUACUCUAACAUUUGGUCAAAGUUAGCCUUGAAAAACGCAUUAGACCCUGUAUGUUUUGUGUAAGUUGCAUGUCAUGUAUUAUUACUCUAACAUUUGUGUAAGUUGCAUGUCAUAUAUUAUUACUCUAACAUUUGGUCAAAGUAGUAUAGUGGAAGUGGAUCCUCUCACGUAGGUAUCCCUGCCUUACCCUCCCUUUCGGUCACUUACUGGCAGACCCCAUGCUUGCUAGGCCCCGCAUGUCAGUCACUCAAUGGGUUCGACCACGUCAGGGGAUCCUCAUCCGUAGUAUACUCCCUUUGUUUUUAUUUACUCCGCAUAAAACGGAGGGAGUGGUGGUAUAAUAAAUGACGUGGGCGGGGGAGGGGGAGGGACGUCGGUUUGCUCUCAAUUGCGGUCCCACAAGACAAAGCGUGUUCCAUUCGGUGAGCAACGUGGAGGGUCCAGCGUGCCGGGCUGCAACGUGAACGCGACAAGAGUGAUGUACAGUCAAAACCGAUUGACCGGUCGUCACCGGAAUAACUAUUCACACCAGAACCUUCGCUGCUCAGCCUACGCCAGCCACUGCCCUAAAACCACACCAAAUCUCCAGCCCAUGCCCCCACCUUUUGAUCCCCUAGCCCGCAUCAAGCGUCCCCUAGUUCACCGGAAAGCCAUGGUGCGCCGCAAGAUCACUUACUACAAGAUGCUGACGCCGGAGCACUGCGCAGAAAUCGCUGCGGCGGUCGGCGCCACAGACUUCCAUUCCCAAGCUCGCUUUGCGGCAGGCCAAUCCCCGAGUUCUUUAGAGCCAAGCUACGAGGAGGAGGAAACCGAUCCAAUGUUCAUGGCGGAGGUCGCGGUGCAGAAGGCCCCCGAUGGGUAUGAAACGAUGGACGUCGACUUCGUGCCGGUGUCCGAGUCCCCCAUGGUGCAGGCGGACCAGCGGUUCAACAUGGCGAUACUAAAGGAGGACGGGGAGGCAGAGGCUCGAUUCGACAUGGAGCGCACGCAUGCCGCUGCCAUCGAGGCUCUCCUGCAGGCAGAACCGGAUGUCGUGGAUGUGAACCGGGUGGCGGAGGCACAACUUGAGGCGGAGUGCGCGGAUGCCGCUGCCAUCGAGGCCCUCUUGCAGGCGGAACCGGACGUCUUGUACUUGAACCGGGCGGCAGAGGCUCGACUCAACGCAGAGCGCGCGGAUGCCGCUCUCAUUGACGCCCUCCUGCAGGCAGAACCGGAAGUCCUGGACUUGAACCGGGCGGCGGAGGCUCGACUUGACGUGGAGCGCGCGGAUGCCGUUGCCAGCGAGGCCCUCCUGCAGGCGGAACCGGACAUCCUCGACUUGAACCGGGCUGUGCUCUUGUCCGUGCAGAGUGCCUGCACGCUCCGCUUGAACGAGUAUCUGGAGGCCGAGGACAACCACGGUGCGGAGACACACGUCGACAGCUACGGCUGGUUCGCGCCGGCAGCCAAAGACGACGAGGCCGUCUCUUUCCGCGAGCAAUGCUAGUUUUUCUUUAUGUUGUUGUUUUUAUGGAUCUUUUGCUGUGUGAAAACUUAUAUUUGUUAUGAAAGUCGCCUGACUUGGGUCAGUCUACCAUUUCAGGCGGUUGGAUGAAUAUCCUACGUCUCCUAACCCUUCUUUCCUUCUUCCUCACCUCUUCUUAUUCCCCAACAUACCACCACACGGGCUGUAUGGAUACUCCCCAACAUGCGGUUGGAUAAACAUACUCUAUGAACCAAAAUUAUGUGUCAGCGAUAGGAUGGCUGAGUUUGGUUUGUUCACAUGCGACAACACGUGUCAGUGAGGGUGUGUUCCCUUGGUUGGGUUUGCAGCGUGCAGGAGCGACUGUGUGAGGGUGCGGUGCGACCGCGACGUGCAGGAGUGACCGUGUGAGGGUGCGGUGCGACUGUGACAGCCAUGCGCAAGUGUACCUCCUUCUCAUUUUGAAAACUUUAGGCAAGCUUGGCAAAAAUGUGUGGAGAAGUUUGGCAAUGCAAGGCCUAGACCAAAAUAGGAUAAGUACGUACGUACUAGGAGUACUAGUGUUAAAAAAGAAAGGCGGGGUUUUCCUUCGCGGGAUUUAAUCGAUACAAAUCCUCGUUUCACAUGUCAAUUAAUGCGUAUUUUUUCUCCAAAGACCAAAGAACUAAUCAUCUCACUCCUCAUCGCUUGAUCAAUGCAGCGCCAUGCAAACUAACCUUCUCACUUCUACAUGCAUGCAGGGGAUAUUAAUGUCCUUGGUUGCUAACCCCAUCAAUUUUGUCUCGAUUAGUGUUAGUGGCCCUUUGCAAAUUAUAAUUUUGAUAUAUUGGCCUUGUGUACAAAAAAUGGAGGUACUAAUAACUAUAUUGGACUUCCUUCCCCAUUGCGAUGCUGUCGAUGAUAUCUCUUUUUUUGUGGUUUGGCGAAGUGCUUUCAAUGGAGAACACCAUUGAGGAAGACCACGGUAAGUCGUUCGCAAGUGCCGUCUGCAAGCUGAGACAACCACCUUAUUUGCAUCCAAGAAGUCCGUUGAACCAAAGAACUAGUACUACUAGGAGUACUAGUGUGGUGAUCAGCGAAGCGGAGUCAGCGAAGAGUGAAAUGAUGGUUGCUUCGUCCGUGCUUUUGUGAUUUGACGCCUUGCUGCUUUGUGAUUUGUGAUAGAAGGGAUAGGCGAGUAGACUCUGUGCUCUAUACUGUACUACUAGUACAUGCGUCCAAGCAUGGGAGAAAGAGGAGAGACGUUGCAUUUUUCUAUUCCUUCAAUCAAUCAAUCAGGGAGCUUCGGUUCCAUCUUUUUGGCUUUGGCAACACCGUCCACAAUGGUUCCCACGAUGCCAAAAGCUAUUUUCACAUUUGGCUACACAUUGUGGAUGCCCUUAACCGUACCACUUGGUUUUGCUCCUAUGUGGUAUCUAUACAAAUCUCAAUUAUAUUGAUCUAAAAAAUUAUAGAAUCAAGAUUAGUAAAAAGGAGGUGAUUUUGCCACGCGGAUGGCGGGGGAGGUUUCUUAUUUUCAAAGGACGUUGUCCUGGUGGUUUGCUAACAUGCGGUCCCACGUGUCAGUGCUUUACCAAGCCGAUCCGCGUCCCACAUGAGGCAGAAUAACGGCAGAAGCAACACGUGGUUAAGUUGAAGAAGAUGAGGGAGAAGCGGAUUCAGCAACGAGUGAAAUGAUGGUUGCUUCGUCCCUCCAACUUUUUUUAGCAUUAUUACUUCGUCCCUCCAACUUAACUGUGGGAAAGGUGCAGCUUUGUGAUUUGACGCCUCAUUGCUCAUUACUACACCGGCACCAUGACUGGGGUGCUUCACCCCGGCUGCUCUGCUCUAUAUUCCGGUAUAGCACGUGGACCUGGUAGCUUGAUGUCCCACAUGUCGGUGAAAGGGACUAGAAGAUUUAUGAAAGGGAGCGAUCCACUCUUACGACGGAGGAGUAGACGACACGACGGCCCAGUGAACUGUCACUUGUACUGUAUAGUACUAUAGUUUUGCUGUGUGGCACGAUCCAUUGAUACAAACCCGAUUAAACAGGAAAGGGCGGGAUUUUUCCCGCGCGGUAGAUGAUACAGGCCAUACAUUUCAAAGGCAAUUUUAAUGUAUGCAAACUGAAUAAUUAUAAGUAACAAUAUGAUAUCUAGUAAAACUAAAAACACAUAUGAUUUAUUGUGUUAGAGUGUAGUAGUAGUGCUGUAACAUGCGAGAACAUGUAGAGAUGUAGUUUUGGAGGGCCUACAGAGAGAAAAGUGUAAUACGGUCACCGAACUUUAGAAUAAGCUGAUUACGGUCACCAUAUACAUUUUGCGGUGAUUAUACGGUCGCUUGCUCACGGUUCAGCAUUGGAUUGCACUCUGUUGACUGGCCAAAUAGUCUGCGUGGCGCCAUGUUGACUAGUUAAACUGACCAUGUUCCUUGUGGGUCCCACUUGUCAGUUCGCAUAGGGAAAGGUCAGAUAAACACAAAUUUACGCAGGCGCGACAAGGCUCCAACCCGUGCGCGGGAAUCACCUGGUUGUGUAUGUGUCUCUCAUGUCCUGAUGUGUGCGCAUACACGUGUAGGUUGAGCACUUGAGCGUGAGAGUGUGUGUUGGUCGUGUGGUGUACUGGUGUGUGCAUGCGUGCAUGCGUGUGAGUGUUGCGUGCGUGUGUGGCUGCGUGUGUACGUGUGAGUGUUGCGUGCGUGCGUGGGUGCAUGUGUUUGUGAGAGUGUUGCAUGGAUGCAAUUCGUGUGCAUGCGUGCGUGUGUGUUAAAACAGACGACUCAGCAUACCAAUACAAGGCCACCUUGUCCGUUGUGCCCGCGGUCAUGACUUCUAACCACCGUCCAAAUAUUUUUUUGUCGUUUGUUUUCAUUCUUACUAGCAAGAUGCCCGUGCGUUGCACGUAACAUCAAGAUGCAUUUGUAUGACUUGUUUAUCUUGUGAGAGAAAAGGAUGAACAAGGGAAGGCCUUAUUUUCAAAUGUGGAGAGGUGUGUGGGUACCUUUUUGCAAAAUUGCCAUAGUAUCCUUCCUAUCCAUCAGAUAUAAAUCGGACGGCCUAUAUUGCAGGAUGGCAGGCACACCAUCAUCACCAACUCUGUUUUUUAUAAGAGUGUGUAUUUUAUGUAUUUUAUAAGAGUGUAGAUGUAGAGUAGAUACAAGUCGACAGGUGGGGCAUGAUGGUAGUGAGAUAAUGUGAUGCAACACUAGAGGUGCCAUGUGGAGCGUUUAAUUGGUCAACUAGUCAUGUCAUGAGCAAAUACUGAGUUGUACGGUGAGCCUGUGACUGUAUAAUAACCACUAAACGUAAAUGGUGACCGUAAUGAGUGGAUUCUGAAGUCCAAUGUGCGUAUCGUGUUUUCGCUUCAAAUACAAUGAUUGUCAUUGCAUAUAUCGUGAGAGAAAGAUGAAACAUGCNNNNNNNNNNNNNNNNNNNNNNNNNNNNNNNNNNNNNNNNNNNNNNNNNNNNNNNNNNNNNNNNNNNNNNNNNNNNNNNNNNNNNNNNNNNNNNNNNNNNNNNNNNNNNNNNNNNNNNNNNNNNNNNNNNNNNNNNNNNNNNNNNNNNNNNNNNNNNNNNNNNNNNNNNNNNNNNNNNNNNNNNNNNNNNNNNNNNNNNNNNNNNNNNNGGGUAUGCGAUAGAGAGAGAUGCUCUUCGUUUCUCUUUAUUAUGACUAACUUUGUAUAUAGUAUAAAAAUAUACAAAUUCAUAGUGCGGAAUAAAUAUCAUUGUGGGCACCAUGCAAUGCAAAUUAGUGUUCGUACUCCUCCAUAUAACUUUGUAAUGUUGUAUAUAUGUAGAAACUCUAAAAUAAUUUUUUGGCCACACUUUAUUCAAAAGGAACGUUGUAUGUGAAAUAAACGUGAAGAGAAGGCUUUUUAGAUCAAUGGGGUACGUGAUGUAACAUGUGUGAAUGUGUAGUUGAUGCAUUUGGCGGGGCCUAGAGAGGUAUGUGUGUGUAUUACGAGUGGUCUAGGGAGAGAGAGAGAGACGAAUAUGAUGUCACGACAAGAGAUUCCAUUCCCUUGAGUGUGUAUAUGCAAGGGGGGAGGGAAUAGAGGCACCAAGAGAAAUUUUCUGCGUGUGUGGUGUUUGUGUUGGUAUGUGUGGGUGUGACAAGAUAAUGAGACAUGGGGGCAGAGGGUGUGUCACCGCGUGAGGUCCGGUGGGUCAAGGUGAGGCCCUUCGUUCGGUUCCGUCCUGCGCCGCAUUGUUCGGCCCAUGACGCAUUUAGCAAGACCCAUGGAUGACUAGUCGUACAAGAGAAAGAUAGCAGAAUUGUGAAGGACUCUGGGUCCACUGACAAAGUCAGCUAGGAUUUGUAACCCUAGGUUCUCGGACUAAGGUAACCCCUUUAUCUCUGAUAUUACUAUUCAUCCAACCUAGCUUUAAGGGGCAUCCUACAGAAUGCUCUACUAGAAUCAUACUCGUCGAUUAGGAAGAGAGGUGUGAGACAAUGCGUGAGAGACAUGCCUAAAGAUAAUGUGCGUACAUGAGACACGUAGGCAGGUCCAUGUAUAUAGAAAGGGUCGAUGGGGAUUACGCGUGUGUAUGUUUGCGAGAGGAAGAGUGCUUGUGAUAAAGGUUAGUGAAAACAGUUGUAAAUGGUUACGAGAGGGAGGGAGGGUAAUAUCUAGAGCAUGUGUGCGAGAAAGACACCUCGGGAGAGAGUGUGUGAGCAUGUGUGAGAGACCACCGAUGGAGAGUGAAACUACACGUAAAAGACUGCUAUACACAUUGAUUAAAGAUAUAAAUUGUAUCCAAAUAUUAGGAUGGGAUCAUGAUAUUUGCAGUUCGCGUAAGGAGUGGUCAUUGAUCCAUCAGACAUCUAGAUUCUAUCGAAUUUGAGCAUGUCUAUGUUAUUAGUCGACACAAUUGAUCCACAUAGUUAGUAUUUUGAACUCCAGACAAUGCAUCGCUUUAGCAAUCGAAUACAAACAUGAGUAUAGUUCAUGUUGUGUGUGUAAAGCACAUUAUACAUACGAAAGUUACACAAUAAACAUUAUAAAUAGCUACCUAUGAACUAGCAUACAUUUGAAUUCAACUUAAGGUGGUUUAAAAAUAUCGAUUCAACAUGAAGUCCAUUCAAUUAUUUGAAUUUGAUAUCAUGGCAUUUGUAAACCAUACCUAAAUUAUGGGGGCACCAAUCUUUGCUCUGAUUUUGUACAUAAUAGCAUAUGUAGUCAUGUACAAAAUAGAUUCAAAUUUAGCUCCUCCAUUCCAAAAUAAUCGUAGUUAUAGGAUUUUCAAGUGUCAAAAUUUCAAAAAGAAGCGGAUAAUUUAAUGAGGCUUUCAAACAUACAAGGUCAAAUAUAACGUUGUCUGUUUAGGUCAAUCCUCAUAGUUCAAGAGUACUCUAAACGUGAAUGCUUGUGUUUCAAAAUUUCGAACGAAGCGCCAAAAGAGCCUCUACUUGCCCGAAACCGCAUGAGACCAAUGUUUGGUAGUACAAGGGAAUUACUUUUCUAAUAACUCCGACCCAAACUUAAAAAAAAUAACUCCGAACCGUGAAACCUACCGGCCCGACGUCCAAAGGUCUAAACCGGGGUAGGUUUGUAGCUUCAUCUAGACGCCAUGCAACCGCCUCCGAAAAACAUACAUACACAAUGGCCGCCUAAGCACACAUGCGCGCGGCCGAAAUCGCUCCCGCCCACUAUUUGGGACACCCGGGAUUACCAUCCUAGCCCCGACCCGCAGUAGAUCCGAAAUUUAAGAGGGGGGCAAAGUUUGUACUUUCCCCAAAUUUCAAACAAGCGUGUCCCAUCUUCUGUUCAAAAAAGCCAAAGACAAGCGCAUCCCAGACCGAAACAUGGUCCCCCCCCACCCGUCCGAUUCCCCAUUCGUACUCAGUGGGCGCCAAAACUACCUCUCCACCAGCCGCGAAACCCCGGCAUCCUUCGUCCGCCACCCCAUCCCACCCAUCAACAGCCGCCCUCCUCCAUCACGCCGGAGCCAAUACCCCGACGUCGGCGUCCACCGCAACCUCAACCAUAAUGCCCUCCCCAGCUAGUAGUUGAAGCCGAGGCCGAGUAGUCCGUAACCGAGCCAGUUCAACCAUGCCGUCCUGCACCUCACCGCUGCCGCUCCAACUUCACCACCGUCCAUCGCACCGGAGCUGUUCCUGCUACGCCGUCCUUCGCCGCCUCGGAUUUGCUUCCCCUCCAUCGAUAUACGGCCACGGCAACACAGUCAACAAUUUGGCCAUGGGUUUGUCCAAGGAACAACGGCUCUCCAAAACAUCGGUUCCCCCGGGAAAAACAAGAAGAUCACUGCGACAUAUCGACACCACACUAGCAACCGAUACAGGUACUCCUCUUCCCUUAUUCGUGCAAAUCUUAUGUGUCUGCUUGCACGGUAUUCAUCCCACAGAAGACACUAGUUGACCGCUUCUUCUUCAUACUAGAUGUUCCUAGUAACUCGCGAUGCACAAGGUUUCUCCUCAUAUACUAUUUCACCUUAGCUAGAGGUCCGUUGCCCCCUUGAAUUUCAAUUUCUGGCCAGUUGAUUCCCAAUUAACGGAAGCAUUCCCCAGCGUAACAGGCGCUAGUACACCUAUUACACCGGGGAAGCGCCUUGGUGUUUAUCUUAGGGGCGUGUGCGGCCUAGAUCUACUGGCGCCCGAUCUGGAGACUGGAGGUCGGCCGGGAUUAAAGGGAUGGCCUAGGGCGCUGCCAAGCACGGCGGUGGUGUGAGGUCGAGGGGAGGGCAGGGCGGCGGAGGCAGGGGUCUGGGACGGUGGUCGCUGGCGGUUCGAGAAAGAUCGUCAACAGUGACUGGCGGGAGGUAGACGAAGGCCAUCUGCCCGUUCCUUAUAGAUCGGAUAGUUCAUUAAAAAAUCGACUGACCUAUUUAUUUUCAGUCGACUGUUAUCUUAGAUAUGACCACAUGUGGUGGUGUGCUAGAGGAGUACCUGCAUUUCCUGUGCUCAUAUAUUACAAAAUCAUAUGGAGUAGAAUCUAAUUUUGUUUGCCAUGCAAUGUUGUAGAUCUAUCAUAUGUCUCCUGUUGUUUAUAUUUCACCCAACCUACUAUCUGCUACUUUUACAGUGCACUAGUUCUGCACACACUUCCGCCCAUACUCUCACUAUUGUGUUUUUAUGCAAGGGUAUUUCAGAGUCUGCCUCGAGGGAAGCAGAAAAGAAAAGAGAGAAGUUGCUCCAGCUUGCUACGCGGGUAGGCACGACACGUUACAGUGCUAUAAAGGGUGCAGUGUCAGCAGAUGGAAACGGUAAACGUAGCUCUGGAGUUGAUGACCUCACUCGUAAUGAACCACCAUCCCAGGUGCUUGCUUUAACUUCGUGGUGUCAUAUGUGGUUGCAUGUUCCAUAUGGUGUCUAGCUUGUAUUCGAAAGGCCUAAGUCGGUCUUUAUUAAGAUAAGGAAAUAUAUUUUUUACAUGAACCACCAUCCCGUGAGCACCAGAAGACAAAUAGCUAGUCAGGGCACUGGCCGAGCCAGUGACAAGCCUAGCAAAGAUAGGCACCACCUGGAAGACAACUACUUCCUCUGUUCCUAAAUAUAAGUCUUUGGAGGGAUUUCACUAUGAACCACAUACGGAUGUAUGUAGAUGCAUUUAGAGUGUAGAUUCAUUCAUUUUGCUCCGUAUGUAGUCUAUAGUGAAAUCUCUACAAAGACUUAUAUUUAGGAACGGAGGGAGUAAAAAGCUGCGAUGGUGGCGAAGCAGCCCGCUUCCCACCAGGCUCUCAGGUCCUAGAUGAUCAUGCUCACCACUCCAGCCGGAUGUCUAGCUUGUAUUGCUUCCAAUUUGGUUAAAUUGCAUCUGCUUAGCUUACACAUUAUACCUUUGAAUAUGACAUGCCUUUCUGUUUUUGGUACAUACUAGUACAUCUGUGUAUUAACCAUGCUCUUACAUCAAACUAAUGUUCUUGUGUAUCCCUCAUCAAUCACUUAUGACAAGGCAGGCAUGCAAGGGGACUACUCCUCAUUUAAAGAAUGCAGCGUCGGCCUCCCGACAUGAUUCUCAAGAAAUAGAAAUGCUAGAUGAAGAUAGUGAACGUAGCUUUGUAGUUGAUUACAACAUUUCCCCUACACUAGCAUCGCAGGUGCUUGCUCUAACUUGGCAGCGUAAUAUGUGGUUGCAUGUUGCAUAUGGUGUCUAGAUUGUAAUUCUUCCAAUCUGGUUAAACUUCAUGUGCUAGUCUGCUUAGCUUAUACAUUAUACCUGUUAAUGUGACAUGCCUUCCUGUAUUUAGUACAUAGUACAUCUGUCUAUUAAGCAUGUCCUUACAUAAAACUAUUGCUUUUUUUUGUAUCUCGCAUCAAUCAAUAUGACGAGACACCUUUAGUAUAUGUAGUGCGAUAUUAGUUGAAUCUUUCAUAUGAUUUAUAGCAUGCGCUCCUUCUAAUUUGUUGAAAUUCCAUUUAUGAUGGGACGCUUUUAACUUGGCAGAGUCAUAUUGGUUGCAUCUUUCAUGUGGUUUCUAGCUUGCAUUGCUUCUUAUUUGCUGGAAUGGUUUCUUCUUAGUUUACACAAACAGUUGUGAACGUGCCAUGCCGUCCUGUUUUUCGUACAUAUUCAAUCCUGGUAUCAUGUGUUUGCCUUACAUCAAAGUAGUGAUUGUCAGUAUCAUGCAUGAAUGAGUUCUGAAGAGAGAAUUUUAUUGCUUUUUCUUGUUGGUUUUACUUGACAAUUCAAAAUCAAUAAAGCGGAAGGAAGUUAGCAAGGAAGCGGAUAAAGGUGCUCCUUCCGAACGGAGGGUCUCUACAGUUUCUACUCCUCCACACCCCCAAGAUGAUUUCCAAGACAACACAUGCAUAGACACUCAACAAAGCUGUGUUUAUGAUGAGCACGUCUCCCCUAGUGCAGCAUCACUGGUGCUCCCUCUAACUUAGCAUUGUUAUACGUGGUUGCAUGUUAUGUGUGAUGUCUAGCUUGUAUUGCUUCUAAUUUUGUUGAAUUCCAUCUGCUUACUUUACACAUUAUACUUGAAUAAGACACGUGUUCCUGUUUCUAGAACAUACAAUAUCUGUCUAUCACACCAUGUUAUUACAUCAAAUUACUAUUGUUGUGUAACCUGCAACAAUCACUUAUCAUAAGACACAUUUGACUUCGGAGUGUGAUAUAGGUUACAUCUCACAUUCUUUUCUAGCUUGUACUACUAAUUUGUUGAAAUGGCACUUAUGACGAGACAAUUUUAACUUGGUAGAGUGAUAUUCGUUGCAUCUUUCAUAUGGUGUCUAGCUUUCAUUACUUCUAAUUUGUUGAAAUGCCUUCUCCUUAGUUUACACAUCAUAAGUUGUGAAUAUGCAAUGUUGUGAAUAUGCAAUGGCACUAAUGACGAGAGACCUCUAACAUGGUAGUGUGAUGUUGUUUGCAUCUUGCAUAUGAUUUAUUUCUUGUACUGCUUCACAUUUGUUUAAACGCCAUUUAUGAUGAGACACUGUUAACUUGGCAGACCGAUAUUUGUAGCAUCUUUCAUAUGGUGUCUACCUUCCAUUCCAUUGCUUCUAAUUUGGUGAAAUAUCUUCUUCUUAGUUUACACAUCAUAGUUCUGGUUAUCUCUUCCGUCCUGUUUUUCAUACAUAUUACAUCCUCCUAUCAUGUGGUUGUCUAACAUCAAAGUUCAGUCCGUCUGCAUCACGCAUCAAUUUGUUCUGAAGAACUAAAUUGUUAUUCGUUUUUCUUGUCGGCUUGACUUAAAAUGGCAUAGAGAAAGAGGAAGAAACACAGAAUGGCAGGGAAUGAGAAGUGGAUGAAUCCUGCAGAUUCUGCUGGUACUGAUGGUGCAAUAGAAGGUCAAAGUCCAGCGGAAAAUUCUACAAACACGCCAUCCCAUGCUACACGAGCUGCAAAAAAAGCCAAACAGAAACAAAUAGCUACCACCAAACAAGCAGAGACAGCCCUAGUUCUUGCAACACCUACCACAGUACUACUGGGUGCACGACUUACUCGUGCGUCAACUGAGCUAGCAGCAUGUUCCCAAGCUCCCUUGCCACCUGACACUACUUCCCAAGCACUCUUGACACAAGACGAGUUGGCAAUAUCAGAUGAACCUUGUGAGCUUCAACAACAAGAAGGUAGUUGCUGGAGUCAAGUUACAGUUGCAUGCUUCUUUAUAUGUAGUCUCACAGUUUGAUGUACACUAACACUUCCUAUGUUCGUUGUUGGACUAGCACCUAGGCGCAAGAGGAAACAAACAUCAGGGAUAAUGCUCAAUAGGUUAACUAAAUCUAGAGGAGGAAGAAUGGAGAUCCGUUUUGAGGUUUAAAAAGGCCACGUGAUGCUACAGAGUCAGCCAAGUUAGUAUCAGAGGCAGCGGUUGCCGUUAGGUGUCAUGUACGUAUCCUCCCAACAUGGAUUCAGUACAGGAAUGACAAAGACGAAACCCAGUUCAACACCUUCCUCGACCAUUUAUCUGUAAGUAUGGUUAUGUAUGGAAACUAGUAAUAUCGUCUUGCUCUGUCCCAUACUUUCUAGGUUGCUGAUAAUGAGACUCCCAUAAUUUUCAACAGAUGAGGUUCAAGUUGGAUAGCCAAGAUGAUGCAACCAUACAAGCUUGCACCCAUGUUUUCAAGUCUUCUCUGCGAUAGUAUCGGUAUAACUUGAGGAAAACUCACUUUGAAGGCAAGGCUAAGAGUGAACUUUCCCAAACAUCUCCAGUGGAAAAUAUAUCGGAUGAAGACUGGAGGGGCCUUGUUAAACACUGGUCAGAUCCAAAGUAUUAGGUACAUUAUAUAUAUGUGAUCAGAUCACAUGUUGAAGUCCUAUUUACGCAUGUGCCACACAAAUCUAUCUUCUUGUAGGUGAACUGUUCAAAGAACAAGGCCAACCGUACAAAAGUGAAAUUCCAACAGACGACAGGAUCUCGUAGCUAUAUUGCACACUACGAGGCUCUUGUAAUUAGCUGUUGUUUCACUCUUUUCGUUGUACCAUAUUAUCAUAUCUAUAUUGACUUGUUCGAAAUGCAGAGGAAAGCCCACAAGGACCAAAAAGUACCUGAACCAAAUGUUGUGGAAAUCUUCAAGGACUGUCACACCAGCAAGAAGAACGGCAUGACUACACCAGUCAAAGCCGCUGUUGUAAGUCCUUAAUCCUCAUGCCUUUUAACUCACUACUAGGAAAAGGCCUACUAAUGGCGCACCUAAUUUGGCCAUUAAUGGCGCAUUAGUGGUGCGCCAUUAGUGCCACGCCAUUAGUAUAUUUUACUAAUGGCGCACCACGGGUGCGCCAUUAGUAUCUGGUAUACUAAUGGCGCACCUCAGAUGCGCCAUUAGUAUAUACAACAAUGCGCCAUUAGUAUGCCUCCCAGGGGGCCAUGUAUACCCAGGUGCUUUGGCAUACUAAUGGCGCACAACAACAAGAUGCGCCAUUAGUAACUUCGGCAUACUAAUGGCGCACUGUUUAAUGAUGCGCCAUUAGUAUCCUUUGGCAUACUAAUGGCGCACUGUGAUGUGAUGCGCCAAUAGUAUGAAUAUUAGGUUUUUUUUAUUUUUUUAUUUUCUGUUUUUUGCACAGGUUACAAAAUGUAUAAUUGGACAAAAUAUAGACAGCACACAUCAACAACAGAUUCAUCGAAUACAAUAGAAGAUUAGUCUCUGAAUACAAUUCAUCAUAUUAGUCUCCGAAUACAAUUCAUCAUAUUAGCGGGCGUAUCUACAAAAAGUCCUAAACUAAACCUAUACUAAACUAUCUAGUUCUUCAUCUUCUGCUUCUUUCUUCCAGUUCAUCAACCUGCAAAACAAGAAACAACAAACAUGAAAAACUUGAUCAAGGUUUAAAUGUAGCAUUCCCCUUAGCAAAAUGCCUUUGCUGUAGGAGCUAGCACUUACGAGUUUGGAAACAUUAGUCAAACCCCAAUCAGAUUAAGUUGAUCAAAGAAACAAUAGAAGAGAGCCAACACUGCAUAAAUGGAGCCAAUAACCCAAAAGACAGAAGUAGAGCCAGCAAAGUAUAGAUCAAAGCAAAACCCAAAGAUCAACUCAAACUAGAACUAACUCCAUGAUUAGGGGAUCCCUCAAUUAAGCUUGGGUUAGUUUUCAGAUGAAAUCCAACAAACCCACUACUAAUCAACUAGCCCAGAGGUAGGGUUUGAAGUAGGGAUUGUCCUCAGGCAGCCUAGUAGUGCUAGGACUAUUGCAUCAUUGGAUCAAGUAGUGCAACAUCUUUAAGUAACAAUGAGAGCCUCAGGACACCAUCACUGGCAUGGCAAGAUUAAGGAGCACCUGUUCUUAUCAGUGAGAGUAGGAGAGAAAGAAAGAAAGUGAACAGACCAGUGCAGCAUAUGUUCAAAUCAGAUUUAAGAGAGAGGGAAUUGGCAAGGAAAGAUAUAGUCCAUAACCUGCAAGAAGAAAUAGGCCAUUGAUAGCACAUUUACUAAACAUCUGCUAUAAGCAGAACACAUACACUCACUUACACAUGGGUACUAUUCUGUAUAUAGGUACACAAGCACAACACAUGCACCUGGUAUAGAUAGGAGUAUAAGCAUGCAUCUAAAUUAUCUGAAACAUAUGAAAUAGCUAAUGCAAAGAAACAUAUGAUAAUAAAGAAAACAGAGCACAAGUAAAUAGGAAUGAUCCAUCCAUCCAUCCCCUAACUAAUGUAUUGAUCCAUCCAUCCAUGACCUAACUAAUGUUGUUGUAUCUCUAGACUAAGUGCAGCAACACAAGGACUAAAACUACAGAGCACAUGUGUACGUAACUACUAUACUCAUCCAUGGCAAAUUGUACCAAACCAUCCAUACAUAGCCAGAUUGCAAUGGAGUGGAUUUAACACAAGACAUGAAAAAUUGAUGAGCCAAAUGAUUUUUAGUAUUACUAACUUGAAAGGAAGCUCACUGUUUCCAUCUUCUAUCUAUCCAUGAUUUUAUUUUUCUGAAGCAAGCAUCAAAAAGCACAAUGACAAUCGAAUUUCACACAAAAACUGAACCAAUACUUGCUGUUAUGUAGUGUCCAUGACAAUUGCAAUUCAUGUCCACUCCAGAUCAGAUUUGCAAGGGCUAGAAAGAGAGGUUGUAGCUCACCAUGUAUGGGGGUAGGAGGUGGAUGCAGGGGAGGGGUGGAGGGUGUCCUGCAGAAGAAGCUUCGCCAUUAGAGCAACCUGCACAAAACAGAGGAAGGGGAGAUGAAUAAAUCAUGGUGAGGAGGAGAAACAACAACAAAAAUACCAAAAAAAUCCCUUCCAUGGAGUGUUGUACUAGGAGCAGCUCCUCUCUCUCCGCUAGGGUUUGGGGCGCUGGGAGGCUCCAUGGUGCCACUGCGUGGUGCCGGACAAGGGAAUCCAUCUCCAUGGCGGCGUCCCGCCCCACGGAGGUGCGCCCCUCCCGCCGUCGUCAUCGGCACGCCCAUGGCGACCUGCAGAGAAGGAAGAGAAGAUGAGGUGAGGUGAGGAGGAGAUGGUGGGCGAAGAAGGAGGGGGAGGGGCUUACUAGUGCUGGAUCCGGUCACCUAUGGCCUCGCCGUGUCCUGCCAUGGCGGAUCCCGGCGAACAAAAGGGGAUGCAAAAUCCUAGCCAGUGGGGCAGCCGCGGAUCUGCAUGGAGGUAAGCCAGAUGCGGACCAAGGGGAUCUCGCCGGCAUGCUGCACGCGGCCGGAGCUCGCUGGAACCAGGCGGCAUGGGUGGCGACGGCGGUGAGGGAGAGAGGGGUUCGGGGGGAAGAGAGGAGGCGACGAGGGUUUGGGUGGGUUCGAGCGAGAGAGAGAGUGUGUGUGUGUUGGUGCGUUGGGUCGGAUGGAUGGAUUGAUGUCCAAAAUAUCCAGGUUACUAAUGGCGCACCUUCUGGUGGUGCGCCAUUAGUAGUUUUGCAAAAAAAAACAAAAAAAAACAUACUAAUGGCGCACUAUUCCACAGUGCGCCAUUACUAGUUUAAACUAGUAAUGGCGCACGGUCGAACAGUGCGCCAUUAGUAGUUUUGCAAAAAAAAGGAAUAAAAAUAUAAUAAAAAAACAACAUUAGUGGCGCACUUUCCGACAGGUGCGCAUUACUAGUUACAACUAGUAAUGGCGCACUGUGUCUGGAUGCGCCAUUAGUAUGUUUGGACAGGCGCACUAGUUCAAAAAAAAUGAUACUAAUGGCGCACCCUGGGCCAGGUGCGCCAUUAGUAGUUUCAGCUCUAAUGGCGUAUCAGAAGGUGGUGCGCCAUUAGUAUAUACUAAUGGCGCACCGCUUGUCUGGUACGCCAUUAGUGUCAAUCCCAUCUAUAGCCCUUUUUCUAGUAGUGACUAGUACUUACUCUAACUUGUGCCUUGAACUGCAUGGUUUGCAGCCAAUGUCUAUUACUUUUUUCAAUUGUAUACACAAUUGUCUUAGAGUAUCAUUGCACCUUACAAGGUUUAAAAGAGAGGAGUGAUGUUCCUUUGAUCUUGACCCGUAAUCUAGUUUCGUGCUGGACUUGCCCAUACAACGUUACAAUUUCCUGUUUGUCUGUUCUUAGUUGUUUUGUGAUAUGAAUGAUGUCAUACUAUGCUUACCGUAUUAUAAACUUUGUCUCUUUAUCCUUAGCCCUCAAUACAAUGUGAAGAAAUAGACAAUACAUUAGCGAUGCUACAUGGCCAUAUGUUUGGAACCUGGUUUUUUUAUGUACUUUGCAAUAAAAUACAACUAAUAUUUUACAUGGGUUCACCAGAAUAAGUUCUGUAUAUAGGCCAAAGCUAUUUUGUUUGGUUUUGCUGCCUCCUUAAUAUCUUCUGUUUGGGUACUAAUAAUGUAAAACCUCAACUUUUCAGCAAGCUAUGGAAAAAAUGGUGGAACGGCCACCUUCUGAAGGUGGCGAGGCAACUAUAACCGCAAUGUCAGCUCUUGCUGCAGUGGGUCAGUACCUGUCCACUAACAGUGCCAAAAGCACGUUCCUGCGUAAUACUAGGUUGGUUGUUAAGGCAAUAUCGUCCAAACUGCCUCAUGAUCAAGAUAUGCAAGAUCAAGGCAAUGUUGUAUUUGCGCUCCAGACACAAGUCCAUUCCCUAAUAGAGACCCUUUGUGAAACAAGGAGAGACAUUGUUCAAUGUCUUCAAGAUAUGCAUGGUUUUGAAACCAGACUAUCAGACAUUUGCUAUGUUGUUCAGGAGCCUAGGCGAAAUGAAGGCGAGGGUUAUGGUGCUCCAUCGGACAAUACAACAUGAAAAUGUAAUAGUCAGGUCAAAUGAACUGAGCUUCUGAACUUCUGGUGGUGCAUUUAUCUGCUAGACUGUUAAGUUUUAUGCCAACCUUCCUUUUGGUAUAUAGUUGUAAUUUGUUUUGGUGCGAUACAAAAUUUAUUCUUAACGUGCAGCCACCGACUGAAGAAAACAGCAAGCCAUUUUUGUAUAGUGUAGGGUGUUCCAUAUAUUUGCACUGGUGGCGAUCUUUGAUGCCGAGUGGAUGUAAUCUGUGCAAUCGCCUUAAUAGCCUAGCGUUAGUUUCGGCCUUAUUUAUUUCCUAGUCUUCUUUUUCCCUGGUUUUCUAGUGGCCGCAACUACCAUGGGCCAUAUAAGGGCCGUAGGAUCCAUGGGUCUCCUACAGGCCGUCGAUAAAUGGGCCUCCAAUAGGGCCGUAGAAGAACUGGUCGGCCUCGGGCCAUCGGAUAAAUGGGUCUACAUGGGCCGUCAACGGGUGUAAUUGGUAUCAGCCCAGCACGGUAAUGGGCCGUAGGACAGCAAAGGCUUAAUUCUGUCACAGGCAUAACGGGUCAUUAAUGGGCCAGAAUAUAGGACGGGCUAGAAACGGCGCAAUGGGUUAAUAGGCCAGAAACGGGCCGAAUCUUGCCAUGGGUCGAAUUUGUCCCAUUAGGGUAACAGGCCAGUAACGGGUCGACUCUUGCCAUGGGCCGAAUUUGACCCAUUAGGGGAACAGGCCAGAAACGGGCCGACUCUUGCCAUGGGCCGAAUUCGGUCCAUUAGGGUAACAGGCCAGUAACGGGCCGACUCUUGCCAUGGGCCGAAUUUGGCCCGUUAGGGGAAUAGGCCAGUAACGGGCCGAAAGUAAUCGAGGACCGAAAAGGAUCCCAAGAACGUAUGGGCCGUCAAUAGGCCGAAAGCUAACACGGGCUGGAAACGGCCCAUGUAAAUCACGGGCCGUUAACGGGUACAAAGAAAAUUACUGUUCAUUAUGGGCUAGAGUCACCGUGGGCCUGUAAAGGGCCGAAAGAUACGAAGGCCUCAUAUGGGCCGAAAGACGUCAUGGGCCAUACAUGGGCCGAAAGUGAAAUGGGCGGGUGUUAUAUUCGACGGCCCACAAGACGUUGUUGGGGCAAUUUCCUUCAGGGACUAACGGGCCGUGAGUUAACGGACCGUAAAAUGGGCUAUUUGUGAAGAGACCGUUAACAGGCUUUUCAUGGGCCAGCCUGUUAACUUUUGACCAAGUCAAACAGCCCGGCUUUGUAAGCUAAAUGGGCAAGUGGUGGGCCGUGGCACGUGUCCACAUAUCAUAGGCGCCUAUCUGACCCACUGACGAGCUGACACGUGUUUCGUCCGGCCAAUAAGAAUUUUACACAUGGAAAUUUCCCAUUGGUCGGGGCUGUUAACGGGUUAUCGGAUCCAAAACCCGACCCGAUAGUUUAACGGCGUUCCGUUACGGUGGAUGCCACAUGUCGGUCACCCUUGACGAAAGCACUUCUGUGACGCGCGAUUUAUCAUCAUGGAAGUGGACACUUCCGUGAUGAUAAUUUUGGUAAUGUCAUGCAACACUUCUACGAUAGCACACGUAUGACUAUCUUGAUUCUGUCAUAAAUUUGUCAUGGAUGUACAUGCAUGACAAAAAACGCGACCUAAUGUGACAAACACGUAUCAUCACGGAAGUGUAUUUUUUUGUAGUGUUGCAAAUAUCUAUGUUCCUAUCUUGAACAUUUUCACGAAUGGAGUUGAAGCGACGCUUGAUGUGCCUGGUCUUCUUAUGAAACCUAGGCUCCUUGGCAAGGGCAAUAGCUCCAGUGUUGUCAUAGAAGAGAGUGAUCGGCCCCGACACAUUGGGAAUAACUCCUAGGUCGAUGAUGAACUCCUUCAUCCAGAUUGCUUCAUGCGCUGCCUCCGAGGCUGCCAUGUACUCCGCUUCACAUGUAGAUCCCGCCAUGACACUCUGCUUGCUGCUGCACCAGCUUACUGCCCCAUCAUUCAAAAUAUACACGUAUCCGGUUUGUGACUUGGAGUCAUCCAGAUCUAUGUCGAAGCUAGCAUCGACGUAACCCUUUAUGACGAGCUCUUUGUGACCUCCAUAAAUGAGAAACAUAUCCUUAGUCUUUUUCAGGUACUUCAGGAUAUUCUUGACCACUGUCCAGUGUUCCAUGCCGGGAUUACUUUGGUGCCUAGCUACCAAACUUGCGGCAAGGUUUACAUCAGGUCCGGUACACAGCAUGGCAUACAUAAUAGACCCUAUGGCCGAGGCAUAGGGGAUGACACUCAUCUUUUCUCUAUCUUCUGACGUGGUCGGGGAUUGAGCCAAGCUCAGUUUCAUACCUUGCAACACAGGCAAGAACCCCUUCUUGGACUGAUCCAUAUUGAACUUCUUCAAUAUCUUAUCAAGGUAUGUGCUUUGUGAAAGACCUAUGAGGCGUCUCGAUCUAUCUCUAUAGAUCUUGAUGCCUAAUAUAUAAGCAGCUUCUCCAAGGUCCUUCAUUGAACACUUGUUCAAGUAGGCCUUUAUGCUGUCCAAAAGUUCUAUAUCAUUUCCCAUCAAAAGUAUGUCAUCUACAUAUAAUAUGAGAAACGCUACAGAGCUCCCACUCACUUUCUUGUAAACGCAGGCUUCUCCAUAAGUCUGCAUAAAACCAAACGCUUUGAUCAUCUCAUCAAAGCGAAUGUUCCAACUCCAAGAUGCUUGCACCAGCCCAUAAAUGGAUCGCUGGAGCUUGCAUACCUUGUUAGCAUUCUUAGGAUCGACAAAACCUUCCGGCUGCAUCAUAUACAAUUCUUACUUACCAUUAAGGAAUGCCGUCUUGACAUCCAUUUGCCAUAUCUCAUAAUCAUAGUAUGCGGCAAUUGCUAACAUGAUCCGGACAGACUUCAGCUUCGCUACGGGAGAGAAAGUCUCAUCAUAGUCAACCCCUUGAACUUGCCAAUAACCCUUAGCGACAAGUCGAGCUUUAUAGAUGGUAACAUUACCAUCCGCGUCCGUCUUCUUCUUAAAGAUCCAUUUAUUUUCUAUCACUCGCCGAUCAUCGGGCAAGUCUGUCAAAGUCCAUACUUUGUUUUCAUACAUGGAUACUAUCUCGGAUUGCAUGGAUUCAAGCCAUUUGUUGGAAUCUGGGCCUGCCAUCGCUUCUUCAUAGUUCGAAGGUUAACCAUUGUCUAACAACAUGAUUUCUAGGACAGGGUUGCCAUACCAUUCUGGUGUGGAACAUGUCCUUGUGGACCUACGAAGUUCAGUAGUAACUUGUUCUGAACUACCUUGAUCAUCAUCAUUAACUUCCUCUCUAGUCGGUGCAGGCACCACAGGAACAUCUUCCUGAGCUGCACUACUUACUGGUUCAAGAGGUAGUACUUCAUCAAGUUCCACUUUCCUCCUACUUACUUCUCUCGAGAGAAACUCCUUCUCCAGAAAGGACCCAUUCUUGGCAACGAAAAUCUUGACUUCGGAUCUGAGGUAGAAGAUAUACCCAAUGGUUUCCUUAGGGUAUCCUAUGAAGACGCAUUUUUCCGACUUGGGUUCGAGCUUUUCAGGUUGAAGUCUCUUGACAUAAGCAUCGCAUCCCAAAACUUUUAGAAACGACAGCUUAGGUUUCUUUCCAAACCAUAAUUCAUAAGGUGUCCUCUCAACGGAUUUAGACGGUGCCCUAUUUAAAGUGAAUGUAACUAUCUCUAAAGCGCAUCCCCAAAAUGAUAGCGGUAAAUUGGUAAGAGACAUCAUAGACCGCACCAUAUCCAAUAGAGUGCGAUUACGACGUUCGGACACACCGUUACGCUGAGGUAUUCCAGGCGGCGUGAGUUGUGAAACAAUUCCACAUUUCCUUAAGUGCAUACCAAACUCGUGACUUCAAUAUUCUCCCCACGAUCUGAUCGUAAGAACUUUAUUUUUCUAUCACGUUGAUUCUCUAGCUCAUUCUGAAAUUCCUUGAACUUUUCAAAGGUCUCAGACUUGUGUUUUAUUAACUAGACAUACCCAUAUCUACUUAAGUCAUCAGUGAGGGUGAGAACAUAAUGAUAGCCACCGCGAGCCUCAAUGCUCAUUGGACCGCACACAUUAGUAUGUAUAAUUUCCAAUAAGUUGGUUGCUCACUCCAUUGUUCCGGAGAACAGAGUCUUGGUCAUUUUGCCCAUGAGGCAUGGUUCACAUGUGUCAAAUGAUUCGAAAUCAAGAGACUCCAAAAUUCCAUCUGCAUUGAGCUUCUUCAUGCGUUUGACACCAAUGUGACCAAUGCGGCAGUGCCACAGAUAUGUGGGACUAUCAUUAUCAAUCUUACAUCUUUUGGUAUUCACACUAUGAAUAUGUGUAACAUCAUGUUCGAGAUUCAUUAAGAAUAAACCAUUGACCAGCGGGGCAUGACCAUAAAACAUAUCUCUCAUAUAAAUAGAACAACCAUUAUUCUCGGAUUUAAAUGAGUACCCAUCUCGUAUCAAACGAGAUCCAGAUACAAUGUCCAUGCUCAAAGCUGACACUAAAUAACAAUUAUUAAGGUUUAAAACUAAUCCCGUAGGUAAAUGUAGAGGUAGCGUGCCGACGGCGAUCACAUCGACCUUGGAACCAUUCCCGACGCGCAUCGUCACCUCGUCCUUCGCCCGUCUCCACUUAUUCCGCAGCUCAUGUUUUGAGUUACAAAUAUGAGCAACCGCACCGGUAUCAAAUACCCAGGAGCUACUAUGAGUACUGGUAAGGUACACAUCAAUAACAUGUAUAUCACAUAUACCUUUGGUGUUGACGGUCUUCUUAUGAGCUAAGUACUUGGGGCAGUUCCGCUUCCAGUGAUCGUUCCCCUUGCAAUAAAAGCACUUAGUCUCAGGUUUGGGUCCAUGCUUUGGCUUCUUCCUGACAACUGGCUUACCGGGCGCGGCAACUCCCUUGCCUUCCUUCUUGAAGUUCUUCUUACCCUUGCCUUUCUUGAAACUAGUGGUUUUAUUGACCAUCAACACUUGAUGUUCCUUUUUGAUUUCUACCUCCGCUGAUUUCAGCAUUGAAAAUACCUCAGGAAUGGUUUUCACCAUCCCCUGCAUAUUGUAGUUCAUCACAAAGCUCUUGUAGCUAGGUGGGAGCGACUGAAGGAUUCUGUCAAUGACCGCCUCAUCCGGGAGGUUAAUGUCCAGCUGGGACAAGCGGUUGUGCAACCCAGACAUUUUGAGUAUGUGCUCGCUGACAGAACUAUUUUCCUCCAUCUUACAACUGUAGAACUUGUCGGAGACUUCAUAUCUCUCGACCCGGGCAUGAGCUUGGAAAACCAUUUUCAGCUCUUGGAACAUCGCAUAUGCUCCAUGCUGCUCGAAACGCUUUUGGAGCCCCGUUUAUAAGUUGUAAAGCAUGCCGCACUGAACGAGGGAGUAAUCAUCAACACGCGACUGCCAAGCAUUCAUAACGUCUUGGUUCGCUGGGACGGGUGCUUCACCUAGCGGUGCUUCUAGGACAUAUGCUUUCUUGGCAGCUAUGAGGAUGAUCCUCAUGUUCUGGAUCCAGUCCGUAUAGUUGCUACCAUCGUCUUUCAGCUUGGUUUUCUCUAGGAACGCGUUGAAGUUGAGGUUGACAUGAGCGUGGGCCAUUUGAUCUACAAGAUAUUUUGCAAAAGUUUUUAUACUAAGUUCAUGAUAAUUAAGUUCAUCUAAUCAAAUUAUUUAAUGAACUCCCACUUAGAUAGACAUCCCUCUAGUCAUCUAAGUGAUACACGAUCCGAGUCAACUAGGCCGUGUCCGAUCAUCCCGUGAGACGGACUAGUCAUCAUCGGCGAACAUCUUCAUGUUGAUCGUAUCUUCUAUACGACUCAUGCUAGACCUUUCGGUCUCUUGUGUUCUGAGGCCAUGUCUGUACAUGCUAGGCUCGUCAAGUCAACCUAAGUGUUUUGCAUGUGUAAAUCUGGCUUACACCCGUUGUAUGUGAACGUUAGCAUCUAUCACACCUGAUCAUCACGUGGUGCUUCGAAACAAUGAACUUUCGCAAGGGCGCAUGUCGGCAUUCUAGGAACAGGGGUCCCCAGACUUGCCUGCCUGUGGCCUGCAGCAUGGCUCAAGUGGUGGCCCAGUGCGGCCCAUCUUCAUCGACUCAAGCUCAAGACCCUCGCGAGGGGCCAAGCCUCGCGGGGAGGACGACAGGAAGCUUCCUCGGGAGGGGCCUCGCCAGGAAGGCUCGCGAGGAGGCGGAGACAUCAAGGUGAGGGUACCUCGCGAGGUGCACAUGACGCAAGCCAUGACGAUCGAGACCAGGCGGGCGCCAGCCUGCGCAGUGUCCUUGUUUCCUCUUUGGUGCAAAGGAGCAAGCUCAGACCAAGGCAUCAGGCAAAGGAUACCGUUUCGGUGCAACAAGACCAAGACCAGCAGAGCGGCAGGAUGGAGGUCACCAUGGAGCCCAAGACAGCGUCAUCGUUAGGGCCCUUGGCAGUCGAAGACCAACUUUAGUUAGGAUAAGCUGUACUAGAUGUUCCCCUUCAAAAUGGCCGUUGUUGGCGCCCUUCCCGCUCAAUAUUUGGGAAGAGGACCAAGGCCUCUAUAAAUAGGACUAGCCAUUCUCAAGGCAGGGGAUCGAGCAAUCAAACCUUAGCCAGAACCACCCACACCAGCACAAGAACACCCCUCGCGAGGCUGUUCCUCCCUUGUAUUGUUCAUCAUCAGCCCCUGAGGCAAUGCACACACCACACACUGGAGUAGGGUAUUACACCACAAUGGUGGCCUGAACCAGUAUAAACUCUGUGUCCCUUGUGUUGAUUAUCUUGCUAGCCUAGAUUCUUAGCGAGGCUGUGGGACGUAGGUUGCUAGGGGAGAGAUCUCCGCGCGCACCCUAGAGUUCGAACCUCAAGGGUCUGCCGGAACCCGAAAUCCGACAUUUUGCACGCCAGGUAGGGGUGCGACGGGAUCCUUCUUCCACCGCCUCGCGCUCCAUCGCGACCCGACGGCCAAUGCCGACCGCUGGGCGGCAUGGCCUAUCCAUGCCGUGCCGCCUGCCCAGGGUGACCUCAACCCCGCACCUCAGGCAGCCCACGCCCCGCAGAGCGCUGCGGGGCGCGGGCAACGUGGUCAGUCGUCGCCUGCCCUCACCCCGCGGCAGGUACGGUCGGCAGCAAGGGCCUUGAGGCAUGCUGCGGCCACGGCACCGCACACCCGACGGGAGGAGGCGAACAUGAAGGCCACGCUCAUGGUGGCGCGAGAACUGCUGCGGUGCAAACUGCAAGAAAGUAGCCACGACGUGCUACUGGAGUGCAUCGCCGAGCUCCUGGAUGCUGCUACGUCAGGGGCCCCCCCCAUUCUGCGUCCAGCUUCCACCCCAGGCUCCGAGCGGAUCCCAAGGUGGACCAAUCCGCACCCACGCGCCCCUGGGCGUACCUCAAGGCUUCAUCAACACCGGCCUGGCCAUCAGCGCCGGGCAGCAAGUUGCGUUGGCACCGCCCCUGGUAAGCGAGGGCAUGCGCAUCACUGCCUAUGGUCCUAGCGGGCCGCUGCCCUAUCAUCCCCAAGAUGGAGCUUCGAGUCGAACUGCAUGGCACACGGAGCACUACGGCAAGGCCUUCGGGGUGACCGCCCCGGAGGCCUAUGUGCCCCACAUGGUGGAUCGAGGGUACGCCCUGGAAGAAGACCACGGCUCGUUCCUCGGGCCAGGCUGGGAGGAAGAGGCGCCAGAAGCCGAGCUCUUUCAGGAGCCUCACGAAAGCCUCGACAGCCGCGCCGGCGGCAGCAACUACCGGGUACAAGGAGCAAGCUUAUGCUAACCAUGGGUCGCAGGAGGUUCAGGUCAUGGCAGCGAAUGGCUGCCCAGUGCGGCAACCUCCCUCCCCUCGGGGGGAGGGCACUGGGGGUAGCAGGAGAGGGGCCAGGAGCCAGGCUCCCCCCCCCCGCGACAUGCGGAGCAAGGCAUUCUCAAGAGGUAGGCCCUCUGCCGGGGAGGUGCCCCAGGGCCUGCCCUCGGCAGAGGACCCGUGGUCGUCGGGGGAAUCGCUCGCGACCACUUUACCCCAUUGGCGUCGUCCUUGGUUUCCGGUCGCCGUAUGUGGUGGUAGAGUGUGGCGCAAGGCGGGGCCCUCGUCUGGUCAUAUGAAGCAAGGCCGGUACCAGUGAAGAAGGCCUAGUGCCUGUGAAGCUCGCCGCCCGUGACACUCUCACGUAAUAACGACUUGGGGUUGUACACGCCCCGGAGUCUCCGAAGAGCCGCCCUCGGGCCUCGGGGGCUCUUGCCCACGCCCAGUGGCAGCACUUAGCUCCGCGCUGGUGAGAAGACGUCGAACACUAGACUAGGUGUGGGACGCGUCUUUUGUCUUUUUUACCUCUUUCUUCGUUGUCGAGCUUCCUUGCUUUGAAUUUGAGUUGGAUUUGAGCUUAAGACUUGCGUGUGUUCGGGGAAGGGGUGUUUAGUCUCGUUCGAGCAAUUUCUCGUGUUUUGAUUUCGGCUUUGCAUCCAAAGUUAGCACCAGCUACUCCCCCCUCGCGGCCCCUCGCGAGCCAGGCCGGGCCAAGCGCGCAAACACUCCGGACCACCGUCGCCGCUCACUCUCAGGGGGCUCUCAUCGCGAGACCAAAGGGUUCGCCCAUAGGACACUCAAAACACUACGGCCCCCGCAUGUUUGCUCGGGGCCAGCCGGGGUCAAAGGUAAAUCAGGUCGGUUGACCCGGCGCGAGGUCGGCAACCCAGCGUGGGCACAUGUAUGGUGUUAUAUCUACAAGCGUACCAAUUACAACCUUUACACGAGGGGGCUCCCCCUCCCAAAAUGCUCUCAUAACCUCCAGGGCCAUGCCCGAACUUUUCUGUGCAGGGUAAGCAGUUGAGGCGGCGUGCAAUCAGUUGGACAUGUCGCUCAUCGCGUCCUCUAGGAUGCCUCCGGAGGCAUCACUGGCGUCACUGGCAUCGUCACCAUCAUCACCAUCACCGUCAUCAGCGCCAUGCUCAUUCACAACACCACCUUCAUCAGCAGCCACGAUCACGCCCUCGUCAUCAGAGGCGAAGGCCCUAACGAGGGCGUCCACGUUGUCCUCCACCCACUGCGCCAGAUCGCCCCGGAUGGCUAUGGGCACCGGUGCGAUGGAAGCGUCGAAAUCAAAGUGGGGAUCUUUGUCCUGAAGAUAACUGAAGACACAGGAGAAGGCACGCCCAAGCAGGGCUCGGCUCCUCUCCUCAACAAGCCAGCGGGCCCUGUCAGAGCGGGUCUCCAGCUGUGUUACCACAUCCGUCAAGAACCAGAGAUUGCCAGCAUAGUUGAUUACACGAGGCUCCGUAACAGCUGCCUCGCAGAUGUUGCCCAGGGCCGCAUUGGCCAUUUCCCUGAGCGUUCGGAGCAUGGGGCCAUGCACAUGCUCCAGUGUCUGCCGCUGAUGGAUCUCAUCCUCGUUCCGCCGCGCAACGGCCUCGGCGCCAUCAACCCUCUAUUGAAGAAGAAGCAGCUCGGCGCGAGAAGAGGCCAGCUCCACCUGUGCUGCACCAAGGGUGGCUGUGGAGGAAUCUGCAUGCCGCGUCACUUCAGUCAGCUUGGCCCUGAGGGCAGUGGUCCUGCCCUCAGCUUCGGCCCUGACCAGCUCCAACCUCUCUUCGUACUCGCGCUCAAGACCCAAGCGAGCUUCCGCCACACGGCGGUCGAUCUCCCCUUGGACUCGGGCCACCCGCGCGCCGACAUCAUCCUCCGCCUGGGUCACUAGGCGCUCCCUCGUCUCCAACCGCUCAAGGUCAAGGUUGCGUUCAGCAGCCUCCAGCAUCAGCGCCUCCUCGCACCUCAGGAGCUCUGCCUCAUCGACGGGUGCCCCCUUCAGCGACACAAGGGCAGCCUGGCGCAGCUCCACUUGCAGCUCCAGAGAGUUGCUCCAGGCUUGGAGCUCCCACACGCGCUCCUCCGCAGCCUCGCAUCGUCGGUCGGCCUCCCGGGCCUCUUCGACGGCUUGGGAGCAGGCCUUCCACGAGGCCGCCAGCGACGCUUCGGCCUUCGCGUUGUCGAGGUCACGUUGGUGACGCGCAAGACUGACGGCCACCUUCAGCCUGCGCCUUUCCUCGGUGAGGUGCAGACCUUCGGCUUCAAGGCGCGCAUCCUCGCCCGCGAGAUCCAUGCCAAGCUGACCCACUGCAUUUGCCGCCUUCUGAAAAAACUCUCGGCGGAGGGUGCUGCACUCUCGAGCAUGCCUGAGCAUGUCCUCCACGUCCUCCUCCGCCAUAGGCGGAGGCAGAGGGACCCGAGGCGGCACGCCCCCUCUCGGCAGGGGGCUGGGGGCUGGCGCCCCAGCGAUCGUCGGAUGGGCCCCGCCAGGGACCCAGGCCGGCGCUGGUCCAUCUCCUGAAGUGGGGCCCAAGAUCGAUCAGCCAGUCGCCAUCCACAAUCGGAGGAGGAGCACGGAGCAAGCUGGUUAUGCCCCAGGAGAGCUCGCGAAGGGGGGACAGCAGGCGCGCAGGCUCAAGGUACCCAGCGGGAUGGCCCGCCUCUCUAGUCGGCCCCGCGGCAGGGAUGGUGCUCGAGCUCGGGACGCUCAAGGUCAGCGAUGAAGGUGAGGCUUGGGGGAUGGCUCCUCGACCGUCUCCGCAAACUCGGCAGGAAGGGCCCUGAAAGGCUACAAUCAGCUGAAGGAACGGUAAAAUAAGGAACUGAGAGAGAAAAAGUACUUACUCAUCGAUGGCAAAAUACUUACAGCACUUCAACGGGCGACAGGGGCGGUCAUUGCCACCCGAGGCCUCCUCCCUCUUGCGGAGGGCCUCGAAGUCUAUGCGAAACCGGCCUAGGCCCCUGAUGCGAGGGCCAUCGCGUGGUGUAGAAGGAAGAUCAGGAUGACUUGCGCCAAGGGCGACAGACUGGGAGGCGUCGUAGGGCGCCGCCGCGUGAAGAUCAGUCUGGGCCUCAGGAGUCCCGACCUCGGGAGCCUCAGGUCGCGACUCCUCAUCCGCCACCACCCCAGGACACACUUCGGAAGAUGAUGCCUCAGGAGCCCCUCGUGGCGUCAGCAUCUCAACAUCAGACCCCUCGGCUCCCGGCGGUUCUCGCCUCCUUGCUUCAUCACCUGAGGCAGGACCGCCGUGAGCAACCGGAAGAGCGACCACAACAAUUGGGUUCUCGUGGGGCCCCAUGAGGCCGACCGGGCGCAGCUCCCAUUCGUCGAAGCUGGGCAUCUGCCUCACAAAGUCGGCCCUGCCCGAGCAAAGAUACAAGAGGGAGGCCCCAUGACGGAUGCUGCAUGGAGAAGGGUCGCCAGUCAAGACCCUCAGCACCGUCCUCAGCGCUUCGGGCACCAGAUCCUCCUCCUAGAGCCUCAUGCGGUCUUCGUGCACCGCGAAGGUCCACAUCCGACGGGAGUGGCGCUGGAGAGGAGCGAUGCGACAUUGAACGAACUCCUUCACCACCUUGGGCGCCGUCACACCGAGCUCCCUCAAACUCUCGAAGCGGCGCCAGAAGAAAGCAAGCCGGGGGCUCGUGUGCUUCUCAUGAUCCUAGCCUGAGUUGGGAAUAGCAGGCAAUGUUGGGUGCGAGAGCAGGGGGCUAGGCACCCCAACAUCCACGUACAACCACCGCUCUCAGAACCCGGUCACAAGAGGAGGAAGGCCGAAAUCGAUCCCUGAGGCAGCCGUCUCCGGCACGGAGAGGAAGCUCACGCACCCCGAGCAUUGAGUUGGGUCACUCGGGCGCAAGGAGAAGAAGUGGCGCAGGAGGGCAACGGAGGGAGGAAUGCCUACCAUGGCCUCGCAAACAAAGGCGAAGACAGCAAGGAGAGUAAUGGACUCAGGACCAAGGUGCAUCAUGUGGAUCUGGUAAUGGGAGAGCACCGCAUUGAAGAAAGCAGAAAAGGGGGGAACCAGACCCGCCCACAAGGUGUCGGCGAGAAAUCAGACCACCAUGACGACCCUGUCGAAGGAGGCGUGGGACGUGGGCCAAACCGUCGUCCUCCCGCACUCGUUGAAGAUGGAAGCAAGGGCGGAGCGGACCUUGUCCACGGCUUCGAUGUUGAGUAAGAUUGACUGAUCGACGGCGGGGGCGACUGCCGGGGGCGAGCGAGGCGAAGGCGCGGGCUUCUUCCCCUUUCCCUUCUUCGUUGGCGCCAUGGCAAUGGGAAGAGGGGGAGAGCUCGAGCUGGAUUGGAGGCGGAGGCUGGAGCUCUAGGAAGAAGGAAGGGCAGGGAGCGCGUGAACGGCGAAAGAGGAAUAACUGUGUGCAACCACGGGUCCGCCUAGUCGAGCGCGUAAUGAGGGGCGUGGGGAAACGGAGACGCCCACGUCCAAUCAACCGCCACGCGGCGCCCAAGGCCGCAGGCUUUUGGGGCCCGCGGCAAUUCACACUUGCCCCUUCUCUUCUCCGCUAAGCCAAGUCCAGGCGCGCCUUGGGCCUGGGGGCUACUGUCGGCGUUCUGGGAACGGGGGUCCCCAGACUUGCCUGCCUGCGGCCUGCGGCGUGGCUCAAGUGGUGGCAGAGUGCGGCCCAUAUUCAUCGACUCAAGCUCAAGACCCUCGCGAGGGGCUAAGCCUCGCAGGGAGGACGACAGGAAGCUUCCUCAGGAGGGGCCUCGCUAGGAAGGCUCGCGAGGAGGCGAAGAGAUCAAGGCGAGGGUACCUCGCGAGGUGCACAUGACGCAAGCCAUGACAAUCGAGACCAGGCGGGUGCCAGGCAGGCGCCAGGCGGGCGCCGGCCUGCGCAGUGUCCUUUUUUCCUCUUUGGUGCAAAGGGAGCAAGCUCAGACAAAGGCAUCAGACAAAGGCAACAAGCCAAGACCAGUAGAGCGGCAGGAUGGAGGUCACCGUGGAGCCCAAGACGGCAUCAUCGUCAGGGCCUUUGGUAGUCGAAGACCAACUUUAGUCAGGAUAAGUUGUACUAGAUGUUCCCCUUCAAAAUGGCCGUUGUUGGCGCCUUUCCCGCUCAAUAUUUGGGAAGAGGACCAAGGCCUCUAUAAAUAGGACUAGCCAUUCUCAAGGCAUGGGAUCGAGCAAUCGAACCUUAGCCAGAACCACCCACACCAGCACAAGAACACCCUCGCGAGGCUGUUCCUCCCUUGUAUUGUUCAUCAUCAGCCCGUGAGGCAAUCCACACACCACACACUGGAGUAGGGUAUUACACCACAAUGGUGGCCUGAACCAGUAUAAACUUCGUGUCCCUUGUGUUGAUUAUCUUGCUAGUCUAGAUUCUUAGCGAGGCUUUGGGACGUAGGUUUGUAGGGGAGAGAUCUCCGCGCGCACCCCAGAGUUCGAACCUCAAGGGUCUGCCGAAACACGAAAUCCGACAGCGCACAGUUAGGGGAAACACUUUCUUGAAAUUGUUAUUAGGGAUCAUCUUAUUUACUACCGUCGUUCUAAGAAAAUAAGAUGGAAAAACAUGAUAAACAUCACAUGCAAUCAAAUAGUGACAUGAUAUGGCCAAUAUCAUUUUGCUCCUUUGAUCUCCAUCUUUGGGGCGCCAUGAUCAUCAUCGUCACCAGCAUGACACCAUGAUCUCCAUCAUCAUGAUCUCCAUCAUCAUGUCUCCAUGAAGUUGUCUGGCCAACUAUUACUUCUACUACUAUGGCUAACGGUUUAGCGAAGAAGUAAAGUAAUUACAUAGUGUUAUUCAGUGACACGUAGGUCAUACAAUAAAUAAAGACAACUCCUAUGGCUCCUGCCGGUUGUCAUACUCAUCGACAUGCAAGUCGUGAUUCCUAUUACAAGAACAUGAUCAAUCUCAUAUAUCACAUAUAUUUCAUUCAUCACAUCCUUUUUGGCCAUAUCACAUCACAAGGCAUAUGCUGCAAAAACAAGUUAGACGUCCUCUAAUUGUUGUUACAUGUUUUUACGUGGCUGCUAUAGGGUUCUAGCAAGAACGUUUCUUACCUAUGCCAAAACCACAACGUGAUAUGCCAAUUUCUAUUUACCCUUCAUAAGGACCCUUUUCAUCGAAUCCGAUCCGACUAAGGUGGGAGAGACAGACACCCGCUAGCCACCUUAUGCAACUAGUGCAUGUCAGUCGGUGGAACCUGUCUCACGUAAGUGUACGUGUAAGGUCGGUCUGGGCCGCUUCAUCCCACAAUACCGCCGAAACAAGAUAAGACUAGUAGUGGCAAGUAAAUUGACAAAAUCUACGCCCACAACAAAAUUGUGUUCUACUCGUCCAUAGAAAGUACGCAUAGACCUAGCUCAUGAAGCCACUGUUGAGAUCGUUGCAAAAAAUAAAAAAUUUCUACGCAUCACCAAGAUCAAUCUAUGGAGCAACUAGCAACGAGAGAGAGGGGAGUGCAUCUUCAUACCCUUGAAGACCGCGAGAUGGAAGCGUUGCAAGAACGCGGAUGAGGGAGUCGUACUCGAAGCGAUUCAGAUCGUGGUGGAUUAUGAUCUUAGCGCUGAACAACGGCACCUCCGCGUUCAACACACGUGCAGCUCGGUGACGUCUCCCGCGCCUUGAUCCAGCAAGGAGGAGGGAUAGGUUGAGGAAGAGGGACACCAACAGCAGCACAACGGCGUGGUGGUGAUGGAGCGACAGUACUCUGGUAGGGCUUCGCCAAGCUCUUGCGGAGGAGGAGAGGUGUUGGGGAGGGGAGGGGCUGCGCCUUGGAUGUGGUGCUGCAGCCCUCCCCUCGCCCCUCUAUUUAUAGGAGGAGGGGGAAGGGGCCGGCACCCUCUAGAUGAGAUCUAGAGGGGGGCGGUGGCCAAGGGAGGGACUUGCCCCCCAAGCAAGGGGGCGCCCUCUUUAGGGUUUCCCCCCCCAACCCUAGGCGCAUGGGCCCAAGGGGGGGCUGGCGCCCAGACCUCUAAGGGCUGGUUCCCUUCCCUCUAUAGCCCACGAGGCCCUCCGGGAGAGGUGGACCCCCGGAAUCCUUCCGGUGGCCCCGGUACAAUACCGGUAUGCCACCGAACUUUUCCGGUGACCGUAUUACAACUUCCCAUAUAUAUAUCUUCACCUCCGGACCAUUCCGGAACUCCUCGUGACGUCCGGGAUCUCAUCCAGGACUCCAAACAACAUUCGGUAAUCACAUACAAGUCUUCCUAAUAACCCUAGCGUCAUCGAACCUUAAGUGUGUAGACCCUGCGGGUUCGGGAAUCACGCAGACAUGACAGAGACAACUCUCCGGCCAAUAACCAACAGCGGGAUCUGGAUACCCAUGUUGGCUCCCACAUGUUCCACGAUGAUCUCAUCGGAUGAACCACGACGUCGAGGAUUCAAGUAAUCCCAUAUACAAUUCCCUUUGUCAAUCGGUACGUUACUUGCCCGAGAUUCGAUUGUCAGUAUACCAAUACCUCGUUCAAUCUUGUUACCGGCAAGUCACUUUACUCAUUAUAUAAUGUGUGAUCCCGUGACUAACCUAUUAGUAACAUUGAGCUCAUUAUGAUGAUGCAUUACUGAGUGGGCCCAGAGAUACCUCUCCGUCAUACGGAGUGACAAAUUCUAGUCUCGAUUCGUGCCAACCCAAUAGACACUUUCGGGGAUACCUAUAGUGCACCUUUAUAGUCACCCAGUUACGUUGUGAUGUUUGGUACACCUAAAGCACUCCUAUGGUAUCUGGGAGUUACACAAUCUCAUGGUCUAAGGAACUGAUACUUGACAUUAGAAAAUCUUUAGCAAACGAACUACACGAUCUUAUGCUAUGCUUAGGAUUGGGUCUUGUCCAUCACAUCAUUCUCCUAAUGAUGUGAUCCUGUUAUCAAUGACAUCCAAUGUCCAUAGUCUGAAAACCAUGACCAUAUGUUGAUCAACAAGCUAGUCAACUAGAGGCUUACUACGGACAUGUUGUGGUCUAUGUAUUCACACAUGUAUCAUGGUUUUCGGUUAAUACAAUUAUAGCAUGAAUAAUAGACAAUUAUCAUGAACAAGGAAAUAUAAUAAUAAUCAUUUUAUUAUUGUCUCUAGGGCAUAUUUCCAACAAUUAUUACCUCUAGGGCAUAUUUCCUUCAGUAUCAACCCAUUCCCAGCUGGCAAGGGAUGGGUUGCCAUGCUUUAUGGUUCAGCGCGCGGUGACAAAGACCUCUUCGUGGACUACAUGAAGGUCGCCACAAGGUACACUAGCGUUCAAGGACUGGUGGAUGAAGCAGACGAAGUGAGGAAGAAGGCGACGAGUGAGGAGAAGCAAUGCAUGGACCAGUAGUAUGGAAACCGAGGUAAGGGGAUCCUACUCAUAGAUAUACUGCUAUGGGCAAUGAAAGAGGCGGGCUCCGCCAAUGUUGGGCAGAGGCAGCGGUGGGCAGACCACCACUACAUCACUCCAGCACAAUCUACGGCUGAAGCAAGCGCAAACAAGCACCAAGACAAGGACGACAACCUCCAGAUCAUCACACCACCAGCACUGCAGGCUCGCCGCUGCCCUCCUCCCAUCAUCUUCAUCGAUGAAGACGAAGAUGAAGAAGAACAGGAGGUGCAGAUGCUGCCAAAUCAUCCUACCGAAGUUAAGCAGGAGGUACAAUGCUCGAGCCGCUUACCAGGGUAGGCGCCUAACUGAAACUGAAUGUGAAACUAUUCAGUUUCACAAUCAGUUUCGUCAGUCUUAUUCAGUGUUGGCUAGUUUCAGUUAUCCCCAAACUAUUUGGUGCUAUCUAUCUAUGUAAUGCUAUCUAUGUUGCAUCCUCAGACAAUUUGUGUUAUCUAUGCUACCUCCUAUGUAAUGCAAGUUUCAGUUUCAUUUUCAGUUUCAGUGUUGUUUGGUGUUACCAGAUUCAAGUGUAAGUAUUAGCAACAACUAGGUAGCAGCAAAAAAUUGCAGAUGGAGAUAUAACAACAUCUGGAUAAUAUGGUUCAGGGGCAUUACAAAUAGGAUUAUCUUAGAGCAUUACAGAUCAGGGGCAUUAUAGCACCCAACGACAUAAGCAAAAUGAUCUGAAACCAUAGGCAGUUAAUAGGGAGUUCAUAUUAAUACUAAGAUGCAUAUCUGCAUCAGAUUCUAGUACUAGGCCAGUUAUAUAUAUAGGCAUCAUAUUCACUUACCAACCAUAGGUACCACUUCACUCCUCCAUGACCAGCCUUCAAGAUCUCAUCAAUGAUAUGCUCCAGCUUCUUCUUCUCUUCUUUAAGGAGGUCUCUCUCCACUAGUAUCUCCUUCAUGGCUUUCCUGGUGUUUUGAAUGAUAUCAGCUUGACUCUGUAGGAUGCACCUUUGUUCUUUCUUGAGCUUAAGCUUCUCCAUUUGAACCUCAAUCUUUGCCUGCUCCUCAAGCUGACGCUUCUUCUCCUUAAGUUCAUUGAUUGCCUGGCUUGUGUAAUCCAUGUCAUGGGAUUUCUACCCAUCCUGGUAAUCAAACAGCUUGGAUACAUCAUCCACAAGCUGACUGUACUGAUUGCCAAGAGAAUCCAGCUCCUUGUUCAGUUUCUCAACCUCUAUCUCAUGAGCCUCUUUGUCUUGGACUCUACCAAGGUUGUCCUUAUCAUACAUAUCCCAGAGCUUGGUUAAGCACCUUUGCAAAAUUACAGGCCAAGGGGCAUCUACCCACUCUAAAGCACCACAGUUCACACCAUCUUGAAAAUUCAGUUAAAUUUAUAGUGAGCUUUAUUCUUCAUUAACAAACAUAUUCACAAUAACAAAUCAUAAACAAUAGUCAUAUAUGUAGCUACACUACACUAGCUAACUCCAUACUACAAAAUAUAAAUCAGUGCUAUGUUUCCAUUGCUCUUUGCUGCUCUUUGCUACAAGUACAUAAUUUGGACAUAGCAAUGUUCUUAUAGUUAAGCAAAAAUGAGAAAAGCAGCAGCAUUAUUCAGAAAAGCACAAAAUGAAUCAAUCACAGCCAUGAAAACUUGGUUCAUUACCUCAGUUGCACAUCCUAUGAAUCUCCUGCCAGUGUCAGUGCCUUCAAAUGCCACAAAUUUGCCUGCCCUCUGCCUGUGCAGGAUGCACCCACGGUCAGAUUCAAUCACAAGCCCAGAAAAGAUUGGAUCUAUCACAGUAUUUGGUGUUUGCUGUAGUAGGAAACACAUAUAUAUCAACUACAGCUCACAUAUAUGAACUUAAAUGGAGAAAUCCCAAUCCUUCUUCAAAUCCUAACCCUAACCCUAGCUGAUGGGAGGAGAGAUUGAGCUGACUUACAAAAUACUCCAUCUACAUGCUAUUGAAGUCGCUCAUGUACUUGUCAUCGUCAGAGGUCUCGUUGCUGUUAGGCCACGCAUGGUCGCGGCGUCGCCGAAGUGCGAGAAGAAGAAGAGAAGCAGUGGAGAGCAGAGGAGAAGAGUGAGUGAGCGAGUGAGCUCGGUGGAGAGUGAGGUGGGGAGGACGAUGAGCUAGCCAGUUGGCCAGGUUAGUCCUGGUCCGACUGGGCCCGACCGACGCGCGCGGCUAACGGGUGGCAGGCGAGCGCCGUUAGUUGUUAGCACGGCCGCCGUCCUGACCGGUGGGCCAGAUCUGUCAAAAAGUCAUUUAAAACACUUCAAUCUGUCAUCAACUCGAUCUGGUAGUUUUUUGUCAUGAAAUCAGCGCUAAACUGGAGUUUUUGGUCAGUUUUCAAAAUGUGGUAGUUCUGUGGGACGAUUACGUGAAAUGUGGUAGUUUUUUGUCAAUUACUAUGGCAUGGCGGGCGCCGCACCGUGCGCUCUUGGAUGGAGCCGCGCUGCUAGGCAAAGGGAUCCAACGCGUAGGAAGGGGCGAGCGCGGCGGCCUGAGCUGUCCGGCCAGGGUUAAUCAAAUAUUUCCCGGGCUUGGUAGGUAGGCAUAGUAGUGCCGCUGCUCAUGCUGCUCGGACCCCAAACGAACAAAAUCCGGACCAAAUGGUAUGUCUGUUUGGGGUCGUGCGCUGGAGUUCUCCUAAGAAGUAUUCCUUGCAAAGAUCACUCACACCUUCUCAGGUUUGCGAUAAGUGGACAAGUGGCGUGUUGCAUGUGCGCCACUUGUCGCAACCGGGGAGGUUUCCCCCUUUUUGUAGAUUCAUUUAUUCAAAAUGUUUUAUCUCUUAAACUGUGCGUCCAAAUCUCGAACCGUUUUCACCGUUGUACUCCUCGCGUUGAGAUCUUCAAAACUAGAUCCCAUGUUGAUAGGUUUUGACGAAAAAAAUUCACUUAAAAAACUGAUGAAAAAACCGAACCGGGAGCACGGGGUUUUUCCCUUUCUGAAAGAGGCACGCCGGUGCCUCCCACAAAAUCACAACCGUGCCUCUCGCAGAAGCAAAACCGUGCCUCUCGCAGAAGCAAAAAAAAAAGAGAAAACACGUUUUUUUGUUUCCGAGGAGGCACUGUCGUGCCUCUGGCGAAAGCAUAACCAUGCCUCUCGCAGAAGCAAAACCGCGUCUCUCGUGAAAGAAAAAAACAGAAAACACGUUUUUUCCGUUUUCGAGAGGCACGGUCGUGCCUCUCGGGAAAGCACAACGGUGCCUCUCACGGAAGCAAAACCGUGCCUCUCUCGGAACAAAAAAAACAGAAAACCCGACUUUUUUCCGUUUCCGAGAGGCACGGCCGUGCCUCUCGCGAAAGCACAACCGUGCCUCUCGCGAAAGGAAAAAAACAGAAAACAUGUUUUCUUUUUGUUUCUGAGAGUCAUGGCCGUGACUCUCGCGGAAGCAAAACUAUGCCUCUCGCGGAAGCAAAACCAUGACUCUCGUGAAAUUAAAGAAAACACAUUUUUUCACACAAAAAUGUUUUUUUAAUCCAAAAGUUAAGGAAGAACGGCGGAAAACCGAAACGUCGAAAAAAUGUUUCAAAAGCCGAAAACGCGUGCAGAAAAAUAAAAUAAAAAAUCCAGAGGGAGCACCCAGAGCGCGACAGGUGGUGGGAGGCUGAGAGCACGCCAAGUGGACCUCAUCGUUGUGAGCCUCCCGAAGGAGCGCUCAUUAACUAGUUGCUCUCUUGGAUGCCACGCGCCCCACGUGACGCAAUGGGCUUGAUUCCCCACAAUCCCUCCUUUCUGCAACAAGUCUUUUGUUGCAAAAAAAGUUAAGUAUAUAAGGACUUCAGUUACAAAAAUAAUUAAAUUGCGGCAAGGCCUUUGUUCAAAAAAAAAAUUGUAACAAGAUCUCUAUUGCAAAAAAAUGCAACAUGACCUCUAUUGCAAAAAAAAAGUAACGUUACCUAUAUUUUUGCAAAUUUUCUGCAAUACAAGCCAUGUUGCAGAAAAUUACCGCAACACAACCUUUGUUGCAACGCUAGAGGAUGACGCUCGCCCACUCAGUUCGUCAAGUCCAUGUCUCGUGAUGUGGCGGAUCUUUUUAUAAGAUCCGCCGGCUGACGCGUAGCAGCGCCAUUUCCCAACACAUAGUAAUAUUUAUUUAUUUCUAAUGUCAGGCGCGGACGCACUGACCACCGUAUAAAUCGUUGCACGAAUCUCUGAAUAGCCUAAACUUCCACGUCGGCUCGGAUGGCGAACACUCCACCCACUAGCCUACUCCGCCCUGUUUUCUCCCGUACUAAUCACUCCCACACAUAAUUUCUAACCAGUAUGGCUAGAUCUCAGUCAAGUGACAUAUAUAUAAAAAGAAAAAAGAAAAAAAAUUCUAUGAAUCUUCAUCCAAGAUCAAAGGAAUAUAGCAUUUCUCACAAAAAAGGAAUAUAGCACUGACUAAGACAUCUCAGUUUAGCAAAAAAAUUUCUCGCCAUUAGUCUAAUUUGAUGGUGGUUGUGACAUGGUGCUUGGGUAACAUUGCGGUUCUUGGUGUCGCCGGCACACAGGCAGCAAAUAUCAUAGCGUUUGUGAGCUAGGGGUUUUGAUGAUCACAUUCGCCGUGGUGGGGGACUGCCGCCAUAGGUUGUUAGGUUUUUCUGUUGAUACGGGUGAGCACCAUCACCCACAUUGGAGAUCAACAUUCAGGGCAUCUUGGCAGCGAUGGAAAAUAUGCCUUCAUUAGGGGCCCACUAAUACAUCUCCAACGUAUCUAUAAUUUUUUAUUGUUCCAUGAUGUUAUAUUAUCAUUCUUGGAUAUUUUACAAUCAUUUUAUAGUCAUUUUAUAUCAUUUUUUGGUACUAACCUAUUGACAUAGUGCCCAGUGUUAGUUGUUGUUUUCUGCAUGUUUUUACAUCGCAGGAAAUCAAUAUCAAAAAGAGUCCAAACGCAGCGAAACUCUUGGAGGAUUUUUUUGGGCCAGAAGAAAUCCAGUGGGCCAAGAAAGCACUUGAGAGGUGGCUCGAGGGGAGCAACACUCACCAAGGCGCGCCAGGAGGCCCAGGCGCACCCUGGUGGGUUGUGCCCACCUCGAGUGCCCCCUAAACCACCUCUUUGCUCUAUAAAUACCCCAAUAUUCCAGAAACCCUAAGGAAGUCGACGAAAAUCAAUUACAGCUGACGCAAAGUCUAGAACCACCAGAUCCAAUCUAGACACCAUCAUGGAGGGGUUCACCACUUCCAUCGGUGCCUCUCCGAUGAUGCGUGAGUAGUUCUUUGUAGACCUACGGGUCUGUAGUUAGUAGCUAGAUAGCUUCCUCUCUCUCACUUGAUUAUCAAUAUAAUGGUCUCUUGGAGAUCCAUAUGAUGUAAGCCUUUUUGCGGUGUGUUUGUUGGGAUCCGAUGAACUUUGAGUUUAUGAUCAGAUCUAUGUUUUUAUCCAUGAAGUCUAUUUGAGUCUUUUUUUAUCUCUUAUAUGCAUGAUUGCCUAUAGCUCGUAUUUCUUCUCCGAUAUUUGGGUUUUGUUUUGCCAACUUGAUCUAUUUAUCUUGCAAUGGGAAGAGGAGCUUUGUAGUGGGUUUGAUCUUACGAUGCUUGAUCCCAGUGACAGAAGGGGAACCGACACGUAUGUAUCGUUGCUACUAAGGAUAACAAGAUGGGAUCUAUAUCUUGAUAAUAGAUAAAUGGAUCUUGUCUACAUCAUGUCAUCGUUCUUAUUGCAUUACUCCGUUUUCCAUGAACUUAAUACACUAGAUGCAUGCUGGAUAGCGGUCGAUGUGUGGAGUAAUAGUAGUAAAUGCAGGCAGGAGUCGGUCUACUAAUCUUGAACGUGAUGCUUAUAUAAUGAUCAUUGCCUAGAUAUUGUCAUGAUUAUUUGAAGUUCUAUCAAUUGCCCAACAGUAAUUGUUUUCCCACCAUUUGCUAUUUUUCUCAAGAGAAGCCACUAGUGAAACCUACGGCCCUCGAGUCUAUUUUCAUCAUAUUUGCCUUUGAGAUCUUUUUUCCUUUGCAUUUAUUUUCAAAUCUAUUAAACCAAAAAUACAAAAAUACCUUUCUGCAAUUUAUUUGUUCCGCGAUCUAUUUAUCCUAUCUACCACUUUUACCUCAUGUUUUUUGCCUAUCUUGAGAUGCCGUAGACGAAAGGGAUUGACAACCCCUUUAACACGUCGGGUUGCAAGUAUUUGUUAUUUGUGUGCAGGUGUUGUUUACGUGGUAUGAGGAGGUUCUCCUACUGGUUCGAUAACCUUGGUAUCAUCACUGAGGGAAAUACCUACUGUCGCUAUAAUGCAUCAUCCCUUCCUCUUUGGGGGGAUACCGACAUAGUUCUAGCAGACAUCAAAAGGAAUUUCUGGCGCCGUUGCUGGGGAACAUCUUUAACAUCAACCAGGUUCCUAAUCACAAAUCUCAUCUCCUCGCAAUUUACAUUAUUUCCCAUUUGCCUCUUGUGUUCCUCUCCCCCAGUUCACAAAAAAUGGCCAUUUUAUUCGCCCUAUUUUUCGUUCGUCGUUUUUUCGUCAGAUCUCAUGUUUGCUUGUGUUGCCAUGCGCCUUCUAUUUUCUUGCAUCUGUGCUUGCUAAAAAUAUUUUGAUAUGGAUCCUCAUCCCCUUACUAAUGUUUUCAAAAUAUCCAGUUAUGAUGAACCAAUUGCUAGUGAUUCUAGUGCCCUAGAUUAUCUAUAUGAAGUUUUGCUUGAGAUUCGAGAUCUGAAAAUUGUGAUGAAGAAAUUUAUGAAGUGAUUCAUGAUAGCUCCUUGAAUGAAAAGCAUGAUUGCAAUUAUUUUAUUAUAAAUUCUAUUAAUUUCAAUUGUGUUAGUAAUAUGCGAAACGCCAAGCUUCGGGAUGCUAGUUUUGCUAUGUACGCUACUUAUUGCAAUGCUCAUGAUUGGGGUGAUAGUGUUUCUUAUGAUCUUGAAAAUUCAUUUAAGCCUCAUGAUGAAUAUGUUUGUGAUAAUAUUGAAAGUGGGUUUGGAAGAGUGUAAACUUUAGGUAAUAGUGAUCCCACUACCUUGGAGAAUGAUCAAUCUUAUGAAAUUUUUGGUAAAAGUGGGUUUGGAGAGGUCGUGACUUUAGUUGAUGGUAAUCCCACUAUUUUGAAGAGUUCAACUUUGCAUGCAUGUGGAUCAUGUCGAGAAUAUUUUAUGUGAUAGCUAUAUUGUCGAAUUUGAUUAUGAUCCUACAUGUAAUUAUUAUGAGAGAGUAAAAUAUGGUUGUAGAAUUUUUCAUGUUACUAAAUUACCUCUCUUCAUGUUGAGAUUGUUAUUGUUUCUUGAUUCUUCCUUGCAUAUGCUAGAUUUUGCUUGCCUUCAUAAUUUGUUUUCCUAUAAAAUGCCUAUGCAUAGGAAGUAUGUUAGACUUAAAUGUGGUUGUCACGUGUUUUAUGAUGCUCUCUUUUGCUUCAACUCUUAUCUUUCAUGUGAGCAUCGAUAAAUCUUAUGCCUAGCUAGGGGCGUAAAACGAUAGGGCUUGUUGGGAGGCAACCCAAUGAAUAAAAUUUAUUUUUGCUUUUUGAUUUCUGUUCUUGUGUGUUAGAACAAUUAUACUACUGUUAUGAUUGUGUUUUUUGUGUUUUAAUAAGUGUUUGUGCCAACCAAGGCCUUUGGGAUGAUUUGGGUGAAAGUUGAUUUGAUCUUGCUGAAAGGCUGGAUUAGUAAUUUGAUCUGCGGGGCACAACUUCUUUGACCCAAUCCUGGAUAUGGAAGAGGUACUGGAGUUUGUUUCUCCUAGUCAUUCUGCGAUAGAAUGGCUUGACGGACCACAAGAGUAUUAGGCAUCGAUAAACGAACGCACGCAUACUCUUGACUAUCAAUUGAUAGACGAGGGUCAGAAUGCAACUAAAGAGAUCAACUCAAAGGAUCAUAUAAUUUUCUGAGUUGUGGACGCAUAGAUUAGUAUGUCGAACCAAGUUCAACAUGUUUCUUCCGGAUAACCCAUGCAGAAAGGUAGAACUGGCAGAGUCACGAUUUAUGAAUGGAGAACUCCUCAAGAGUACUCUAAUUGUGAUCUUUUGAUCCAAUAAACAUCUGCCAUAAGCGGUUCAUAGUAUUUGGAAGAAGGAAAUACCACGGACCUCGAGGACUAUCGCAAAGUUACUAAUAUCCUGAAGGAACUAGCAAACACUAUCAACAUGAAGUAAGUAGAGUGAAUCUCGGGUUCAAAGCUCAAGGAGUAGAAUACCUACUACUAAGUAGCAUCACGGAAUGCUUUCGAGAAUGAUGGCCAGAAUCCUCACACUGGGAGCACAAAUCAUGGCUAAAUUACUAGAUGAUCCCCUAAGACACCUAGGGUCAUAAUAAUAUCUCCAACAUAUAUGUCAAGGUAACGGAGUACCUCAACUUACUGAUUAGUGUGGUUAAUCUGGCCCAUGGGAACAUUGAAACGGGAAGAAAGGAUUUGCAAAUGCAUCAGACUACUUAGAAACAUGGGAUGACUCGGACAGCAUAACGGCUGUAAAUGCUCAGAAAAGAUUUGAGACAUUCACAAAAAUGGUGGCAUAACCACUCAGAAGCACAAUAUCAAGGUUUCGAGAUCAACAAUUAACAUACAGAGGUAGAAACUGAACUGAGGCUUAAAUCCAACAAACUUAUAAGUCUACUGAUUAGUAACACGUGAUCCUAAUAGAAAGAAGAGAUAGCCUAGUUCUUAAUCCCCGUAGAAGAGAAGAUGACUCAGAUCAGAAGGGCAUAAGGUAUAAGGAAUAAAAAGAGCCUUACGUUCCAUCCCACAAUCAAUUCCCUUAUAUAACUAAAGAAUUUCUAGACUCAACUUCGACCAGUUUGGCUUGGUAAUCCUACAGGCAGUCAAGCUCUGAUACCAACGCUGUCAGGACCCCGACUCAAUGCCACAUCGAUCUAGCAUGUAACACCUCAUAUCACUUUGCGGCCUCACGCACGGUAUUCCCACGGGUGUCGCCUUACCUUAGCCCGGGACCGUUUGCGCCUUUUGGCACACGUAUAUGACGGUGUCGCUAGCAUCCAUAUGAUAAGGAGCCCAGGCUGACAUGGCUAGUCGUAAACCCAAAGUGGCACAGACUUACAGGGACAGGCAUCCAUGACCCAACAUCGAACGUGUCGGUCAUCAGCGAGUGAAUCCAGGCUGUAGCACUGGGCUAGCAGGACUCCGGUGAACCGGGCUGUAGCGGGCUAACAGGACUCCAGUAUUCAUCGCGUGACAUUUCCCCGAAGGGACAGACACAGGAACGAAGAAGGACACAUGCCGGCCAGCCUAAGUGUUCCGGAGCAGUAGCAAGCUACCAUGGCUCAGUGGAAACACUAGGAGACAUUUCCCGGUAAGAGAGGCUACUAAAGAUAAACAACUAGAUGGUCAGAUCCCACACAUACCAAGCAUUUCAAUAACACACACACAAUAUGCUCGAUAUGUGCAAAUACAACAUGGCAUCACAACAUGACUCUACGACUCAAGUAAUUUAUUCAAUAGGCUCCGAGGAGCGAGGUAUUACAAACAGGGGUCUCACGACCCAACAUUCAGAGCAUACAAGUCAAAACACAAGCGGAAGCUAUCAUGUCUGAGUACAGACAUCUAGAAAUGAAAAAGGCUGAGAAGCUUGACUAUCUACCAGAUCCUGUCGAGGCACAAGAUCGUAGCUGAGGUAACAAGCUAAACGUCGAAGACCACGCGGAAAUACUAGUGAGACUGAAGUCUCUCUGCAAAAACACAAAAUAGGCAAACAUGAGUACAAAUGUACCCAGCAAGACUUACAUCAGAACUAUCUACAUAUGCAUCAUUAUCAACAAAGGGAUGGUGGGGUUUAACUGCAGCAAGCCAGCUUUGACUCGGUGGCUAUCCUGAACUACGACUGCGAGUAACUUUUUUGAGGUGGCGCACACGAGUCCACAUAUUCACCAUAUCAAUACACCACUAUGGAUCCGCUCCCGUCUCCCUACGAGAACGCCAUCCAUAGCACUCACGCUUAUCUUGCGUAUUUUAAAGUAUCCACUUUCACUUGUCUAUGAACUGAUAUAAGCAACCCAGAAGUCCUUUUCCGCGGACACGGCUAUUCGAAUAGAUGAUGUUAACCCUGCAGGGGUGUACUUCUUCAUACAUGUUUCCACCACUUAGCGUCUGCACACGACAUGUGCUCGGCAGACUUCAAGCGAAAGCCGACGUGGGUGUAGACCACGGCCUACCUAAACACUCAAGUCUCUAGUCCAGGUUUAUCGCCUAUUUGGGUUCCAUCCAUGAGGAGAUCCGGCCGGAGUUUCGCUCACAGCCCCAAACGAUGUGAACAGGGUUCCCGAGAUACCAAACGGGCAUCCGGUACACCGUGCCACGUACCUACCGCAUCACAGCCCACCCCUACGGUCAGCGCUGUCCACGGCCUCCAGUAAGCUACAAACACCAGAAACUACUUGCAACUCCUGGACAGAGGACUAGGGUGAAUAAGAAGUCGAGCGGGGUCAUAUUUCAAGGCCCAAUGUAUGGUAGUAGCUGAAUCAUGGAUCACAAACGCAGAACUCAGUUCCUGAGGACGGCUGCAAUGAGACAACCCACCAUGUACUCCUACAUGGCCUCUCACCGCUACCUUUACCAAAUCGUGUUCACAUACUUAGCUCACACACAGUAGGACAUGUUCACACACCUCUAAUUCAUCCUCGAUGAAUCAGACCUGACUCAACUCUAAGCAGUAGCAGGCAUGACAAACAAACAUGAAUGAGUAGGCACAACAGGGCUCAAACAACUCCUACUCAUGCUAGUGGGUUUCAUCUAUUUACUGUGGCAAUGACAGGUCAUGCAAAGGAUAAAGGGGUUCAGCUACCGCAGCAUGUAACAGUUGAAUCGGUGUUGUCCUAAUGCAGUAAAAGAGAGCAGGAGCGAGAGAGUGGGAUUGUAUCGGAAUGAACAAGGGGGUUUUGCUUGCCUGGCACUUCUGAAGAUAACAUUGAGUCUUCAUCAGUGUCAGCGAUCACAUCAUCGGGUAUCACGUCUAUCGAGAGGGGACAAAUACCGGCAACACAAAAGGGAACACAAUCAAUGCAAUGCACAAUAUGAUGCAUGAUCAUGACAUGGCAAAAUGAAUGUGUUUGAGCUAAUGCAACUAGCAACAGAUUAAAUGAAGUUGGUUCGAAUACAAGAUUCAAAUUCAAACUCCAUAUGUGAUUAUUCAAAUGCCAUUUACUUCAUUUGCCCUAAACAGUAGUGAUAAGUUGUUCUAACAUGCAUGAAAAUGGUACAGAUGCAUUCCUUGAAUUUUUCUGAUAAUUUUUCAUAUAUAAAUUAUUUAAUUUGGAGUUAUGGUUAAUUUUCUAUGAUUUUUAGAAGUUUUAGGCAUUUUCUGGAAUUUCCUGGAUAUUAAUAAAUCCAGUAAUUGAAUUAAUGCGCCAGCCUGACGUCAUCAUGACGUCAGCAGGUCAACUGGGCGCCUCCAGGUCAAACCUGACACUGGGACCCACAUGUCAGUGUGAUUAGCUUAACUAAAAUUAAUUAAAACUAAUCCUAAUAGUCAACAGGGCUGGGCCCCACCUGUCAUUGACUCAGGAGAGUCAACCGGGGCCCACCCGUGGUCAAAGUCAAAGUCGGCUGCCGGCGUUUAGCCGCCGGCGAGCCCGACGCGGCGGCGAGAGUGGUUUUGGCCACUCCGGCGACCAAAUGGGCCGCAGAGGGCAUCUAGGAGGAUCUGGGGACGAGCCGAAGCUCCUGGUGGAGUCAGUUGCGCUCGGGGCGGCUGGAAUCGGUGCCGACGGCGAGCGAGGCGGCGCCGGAGCUCGGGUGUGCUCGGUUUCGGUGUUACACGGCACGGCGGGCGCGGCCGAUGGGCUCUACGGGAUGCUGGGGUCACCAGGAAUACCCGGAGGCAACGAGCGCAGGCGGAGAAGCUCGGGAGCACGGAGCUCACCGGCCAUGGCGGACGGCGGCUUCGGGUGCUCGUGGGGCGAUGGCUACAGGGCGCAAUCGAAGGGGGAAAGAGGGAGGGGAGGCGUAGGAGCUCACAGCGGUGCCGCAGGGAUGGUUGGCCGGCUCGGGGGCGCGCCAGAGUGGCCGAAUCGACGGAGAAGCUCCUCGGCGGCCGGCGAGGGGAAAACGUCGGGGGUGGCGUUCCGGGGCUCUUCUGGUCGCGUGACACGACGAGGAGGUCGAGGGAGGACCGGCGGAGCUUCCUGGGGCGUCGGCGAGGCUAGGGGUGGCCGGUGGCCAUGGGUACGGCGACNNNNNNNNNNGAAAUAAAUAUGGGUGCUUUCUGAAUUAUUCCAGUGACCCUUAUCAAUUUCCAACAUUUAUUUGAGCAUUUAAAAUAUUUAUAGUAUUUAAAUGCCCAAAGUCAAAUACAAUAUGAUUUAAUUCAAAAAUCCAAAAAUGACCUAAGGAUAUAUUCAUCAUUUUUGGCAGAGGUUUCCACCUUAACCAGAAAUCAUGAACUUUUCUUAGGGGCCUUUUGGGUUUAUUGAAAAGAUUUUAACUUACCCUAGUUGAGUUGAUUUAAUGCUAGGGUUUGAACAUCCCCAUUUCAAUUUUAGGCAAAAUUUAAACAUGAUGCAACACAUGACUAGCUAGCUCAGAGCAUUACCAGAAGCUAGGGAUGUGACAACUCACCCCCACUAAACAAGAAUCUCGUCUCGAGAUUCAAGCGUAGGGUAAGGUGAAAGGUAAGCGCAACUAGUAUAAUCUUCACGAUCCAGGGUGCACUUCAAAUGAACGUUGAUUUGAACCCAUCAUUGUCUUGUCGUCUUGCUCUGAGAACUUCAGCUAAUCAUGACAAGAAGAGGAAAGGAAAACUCUAGAACAAUCGAUCUUCGAGAAGACCGAACAACUUAGGAUCAACUCAUGGGAUGAGAUAUAGCAACAUCUCUUGAGCUGAGAGACGAAGCACAGAUCCGAAGAAAUGGAGUAAGACAAAUGACGAGGGUUCGCUAAGUAGACAACAAUUCCAGACUUAAGAAUGUGGUGAUCGGUUGUCAACGUAGCGAGGAGUUGAGUUGACAUGGCACCAUAAUGAUGCACCUUAGGGAAGGUGACUCGAAGAUAAAUCCCCUUAAGUGGCAAGAAGAAUUACUUUUGAUACCGAGAUCAUUGAAACUCUUUAUACCAGCCUAAGGCAAUUCUUGAGUGACCGUUUGGAGGGGUUCGGUAGAAUGGCAUACUCGGACUUGGAUGAUGUGGAUUACCUUGUUGAAGACAACGCAAUGGAUGAAUUUGCUUAUCACCGGAAAUGGAAGAGACCCAUGGUAGAAUGACACAUUGACGGUGCAAGCUGGGAACAAAAUGCAAAUGCUGGGAAUGAUUCUGGUAACUGGGGAAGAACCCAACAAUAGAGAAUGAAUUCACUGUGGAAGUGGUUAUAGCAUAACCGACGAGACUAGGAGCAAUCCCGGUUAGUGCCGGCGAUAAUACCUAGCGCUUGUGCGUGCUCUCAAGAACUUGAGCAUUUCCAUAUUCAUCAAGGUUUUACCAACAUCCGUGUCAAGGAUCCUGGCAACACAACUUGCUACCAUGAUGAAUGGUGAUGGAGGAUGCAGAUGCAAAGGAAGAUAACACCUUCUCAGAUUUCACCCUUGGCGGGGCCAAGGAAAUAAAAUCUGGAUGAUCGACCGAGAGACAUUUAGCACUCCGCUUCUAAUGUUCUCCUUGACGUGCUAGUGUAUCCCAUUCAUAGAUAUGGUUUGAUAACUAGAACAUCAAGUAACAGGUCGGACUUCGGGAACACAAAAAUCCAUAGGGGCAACUAGGAAGUAAACCCUACGAAAUCCUUAUGGGGAGGUGGCCAACUUCAUCAAUCAAGAUAUUAUAAUAAUAGGUCUACCGGAUGGGUGUGUUGGCCACGACAUCCACCUUGCCGGUUAUUGAGAGACCAAUAUUAUAAUUCUUGGGAAAUGUUCCAACCAUCACAUCUGCCUGAGAUUCAGAUCUGGUUGGUGUCAGGAUAUCCCAGACUCAUCAAGUCUAGAAAGAAAAAUGAAAGUUUGCAACACAAAUCGACGAGAUGACGUUGCGAGAUUCUCGGGAAAUGAACUACGAUAGUAAGCUCCAAAACAUGAGCUGGUUCUGCUACAAACAUGUGAACACGUUGUCCCAGACAAGCAUGACCACAAAGUAGUCUUAUAAUAAAACACUACCGAGUUCAGGAGGGGGAACCAUCAGCGAGGAUAUCGAAGUUUUGUACAAAUCCGUCCGGUACCUUCGGGACUAGCACUUAGAACUUAUUAAUCUUGAACAAAUCAAUCAGUGGCUUGGUGUGCUAGGGACCCAUAUAGAAUGGAGGUUGCAAGUCUCCGAACCACAGAAUACUUCGCACGUAUGCAUGACUGAUUUGGGAUGAUUCCAAAGGAAACAACAUUGACUUUCUCGAAUCCACGGCGGCAACUUGCAUCAAAUGCACAUGGACUGGAGGAAGUCACUUCUUACAUUCGAACAUAUGCUUCAUGAACUAGCAUGAAGAAAUGCUUUCAAAAGUUUCCAACACUAACUUAAUGUUCAACAAAUCAUGGAGGGAAUAAGGAUGUUGUCAAUGGGCUCAACAACAAUUCAUCUAGGUUUCCUUUUAAAAGGAAUUCCAUAGUUGAGUGAACACGGUGAUAGCAUUGGUCAGACCAAAGAUGUAAUGGUGUAUGCUCGAGGGAUCAACCACGAAUAAGACAACAUUACGAGCAUCGUUGGUACUGAUUUGAUUUGACGAUAGCCCACACUCAAAUCAAAGGAUUGAUAAGACAAUAGGUCCAACAACUGAUCACAAGGACCAAUCGAUGAAGAUAUCAUCUUUCUUCAACACACACUACACAAGAAUAUCCCUUUGGAACGAACUAAGUCAGGCAAGCUUUUAUCUUCCAACUCUCCAAGUUGUUGUCUAGCUUAACCAACUAGCUCAGGGAUAUCCAACACAGAUUCUUGGAGAAAGGGUGGUUCACAAGAAACCAACUUGAUCACGAGCUCAACAUAACGGUCAGGUGACGACCUGGUAAUACUUCCGAGAAGAUCUUCAGAAAUCACGAACCACCGAUAUGUUACUAAGCUCGAGAACAAUCUUGCUUUUCAGGGCAAGAUGAUAUAAUCAAAUGAGCGAGGACUUGACAAAAUCCUAACUCAUCAAUCAAAGAGUGCACCAGGAAAUAAGGACUAGGUAGCACGAUCAAUCUUAGAAUGGUGAUUCAAUAACCAACAUACUAAGAAUAAGAUUAUUGUCCAUUAACUACCAAGCAAUGGGGUUGCUAGGAGUAUUGAGUUCACACAUCAUGAUUCACUUGUCGGCACUCCGGCUGCAACAACACGGAACCGAGGAAUGAACAAUGAUGGCAAGAAGUAUCACUGUACCAAGAGUUCAUAGGAUGGUGUGCAAUUCCUAUAACAAUCCCGAUAUAAAGAUGGUAAUACUUUAGGGUAGAACAGGAUCAAAGGCUGGAUUAGUAAUUUGAUCUGCGGGGCACAACUUCUUUGACCCAAUCCUGGAUAUGGAAGAGGUACUGGAGUUUGUUUCUCCUAGUCAUUCUGCGAUAGAAUGGCUUGACGGACCACAAGAGUAUUAGGCAUCGAUAAACGAACGCACGCAUACUCUUGACUAUCAAUUGAUAGACGAGGGUCAGAAUGCAACUAAAGAGAUCAACUCAAAGGAUCAUAUAAUUUUCUGAGUUGUGGACGCAUAGAUUAGUAUGUCGAACCAAGUUCAACAUGUUUCUUCCGGAUAACCCAUGCAGAAAGGUAGAACUGGCAGAGUCAUGAUUUAUGAAUGGAGAACUCCUCAAGAGUACUCUAAUUGUGAUCUUUUGAUCCAAUAAACAUCUGCCAUAAGCGGUUCAUAGUAUUUGGAAGAAGGAAAUACCACGGACCUCGAGGACUAUCGCAAAGUUACUAAUAUCCUGAAGGAACUAGCAAACACUAUCAACAUGAAGUAAGUAGAGUGAAUCUCGGGUUCAAAGCUCAAGGAGUAGAAUACCUACUACUAAGUAGCAUCACGGAAUGCUUUCGAGAAUGAUGGCCAGAAUCCUCACACUGGGAGCACAAAUCAUGGCUAAAUUACUAGAUGAUCCCCUAAGACACCUAGGGUCAUAAUAAUAUCUCCAACAUAUAUGUCAAGGUAACGGAGUACCUCAACUUACUGAUUAGUGUGGUUAAUCUGGCCCAUGGGAACAUUGAAACGGGAAGAAAGGAUUUGCAAAUGCAUCAGACUACUUAGAAACCUGGGAUGACUCGGACAGCAUAACGGCUGUAAAUGCUCAGAAAAGAUUUGAGACAUUCACAAAAAUGGUGGCAUAACCACUCAGAAGCACAAUAUCAAGGUUUCGAGAUCAACAAUUAACAUACAGAGGUAGAAACUGAACUGAGGCUUAAAUCCAACAAACUUAUAAGUCUACUGAUUAGUAACACAUGAUCCUAAUAGAAAGAAGAGAUAGCCUAGUUCUUAAUCCCCGUAGAAGAGAAGAUGACUCAGAUCAGAAGGGCAUAAGGUAUAAGGAAUAAAAAGAGCCUUACGUUCCAUCCCACAAUCAAUUCCCUUAUAUAGCUAAAGAAUUUCUAGACUCAACUUCGACCAGUUUGGCUUGGUAAUCCUACAGGCAGUCAAGCUCUGAUACCAACGCUGUCAGGACCCCGACUCAAUGCCACAUCGAUCUAGCAUGUAACACCUCAUAUCACUUUGCGGCCUCACGCACGGUAUUCCCACGGGUGUCGCCUUACCUUUGCCCGGGACCGUUUGCGCCUUUUGGCACACGUAUAUGACAGUGUCGCUAGCAUCCAUAUGAUAAGGAGCCCGGGCUGACAUGGCUAGUCGUAAACCCAAAGUGGCACAGACUUACAGGGACAGGCAUCCAUGACCCAACAUCGAACGUGUCGGUCAUCAGCGAGUGAAUCCAGGCUGUAGCACUGGGCUAGCAGGACUCCGGUGAACCGGGCUGUAGCGGGCUAACAGGACUCCAGUAUUCAUCGCGUGACAUUUCCCCGAAGGGACAGACACAGGAACGAAGAAGGACACAUGCCGGCCAGCCUAAGUGUUCCGGAGCAGUAGCAAGCUACCAUGGCUCAGUGGAAACACUAGGAGACAUUUCCCGGUAAGAGAGGCUACUAAAGAUAAACAACUAGAUGGUCAGAUCCCACACAUACCAAGCAUUUCAAUAACACACACACAAUAUGCUCGAUAUGUGCAAAUACAACAUGGCAUCACAACAUGACUCUACGACUCAAGUAAUUUAUUCAAUAGGCUCCGAGGAGCGAGGUAUUACAAACAGGGGUCUCACGACCCAACAUUCAGAGCAUACAAGUCAAAACACAAGCGGAAGCUAUCAUGUCUGAGUACAGACAUCUAGAAAUGAAAAAGGCUGAGAAGCUUGACUAUCUACCAGAUCCUGUCGGGGCACAAGAUCGUAGCUGAGGUAACAAGCUAAACGUCGAAGACCACGCGGAAAUACUAGUGAGACUGAAGUCUCUCUGCAAAAACACAAAAUAGGCAAACAUGAGUACAAAUGUACCCAGCAAGACUUACAUCAGAACUAUCUACAUAUGCAUCAUUAUCAACAAAGGGGUGGUGGGGUUUAACUGCAGCAAGCCAGCUUUGACUCGGUGGCUAUCCUGAACUAUGACUGCGAGUAACUUUUUUGAGGUGGCGCACACGAGUCCACAUAUUCACCAUAUCAAUACACCACUAUGGAUCCGCUCCCGUCUCCCUACGAGAACGCCAUCCAUAGCACUCACGCUUAUCUUGCGUAUUUUAAAGUAUCCACUUUCACUUGUCUAUGAACUGAUAUAAGCAACCCAGAAGUCCUUUUCCGCGGACACGGCUAUUCGAAUAGAUGAUGUUAACCCUGCAGGGGUGUACUUCUUCAUACAUGUUUCCACCACUUAGCGUCUGCACACGACAUGUGCUCGGCAGACUUCAAGCGAAAGCCGACGUGGGUGUAGACCACGGCCUACCUAAACACUCAAGUCUCUAGUCCAGGUUUAUCGCCUAUUCGGGUUCCAUCCAUGAGGAGAUCCGGCCGGAGUUUCGCUCACAGCCCCAAACGAUGUGAACAGGGUUCCCGAGAUACCAAACGGGCAUCCGGUACACCGUGCCACGUACCUACCGCAUCACAGCCCACCCCUACGGUCAGCGCUGUCCACGGCCUCCAGUAAGCUACAAACACCAGAAACUACUUGCAACUCCUGGACAGAGGACUAGGGUGAAUAAGAAGUCGAGCGGGGUCAUAUUUCAGGGCCCAAUGUAUGGUAGUAGCUGAAUCAUGGAUCACAAACGCAGAACUCAGUUCCUGAGGACGGCUGCAAUGAGACAACCCACCAUGUACUCCUACAUGGCCUCUCACCGCUACCUUUACCAAAUCGUGUUCACAUACUUAGCUCACACACAGUAGGACAUGUUCACACACCUCUAAUUCAUCCCCGAUGAAUCAGACCUGACUCAACUCUAAGCAGUAGCAAGCAUGACAAACAAACAUGAAUGAGUAGGCACAACAGGGCUCAAACAACUCCUACUCAUGCUAGUGGGUUUCAUCUAUUUACUGUGGCAAUGACAGGUCAUGCAAAGGAUAAAGGGGUUCAGCUACCGCAGCAUGUAACAGUUGAAUCGGUGUUGUCCUAAUGCAGUAAAAGAGAGCAGGAGCGAGAGAGUGGGAUUGUAUCGGAAUGAACAAGGGGGUUUUGCUUGCCUGGCACUUCUGAAGAUAACAUUGAGUCUUCAUCAGUGUCAGCGAUCACAUCAUCGGGUAUCACGUCUAUCGAGAGGGGACAAAUACCGGCAACCCAAAAGGGAACACAAUCAAUGCAAUGCACAAUAUGAUGCAUGAUCAUGACAUGGCAAAAUGAAUGUGUUUGAGCUAAUGCAACUAGCAACAGAUUAAAUGAAGUUGGUUCGAAUACAAGAUUCAAAUUCAAACUCCAUAUGUGAUUAUUCAAAUGCCAUUUACUUCAUUUGCCCUAAACAGUAGUGAUAAGUUGUUCUAACAUGCAUGAAAAUGGUACAGAUGCAUUCCUUGAAUUUUUCUGAUAAUUUUUCAUAUAUAAAUUAUUUAAUUUGGAGUUAUGGUUAAUUUUCUAUGAUUUUUAGAAGUUUUAGGCAUUUUCUGGAAUUUCCUGGAUAUUAAUAAAUCCAGUAAUUGAAUUAAUGCGCCAGCCUGACGUCAUCAUGACGUCAGCAGGUCAACUGGGCGCCUCCAGGUCAAACCUGACACUGGGACCCACAUGUCAGUGCGAUUAGCUUAACUAAAAUUAAUUAAAACUAAUCCUAAUAGUCAACAGGGCUGGGCCCCACCUGUCAUUGACUCAGGAGAGUCAACCGGGGCCCACCCGUGGUCAAAGUCAAAGUCGGCUGCCGGCGUUUAGCCGCCGGCGAGCCCGACGCGGCGGCGAGAGUGGUUUUGGCCACUCCGGCGACCAAAUGGGCCGCGGAGGGCAUCUAGGAGGAGCUGGGGACGAGCCGAAGCUCCUGGUGGAGUCAGUUGCGCUCGGGGCGGCCGGAAUCGGUGCCGACGGCGAGCGAGGCGGCGGCCGGAGCUCGGGUGUGCUCGGUUUCGGUGUUACACAGCACGGCGGGCGCGGCCGAUGGGCUCUACGGGAUGCUGGGGUCACCAGGAAUACCCGGAGGCAACGAGCGCAGGCGGAGAAGCUCGGGAGCACGGAGCUCACCGGCCAUGGCGGACGGCGGCUUCGGGUGCUCGUGGGGCGGCGGCUACAGGGCGCAAUCGAAGGGGGAAAGAGGGAGGGGAGGCGUAGGAGCUCACAGCGGUGCCGUAGGGAUGGUUGGCCGGCUCGGGGGCGCGCCGGAGUGGCCGAAUCGACGGAGAAGCUCCUCGGCGGCCGGCGAGGGGAAAACGUCGGGGGUGGCGUUCCGGGGCUCUUCUGGUCGCGUGACACGACGAGGAGGUCGAGGGAGGACCGGCGGAGCUUCCUGGGGCGUCGGCGAGGCUAGGGGUGGCCGGUGGCCAUGGGUACGGCGACGAUGGCGGCGAGCUCCGCUCGGUGGUGUGCGCGAGAGGGAAACAGAGGAGGGAAUGGGGUCCAGGGGGAGAGAGGGGAGGUGCAGGGGGCGAGGGCGUCUCCGUGGCGUCGCGAGGGGGUCGGGGAGGAAGCAGGAGGUGGCUAGGGGGGGAAGCAGGAGGUGGCCGAGGCAGCGUCGGCGAGCGCCACGCCUCGCCUCUGCUCGUCCUCCUGGCAGAGGAGGAAGAGGACAAAGGAGGAGGAGGUGGGCUGGGCCGGCUGGGGGGCAACUGGGCCGGCUGGUGGGCUGCACGGGUGAGGCCAGGUAUGUCCUUCUCCCUCUUAUUUUUGUUCUGUUUUAUUUUUUUCUAUUUCUGCAAUUUGUUUUUGAUUUGUUUUAAACAUCAAAUCAUUUUAUAAAAUCCUGGAAAUAAAUAUGGGUGCUUUCUGAAUUAUUCCAGUGACCCUUAUCAAUUUCCAACAUUUAUUUGAGCAUUUAAAAUAUUUAUAGUAUUUAAAUGCCCAAAGUCAAAUACAAUAUGAUUUAAUUCAAAAAUCCAAAAAUGACCUAAGGAUAUAUUCAUCAUUUUUGGCAGAGGUUUCCACCUUAACCAGAAAUCAUGAACUUUUCUUAGGGGCCUUUUGGGUUUAUUGAAAAGAUUUUAACUUACCCUAGUUGAGUUGAUUUAAUGCUAGGGUUUGAACAUCCCCAUUUCAAUUUUAGGCAAAAUUUAAACAUGAUGCAACACAUGACUAGCUAGCUCAGAGCAUUACCAGAAGCUAGGGAUGUGACAGUUUUUGCCAUAGAAAAGUUGUAAUACAGUAGAUAUAAUGCAAAAAAACAAAAUAAUAAUAGGUUUGCAACAGUACUUAUAGUAGUGGUUUGCUUUCUUAUACUAAUGGAUCUCACGAAGGUUUUGUUGAGUUCUGUGUGAUUGAAGUUUUGAAGUUUUGGGUGAUCUUACGAUGGAUGAAGGAAUAAGGAUUAGCAAAAGGCUAAGCUUGGGGAUGCCAUUGGCACCCCAAGACAAUAUUCAAAGAAGUAGCAAGCAACUAAGCUUGGGGAUGAAGGAAAUAUGCCCUAGAGGCAAUAAUAAAGUUAUUAUUUAUUUCCUUAUAUCAUGAUAAAUAUUUAUUAUUCAUGCUAGAAUUGUAUUAACCGGAAACUUAGUACAUGUGUGAAUACAUAGACAAAACAUAGUGUCCCUAGUAUGCCUCUACUUUACUAGCUCGUUAAUCAAAGAUGGUUAUGUAUCCUAACCAUAGACAUGUGUUUUCAUUUGAUGAAUAGGAUUACAUCAUUAGGAUAAUGAUGUGAUGGACAAGACCCUUCCGUUAGCUUAGCAUUAUGAUCGUUACAGUUUCAUUGCUACUGCUUUCUUCAUGACUUAUACAUGUUCCUCAGACUAUGAGAUUAUGCAACUCCCGAAUACCGAAGGAACACCUUGUGUGCUCUCAAACGUCACAAUGUAACUGGGUGAUUAUAAAGAUGCUCUACAGGUGUCUCCGAAGGUGUUUGUUGGGUUGGCAUAGAUCGAGAUUAGCAUUUGUCACUCCGCGUUUCGGAGAGGUAUCUCUAGGCCCUCUCGGUAAUGCUCACCACUAUAAGCCUUGCAAGCAAUGUGAUUAAUGAGUUAGUUGCGGGAUGAAGCAUUACGGAACGAGUAAAGAGACUUGCCGGUAAUGAGAUUGAACUAGGUAUGAUGAUACCGAUGAUCGAAUCUCGAGCAAGUAACAUACCAAUGACAAAGGGAACAACGUAUGUUGUUAUGCAGUUUGACCGAUAAAGAUCUUCAUAGAAUAUAUAGGAGCCAAUAUAAGCAUCCAGGUUCCGCUAUUGGUUAUUGAUCGGAGAUGUGUCUCGGUCAUGUCUGCAUAGUUCUCGAAUCCGCAGGGUCCGCAUGCUUAACGUUUGAUGACGAUUUGUAUUAUGAGUUAUGUGUUUUGAUGACCGAAGUUUAUUCGGAGUCCCGGAUGAGAUCACGGACAUAACAAGGAGUCUCAAAAUGGUCGAGACAUAAAUAUUGAUAUAUUGGAAGGCUAUUUUCGGACAUCAGAAUGGUUCCGUAGAAGUUCGGGUAUUUUCCGGAGUACCGGGAGGUUACGGGAACCCCCCGGGGAGUUGUUGGGCCUUAGUGGGCCUUAGUGGGAAGAGGAGGCAACGGCCAGGAGGUGGCGCGCGCCCCCCAAGCCCAGUCUGAAUUGGACAAGGGGUUGGGGCGCGGCCCCCCUCUCCCUUCCUUUUCCCUCUCCUUUUAGGUGGAAUCCUACUAGGACCUCGAGUCCUAGUAGGACUCCCCUCUCCUGGCGCACCCUGUAAGGGCCGUCCAACCUCGCCCUCCCUCCUUUAUAUACGGGGGCAAGUGGCACCCUAGAACACACCAAGUUUUGCCUUAGCCAUGUGCAGUGCCCCCCUCCACAGUAACACACCUCAAUCAUAUCGAUGUAGUGCUUAGGCGAAGCCCUGCGCCGGUAACAUCAUCAUCACUAUCGCCACGCUGUCGUGCUGAUGGAACUCACCCUCAUCCUCAACUGGAUCAACAGCACGAGGGACGUCAUCGAGCUGAACGUGUGCUGAAUGUGGAGGUGUCGUACGUUCGGUACUUGGAUUGGUUGGAUCAUGAAGACGUUCGACUACAUCAACCGUGUUACUAAACGCUCCCGCUUUCGGUCUACAAGGGUACAUGGACACACUCUACCCUCUCGUUGCUAUUCAUCUCCUAUAUAGAUCUUGUGAGAUCAUACACAAUUUUUUGAAUUACUACAUUCCCCAAUAGUGGCAUCCGAGCCACGUCUAUGCGUAGAUGUUUUAUGCACGAGUAGAUCACAAAGAGUUGUGGGCGAUAAUAGUCAUACUGCUUACCACCAAUGUAUUACUUUGAUUCGACGGUAUUGUUGGAUGAAGCGGCCCAGACCGACAUUACAUGAUCACGUUCAUGAGACUGGUUCUACCGACGUGCUUUUGCACAUAGGUGGCUGGCGGGUGUCUGUUUCUCCAACUUUAGUUGAAUCGAGUUUGACUAUGGCAGGUCCUUGUUAAAGGUUAAAACAGCACACUUGACGAAAAAUUGUUGUGGUUUUGAUGCGUAGGUAAGAACGGUUCUUGCUAGAAGCCCGUAGCAGCCACGUAAAAUUUGCAACAACAAAGUAGAGGACGUUUAACUUGUUUUUGCAGAGCUUGCUGUGAUAUGAUAUGGUCAAGACGUGAUGUGCUAUAAAUUGUUGUAUGAAAUGAUCAUGUUUUGUAACAGAGUUAUCGGCAAUUGGCAGGAGCCAUAUAGUUGUCACUUUAUUGUAUGCAAUGCAAUCACCAUGUAAUUGCUUUACUUUAUCACUAAGCGGUAGCGAUAGUCGUAGAUGCAAUAGUUGGCGAGACGACAACGAUGCUAGAUGGAGCUCAAGGUGUCACACCGGUGAUGAUGGAGAUCAUGACGAUGCUUCGGUGAUGGAGAUCAUAAGCACAAGAUGAUGAUGGCCGUAUCAUGUCACAUAUUUUGAUUGCAUGUGAUGUUUAUAUUUUAUGCAUCUUAUCUUGCUUAGUACGGCGGUAGCAUUAUAAGAUGAUCCCUUACUAAAUUUCAAGGUAUAAGUGUUCUCCAUCAGUAUGCACCGUUGCUACAGUUCGUUGUGCCGAGACACCACGUGGAUCGGGUGUGAUAAGCUUUAAGUUCACAUACAACAGGUGCAAGCCAGUUUUGCACACACAGAAUACUCGGGUUAAACUUGAUGAGCCUAGCAUAUGCAGAUAUGGCCUCGGAACACUAAGACCGAAAGGUCGAACGUGAAUCAUAUAGUAGAUAUGAUCAACAUAGUGAUGUUCACCAUUGAAAACUACUCCAUAUCACGUGAUGAUUGAUGUCUACUACGCAGCCUUCUCCUUGUAGACGUUGUUGGGCCUCCAAGUGCAAAUGUUUGUAGGACAGUAGCAAAUUUCCCUCAAGUGGAUGACCUAAGGUUUAUCAAUCCGUGGGAGGUGUAGAAUGAAGAUGGUCUCUCUCAAACAACCCUGCAACCAAAUAACAAAGAGUCUCUUGUGUCCCCAACACACCCAAUACAAUGGUAAAUUGUAUAGGUGCACUAGUUCGGCAAAGAGAUGGUGAUACAAGUGCAAUAUGGAUAGUAGAUAUGAGUAUUUGUAAUCUGAAAUUAUAAAAACAGCAAGGUAACUAAUGAUAUAAGUGAGCGUAAACGGUAUUGCAAUGCUAGGAAACAAGGCCUAAGGUUCAUACUUUCACUAGUGCAAGUUCUCUCAACAAUAAUAACAUAACUGGAUCAUAUAAUUAUCCCUCAACAUGCAACAAAGAGUCACUCCAAAGUCACUAAUAGCAAAGAACAAACGAAGAGAUUAUUGUAGGGUACGAAACCACCUCAAAGUUAUCCUUUCUGAUAGAUCUAUUCAAGAGUCCAUAGUAAAAUAACAUGAAGCUAUUAUUUCUGUUCGAUCUAUCAUAGAGUUCAUACUAGAAUAACACCUUAAGACACAAAUCAACCAAAACCCUAAUGUCACCUAGAUACUCCAAUGUCACCUCAAGUAUCCGUGGGCAUGAUUAUACAAUAAGCAUCACACAAUCUCAGAUUCAUCUAUUCAACCAACACAAAGUAUUCAAAGAGUGCCCCAAAGUUUCUACCGAAGAGUCAAGACGAAAACGUGUGCCAACCCCUAUGCAUAAGUUCACAAGGUCAAUGAACCCGCAAGUUAAUCACCAAAACACACAUCAAGUAGAUCACGUGAAUAGUCCAUUGUCACCACAGAUAAGCACAUGCAAGACAUACAUCAAGUGUUCUCAAAUCCUUAAAGACUCAAUCCGAUAAGAUAACUUCAAAGGGAAAACUCAAUCCAUUACAAGAGAGUAGAGGGGGAGAAACAUCAUAAGAUCCAACUAUAAUAGCAAAGCUCGCGAUACAUCAAGGUCGUGCCAAAUCAAGAACACGAGAGAGAGAGAGAGAGAGAGAGAGAGAGAGAGAUCAAACACAUAGCUACUGGUACAUACCCUCAGCCCUGAGGGUGAACUACUCCCUCCUCGUCAUGGAGAGCGUAGGGAUGAUGAAGAUGGCCACCGGUGAUGGAUCCCCCCUCCAGCAGGGUGCCAGAAUAGGGUCCCGAUUGGGUUUUGGUGGCUACAGAGGCUUGCGGCGGCGGAACUCCCGAUCUAUUGUGUUCCUGGAUGUUUUCGGGGUAUGUGGACAUAUAUAGGCGAAAGAAGUCGGUCAGGGGAGCCAUGAGGGGCCCACGAGGGUGGGGGGCGCCCAGGGGGGUAGGGCGUGCCCCUGACCCUCAUGGCCACCUUGAAGCUUCCCUGACGUCUACUCCAAGUCUCUUGGAUUGCUUCCAUUCCAAAAAUAACUCUCCCGAAGGUUUCAUUCUGUUUGGACUCCGCUUGAUAUUCCUUUUCUUCGAAACACUGAAAUAGGCAAGAAAACAUGGGCCUCCGAUUAAUAGGUUAGUCCCAAAAAUAAUAUAAAAGUGUAUAAUAAAGCCCAUUAAAUAUCUAAAACAGAUAAUAUAAUGGCAUGAAUACUUCAUGAAUUAUAGAUACGUUGGAGACGUAUCAGCAUCCCCAAGCUUAAUUCCCGCUCGUCCUCGAGUAGGUAAAUGAUAAAAGAAAGAAUUUAUGAAGUGUGAGUGCUAGCAGGUGCACAAGUUUGAUCAAUGAUAAUUUCAAUCACCUUUUCUAGCAUCAUUAUAUGUCAUAACACUAGCUCAUCUUAUAAAACUUUUCAUGAUCAAGUAACAAGCUAUUCACAUGUUAAUGUAUAGAUCAUAAACUUUCUUGAAAACUAGCAAACCACAUUCUUAAUCAUCAAACAAUUGCAAUUCUUCUUAUUUUCAAGAAGGGUCUAUGUCAGAGCUUUGAUUUAGCAAACUCGACAUACUCAACUAUCAUUUAAUCUUUCACAAUUGCUAACACUCACGUGAUAUUUAUGGGUUCAAAAUUUUAAUCGAACACAGAGAAAGAUAGGGGCUUAUAGUUUCGCCUCCCAACCUUUUACCUCAAGGGUAAUGUCAACAAUAAUAAUUUAUGAACGCCUACAUCCAAGUGGAUAUAUAUAUAUAUAUAUAUAUAUAUAUAUAUCCGGAUCACUCCAACACAAAGUGCUUGCCAAAGGAAAAAGUGUAAAAAGGAAAGGUGUUGAUCACAAUGACUCUUGUAUAAGGGUAAAAGAUAAAAGUAAAAGAUAGGCCCUUCGUAGAGGGAAGCAGAGGUUUUCAUGCGCUUUUAUGGUUGGAUGCACAAAAUCUUAAUGCAAAAGAACGUCACUUUAUAUUGCCGCUUGUGAUAAAGACCUUUAUUAUGAAAUCCAUUGCUUUUAUUUCUUCCCUAUCACAAGUUCGUAUAAAGCUUAUUUUCUUCGCACUAAUAGAUCAUACAUAUUUAGAGAGCAAUUUUUAUUGCCUGCACCGAUGACAACUUACUUGAAGGAUCUUACUCAAUCCUUAGGUAGGUAUGGUGGACUCUCAUGGCAAAACUGGUUUAAAGGAUGUUUGGAAGCACAAGUAGUAUUUAUACUUGGUGCAAAGAAUUUGGCUAGCAUGAGAGGGAAAGGCAAGCUCAGCAUGUUGAAUGAUCCAAGACGAUAUAAUGUUUCGGAUAUAGGAAAACAUAACCCAUUAAGUUGUCUUCCUUGUCCAACAUCCACUUUUUAGCAUGUCAUAUUUUAAUGAGUGCUCACAAUUACAAAAUAUGUCCAACAUAGUAUAUUUAUAUGUGAAAUCUCUCUUCCUUCAAUAUUCUUUCAUGAAUUGUUCAAGUGACCAAUACAAUGUUUGCUAACCUUCAAUAAAUUUACCACCUCUACUUCUUAUAUGUGAAGUCAUUACUCCCCAUGGGAUAAGCGUAUGAAACAUAUAUAAUUUCAGAUUUAUGAUAUUCAAAUCAUUCAACCAUUUACUCAUAAGAUAUAAGUGAAGCACAUGAGUAAAUGGCAAACUACUUCCAAAAAGAUAUAAGUGAAGAUCAAUGAGUAGUUAAGUAUUUGUGUAACUAUGUGAAGACUCUCUCUCAUUUAAGAAUUUCAUAUCUAAUGUAUUUUAUUCAAACAUCAAGCAAAGUAAAACAAAAUGGAAUUGCAAGGAUAGCACAACUCAUGUGAAGAAGCAAAAAACUUAGGCUCAACCGAUACUAACUGAUAAUUGUUGAAGAAGAAAGGUGUGAUGCCUACCGGGGCAUCCCCAAGCUUAGAUGCUUGAGACUUCUUGAAAUAUUAUCUUGGGGUGCCUUGGGCAUCCCCAAGCUUGAGCUUUUGUGUCUCCUUAAUUCCUCUGAUAUCACGUUUUCCUAAAUCUCAAAAACUUCAUCCACACAAAACUCAACAAGAACUCGUGAGAUAAGUUAGUAUAAACCAAUGCAAAAGCCUUAUCAUUCUCUACUAUAAAAAAUCAUUAAAAUUAUUAUUCAACAUUUCAUACUAAAUGCCUCUGCAUAUUUAAUACUCCUAUCCUCAAAUAGAAUCAUUAAACAAGCGAACAUAUGCAAACAAUGCAAACAUAACAGCAAUCUGCCAAAACAGUACAGUCUGUAAAGAAUGCAAGAUCCAUCAUACUUACCUAACUCCAAAACUUCUGAGAAAAAUACUACAAUGUAUAAGAUUUAUAAUAGCUAAAUAUGCAAAAAAAAUUCAAUAUUAUAUCAUUCUCUGACUUUUCUAGGGAAUUUUCGCAACAGCUGUAAACUUUCUGUUUUGAAACAGCAACAUGUAUACUUGCAAAAUAAGCAUGGUAAAGGCUAUCCUUGACAUUUUUAUUGAAAAUAGAGAUGCAAAACAUUAUUCUAAAUAAAAGCAUUCAAAUACUAACAAAAUAAUAUGACGCUCCAAGCAAAACACAUAUCAUGUGGUGAAUAAAAGUAUAGGUCCAAGUAAAGUUAUCGAUGAAGGAAGACGAAAGAGGGGAUGCCUUCCGGGGCAUCCCCAAGCUUAGGCUCUUGGUUUUCCUUGAAUAUUACAUUGGUGUGCCUUGGUCAUCCCCAAUCUUAGGAUCUUGCAACUCCUUAUUCCAUUGUUCAUCGAAUCUUUACCCAAAACAUGAAAACUUCACAACACAAAACUCAACAGAAAACUCGUAAGCUCCGUUAGUAUAAGAAAAUAAAUCACCACUUUUGGUACUGUUGUGAACUCAUUAUAAAUUAAUAUUGGUGUAAUAUCUACUGUAUUACAACUUAUCUAUCGCUCAUACCUUCCGAUACUACUCAUAGAUUUAUCACAAUAAGAAAACAACACAUAGAAAACAGAAUAUGUCUAAAACAGAACACUCUGUAGUAAUCUGUAUCAAAUGUAUACUUCUGGAACUCCAAAAAUUCAGAAAUAAAUUGGUGGACCUGGGGAAUUUGUCUAUUAAUCAUAUUCAAAAAGAAACCUAAAAUCACUCUCCAGUAAAACAUGGCAUCUAAUCUUGUGGGCGCCAAAGUUUCUGUUUUUUUACAGCAAGAUGAUAAAGACUUCACCCAAGUCUUCCCAAAGGUUCUACUUGGCACAAACACUAAUUAAAACAUAAAACCACAUCUAACCAGAGGCUAGUUGAAUUAUUUAUUAUUAAACAGGAACAAAAAGCAAAGAACAAAAAUAAAAUUGGUUUGCCUCCCAACAAGCACUAUCGUUUAACGCCCCUAGCUAGGCAUGAUGAUUUCAAUGAUGCUCACAUAAAAGGAUAAGAAUUGAAACAUAAAGAGAGCAUCAUGAAGAAUAUGACUAACACAUUUAAGCCUAACCCACUUCCUAUGCAUAGGGAUUUUGUGAGCAAACAACUUAUGGGAACAAUAAUCAACUAGCAUUGGAAGGCAAAACAAGCAUAACUUCAAGUUUUUAAGCACAUAGAGAGGAAACUUGAUAUUAUUGCAAUUCCUACAAGCAUAUGUUCCUCCCUCAUAAUAUUUUUCAGUAGCAUCAUGAAUGAAUUCAACCAUAUAACCAGCCCCUAAAGCAUUCUUUUCAUGAUCUGCUUGCAUAGAAAUUUUACUACUCUCCACAUAAGCAAAUUUCUUCUCAUGAAUAUUAGUGGGAGCAAACUUAAAAAAAAUAUAAUGUGAGGCAUAAUCAAAUUGAAAACUAAAAUCAUGAUGACAAGUUUCAUGGUUAUCAUUAUUCUUAAUAGCAUACAAGUCAUCACAAUAAUCAUCAUAGAUACCAACUUUGUUCUCAUAAUCAAUUGGAACCUCUUUCGAAAUAGUGGAUUCAUCACUAAAUAAAGUCAUGACCUCUACAAAUACACUUUUAUCAAUAUAAUCAUCAUAAAUAGGAGGCAUGCUUUCAUCAUAAUAAAUAUUCUCAGUGACAAAAAAUAUCAUAUUCAUCAAACAUAGCAUCCCCAAGCUUGUGGCUUUGCAUAUCAUUAGCAUCAUGGGUAUUCAAAGAAAUCAUAUUAAUAACAUUGCAAUCAUGCUCCUCAUUCAAAGAUUUAGUGCCAUACAUUUUAUAGACUUCUUCUUCUAGCACUUGAGCACAAUUUUCCUUACCAUCAUUCUCACGAAAGAUAUUAAAAAGAUGAAGAGUAUGAGGCAAACUCAAUUCCAUUUUUUGUAGUUUUCUUUUAUAGACUAAAUUAGUGAUAAAACAAGAAACUAAAAGAUUCUAUUGCAAGAUCUAAAGAUAUAACUUCAAGCACUUACCUCCCCGGCAACGGCGCCAGAAAAGAGCUUGAUGUCUACUACGCAACCUUGUCCUUGUAGACGUUGUUUGGCCUCCAAGUGCAGAGGUUUGUAGGAUAAUAGCAAAUUUCCCUCAAAUGGAUGACCUAAGGUUUAUCAAUCCAUGGGAGGUGUAGGAUGAAGAUGGUCUCUCUCAAACAACCCUGCAACCAAAUAACAAAGAGUCUCUUGUGUCCCCAACACACCCAAUACAAUGGUAAAUUGUAUAGGUGCACUAGUUCGGCGAAGAGAUGGUAAUACAAGUGCAAUAUGGAUGGUAGAUAUGAGUAUUUGUAAUAUGAAAAUAUAAAAACAGCAAGGUAACGAGUAAUAAAAGUGAGCGUAAACGGUAUUGCAAUGCUAGGAAACAAGGCCUAAGGUUCAUAUUUUCACUAGUGCAAGUUCUCUCAACAAUAAUAACAUAACUGGAUCAUAUAACUAUCCCUCAACAUGCAGAAAAGAGUCACUCCAAAGUCACUAAUAGCAAAGAACAAACGAAGAGAUUAUUGUAGGGUAUGAAACCACCUCAAAGUUAUCGUUUCUAAUCGAUCUAUUCAAGAGUCCGUAGUAAAAUAACACAAAGCUAUUAUUUCUGUUCGAUCUAUCAUAGAGUUCGUACUAGAAUAACACCUUAAGACACAAAUCAACCAAAACCCUAAUGUCACCUAGAUACUCCAAUGUCACCUCAAGUAUCCGUGGGCAUGAUUAUACGAUAUGCAUCACACAAUCUCAGAUUCAUCUAUUCAAUCAACACAAAGUACUUCAAAGAGUGCCCCAAAGUUUCUACCGAAGAGUCAAGAUGAAAAUGUGUGCCAACCCCUAUGCAUAAGUUCACAAGGUCACUGAACCCGCAAGUUGAUCACCAAAACAUACAUCAAGUAGAUCAUGUGAAUAUCCCAUUGUCACCAUAGAUAAGCACAUGCAAGACAUACAUCAAGUGUUCUCAAAUCCUUAAAGACCUAAUCCGAUAAGAUAACUUCAAAGGGAAAAUUCAAUCCAUUACAAGAGAGUAGAGGGGGAGAAACAUCAUAAGAUCCAACUAUAUAGCAAAGCUCAUGAUACAUCAAGAUCGUGCCAAAUCAAGAACACGAGAGAGAGAGAGAGAGAGAGAGAGAGAGAGAGAGAGAUCAAAUACAUAGCUACUGGUACAUACCCUCAGCCCCAAGGGUGAACUACUCCCUCCUCGUCAUGGAGAGCGUCGGGAUGAUGAAGAUGGCCACCGGUGAGGGAUCCCCCCUCCGGCAGGGUGCCGGAACAGCGUCCCGAUUAGUUUUUGGUAGCUAUAGAGGCUUGUGGCGGCGGAACUUCCGAUCUAUUGUGUUCUUGGAUGUUUUCAGGGUAUAUGGACAUAUAUAGGCAAAAGAAGUCGGUCAAGGGAGCCACGAGGGGUCCACGAGGGUGGGAGGCGCGCCCAGGGGGGUAGGGCGCGCCCCUGACCCUUGUGGCCACCUCGAAGCUUCCUUGACGUCUACUCCAAGUCUCCUAGAUUGCUUCCAUUCCAAAAAUAACUCUCCCGAAGGUUUCAUUCCGUUUUGAUUUUGUUUGAUAUUCCUUUUCUUCGAAACACUGAAAUAGGCAAGAAAACAACAAUUUGGGCUGGGCCUCCGGUUAAUAGGUUAGUCCCAAAAAUAAUAUAAAAGUGUAUAAUAAAGCCCAUUAAAUAUCUAAACAAAUAAUAUAAUAGCAUGAAUACUUCAUGAAUUAUAGAUACGUUGGAGACGUAUCAAUGAUCGAACAUGGUUUAGUUGAUUUGGAUCACGCAUUUAGAUGACUAGAGGGAUGUCUAUCUAAGUGGGAGUUCUUAAGUAAUAUGAUUAAUUGUACUUUAAUUUAUCAUGAACUUAGUCCUGAUAGAUAUUUUGCAUGUGUAUGUUAUUAUAGAUCAAUGGCCCAUACUAUCGUUCCUUUGAAUUUUAAUGCAUUCCUAGAGAAAGCUAAGUUGAAAGAUGAUGGUAGCAAUUACACGGACUGGGUCUAUAACUUGAGGAUUGUAAUCAUUGCUGCACUGAAGAAUUACGUCCUGGAAGCACCCCUAGGUGAACCACCCGCGCCAGCAAAUGCAGACAUUGUGAAUGCUUGGCAGACAUGUGUUGAUGAGUACUCGAUAGUUCAUUGUGCCAUGCUUUACGGCUUAGAAUCGGGACUUCAAAGACGUUUUGAACGUCAUGGAGCAUAUGAGAUGUUUCAAGACUUGAAGUUAAUAUUUCAAGCAAAUGCCUGAGUUGAGAGAUAUGAAGUCCCCAACAAGUUCUAUAGCUGCAAAAUGGAGGAGAAUAGUUUUGUCAGUGAACACAUACUUAGAAUGUCUGGGUACCAUAACCACUUGACUCAGCUGGGAGUUAAUCUUCCUGAUGAUAGUGUCAUUGAUAGAGUUCUUCAAUCACUGCCACCAAGCUAUAAAGGCUUCGUGAUGAACUAUAAUAUGCAAGGGACGAACAAGACAAUUCCCGAGAUCUUCGCGAUGCUAAAGGUUGCGGAGGUAGAAAUCAAAAAGGAGCAUCAAGUGGUCAACAAGACCACUAGUUUCAAGAAAAAGGGCAAAGGGAAGAAGGGGAACUUCAAGAAGAACAGCAAGAAAGUUGCUGCUCAGGAGAAGAAACCCAAGUCUGAACCUAAGCCUGAAACUAAGUGCUUCUACUGCAAAGGGGCUGGUCACUAGAAGCGGAACUACCCCAAGUAUUUGGCGGACAAGAAGGAUGGGAAAGUGAAAGGCAUAUUUGAUAUACAUGUUAUUGAUGUGUACCUUAUAUUACUAAUGCUCGUAGUAGCGCCUGCGUAUUUGAUACUAGUUCCGUUGCUCAUAUUUGCAACUCGAAGCAGGGGCUACUGAUUAAACGAAGAUUGGCUAAGGACGAGGUGACAAUGCGCGUGGGAAAUGGUUCCAAGGUUGAUGUGAUCGCCAUCGGCACGCUACCUCUACAUCUACCUUUGGGGUUAGUUUUAGACCUGAAUAAUUGUUAUUUGGUAACAGCGUUGAGCAUGAACAUUAUAUCUGGAUCUUGUUUGAUGCGAGACGGUUAUUAAUUUAAAUUAAAGAAUAAUGGUUAUUCUAUUUAUAUGAGUAAUAUCUUUUAUGGUCACGCACCCUUGCUGAGUGGUCUAUUUUUGUUGAAUCUCGAUCAUGGUGAUACACAUGUUCAUAGCCAAAAGAUGCAAAGUUGAUAAUGAUAGUGCAACUUAUUUGUGGCACUGCCGUUUAGGUCAUAUUGGUGUAAAGCGCAUGAAGAAACUCCAUGCUGAUGGGCUUUUGGAAUCACUUGAUUAUGAAUAACUUGGUGCUUGUGAACCAUGCCUCAUGGGCAAGAUAACUAAAACUCUGUUCUCCGGAACAAUUGAAUGAGCUACUGACUUAUUGGAAAUAAUACAUACCGAUGUAUGCGGUCCAAUGAGUGUUGAGGCUCCUGGCGGGUAUCGUUAUUUUCUUACCUUCACAGAUGAUUUGAGCAGAUAUGGUUAUAUCUACUUAAUGAAGCAUAAGUCUGAAACAUUUGAAAAGUUCAAAGAAUUUCAGAGUGAAGUGGAAAAUCAUCGUAACAAGAAAAUAAAGUUUCUACGAUCUGAUCGUGGAGGAGAAUAUUUCAGUUGCGAGCUUGGUCUUCAUUUUAAACAAUGUGAAUAGUUUCACAACUCAUGCCACCUGGAACACCACAACAUAAUGGUGUGUCUGAACGUCAUAACCGUACUUUAUUGGAUAUGGUGCGAUCUAUGAUGUCUCUUACUGAUUUACGGCUAUCAUUUUGGGGUUAUGCUUUAGAGACAGCUGCAUUCACUUUAAAUAGGGCACCAUCAAAAUCCAUUGAGACGACGCCUUAUGAACUAUGGUUUGGAAAGAAACCAGAGUUGUCGUUUCUUAAAGUUUGGAGCUGUGAUGCUUAUGUGAAAAAGCUUCAACCUGAUAAGCUCAAACCCAAAUCGAAGAAGUGCGUUUUCAUAGGAUACCCAAAGUAAACUAUUGGGUACACCUUCUAUCACAGAUCCGAAGGCAAAAUAUUUGUUGCUAAAAAUGAAUCCUUUCUAGAGAAGGAGUUUCUCUCGAAAGAAGUGAGUGGGAGGAAAGUAGAGCUUUAUGAGGUAAUUGUACCUUCUCCCGAAUUGGAAAGUAGUCCAUCACAGAAAUCAGUUCCAGUGAUUCCUACACAAAUUAGUGAGGAAGCUAAUGAUGAUGAUCAUGAAACUUCAUAUCAAAUUACUACCGAACCUCGUAGGUCUUCCAGAGUGCGAUCUGCACCAGAGUGGUACAGUAAUCCUGUUCUGGAAGUCAUGUUACUAGACCAUGAUGAACCUACGAACUAUGAGGAAGCGAUGAUGAGCCUAGAUUCCGCGAAAUGGCUUGAGGCCAUGAAAUCUGAGAUGGGAUCCAUGUAUGAGAACACAGUGUGAACUUUGGUGGAUUUGCCCGAUGAUCGGCAAGCCAUAGAAAAUAGAUGGAUCUUCAAGAAUAAGAUUGACGCUGAUGGUAAUGUUACUGUCUACAAAGCUCGACUUGUUGCGAAAGGUUUUCGACAAGUUGAAGGAGUUAACUACGAUGAGACUUUCUCACCCGUAGCGAUGCUUAAGUCUGUCCAAAUCAUGUUAGCAAUUGCCGCAUUUUAUGAUUAUGAAAUUUGGCAGAUAGAUGUCAAAAUUACAUUCCUGAAUGGAUUUCUAGAAAAAGAGUUGUAUAUGAUGCAACCAAAAGGUUUUGUCGAUCCAAAGGGUGCUAACAAAGUGUGCAAGCUCCAGCGAUCCAUUUAUGGACUGGUGCAAGCCUCUCGGAGUUGGAAUAAACAUUUUGAUAGUGUGAUCAAAGCAUAUGGUUUUAUACAGACUUUUGGAGAAGCCUGUAUUUACAAGAAAGUGAGUGGGAGAUGUGUAGCAUUUCUAAUAUUAUAUGCGGAUGACAUAUUGUUGAUUGGAAAUGAUAUAGAAUUUCUGGAUAGCAUAAAUGGAUACUUGAAUAAGAGUUUUUCAAUGAAAGACCUCGGUAAAGCUGCUUACAUAUUGGGCAUCAAGAUUUAUAGAGAUAGAUCAAGACGCUUAAUUGGACUUUCACAAAGAACAUACAUUGAUAAAGUUUUGAAGAAGUUCAAAAUGGAUCAGUUAAAGAAAGGGUUCUUGCCUGUGUUACAAGGUGUGAAGUUGAGUCAGACUCAAUGCCCGACUACUACAGAAGAUAGAGAGAAAAUGAAAGUAAUUACCUAUGCUUUAGCCAUAGGUUCUAUUAUGUAUGCAAUGCUAUGUACCAGACCUGAUGUGUGCCUUGCUAUAAGUAUAUCAGGGAGGUACCAAAGUAAUCCUAGAAUGGAGCACUGGACAGUGGUAAAGAAUGUCCUGAAAUACCUAAAAAGGACUAAGGAUAUGUUUCUCGUUUAUGGAGGUGACAAAGAGCUCACCGUAAAUGGUUACGUCGAUGCAAGCUUUGACACUGAUCCGGAUGACUCUAAGUCGCAAUCCGGAUAGAUAUUUUUAUUGAAUGGUGGAGCUGUCAGUUGGUACAGUUCCAAGCAAAGCGUCGUGGAGGGAUCUACAUGUGAAAUGGAGUACAUAGUUGCAUCGGAAGCAGCAAAUGAAGGAGUCUGGAUGAAGGAGUUCAUAUCCGAUCUAGUUCAUCGGGUCCAAUGAAAAUAUUUUGUGACAAUACUGGUGCAAUUGCCUUGGCCAAGGAAUCCAGAUUUCACAAGAGAACCAAACACAUCAAGAGACACUUCAAUUCCAUCCGGCAUCAGGUCGCGGAGGGAGACAUAGAGAUUUUCCUUAGCCGUGUGCAGUGCCCCCCUCCACAGUAACACACCUCGAUCAUAUCGUCGUAGUGCUUAGGCGAAGCCCUGCAUCGGUAACAUCAUCAUCACUGUCGCCACGCCGUCAUGCUGACGGAACUCACCCUCGUCCUCAACUGGAUCAAGAGCACGAGGGACGUUAUCGAGCUGAACGUGGAGGUGUCAUAUGUUCGGUACUUGGAUCGGUUGGAUCAUGAAGACAUUCGAUUACAUCAACCGCGUUACUAAACGCUUCCGCUUUUGGUCUACAAGGGUACGUGGACACACUCUCCCAUCUCGUUGCUAUGCAUCUCCUAGAUAGAUCUUGCGUGAUCGUAGGAAUUUUUUUGAAUUACUACAUUCCCCAACAGGGGAUGCCCCUGAGUGGCAUCCCCGCUUUCUUCUAACAACCAUCAGUAUUUUACUUGAAACUAUAUUUUUAUUCGUUACAUAAUAUGAGUUUUUCUUGGAGUAUCUUGUAUGAUAUGAGUCUUUGCUUGUUUUGCUUUGUAUUCGAAGUGUUGAAUCUUGCCUGGACACACCCUUUUGAGAGAGCCAAAAAUUAUGCUAUGCUUCACUUAAAUUUUUAGAGCCAUGGAUUUGCUCUAGUGCUUCACUUAUAUCUUUUUUAGCACGGUGUGCUUUGUUAUUUUGGAAUAAAUUCUCUCAUGCUUCACUUAGAUUUAUUUGAGAGUUAGUUAAAUUUUAAGAAAUUAUCUCUUGCUUCACUUAGAUUAUUUUGAGAGAAAUAAAAAAUUAUGCUCAUGAUCUUCACUUAUAUUUGUUUGAGCUUAUCAAAAGCAAUAUAUGAAAAUAGUCCCAAAGUGAUAGAUAUCCAAGGAGGAUAUAAUAAAAACUUUCAUGAAGAUCAUUGGACAAAAUAAACUUGAUUCUUAGUAAUGGUUUUGAGAUAUGACGAUAUGAUAUUUGAGUUAUGUUGAUGAGUAAUUGUGCUUUAGUAAGAAUAUUGGUGUUAAGGUUUGUGAUUCCCUAUGAAAGCACGGAAGUCAAUAUUUAUGCAAUGAAAUUUAUAUCCUACUUAUGGUGAAUUAUUUGGUGUAACUUAUGCUUAAUGCUUGGGUACGAGAUUUUUCGCUUUUUCGUUGGUCGCUUCUCAAUCUUUUUGCUAGUCUUCAUUUUGCAGUAAGUAUGAUCACUACUUGUGCAUCCAAAACCCUUUAAACCAGUUUUGCCAUAUGAGUCUACUAUACCUACCUAUAUGCGGUAUUUCUAUGUCGUUCUAAGCAAAUUUACAUAUGCCAUCUCUAAUUUUCAAAAUAAAUUUCUCUUUUGUGUGCUCUACCGCUCGCGAGGCGGUGAAGGGUGACCAAUAUUUUCCAUGCUAGAUGUGUUAUUCUCAUGAUGAGUGUUUAUUCACUUGUCAUUGCACGAGAGUAUGGCAAAGGUAUUAGGGAUGCCCAGUCCCGAAAUGAAAAAUGAAUUUACUUUAGGUUGUCAAAUAAUAAAUUCCUUGGAAAGUGUUGGUAUGGAGGGCAACCGUGGAUUCGGCUAGCCAUGGAAAGUGAAAGUAAUGGUGGAAAAAGGAAUAAACUUUACUUUCUGUUUGUGAACCGCCUAUGAUGUAUCUAGCAUGGAAAGUGUUGGGAUGCUCCAAGUCAUUUUCGUUUGUGGAAAAAGUAUGCCUCUCAAAAAUAUUUUUAUCUCUCAAUUUAAGCUUUGAGCUCUGGAACCUCUACAAAUCCCUACUUACCUCCGCGAAGGGCCUUUCUUUUAAUUGUGCAAUUUUUAUGUUGAAUUUGAGUCUCUAUCUUCUCUUAUAAAGCACCAACUAAAGGGCACUAUGAUCGUAUUUGAGCACUGGGUGUAACUAAUAUCGAGUGUGUCUCAUGAAUGGAUCAAUGAUUGAGCAUAAUGGGCUAGGGAUAACUUCCUUUAGUGUUGAUAUUUUGGAAGACAUGGUUGCUUGUUGGUAUGCUUGAGUAUUAAAGUCUUCAUGUCAAAACUAGACUAUUGCUUUGAAUCAUAUAAAAGUCCUAAUGUCCAUGUUAUAAAUAAAAGAAAUGCGAUGAACAUGUUAGGCAACAUUCCCCAUCAAAUAUUCUAUUUUUAUCAUUUGCCAACUCGAGGACGAGCAUGAAUUAAGCUUGGGGAUGUUGAUACGUCUCCAAUGUAUCUAUAAUUUUUUAUUGUUCCAUGCUAUUAUAUUAUCAUUCUUGGAUGUUUUACAAUCAUUUUAUAGUCAUUUUAUAUCAUUUUUUGGUACUAACCUAUUGCCAUAGUGCCCAUUGCCAGUUGCUAUUUUCUACAUGUUUUUUACAUCACAGGAAAUCAAUAUCAAACGGAGUCCAACCGCAGCGAAACUCCUGGAGGAUUUUUUUUGGGCAGAAGACAUCUAGUGGGCCAAGAAAGCACCUGGGGCUGGCUCGAGGGGAGCAACACCCACCAAGGCGCGCCAGGAGGCCCAUGCGCGCCCUGUUGGGUUGUGCCCAUGCUCGGGUGCCCCUUGAACUUCCUCUUUGCUCUAUAAAUACACCAAUAUUCCAGAAACCUUAGGGGAGUCGAAGAAAAUCAAUUCCAACCGCCGCAGAGUCCAGAACCACCAGAUCAAAUCUAGACACCAUCACAGAGGGGUUCACUACUUCCAUUGGUGCCUCUUCGAUGAUGCGUGAGUAGUUCUUUGUAUACCUACAGAUCCGUAGUUAGUAGCUAGAUGGCUUCCUCUCUCUCUCUCUCUCUCUCUCUCUCUCUCUCUCUUGAUUGUCAAUACAAUGGUCUCUUGGAGAUUGAUACGUCUCCAACGUAUCUAUAAUUUUUGAUUGUUCCAUGUUGUUAUAUAUAUUAUCAUUCUUGGAUGUUUUACAAUCAUUUUAUAGUCAUUUUAUAUCAUUUUUUGGUACUAACCUAUUCACAUAGUGCCAAGUGUCAGUUGCUAUUUUCUACAUGUUUUUUACAUCACAAGAAAUGAAUAUCAGACGGAGUUCAAAUGCCACGCCACUUUACGAUGAUUUUUUUGGACCAAAAGGAAGAAGUUGGGCCCUGGUUGCACCUGGCGGGAGUCCCGAGGAUGGCACAACCCACCAGGGCGCGCCAGGACGCCCAGGCGCGCCCUGGUGGGUUGUGCCCACCUUGGGUGCCCCUCAGACCACCUCUUUGCUCUAUAAAUACCCCAGUAUUCCAGAAAUCCUAGGGGAGUCGACGAAAUAUUCAUCCAGCCGCCGUAGAGUCCAGAAGCACUAGAUCCAAUCUAGACACCAUCAUGGAGGGGUUCACCACUUCCAUUGGAGCCUCUCCGAUGAUGUGUGAGUAGUUCUUUGUAGACCUUCGGGUCCGUAGUUAGUAGCUAGAUGGCUUCCUCUAUCUCUCUUGAUUAUCAAUACAAUGGUCUCUUGGAGAUCCAUAUGAUGUAAGUCUUUUGGCGGUGUGUUUUUUUGGAUCCGAUGAACUUUGAGUUUAUGAUCAGAUCUAUGUUUUUAUCCAUGAAAGUUAUUUGAGUCUUCUUUGAUCUCUUAAAUGCAUGAUUGCUUAUAGCCUUGUAUUUCUUCUCCGAUAUUUGGGUUUUGUUUCGCCAACUUGAUAUAUUUAUAUUGCAAUGGGAAGAGGUGCCUGGUAGUGGGUUCGAUCUUAUGUCCUUCGCCUAUCUUGAGGCGACGUACCCCGAACGGGACUGACAACCCCUUAAACACGUCGGGUUGCGAGGUGUUGUUAUUUGUGUGCAAGGGUUGUUUAUGUUGUGUUGUUUGGUUCUCCUACAGGUUCGAUAACCUUGGUUUCAUAUCUAAGGGAAAUACCUACCGCCGUUGUGCUACAUCAUCCCUUCCUCUUUGGGGAAAUACCCACGUAGCUUCAAGUGACAUCAAAAGGAAUUUCUAGCGCUAUUGCCAGGGAGGAUCUUCAACAUCAACCAGGUUCCUAAUCACAAAUCUCAUCUCCUUGCAAUUUACAUUAUUCACCAUUUGCCUCUCGCUUUCCUCUCCCCCACUUCACAAAAAUGCCAUUUUAUUCUCCUCUCUUUUUUCGUUCGUCGUUUUCUCAUCAGAUCUGUUUUUGUGUGCGUUCAUGUUUGCGUAGUCAUGAUGCCUCAAAGAAAAUAUUAUGAUGUUCCUUACCCAAAUAUUUUGCUUGAAAUUGAGAAAAGUACUAAGGAAUAUAUGACUACACAAUUUGAGCAUAAUAAAUAUUUUACCGAAGAACUUAAGGAACGUUAUGUUAUGUUAGAAGCUAUAACGAAACAACUUGAUGAUAUUAGUAAGAAGUUUGAAAUCUUCAAUCUAAGUAUGCAUUUGCUGAAAGUUUGUUCGGAAAAAUAUCCGAUGCACAAGCCACUUUAGUGAAUCAAAUGGCCGCUAAACCAAUCUUGUUAGAAGAUAAAAGUGAUGAAGAUCUAAACAUGAUUGGUGUUUCUUCUAUUGAUUCCCUGUUUAGUAAAAAUAAGAUUGAUGAAAAAGGGACUGGAGAAGAGUCAACUUUAGGUAGAAGGCGCCCCAAUAUUUCGGAGGGUGAAAAUCUUGUUGACAAAAUUUAUAAAAGUGGGUUUGAAGAGGUCAAGACUUUAACUAGUGAUGUGCCCACUAUUUUGGAUUACAAAGACUUUAAUUAUGAUAGUUGCUCUUUGAUUGAUUGUAUUUCUUUGUCGCAAUCCAUGAUAAAUCCACCCCAUGCUUAUGAACAAAAUAAAGCUUUUACUAAACAUAUUGUUGAUGCCAUGAUGAAAGCUUUUGAAGAAAAAUUGGAAUUAUAAGUUUCAAUUCCUAGAAAAUUUCAUGAUGAAUGGGAACCUACUAUAAAAGUCAAUAUCAAAAAUUAUGAGUGUUUUGCUUUAUGUGACUUGGGUGCUAGUGUUUCUACAAUUCCAAAAUCUUUAUGUGAUGUGUUUGGUCUUACCGAUAUUGAAGAAUGCUCUUUAAAUUUGCACUUAGAGGAUUCUACUAUUAAGAAACCUAUGGAAAGGAUUAAUGAUGUUCUUAUUCUUGCAAAUAGGAAUUAUGUGCCCAUAGAUUUUAUUGUUCUUGAUAUUGAUUGCAAUCCGUCUUGUCCAAUUAUUCCUGGUAGACCGUUUUUGCGUACUAUUGGUGCCGUGAUUGAUAUGAAAGAAGGCAACAUUAAAUUUCAAUUUACACUAAGGAAGGGAAUGGAACACUUCCCUAGAACAAGAAUUAGGCCACCAUAUGAAUCAAUCAUGAGGGCAUCUUAUGGAUCUAGAACCAAAGAUGACAAAACUUAGAUCCUACGUGUUAUGCCUAGCUAGGGGCGUAAAACGAUUGCGCUUGUUGGGAGGCAACCCAAUGAAUAAAAUUUAUUUUUGCUUUUUUCUUUCUAUUCUUGAGUGUUAGAACAAUUAUGCUACUGUUAUGACUUUGUUUUUUGUGUUUUAGUUAGUGUUUGUGCCAAGCAAUGCCUUUGGGAAGACUUGGGUGAAAGUUUAUUUGAUCUUGCUGAAAAACAGAAACUUUUGCGCUCAUGAGAUUCGUUGUAAUUGUUUAUAGAAGAGUGAUGUUAAGUUGAUUCUUUUUGAAGAGGAUUAAUAUAAAAAUUCCUCACGUCCACCAAUUUAUUUCACAAUUUUUGGAGUUACAGAAGUAUUAGAAAUUUUCAGAUUGCUACAGACUGUUCUGUUUUUGACAGAUUCUGUUUUCUUUGCGUUGUGUGCUUGUUUUGAUGAUUCUAUGGUUUUCUUUAAUGAGUUUUUGCCAUAGAAAAGUUGGAGUACAGUAGAUAUAAUUCAAAAACAAAAUAAGAAUAGGUUUUCUGCAGUACUUAUAGUAGUGGUUUGGUUUCUCAUACUAACGGAUCUCACGAAGAUUUUGUUUGAGUUUUGUGUGAUUGAAGUUUUCAAGUUUUGGGUUAUCUUAUGAUGGAUGAAGGAAUAAGGAUAAGCAAAAGUCUAAGGUUGGGGAUGCCCGAGGCACCCCAAGAUAAUAUUCAGAGAAUUAGCAAGCAAAUAAGCUUGGGGAUGCCCCCGAGUGGCAUCCCCGCUUUCUUCUAACGACCAUCGGUAUUUUACUUGAAACUAUAUUUUUAUGCCUCACAUGAUAUGAGUUUUGCUUGGAGUGUCUUGUAUGAUAUGAAUCUUUGCUUGUUUUUCUUUGUGUUUUAAUUAUUGAAUCCUUGCUGGACGCACCCUUUUUAGAGAGCCAAAAAUUAUGCUAUGCUUGCUCCUAUGCUUCACUUAAAUUUUUAGAGCCAUGGACUUGCUCUAGUACUUCACUUAUAUCUUUUUGAGCACGGUGUGCUUUGUUAGUUUUGAAGAAAUUCUCUCAUGCUUCACUUAGAUUUAUUUGGGAUUUAGUAAAUGUUUAAUAAAUUCUCUUUUGCUUCACUUAGAUUAUUUUGAGAGAAAGAAAAAAAAUUAUGCUCAUGAUCUUCACUUAUAUUUGUUUGAGCUUACCAAAAGCAACAUAUGAAAAUAUUUCCAAAGUGAUAGAUAUCCAAGGGGGAUAUAAUAAAAACUUUCAUGAAGAUCAUUGGACAAAAUAAACUUGAUUCUUAGUAAUGGUUUUGAGAUAUGACGAUGUGAUAUGUGAGUUAUGUUGAUGAGUAAUUGUGCUUUAGUAAGAAUAUUGAUGUUAAGGUUUGUGAUUCCCUAUGCAAGCAUGAAAGUCAAUAGUUAUGCAAUGAAAUUAAUAUCCUACUUAUGGUGCAUUAUUCGGUGUUACUUUCUUAAUGCUUGGGUACGAGAUUUUUCGCUUUUUGGUUGCUCGCUUCUCAAUCUUUUUGCUAGCCUUCAUUUUGCACUAAGUAUGAUCACUACUUGUGCAUCCAAAACCCUUUAAACCAGUUUUGCCAUAUGAGUCCAGUAUACCUACCUAUAUGCGGUAUUUCCAUGCCGUUCUAAACAAAUUUGCAUGUGCCAUCUCUAAUGUUCAAAAUAAAUUUCUCUUUUGUGUGCUCUACUACUCGCGAGGCGGUAAAGGGUAGCCAAUAUUUUCCAUGCUAGAUGUGUUAUUCUCAGGAUGAGUGUUUAUUCACUUGUCAUUGCACAAGAGUACGACAAAGGUAUUAGGGAUGCCCAGUCCCGAAAUGAAAAAUGAAUUUACUUUAUGUCGUCAAAUAAUAAAUUCCUUGGAAAGUGUUGGUAUGGAAGGCACCCGUGGAUACAGCUAGCCAUGGAAAGUGAAAGUUAUGGUGGAAAAAGGAAUAAACUUUAUUUUCUGUUUGGGAACCGCCUAUGAUGUAUCUAUCAUGGAAAGUGUUGGGAUGCUCCAAGUCAUUCUCGUUGGUAGGAAAAGUAUGCCUCUCAAAAAUAAUUUUAUCUCUCAAUUUAAGCUUUGAGCUCUAGCACCUCUACAAAUCCCUCCUUCCCUCCGCGAAGGGCCUUUCUUUUACUUAUGCAAUUUUUAUUUUGAAUUUGAGUCUCCAUCUUCUCUUAUAAAGCAUCAACUAAGGGGCACUAUGAUCGUGUUUGAGCACUGGGUGUAGCUAAUAUUCGAGUGUGUUUCAUGACUGGAUUAAUGAUUGAGCGUGAUGGGCUAGGGGUAACUUGCUUUAGUGUUGAUAUUUCGAAAGACAUGGUUGCUUGUUGGUAUGCUUGAGUAUUAAAGUCUUCAUGUCAAAACUAGACUAUUGCUUUGAAUCGUAUAAAAGUCCAUAUGUCCAUGCUAUAAAGGAAAGAAUGUGAUCAACAUGUUAGGCAGCAUUCCACAUCAAGAAUUCUAUUUUUAUCAUUUACCUACUUGAGGACGAGCAGGAAUUAUGUUCGGGGAUGCUUAUACAUCUCCAACGUAUCUAUAAUUUUUGAUUGCUCCAUGUUGUUAUAUUAUCAUUCUUGGAUGUUUUACAAUCAUUUUAUAUCAUUUUUUGGUACUAACCUAUUGACAUAGUGCCAAGAGCCAGUUGUUGUUUUCUGCAUGUUUUUUACAUCGCACGAAAUCAAUAUCAGACAGAGUCCAAAUGCCACGCCACUUUACAAUGAUUUUUUAUGGACCAAAAGGAAGAAGUUGGGCCCUGGUUGCACCUGGGGGUGUCCCUAGCAGGGGACAACCCACCAGGGCACGCUAGGAGGCCCAGGCGCGCCUUGGUGGGUUGCGCCCACCUCGGGUGCCCCCCGGACCGCCUCUUUGCUCUAUAAAUACCCCAAUAUUCCAGAAACCCUAGGGGAGUCGACAAAAUAUUCAUCCAGCUGCCAUAGAGCCAGGAACCACCAGAUCCAAUCUAGACACCAUCACGGAGGGGUUCACCACUUCCAAUGGUGCCUCUCCGAUGAUGCGUGAGUAGUUAUUUGUAGACCUUCAGGUCCGUAGUUAGUAUCUAGAUGGCUUCCUCUCUCUCUUGAUUAUCAACACUAUGGUCUCUUGGAGAUCCAUAUGAUGUAAGUCUUUUGACGGUGUGUUUGUUGGGAUCCGAUGAACUUUGAGUUUAUGAUCAGAUCUAUGUUUUUAUCCAUGAAAGUUAUUUGAGUGUUCUUUGAUCUCUUAUAUGCAUGAUUGCUUAUAACCUCAUAUUUAUUCUUCGAUAUUUGGGUUUUGUUUGGCCAACUUGAUCUAUUUAUCUUGCAAUGGGAAGAGGUGCUCGGUAGUGGGUUCAAUCUUACGGUGCUUGAUCCAGUGACAUAAAGGGAACCGACACGUAUGUAUCGUUGCUACUAAGGAUAAAAAGAUGGGAUCUGUAUCUACCGUAAUAGAUAAACGGAUCUUGUCUACAUCAUGUCAUCGUUCUUAUUGCAUUACUCCAUUUUUCCAUGAACUUAAUACACUAGAUGCAUGCUGGUUAGCAGUCGAUGUGUGGAGUAAUAGUAGUAGAUGCAGGCAGGAGUCGGUCUACUAAUCUUGGACAUGAUGCCUAUGAAAUGAUCAUUGCUUGGAUAUCGUCAUAAUUAUUUGAAGUUCUAUCAAUUGCCCAACAGUAAUUGUUUUCCCACCAUUUGCUAUUUUUCUCGAGAGAAGCCACUAGUGAAACCUACGGCCCUCGGGUCUCUUUUCAUCAUAUUUGCCUUUGCGAUCUAUUAUCUCUUGCGUUUAUUUUCAGAUCUAUUAAACCAAAAAUACAAAAAUACCGUGCUGCAAUUUAUUUGUUUCAUGAUCUAUUUAUCCUAUCUACAAAUUUACCUCACAUCCUUUGCCUAUCUUGAGGAGUCGUACCGCGAAAGGGUUUGACAACCCCUUUAACACAUCAAGUUGUGAGGUGUAGUUAUUUGUGUGCAGGGGCUGUUACGUAGCGUUGCUUGGUUCUCCUACUGGUUUGAUAACCUUGGUUUCAUAUCUGAGGGAAAUACCUGAAGGAAAUAUGCCCUAGAGGCAAUAAUAAAGUUAUUAUUUAUUUCCUUAUAUCAUGCUAAUUGUUUAUUAUUCAUGCUAGAAUUGUAUUAACCGAAAACAUAAUACAUGUGUGAAUACAUAGACAAACAUAGUGUCACUAGUAUGCCUCUACUUGACUAGCUCGUGAAUCAAAGAUGGUUAAGUUUCCUAGCCAUGGACAAAAGAGUUGUCAUUUGAUUAACGGGAUCACAUCAUUAGGAGAAUGAUUCGAUUGACUUGACCCAUUCCGUUAGCCUAGCACUUGAUCGUUUAGUAUGUUGCUAUUGCUUUCUUCAUGACUUAUACAUGUUCCUGUAACUAUGAGAUUAUGCAACUCCCGUUUACCGGAGGAACACUUUGGGUGCUACCAAACGUCAUAACAUAACUGGGUGAUUAUAAAGGAGUACUACAGGUGUCUCCAAAGGUACAUGUUGGGUUGGCGUAUUUCGAGAUUAGGUUUUGUCACUCCGAUUGUCGGAGAGGUAUCUCUGGGCCCUCUCGGUAAUGCACAUCACUAUAAGCCUUGCAAGCAAUGUGGCCAAUGAGUUGGUUACGGAAUGAUGCAUUACGUAACGAGUAAAGAGACUUGCCGGUAACAAGAUUGAACUAGGUAUUAGAUACCGACGAUCGAAUCUCGGGCAAGUAACAUACCGAUGACAAGGGGAACAAUGUAUGUUGUUAUGCGGUUUGACCGAUAAAGAUCUUAGAAGAAUAUGUAGGAACCAAUAUGGGCAUUCAGGUUCCGCUAUUGGUUAUUGACCGAGAAUAGUUCUAGGUCAUGUCUACAUAGUUCUCGAACCCGUAGGGUCUGCACGCUUAACAUUACGAUGACAGUUUUAUUAUGAGUUUAUAAGUUUUGAUGUACCGAAGUUUGUUCGGAGUCCCGGACGUGAUCACGGACGUAACGAGGAGUCUCGAAAUGGUCGAGACAUAAAGAUCAAUAUAUUGGAAGCGUAUAUUUGGACAUCGGAAUCGUUCCGGGUGAAAUCGGCAUUUUACCGGAGCACCGGGAGGUUACCGGAACCCCCCCGGGGGGUUAUUGGGCCUACAUGGGCCUCGAGGGAGAAGAGGGAAGGAGGCAGGAGGGGGCCGCGCGCCCCUCCCCUUCCUAGUCCGAAUAGGACAAGGGAAGGGGGGCGGCGCCCCCCCCCCUUUCCUUCCCCUCUUCCUCCUCUUUCCCCCCUUCUCCUAUUCCAACUAGGAAAGAAGGGAGUCCUACUCCCGGUGGGAGUAGGACUCCCCCCUUGGCGCGCCCUCCUUGGCCGGCCGCCUCCUCCCCCCUGGCUCCUUUAUAUAUGGGGGUGGGGGGCACCCCAUAGACACACAAGUUGAUCUACGGAUCGUUCCUUAGCCGUGUGCGGUGCCCCCCUCCACCAUAUUCCACCUCGGUCAUAUCGUCGCGGAGUUUAGGCGAAGCCCUGCGCCGGUAGAACAUCAUCAUCGUCACCACGCCGUCGUGCUGACGGAACUCAUCCCUGAAGCUUUGCUGGUUCGGAGCCCGAGGAUCGUCAUCGAGCUGAACGUGUGCUGAACUCGGAGGUGCCGUCCGUUCAGUGCUUGGAUCGGUGGGAUCGUGAAGACGUACGACUACAUCAACCGCGUUGUGCUAACGCUUCCGCUUACGGUCUACGAGGGUACGUGGACAACACUCUCCCCUCUCGUUGCUAUGCCAUUACCAUGAUCUUGCGUGUGCGUAGGAAUUUUUUUGAAAUUACUAUGUUCCCCAACAGUGGCAUCCGAGCCUAGGUUUUAUGCGUUGAUGUUAUAUGCACGAGUAGAACACAAGUGAGUUGUGGGCGAUACAAGUCAUACUGCUUACUAGCAUGUCAUACUUUGGUUCAGCGGUAUUGUUGGAUGAAGCGGCCCGGACCGACAUUACGCGUACGCUUACGCGAGACUGGUUUUACCGCCGUACUUCACACACAGGUGACUAGCGGGUGUCUGUUUCUCCAACUUUAGUUGAACCGAGUGUGGCUACGCCCGGUCCUUGCGAAGGUUAAAACAGCACUAACUUGAUGAACUAUCGUUGUGGUUUUGAUGCGUACGUAAGAACGGUUCUUGCUCAGCCCGUAGCAGCCACGUAAAAUUUGCAACAACAAAGUAGAGGACGUCUAACUUGUUUUUGCAGGGCAUGUUGUGAUGUGAUAUGGUCAAGACGUGAUGAGAUAUAAGUUGUUGUAUGAGAUGAUCAUGUUUUGUUGAAGUUAUCGGCAACUGGCAGAAGCCCUAUGAUUGUCUCUUUGUUGCAUAAGAUGCAAGUGCCAAAUAAUUGCUUUACUUUAUCGCUAUGCGAUAGCAAUAGUUGCAAGAGCAAUAGUUGGCGAGACGACCAUGUGAUGACACAUUGAUAUAGAUCAAGAUGAUGAAGAUCAUGGUGUUGUGCCGGUGACGAUAGAGAUCAUGACAGUACUUUGGAGAUGGAGAUCAAAGGCGCAAGAUGAUCAUGGCCCUAUCAUGUCACAUAUUUUGAUUGCAUAUGAUGUUUAUCUGUUAUACAUCUUAUUCUGUUUUGUUUGACGGUAGCAUUUUAAGAUGAUCUCUCACUAAUUAUCAAGAAGUGUUCUCCCUGAGUAUGCAUCGUUGAGAAAGUUCUUCGUGCUGAGACACCACGUGAUGAUCGGGUGUGAUAGGCUCUACGUUCAAAUACAACGGGUGCAAAACAGUUGCACACGCGGAAUACUCAGGUUAAACUUGACGAGCCUAGCAUAUACAGAUAUGGCCUCGAAACACGGAGACCGAAAGGUCGAACGUGAAUCAUAUAGUAGAUAUGAUCAACAUAGUGAUGUUCACCAUAGAAACUACUCCAUCUCACGUGAUGAUCGGACAUGGUUUAGUUGAUUUGGAUCACGUGAUCACUUAGAUGACUAGAGAGAUGUCUGUCUAAGUGGGAGUUCUUAAGUAAUAUGAUUAAUUGAACUUAAAUUUAUCAUGAACUUAGUCCUAGUAGUAUUUUGCAAACUAUAUUGUAGAAUAAUAGCUCACGUUGUUGCUUUCAUAUGUUUAUUUUGAUAUGUUCCUAGAGAAAAUUGUGUUGAAAAAUGUUAGUAGCAAUGAUGCGGAUUGGAUCCGUGAUCUGAGGUUUAUCCUCAUUGCUGCACAAAAGAAUUAUGUCCUUCAUGCACCGCUAGGUGACAGACCUAUUGCAGGAGCAGAUGCAGACGUUAUGAACGUUUGGCUAGCUCAAUAUGAAGACUACUUGAUAGUUUAGUGCACCAUGCUUAACGUCUUAGAAUCGGGACUUCAAAGACGUUUUGAACGUCAUGGACCAUAUGAGAUGUUCCAGGAGUUGAAGUUAAUAUUUCAAGCAAAUACCCGAGUUGAGAGAUAUGAAGUCUCCAACAAGUUCUAUGGAUAAAAUAUGGAGGAGAAUCGCUCAACUAGUGAGCAUGUGCUCAGAUUGUCUGGGUACUACAAUCGCUUGAAUCAAGUGGGAGUUAACCUUCCAGAUAAGAUAGUGAUUGACAGAGUUCUCUAGUCACCAUCACCAAGUUAGUAGAACUUUGUGAUGAACUACAGUAUGCAAGGGAUGACGAAACGAUUCCCGAGCUCUUCGUGAUGUUGAAAUCGACGAAGGUAGAAAUCAAGAAAGAGCAUCAAGUGUUGAUGGUUGACAAGAUCACUAGUUUCAAGAAAAGGGCAAAGGGAAAGAAAGGGAAACUUCAAGUAGAAUGACAAACAAGUUGUCACUCCCGCAAAGAAGCCCAAAGCUGGACCAAAGCCUGAAACUGAAUGAUUAUACUGCAAAGGAAAUGGUCACUGGAAGUGGAAAUGCCCUGAAUAUUUGGUGGAUAAGAAGGAUGGCAAAGUGAACAAGGGUAUAUUUGAUAUACAGGUUAUUGAUGUGUACCUUACUAGUGUUUAUAGUAGCCCAGAGUAUUUGAUACUUGUUCGUUUGCUAAAUAUUAGUAACUCGAAACAGGAGUUACAGAAUAAACAGAGACUAGUUGAAGGGCAAGUGACGAUGAGUGUUGGAAGUAGUUCCAAGAUUGACAUGAUCAUCAUCGCACACUCCCUAUACUUUCGGGAUUAGUGUUGAACCUAAAUAAAUGUUAUUUGGCGUUUGCAUUGAGCAUGAAUAUGAUUUGAUCAUGUUUAUUGCAAUAUGGUUAUUCAUUUAAAAUCAGAGAAUAAUUGUUGUUCUGUUUAAAUGAAUAAAACCUUUGAUGGUCAUACACCCAAUGAAAAUAGUUUGUUGGAUCUCGAUCGUAGUGAUACACAUAUUCAUAAUAUUGAUGCCAAAAGAUGCAAAGUUAAUAAUGAUAGUGCAACUUAUUUGUGGCACUGCCGUUUGGGUCAUAUCGGUGUAAAGCGCAUGAAGAAACUCCAUACUGAUGGGUUUUUGGAAUCACUUGAUUAUGAAUCAUUUGAUGCUUGCGAACCGUGCCUUAUGGGCAAGAUGACUAAAACUCCGUUCUUCAGAACAAUGGAACAAGCUACUGACUUGUUGGAAAUAAUACAUACCUAUGUAUGCGAUCCAAUGAGUAUUGAUGCUCGUGGUGGGUAUCGUUAUUUUCUGACCUUCACAAGAUGAUUUGAGCAGAUAUGAGUAUAUCUAUUUAAUGAAGCACAAGUCUGAAACAUUUGAAAAGUUCAAAGAAUUUCAGAUGAAGUGGAGAAUCGUCAUAACAAGAAAAUAAAGUUUCUAUGAUUUGAUCACAGAGACAAAUAUUUGACUUACGAGUUUGGUCUUCAAUUAAAACAAUGUGGAAUAGUUUCACAAACUCAUGCCACCUGGAACACCACAACGUUAUGGUGUGUCCGAACGUCGUAACCGCACUUUAUUGGAUAUGGUGCGAUCUAUGAUGUCUCUUAUCGGUUUACCACUAUUGUUUUGGGGUUAUGCAUUAGAGACAGUUGCAUUCACUUUAAAUAGGGCAACAUCAACAUCCGUUGAGAUGACGCCUUAUGAACUAUGGUUUAAGCAAGAAACCAAAGUUGUCGUUUCUUAAAGUUUGGGGUUGCGAUGCUUAUGUGAAAAAGUUUAAACCUAAUAAGCUCGAACCCAAAUCGGAGAAGUGCGUCUUCAUAGAAUACCCAAAAGUAACUAUUGGGUACUCCUUCUAUCACAGAUCCAAAGGAAAGUUAUUCAUUUCUAAGAUGGAUCCUUUCUAGAGAAUGAGUUUCUCUCGAAAGAAGUGAGUGGGAGGAAAGUAGAACUUGAUAAGGUAAUUGUACCUUCUCCCAAAUUGGAAAGUAGUUCAUCACAGAAAUUAGUUCUAGUGAUGCCUACACCGAUUAGUGAGGAAGUUAAUGAUGAUGAUCAUGAAACUUUGGAUCAAGUUACUACAGAAACUCAUAGGUCUUCCAAAGUAUGGUCCGCACCAGAGUGGUACGGUAAUCCUGUUCUGAAAGUCAUGUUACUAGACCAUGAUAAACCUACGAACUAUGAGGAAGCGAUGAUGAGCCCAGAUUCCGUGAAAUGGCUUGAGGCCAUAAAAUCUGAGAUAGGAUCCAUGUAUGAGAACAAAGUAUGGACUUUGGUUGACUUGCUCGAUGAUCAGCAAGCCAUGUUAAAUAAAUGGAUCUUCAAGAGGAAGACGGACACUGAUAGUAGUGUUACUAUCUACAAAGCUCGACUUGUUGCGAAAGGUUUUCGACAAGUUCAAAGGUGUUGAAUACGAUGAGAUUUUCUCACUCAUAUCGAUGCUUAAGUCUGUCCAAAUCAUGUUAGCAAUUGCCACAUUUUAUGAAAUCUGGCAAAUGGAUGUCAAAACUGCAUUCCUUAAUAGAUUUAUUAAAUAAGAGUUGUAUAUGAUGCAACCAGAAGGUUUUGUCAAUCCUAAAGGUGCUAACAAAGUGUGCAAGCUCCAGCGAUCCAUUUAUGGACCGGUGCAAGCCUCUCGGAGUUGGAAUAUACGCUUUGAUGAGUUGAUCAAAGCAUAUGGUUUUAUACAGACUUUUUGAGAAACCUGUAUUUACAAGAAAGUGAGUGGGAGCACUACAGCAUUUCAGAUAAGUAUAUGUGAAUGACAUAUUAUUAAUUGGAAAUGAUGUAGAAUUUUCUGGAAAGCAUAAAGGAGUGUUUGAAAGGAGUUUUUCAAAGAAAGACCUCGGUGAAGCUGCUUACACAUUGAGCAUCAAGAUCUAUAUAGAUAGAUCAAGACGCUUGAUAAGUUUUUCAAUGAAUACAUACCUUGAUAAAUUUUUUGAAGUAGUUCAAAAUGGAACAGUCAAAGAAAGAGUUCUUGCCUGUGUUGCAAGGUGUGAAGUUGAGUAAGACUCAAAACCCGACUAUGGCAGAAAAUAGAAAGAGAAUGAAAAGUCAUUCCCUAUGCCUCAGUCAUAGGUUCUAUAAAGUAUGCUAUGCUGCAAACCAGACCUAUUGUAUACCUUUCUCUGUGUUUGGCAAAGGAAUACAAUUUUGAUCUAAUAGUAGAUCACUGGACAGCGGUCAAGAAUAUCGUUAGUAAAGACCAAGGAAAUACUUCUCGAUUAUGGAGGUGAUAAAAGAGCCCGUCGUAAAAAGUUACAUCGGUGCAAGUUUUUUCACCGAUCCAGAUGACUCUAAGUCUCAAUCUGGAUACAUAUUGAAAGUGGGAGCAAUUAGCUAGAGUAGCUCCAUGCAGAGCAUUGUAGACAUAGAAUAUUUGCAAAAUACAUACGGCUCUGAAUGUAACAGACCCGCUGACUAAGCUUCUCUCACGAGCAAAACAUGAUCACACCUUAGUACUCUCUGGGUGUUAAUCACAUAGCGAUGUGAACUAGAUUAUUGACUCUAGUAAACCCUUUGGGUGUUGAUCACAUGACGAUGUGAACUAUGGGUGUUAAUCAUAUACAGAUAUGAAUAUUGGUGUUAAAUCACAUGAUGAUGUGAACUAGAUUAUUGACUCUAGUGCAAGUGGGAGACUGAAGGAAAUAUGCCCUAGAGGCAAUAAUAAAGUUAUUGUUUAUUUCCUUAUAUCAUGCUAAAUGUUUAUUAUUCAUGCUAGAAUUGUAUUAACCAGAAACAUAAUACAUGUGUGAAUACAUAGACAAACAUAGUGUCACUAGUAUGCCUCUACUUGACUAGCUCGUGAAUCAAAGAUGGUUAAGUUUCCUAGCCAUGGACAAAAGAGUUGUCAUUUGAUUAACGGGAUCACAUCAUUAGGAGAAUGAUGUGAUUGACUUGACCCAUUCCGUUAGCCUAGCACUUGAUCGUUUAGUAUGUUGCUAUUGCUUUCUUCAUGACUUAUACAUGUUCCUGUAACUAUGAGAUUAUGCAACUCCCGUUUACCGGAGGAACACUUUGGGUGCUACCAAACGUCACAACGUAACUGGGUGAUUAUAAAGGAGUACUACAGGUGUCUCCAAAGGUACAUGUUGGGUUGGCGUACUUCGAGAUUAGGUUUUGUCACUCUGAUUGUCGGAGAGGUAUCUCUGGGCCCUCUCGGUAAUGCACAUCACUAUAAGCCUUGCAAGCAAUGUGGCCAAUGAGUUGGUUACGGAAUGAUGCAUUACGUAACAAGUAAAGAGACUUGCCGGUAACGAGAUUGAACUAGGUAUUAGAUACCGACGAUCGAAUCUCGGGCAAGUAACAUACCGAUGACAAAGGGAACAACGUAUGUUGUUAUGCGGUUUGACCGAUAAAGAUCUUCGAAGAAUAUGUAGGAACCAAUAUGGGCAUCCAGGUUCCGCUAUUGGUUAUUGACCGAGAAUAGUUCUAGGUCAUGUCUACAUAGUUCUCGAACCCGUAGAGUCGGCAUGCUUAACGUUACGAUGAUAGUUUUAUUAUGAGUUUGUAAGUUUUGAUGUACCGAAGUUUGUUCGGAGUCCCGGAUGUGAUCAUGGACGUAAUGAGGAGUCUCGAAAUGGUUGAGACAUAAAGAUCAAUAUAUUGGAAGCCUAUAUUUGGACAUCGGAAUCGUUCCGGGUGAAAUCGGCAUUUUACCGGAGCACCGGGAGGUUACCGGAACCCCCCCGGGGGGUUAUUGGGCCUACAUGGGCCUCGAGGAAGAAGAGGGAAGGAGGCAGGAGGGGGCCGCGUGCCCCUCCCCUUCCUAGUCUGAAUAGGACAAGGGAAGGGGGGCGGCGCCCCCCCCCCCCUUUUCCUUCCCCUCUUCCUCCUCUUUCCCCCCUUCUCCUAUUCCAACUAGGAAAGAAGGGAGUCCUACUCCCGGUGGGAGUAGGACUCCCCCCUUGGUGCGCCCUCCUUGGCCGGCCGACUCCUCCCCCCUGGCUCCUUUAUAUACGGGGCCGGGGGGCACCCCAUAGACACACAAGUUGAUCUACGGAUCGUUCCUUAGCCGUGUGCGGUGCCCCCCUCUACCAUAUUCCACCUCGGUCAUAUCGUCGCGGAGUUUAGGUGAAGCCCUGCGCCGGUAGAACAUCAUCAUCGUCACCACGCCGUCAUGCUGACGGAACUCAUCCCCGAAGCUUUGCUGGAUCGGAGCCCGGGGAUCGUCAUCAAGAUGAACGUGUGCUGAACUCGGAGGUGCCGUCCGUUCGGUGCUUGGAUCGGUCGGAUCAUGAAGACGUAUGACUACAUCAACCGCGUUGUGCUAACGCUUCCGCUUACGGUCUACGAGGGUAUGUGGAUAACACUCUCCCCUCUCGUUGCUAUGCCAUCACCAUGAUCUUGCGUGUGCGUAGGAAAUUUUUUGAAAUUACUACGUUCCCCAACAAUACCUACCUCCGCUGUGCUGCAUCAUCCCUUCCUCUUUGGGGAAAUACCGACGUAGCUUCAAGCGACAUCAGAGAUCCAUAUGAUGUAAGCCUUUUUGUGGUGUGUUUGUUGGGAUCCGAUGAACUUUGAGUUUAUGAUCAGAUCUAUGUUUUUAUCCAUGAAAGUUAUUUGAGUCUUCUUUGAUCUCUUAUAUGCAUGAUUGCUUAUAGCCUCAUAUUUUUCUCCGAUAUUUGGGUUUUGUUUGGCCAACUUGAUCUAUUUAUAAUGCAAUGGGAAGAGGUGCUUUGUAGUGGGUUCGAUCUUACGGUGCUUGAUCCCAGUGAUAGAAGGGAAACCGACACGUAUGUAUCGUUGCUACUAAGGAUGACGAGAUGGGAUCUAUAUCUUCCUUAUAUAUAAACCGAUCUUGUCUACAUCAUGUCAUUGUUCUUAUUGCAUUACUAUGUUUUUCCAUUAACUUAACACACUAGAUGCAUGAUGGAUAGCGGUCGAUGUGUGGAGUAAUAGUAGUAGAUGCAGGCAAGAGUCGGUCUACUAAUCUUGGACGCGAUGCCUAUGUAAUGAUCAUUGCUUGGAUAUCGUCAUGAUUAUUUGAAGUUCUAUCAAUUGCCCAACAGUAAUUGUUUUCCCACCGUUUGCUAUUUUUCUCGAGAGAAGCCACUAGUGAAACCUACAGCCCCUAGGUCUCUUUUCAUCAUAUUUGCCUUUGCGAUCUAUUUUCUCUUGCGUUUCAGAUCUAGUAAUCCAAAAAUACAAGAAAUACCUUGCUGCAAUUUAUUGUUCCGCGAUCUAUUUAUCCUAUCUACAAAUUUACCUCACGUCCUUUGCCUAUCUUGAGGCGCCGUACCCCGAAAGGGAUUGACAGCCCCUUUAACACAUCAAGUUGUGAGGUGUUGUUAUUUGUGUGCAGGGGUUGUUUACGUUGUGUUGCUUGGUUCUCCUACUGGUUCGAUAACCUUGGUUUCAUAUCUAAGGGAAAUACCUACCUCUGGUAUGUUGCAUCAUCUCUUCCUCUUUGGGGAAAUACCUACGUACUUAAAGCGACAUCAGAGAUCCAUAUGAUGUAAGCCUUUCAGCGGUGUAUUUGUUGGGAUCCGAUAAACUUUGAGUUUAUGAUCAGAUCUAUGUUUUUAUCCAUGAAAGUUAUUUGAGUCAUCUUUGAUCUCUUAUAUGCAUGAUUGCUUAUAGCCUCGUAUUUCUUCUCUGAUAUCUGGGUUUUGUUCGGCCAACUUGAUAUAUUUAUCUUGCAAAGGGAAGAUGUGCUUUGUAGUGCGUUCGAUCUUACGAUGCUUGAUCCCAGUGACAGAAGGGGAACCGACACGUAUGUAUCAUCGCUACUAAGGAUAACAAGAUGGGAUCUAUAUCUUCAUAAUAGAUAAAAGGAUCUUGUCUACAUCAUGUCAUCGUUCUUAUUCCAUUACUCCAUUUUUCCAUUAACUUAAUACAUUAGAUGCAUGUUGGAUUGCGGUCGAUGGGUGGAGUAAUAGUAGUAGAUGCAGGCAGGAGUCGGUCUACUAAUCUUGGACAUGAUGCCUAUCUAAUGAUCAUUGUCUGGAUAUCAUCAUGAUUAUUUGAAGUUCUAUCAAUUGCCCGACAGUAAUUGUUUUCCCACUGUUUGCUAUUUUUCUCGAGAGAAGCCAUUAGUGAAACCUACGGCCCCCGGGUCUCUUUUCAUCAUAUUUGCCUUUGCGAUUAUUUUCUCUUGAGUUUAUUUUCAGAUCUAUUAAACCAAAAAUACAAAAAUACCUUGCUGCAAUUUAUUUGUUCCGCGAUCUAUUUAACCUAUCUAUAAAUUUACCUCAUGUCCUUUGCCUAUCUUGAGGCGCCGUACCCCGAAAGGGAUUGACAACCCCUUUAACACGUCGGGUUGCGAGGUGUUGUUAUUUGUGUGCAGAGGAUGUUUACAUUGUGUUGCUUGAUUCUCCUACUGGUUCGAUAACCUUGAUUUCAUAUCUGCGGGAAAUAUCUACCGCCGUUGUGCUGCAUCAUCCCUUCCUCUUUGGGGAAAUACCGACGUAGCUUCAAGUGACAUCAGAGAUCCAUAUGGUGUAAGACUUUUUGCGGUGUGUUUGUUGGGAUCCGAUGAACUUUGAGUUUAUGAUCAGAUCUAUGUUUUUAUCCAUGAAAGUUAUUCGAGUCUUCUUUGAUCUCUUAUAUGCAUGAUUCGUUAUAUCCUCGUAUUUCUUCUCCGAUUUGGGUUUUGUUUGGCCAACUUGAUCUAUUUAUCUUGCAAUGGGAAGAUGUGCUUUGUAGUGGGUUCGAUCUUACGAUGCUUGAUCCUAGUGACAGAAGGGAAACCGACACGUAUGUAUCGUUGCUACUAAAGAUAACAAGAUGGGAUCUAUAUCUUCAUAAUAGAUAAACCGAUCUUGUCUACAUCAUGUCAUCGUUCUUAUUGCAUUACUCCAUUUUUUCAUUAACUUAAUACACUAGAUGCAUGCUGGAUAGCGGUCGAUGUGUGGAGUAAUAGUAGUAGAUGCAGGCAAGAGUCGGUCUCCUAGUCUUGGACGUGAUGCCUAUGUAAUGAUCAUUGCCUGGAUAUCUUCAUGAUUACUUGAAGUUCUAUCAAUUGCCCAACAGUAAUUGUUUUCCCGCCAUUUGCUAUUUUUCUCGAGAGAAUCCACUAGUGAAACCUACGGCCCCCGGGUCUCUUUUCAUCAUAUUUGCCUUUGCGAUUAUUUUCUCUUGCGUUUACUUUUAGAUCUAUUAAACCAAAAACACAAAAAUAUCUUGCUGCAAUUUAUUUGUUCCGCGAUCUAUUUAUCCUAUCUACAAAUUUACCUCAUGUCCUUCGCCUAUCUUGAGGCGACGUACCCCGAACGGGACUGACAACCCCUUUAACACGUCGGGUUGCGAGGUGUUGUUAUUUGUGUGCAGGGGCUGUUUACGUUGUGUUGCUUGGUUCUCCUACUGGUUCGAUAACCUUGGUUUCAUAUCUGAGGGAAAUACCUACUGCCGUUGUGCUGCAUCAUCCCUUCCUCUUUGGGGAAAUACCGACGUAGCUUAAAGCGACAUCAGAGAUCCAUAUGAUGUAAGCCUUUUUGGGAUGUGCUUUUUGGGAUCCAAUGAACUUUGAGUUUAUGAUCAGAUCUAUGUUUUUAUCCAUGAAAGUUAUUUGAGUCUUCUUUGAUCUCUUAUAUGCAUGAUUGUUUAUAGCCUGAUAUUUCUUCUCCGAUAUUUGGGUUUUGCUUGGCAACUUGAUCUAUUUAUCUUGCAAUGGGAAGAGGUGCUUUGUAGUGGGUUUGAUCUUACGGUGCUUGAUCCCAGUGACAGAAGGGGAACCAACAUGUAUGUAUCGUUGUAUCUUCAUAAUAGCUAAACGGAUCUUGUGUACAUCAUGUCAUCAUUCUUAUUGCAUUACUCCGUUUUCUCAUUAACUUAAUAGACUAGAUGCAUGCUGGAUAGCGGUCGAUGUGUGGAGUAAUAGUAGUAGAUGCAGGCAGGAGUCGGUCUACUAAUCUUGGACAUGAUGCCUAUGUAAUGAUCAUUGUCUGGAUAUCGUCAUGAUUAUUUUAAGUUCUAUCAAUUGCCCAACAAUAAUUAUUUUCCCACCAUUUGCUAUUUUUCUCGAGAGAAGCCACUAGUGAAACCUACGGCCCCCGGGUCUCUUUUCAUCAUAUUUGCCUUUGCGAUUAUUUUCUCUUGCAUUUAUUUUCAGAUCUAUUAAACCAAAAAUACAAAAAUACCUUGCUGCAAUUUUUUUUCCGACAUCUAUUUAUCCUAUCUACAAAUUUACCUCAUGUCCUUUGCCUAUCUUGAGGCGCCGUACCUCGAAAGGGAUUGACAACCCCCCUUUAACACGUCGGGUUGCGAGGUGUUGUUAUUUAUGUGCAAGGGUUGUUUACGUUGUGUUGCUUGGUUCUCCUACUGGUUCGAUAACCUUGGUUUCAUAUCUGAGGGAAAUACCUACCGCUGCUGUCCUGCACCAUCCCUUCCUCUUUGGGGGAAUAUCGAUGUAGCUUCAAGCGACAUCGGAGAUCCAUAUGAUGUAAGCAUUUUUGCGGUGUGUUUGUUGGGAUCCGAUGAACUGUGAGUUUAUGAUCAGAUCUAUUUUUCUAUGCAUAAAAUUUAUUUGAGUCUUCUUUGAUCUCUUAUAUGCAUGAUUGCUUAUAGCCUCAUAUUUCUUCUCCGAUAUUCGGGUUUUGUUUGGCCAACUUGAUCUAUUUAUCUUGCAAUGGGAAGAGGUGCUUUGUAGUGGGUUCGAUCUUACGGUGCUUGAUCCUAGUGACAGAAGGGAAACUAACACGUAUGUGUCGUUGCUACUAAGGAUAACAAGAUGGGAUCUAUAUCUUCAUAAUAGAUAAACGGAUCUUGUCUACAUCAUGUCAUCGUUCUUAUUGCAUUACUCCAUUUUUUUCAUUAACUUAAUACACUAGAUGCAUGUUGGAUAGCGGUCAAUGUGUGGAGUAAUAGUAGUAGAUACAGGCAGGAGUCGGUCUACUAAUCUUGGAUGUGAUGCAUAUGUAAUGAUCAUUGCCUGGACAUCAUCAUGAUUAUUUGAAGUUAUAUCAAUUGCCCAACAGUAGUUGUUUUCUCACCAUUUGCUAUUUUUCUCGAGAGAAGCCACUAGUGAAACCUACGGCCCUCGGGUCUCUUUUCAUCAUAUUUGCAUUUGUGAUCUAUUUUCUCUUGCGUUUAUUUUCAGAUCUAUUAAACCAAAAAUACAAAAAUACCUUCCGGCAAUUUAUUUGUUCCGCAAUCUAUUUAUCCUAUCUACAAAUUUACCUCACGUCAUUUGCCUAUCUUGAGGCGUCGUACCCCGAAAGGGAUUGACAACCCCUUUAACACGUCGGGUUGCGAGGUGUCGUUAUUUGUGUGCAGGGGCUGUUUACGUUGUGUGGCUUGGUUCUCCUACUCGUUCGAUAAUCUUGGUUUCAUAUUUGAGGGAAAUACCUACCGCCGUUGUGCUACAUCAUCCCUUCCUUUUUAGGGAAAUAUCGACGUAGCUUCAAGCGACAUCAGAGAUCCAUAUGAUGUAAGCCUUUUUGCGGUGUGUUUGUUGGGAUCCAAGCAUCCCUUCCUUUUUAGGGAAAUAUUGACGUAGCUUCAAGCGACAUCAGAGAUCCAUAUGAUGUAAGCCUUUUUGCGGUGUGUUUGUUGUGAUCCGAUGAACUUUGAGUUUAUGAUCAGAUCUAUGUUUUUAUCCAUGAAAGUUACCUGAGUCUUCUUUGAUCUCUUAUAUGCAUGAUUGCUUAUAGCCACGUAUUUCUUCUCCGAUAUUUGGGUUUUGUUUGGCCAACUUGAUCUAUUUAUCUUGCAAUGGGAAGAGGGGGUUUAUAGUGGGUUCGAUCUUACGGUGCUUGAUCCCAAUGACAGAAGGAGAACCGACAUGUAUGUAUUGUUUCUACUAAGGAUAACAAGAUGGGAUCUAUACCUUCAUAAUACAUAAAUGGAUCUUGUCUACAUCAUGUCAUCAUUCUUAUUGCAUUACUCCAUUUUUGCAUUAACUUAAUACACUAGAUGCAUGCUGGAUAGCGGUCGAUGUGUGAAGUAAUAGUAGUAGAUGCAGGCAGGAGUCGGUGUACUAAUCUUGGACGUGAUGCCUAUGUAAUGAUCAUUGCCUGGAUAUCGUCAUAAUUAUUUGAAGUUCUAUCAAUUGCCCAACAGUAAUUGUUUUCCCACCGUUUUCUAUUUUUCUCAAGAGAAGCCACUAGUGAAAGCUACGGCCCCUGGGUCUCUUUUCAUCAUAUUUGCCUUUGAGAUCUAUUUUCCUUUGCAUUUAUUUUCAGAUCAAUUAAACCAAAAUUACAAAAAUACCUUGCUGCAAUUUAUUUGUUCCACGAUCUAUUUAUCCUAUCUACCACUUUUACCUCAUGUUAUUUGCCUAUCUUGAGACGCCGUACCCGAAAGGGAUUGACAACCCCUUUAACACGUCGGGUUGCAGGUAUUUGUUAUUUGUGUGCAGGUGUUGUUUACGUGGUGUGAGGAGGUUCUCCUACUGGUUCGAUAACCUUGGUCUCAUCACUAAGGGAAAUACCUACUGUCGCUAUACUGCAUCAUCCCUUCCUCUUUAGGGAAAUACCGACGUAGUUCUAGCAGACAUCACCCACAACUCCCCAUUAUCCUUUUGUCAUGCUGACAGUCCCGGGGCAUUUCGGCAUCAAUGGAAAAUUUUCCUUCAUUGAGGGCAAAUCCCAAUUUGUCUCUUGUUGUGUUGUCCUUUCUUUCUUGUUGAGUAAACUUAUUAUUGCAAUGCUGCCCCUUGUAGGUUGGUCACCUUUUGCCAUGUUUUGUUGUGCAUGAUGUACACUUGUGUUUGUUAUGCUCAUGUCCCCUAUUUUUCAUUCAAAUGUAACUAUUGCCAUGUUUGUUCUCUGCAUUUUCCAUUUUUUGGGCCAUGUGAUCUAGUUACAUGUUUGAUUUGUGUACUUUGUUGUCAUGCUCUUUCUUUGUGUGUAGGAAUUUUGUUCCCUAUUUUUUUCCAUGGUUCAUGUUUAGUUAUGUGCCUUAGAUAACUUCAUUUCCAUGCUCUUAUGUAUGCAGAAGAUUCUUAUCUUCAAAAAUUCUAGCUUUCGGUGAUUGACUCACAUUUUUUCCAUGUUGUCAUACAUGUACUUAUUUUUCUAGUGCAAAUUUGCCAUGUCAUCUUAUAGGUGUGAUUUUCUUUUAGUUGUUUUUCUUCUUUUGUUUUUGCCAUGUUUUUGUGUGUAGGAGUUAGUUGGUUAAAUGCAAAAUUUGCAAUGCCAACAUGUACUAUGUGGUUUGCUUACUUACAUCGUAUCAAUUUCCAUAGUACUAUGUUCACAUUCUUGUCAUUCUAAUAUAUGUGGUGGUUUAUUACGUAAAUGUCACUUUCAUAUUUUUGUAUUUCUAUUUUAUAUGAGUGGAAAUAGAGCUUGGCAAGGUUUCUUUUCUCUCUUUUUUUCAGAAAAAAAAUGUUGCCUUAAAUUCUUAUUAUGUAUUUUUCAUUUGCAGAUCUUUUUGCAUCAUUGUUCGGAAUGCCCUGGCUACUGCUGUUGAUGGUUUCAUGCCGACGAGAGGGAAUGCUGUCGCAGCCGGCAAACAGAUUCGAAAGGAGGUAUUUUAUACUUGUUUCAUAUGUUUAAUUCUUGGGGCAAAUUAACCAUGGCAAGUUUCUUUAACCACUCACGGAAACUUAAGUGACAUAUCCAUAUCAUGCCAUUUUGUAAUUUGGUUAUCCUUCUGCAGGCUGAUGACCAACAAGUAUGGGGGAUCAAUCGUAGUCCUUUCGAUAAGUAAGAGUGUCAAAUCCAAUGAGGAGCAGAAGGAAAUGAUAAGCGGUUUUCAACAAGGUAUUCUCUGCAAGUGUUGUAAGUACUGGCAAUAGGUAGUUUGGUAGAAAGAUAAUUUGUAGCAAGUAACAAUAAUUACAAAGGUGUAGCAAGGUGGCCCAAUCCUUUUUGUAGCAAAGGACAAGCUAAAGGUACUUCUUAUAGUGAGCAAAACGUUCUCGAGGACACGUGGAUCAUUUAGUUACGUUCAUCAUGUUUAGUUGAUUCACAUUCACUAUUUUGAUAAUUUGAUAUGUGGACUGGUGUUAGGGUGUUUUUCUUACUUGAACAAACAACCCACUUAUGAUUACCCCCUCUCGCAAACAUUCACAACUACGAAAGGAGAAUUAAGAUAAAUCUAACAAUAGCAUGAAACAUACGGACCCAAAUCAGCCCCUUAUGGAGUAGUGCAUAAACUAGGGUUUAAGUUUCUCUCACUCUCAGAACCCAUCAUCUACUUACUACUCCCCAAUGCCUUCCCCUAUGCCCAAACAUGGUGAAGUGUCAUGUAGUUGACGUUCACACAACAUCACGAGGGGUAUGUUUGGUUGCCUGUGCAGCUUUGCCUACACCAUAUGGGGGAUCCUGGUUGAGCCUGGCUUGAUUGAGAUGAUGAGGCGAAGGACCAAAAGGUGGCAACGAUGGCCAAUCGGAGAACCAGCGGAGGAGAAACCGAGGAAGUCGGGGGACACUUCAGGUAAUAAAAACGAUUUCGGGUCUGGAUCUGGCAGAUGCCUCGCACAUGGAGUAGAUGAGAUGUGGCAGGGAGCAAUGGUGGCGGAGGCUGGCGAUGAUGUGCACAGGGGCGAGAGUGAGCCAGAAACGCAAACGAGGGAGUUGUGGUGAAGGGAAUCGUUACCCCUGCAUGAAGUUGAACGCGCGAUGGGAUUGGGGAGGUGGGUGUGGGGGGGUUUGCAUCAGCUCGUGCCUGCAUGCAAGGAACUGAGGAUUCAUGCGUAUCCGCUCAGCCUGGCUCGGGAGCCCUAUAUGCAUCAGUCGGGCCAGGCCCAGUUAUGUGUGCAGUCUACAAACACCCAGUUAUUGCACGGGGGAUGAGAGUAAGCAAACACGCCCUAGAGGAAUAACAACAUAUGCAUCAUCAAAAUAUUGAACGAAUACCAACUUCACAUGUACUUAUAACAAGACUUCUCUUAUGUCCUCAAGAACAAACGGGACUACUCACAAAUCAUAUUCAUGUUCAAUAUCAGAGGAGUAUAAUAUAUGAUUGAGGAUCUAAACAUAUAUUUUUUUUCACCAAAUAAACCAACUAGCAUCAAAUCCAAGAUGUAAUCAACACUACUAGCAACUCAAAUGUAUUAAUCUAAGAUUUGGAGGCAAAGAUCGAAUACAACAGAUGAACUAGGGUUUGAGAUAAGAUGGUACUGGUGAAGAUGUUGAUGGAGAUGAGUCCUCCCAUGAUGAGAUGAGCAUUGAUGAUGCCAAUAGUUUCGAUUUCACCCUCCUAGAGGGAAGUAUCUGCGGCGAAAUCGCUCCGCCGGAAAGCAAAUGUGCUCCUGCUCAGGUUCCACCUCGAGACGGUGGCUCUUUGUCCCGAAAAUAUUCUUCUAUUUUUUUUUGGGAAAAAGGCUUCAUAUAAGAGAAGGGGGCCACAGAGGCCUGCUGUUGGGUCCACAAGCUUAGGUGGCGCGCCCCACCUAAGAUUGUGGCUUUCUGGUGGGGUCCCUCCUCGUGAUUCUUCUUUCAGUAUUUUUAUUAAUUCCAAAAUAAAUCUUCGUAAAAUUUUAGAUCAUUUGGAGCUCCAGAGAAUAGUUAUCUCUGUUGUAGCUCUUUUUAGGCCCAGAAUUCAGGCUGCCGGCGAUUUUCCUCUCCAUAGAAAUCUUGCACAAUAAGAGAGAAAAUACAUUACAAUUGCGUCAUAAAGUGAAAUAUGACUCUAAAACAUUAUAAAUAAUAGUAGAAAAACAUGAAACGUGAUCAACUAAAUUUUUGGGACAAAUCAACUAAAUUUUUGUGUGAAUUUAAAUAAUGUUAAAUAUAAAAAAUCCAUAGAAAGAAAGUUUAGCGCAAAAUGAAUGUACGUAAAUUCUUUGGGACAAAUCAACUAAAUUUUUGUUUGAAUUUAAAUAAUUUUAAAUAUAAAAAAUCCAUAGAAAGAAAUUUUAGCGCAGAAUGAAUGUACGUAAAUUCUUUGGUACAAAUCAACUAAAUUUUUGUUUGAAUUCGAACAAUGUUAAAUAUAAAAAAUCCAGAGAAAGAAAGUAUAGCACGGAAUGAAUGUACGUAAAUUCUUUGGGACAAAUCAACUAAAUUUUUGUUUGAAUUCGACAAUGUUAAAUAUAAAAAAAUCCAAAGAAAGAAAGUAUAGCGGCGAAUGAAUGUACGUAAACUCUUUGGGACAAAUUAAUGGAAUUUUUGUUUGAAUUUGAUUAAUUUUAGAUUUAGAAUCUAGAUAAAGAAAAUAUAGUGUCGUAUGAAUGUACGUAACCUUUUUUUUGGGGGGAAAUCAACUAUUUUUUAAAUUCAAAUAAUGUUAAAUAUAAAUAUUGAGAUAAAAGAAAAUAUAGCGCAGAAUGAGUGUACGUAAAUUCUUUGGGACAAAUCAAUGAAAUUUUUGUUUGAAUUCAAAUAAUUUUAAAUCUUUAAAUCUAGAUAACAGGAAAUAUAGUGUAGUAUGAAUGCAUGUAAUUUUUUGGACAAAUCAACUAAAUUUUUGUUUGAAUUCAAAUAUGUUUAGUCUAAAAAUCUUUUGGACAAAAUAUGUUUGAAUUCAACUAUAUUUUUUGGAUAAAAAAAUAUAAUGCAGAAUGAAUGUACGUAAAUUCUUUUGGACAAAUCAACUAAACAAGAACGGACAAAAUAAAUUUCUUUUAUCCCUAUUUUACAUCAUGUGUCCUUGUGGUCGUCACUCAUUUGCAGGUUCAAACAGCGGGCUUCUUAUUAUUUGGUUAGAUUUACCUUUAAUUUUUUCGGUCAGUCUUGAAAUGAUAUUCGUUUGGUGGCUGUACGGGUGGGUGAGCCUACUAGCAGUGGAUGUGCGUUCUAACUUCUAAACCACCAGCCCCUCCUUUUUUCAUUUUAUUUGAGGGACUCUGUGUGCGUCAAUGAAAAAAAUGCAAGGCAAUUUCUGUAGAAAAAAAAUCCAGUGCAGCCGCUACCAGCCACUGACAGUGGCCGCCUGUACGCUGGCACGCCAGGUAAGCGCAAAAUACGGCUGGAUAUGGGAGGAAGCACCGUAUUUGAACUAUCGGACAAGUUCGCUGACCAGAAAUAUAUAUUUUACAAGUUUAUACACUAAACUGACCGUUAACGUGCAAGUUCUAUGACCCAUGAUGUAUUUAGGUCUUGAAUAAAGCCCUAUGCUUCAUUAGAAAGGAAAAACAUGUCACUGUCGAAUUCAAAAGGAAAAACAGGUCACCGUCGAAUAACCCAAAGUUCCAGGACAUCAGCACCCACUGGACAAACAAAUGUGGACGUUCUACUCGCCAAUGAUUCAACAACAUACUAACAGAAAAGACACAUCUGUGCUUACAAGAUUUAAGAUUCCAGCGCGAUAAAAUUACAACAAGACGAGACAGACUCUGUGGUCGGAAAUUUGUAUACAGCUGAAAGCCUGAAACUGCAGCAACAUCUAGGGCGCAAAGCUUGACUGUUGGUGUGUCUAACUAAAAUGAACAAGGGCAUGAACCACUACACACGAGGUGAUGAAGGGGGCAGCUUUGUCUCUAGAGGUCUUUCACCUGACCGUAGGAUAGCCGUCGCCCGUUGAGGAUUGCAGUGGUUGAAGCUUCAGUUUCGUCGGACUUGAAUUUCCACUCUGAAAAUGAACCACCAUACCUGCAUCUCUGCUCAAGGACAACCAGUACUGUAGUUCCAAUUCCCAACACACCCUGAACUUACUUCUACAGAUUAUCACAAUUCCUCUACUAACCUUAGUACACAUCAUUAACUCAACUAGUAAUAAUGUACGUAUUUCCCAGCUCCUGAAUCACUGCUAUGAUAACCACGCCCAUCCAAGUGCAGUAUAAGGAUCAGUCAUGCAAACCAUACCUGCCAGUUUACUGAAACUGAAAUUAUCAGGGAACUCGUGAACCAUCCCCAUUUGCUUGCAUACUGCAGGUCCGGCUUCCAUUACCUACAAUAUCACAGCAUUUUCUAAGGAAGCAGUUACCCACAACAAUUGAACUAGUACAUCUGUUCUAGAGAAUUGUGGUACAUGAGGCCGCCUUUCAUUCAAAGCUUCCUAUACACUCACUUCCCUCUGGGAACGUAAGUAAAGCACUGACCUUGUACAGCUAGGAAUCAGCAAGUUCCUGGAGGAGUCUGACUGACUACAAAAUUACACUUGCCCAGAUUCUUCAUAGCAAAGGAUGCAUUCCAAAGCUUGCCACCACAUUGUGUGACGAUUCGGUAUUCGACUGGACAAUCUGUGCAACUUCUACUCGCUUCAUUCACUGCUACUCAAUGUAAAAUAUUAAGAGACCAUGACAGUUCUAAUGCAAAGGAUACAGAGGAGCUAACUGCAGUCCCCUCCACAUUUUCUCAUCCGGGCUUGGGACCGGCAAAGGCAGUGUUAAACUACUCCUACUUAAACACAAAAAACAGCAAACACUACAAACAAUUAUAUUGAGCUAAGCAUACAAGCCAAGCAACCAACCAAAGGCGGCAUUGGCAUGACACACGAUUGGCAAUAAAUAUUCAUGCCGUGCGGAACAAACAAAGAAUGCCAUAAAUUCCAGAACCUGAAUGGGAGUAACUAAUUUAUCUAGUGGGAUGAGCGUGAUUCCAAUCUUUGCACAGAGAAAGCUUUAGUAGUUCUAUGCCAUUAUAGGGUCAGAGGACCGUAAGGUGUGUUAACAGACUUCCGUGUCUUCAAAAUCUAGGAUUUAUUAUGUAGUAUGACUGUAUGAAACAGAAUGGGUUUAUCUAAUUUCCAAGUUAAGAAUAUGCAAUCGGCAGGUAUCAUCAAAUUAGUAGUUUUGCUAGUUGCCAACUAUUUUAAAACUAGGAAGUUGCCCGAAAACUAAGAAUAUAUGUAAUUAAAGAGAACAUGCGAUUCAAGAUUCAGAAUCCAGAUCAAAUUAGCAAAUUGCUGGAAAAGAAGCUCAAUUAGCCAUUAGAGGACCUAAGAUGUGUGAACGCUGUGAAAUUAUAUAUUUAUAAGAAUAUGUAACUGAAGAUUCCAUAAUCCAUAUCAAAUUAGCAGUUCGGUGAAAAGAAGUUCAAAUUAGCAACUACAGGACCAUAAGAUGUGUGAACACCAUGAAAUUUUAGAUUUAAUAAGAAUAUGUAAUGGAAGAUUCCAUAAUCCAGAUCAAAUUAGCAGUUCGCCAUAAGAGAUAAAAUUAGCCAUCGGAGGACCAUAGAGAUGUGUGAGCGCUUUGUGUCUUCAAAUCCAGGAUGAAUGAAAUACGAAACAAACUGCCAUAUGUUGAAAGUAAUCAGCAGGAUUCAUCAUCAAAUUAGCCAAAGUGUUUAAGAAUCAUCAAAUUAGCCACUGUUUUGCUAGUUGUCACUUUAAAGUAGGAAGUUCCCCAGCAAACCGAGAAUCCAGAUCUCACUGGAGAAGCACCAAUGAGAAGAACAUCACUUCUGAAAAUCAACUCCAUACCAACAAACCAGAAUCAUAUUCAGUGGACAUGAGCGGAGUGUUCAGGGCAAAAAUUUUGUUCAAGCUUCCAGUUCAGAACCUUCCAAUUCCCCAUUGUUUAUAGUAUAUAUAGCAAUAACUCCUAACCUCUUUCUGCAUAUCAAGUCAUCAGUAUUACCCUACUACACAGGAGGCCACUACUGUUAAACCAACACAAGUGCGAGGGUGGGAUCUUUCUUUAUCACCAAAGUUAAAAAUAUGUGCACACCAAAAGUUGAUUUUGUGUCAUAAGAUGAACCCAAAGAAUGUAUAUACAUAAUAUACAUAAACCAAGUGCAAUCAUGUAUAUAUGUAGAAUAGUAGACCAACAAAUCCAAGUGUAACCAAUUCAUGUGUAUAUAUAUAAUAUGCAUUAACAUUUUAACUGCAUUCAGAGCUCAUGUACAUGCGAUCUUUUACUUCCUACUACGUGAUAUAUUUGCAAAUUGAAAGAUACAAGCAGCCAAAUAUCAAAACAAAACUUCCUGAAACAGUAUGGUAACCAGGUAAUUAAUAGCCAAACCAAACUUUGAUAAUCUGCUAUACAGACUGAGUACGAACUGAUAUUUCCAUUUUGGAAGACUUCUAGCAUUUUCUUGAUUCGAGCAAAAGAUGAGAUCAUAUUCCAUCCAAGUUGGAAGAGGAUACCGUAACCAGUAAGAUUUUUUUUUAUCAUAUACCGUAACCAGUAAGAUGGCACAACAGAAACCUAGUAAGAUGCUUCAGGACAGUUGAAAGAAUCAGAUGCACACACUACCAACUCCAAGCUGCACCAAAGAUAUGAGGCCACUGAAUGCAAGUUCAAACUGAAAACUACCACAAAGACCAUAUCAUUAUGCUUCAGGAUCAGUAAUCAGAGGUCAAAACCAUCAGGGAAGUCCAUUUGCUUCACCAAGUCCCCGCGCUAACUGACUAUCCAACUCUACAAUCUUGCAAUAAAACCUCCAACAAUGCAAAUCAAUUAACGGCCCAAAUAUAAUCAGCAUACUUCAAGUUUCUUCAAGGAAAGUCAGACCAUAGUGAAAUCUGGUAAAUCAGUUGAAACAAGCAUGGAGUCCAGGUGUAAGUUUUUGUGGUUGAAGGAAGAUUCCAAACGAAGAUCCCAAACAGCCAUUAGACAAACAUAAAUCGAAGAACUUAAUGUAUAGCCACUCAAAUCUGACGUCACCAAGCACAGUUGAGGAAUCCAGUAAACCAGUGUGACCAAGCAUGGGAAACUGACCUGCCUCGAGUCCCCUUCACCAUACGUUCACACACCACAUGGAGCUUCACUCCCAAACCAGAUCAAGAUCCAGUACUGCGAUAACAAAUGAAACAAACAGACUGUCUACGAGACACUGACCUCCAUGUACAGAGCAAAGGUUUGGGCCCAAACUCCUAAUAACAAUUACUUGGCCAACCCACACACAAGACCAAGAGAACACAGGGAUCAAGAGUACAGAUAACAAGCAUGGAGAGCUAGUCAUUGCCCACAUGGCCUGGGAUAAAGAAAAAUCUGCAACCAUAGGAAGGGCAGGGGCAAAAACCUAUAUCAGAGAGAUGGCCAAGUAACUACAUGAAAAAUAAAAUAGGAAGGUAAGAAUCUUUUUCGGUUGUAGGAUGUGUCAUUAGUUGAAAGCUCUGGAUUAUCCUUAUAUUCGUGCUGCAUAUGAAUCUGUAUUUAAAAUAUUGUCUAGUAAGAUAAGUUAUAGGUUAUGUAUAAGUUACAAUGAAUUGAAACGACACUAGUAGAUUUAGAAGAUCAGUAGACGGAUUCAUCGUCAGGCUGGACAGGAGUUCGUCAACUACAUCCUGCAGCGAGCAAGAGACCGUUUCUAUAAAAAAAUUGUUAGGGGAAAUGCUGCUUAUAAAUAGCAAAAGCAUGAAUGAUGAGUGGGAACAAGUAAAGCCUGUCUAGGGUCAGGUAUGGAUGAUGGAGGACAACAACGCCAGUUCCAAACUGAAGUUAUAUCCUUUCCAAGUCAGUAUCUGCAAGAGCUGAUAAUUACCAAGGCAAAGAGAACCUAAUGUCUAGAGUUCAAUUAGAGUAAAAAAGGUUGAAAAAGUUUUAGCCACAGAAGGAACCGCCAUGCCGAGGAAAAAUAGGACCGCCUACUAAGCCAUAUCAUUCCAAUUUCUGGAGAGCCACCAAGAAAUAGUUUAAAUCAGAAUUGUGGAGAACCAAAACAGAACAGUGGAGACGAAAGAGUAAAACAGAGGGAGUGAUAAUUAUCCAAAUGCAGAGCAGCAAGAUGCGUCGCUCCCGCUAAGCCAUAUAAUUCCAAUUUCUGGAGAACCACGAACAUAUCCAAAUAUCCUGCACAUAGGCUCAGACUUCCUAAAUAUAUCCUGCAACUGAUACACGCAGAAGACCAGCACAGGAAUCAAGAGUACAAACCAAACGAUUUUAACAGAUUCCGACUCACUACCAGCAUGGUUUGGGAUUAAUCUGCAACCAAAUGGAGGGUAGAAGGAAAAACCUAAAUCAAAGACAUGAACAAGUAGCUACGUGAAACAAAAAUAAGAGGUGAGUUAAAACUGGAGCAGCCUUUUUCACUGUAAGAUGUUCCAUUAGUUUGAAUCUCCAUUGUUGAACCUUGGCAGAUAAAUCUGAAUUCAAAAUAUUGUCUGGUAAGAUAAUUUUAAAGGCUGACUAAGUUCUGAUGAAUUGAGAAAAUAGUUGAUUUAGAAGAACUGCAAACAGAUUCAAGUCGGCAUCAGGUUGGACGAGUUCAUCAAGUACGAUCUGCAACGAGGAAGAUACCUUUCUAUAAGUUACAAGAGGAAAACUAGGCUCAGCUAAAGCAUGCAUCAAAUGUUGAGGUAAAGGGUAAGUAAGCCUGUCUUGGCCGGAAAGUCAGGUAGACAACACUGGUUCCAAUUAUUUCGCCCCCAAGUCAGCAUCUGCACGAGCUGAGAAUUACCAACCAAGGCAAAGAAAAUAACAUUUUGAAAGUUCAAUUAUCAAGGGAGGAUAAAAGGUCGGAUAUGUUGGACCACAGAAAGAACCACCAUGCCGAGGAAAAAUGGGUCACCCGCUAAGCCAUAUAAUUCCAAUUUCUGGAGAACCAGCAGAAAUUCUAAAUCAGAAUUGUCGGGCAACUAAUUGAGCUAUGGAGAAGAAAUUGUCGGGCCUUAGGCAUUUGCCCGAAGAUCUUGAACCGAGGGUAGGAGGUCAGAGAUCUCCACGGCAGCGCCUCCAAACCGCUGCCGAUGAGCAACAACGGGGCAGGUCUUCACCCGGAGCAUCUCGAACACCACCUCCACGCGCCGCAAUCCGCUCACCCGCUCGCCUCCCAUGCAACAACCGCGCUAUCGCCGUAUGGGAGCCACCACGUAUCUCGCCGGCACCAUGUCGGGCCAGAUCCGGCCGCAACCGGAUCACCAUCUAGCCUCACGCCGGAACCCCGGCUGCCUUCAGCCACCAAACGGACGAGGCCGCCGGGCUAGCAAGCCAGCCAGAUUUGCAGCACCAAGCCGGGAGGGGGCGUGCCACCCUGCCCCAUCCCGCAGUGUGGAGCUGCCGACCCGAAGCACAGGCAGCCCGCAGCAGCCGCUACACCGCCAAGAGGGCGCCGUCGAACAUGCGUAAGCCGCCGACUGCCACCCCAUCUUCCAGAUCCAUGCGCCAGGAGCCACCAAGCCGCCACCAUCCGCCGGAUCCACAGCGGCAGGAGCUGCCAGUGCACCACCGAGACGCUGCCGAGCCGAGCACCACCAUCCCGCGCAGACCGCAGGCAACGCUCGUCGUCGCGCCGGAUCCGCACCUGGCCGCGCCCGCCCACAGCUCCGCGACGCAAAGGGAGACGGCCGCCGCCAGGAGCAGUCCUCCCGCCGCCGGCACCGCACGGGCUUUGCCCGAUGGUGGCCGGGGGGAGGGGGGAGGUGGCCGCUGGUUAACGGCUGGGGCGCCCCAAUGCCACCCGGGUGCGAGAGGCAAAAUAGUGCCAUACUUGCGGCGAUUUGGAUGAGAAGAAGAUGAUGUACUCCCUCCAUUCGAAAUUACUUGUCGCGGAAAUGGAUGUAUCUAGACGUAUUUUAGUUUUAGAUACAUCCAUUUCCGAGACAAGUAAUUCUGAACGGAGGAAGUACGUAUAUCCUAAGAAGUCUAUCGAUAUUUUUGUUAUUCAUGGAUCAAUGCAUUUUGGUCCUAUGCUUUAGAAAGGAAAGACAGUUUGAACCCCACAACGGUUAGGGUCACUUAUGCCGAAUAAUCCAAAAGUUCCAGGACAUCAGCAUCCACUCGACAAACAACUGCGGACAUUCUACUCGCCAAUGAUUCAACAACGUAUAUUAACAUCUGCGCUGAUCAAAUAUUUAAGAUACAGCGCGAUGAAAUUACGAGACGAGACAGACACUGUUGUUGGAAUUUGUAUACAGCCGAAACUGCAGCUAACAUCUACAGUAGUGCGCAAAGCUUGACUGACGGUGUGUCUAACUGAAAGAAACAAGGGCACGUACCUCUACACACGAGGUGAUGAAGGACGUCUCCAGAGGGGAUCGCAGCAAGGCCGGUCCUGAGGUUUUGAGAGCCCGGGCGAAACUCAAACUCGGGGCCCUUUAAUAUAGACAUCAUGACAAUAAAAUUGUUGGUCUGGCAAACGGCGGUUUCCUGAAAAUGGCAACAACAUCGGUCGAUUUUCCUAAGGAGAACACGAGGCGUGAACGGGAGUGACGUGGCCGACCGCAGCAGCUGGGCAAGGCCCACGUUGUCGCGGGUAGCAGGGUCUCGGGGGUAGACACCAGGCCGAAAAAGAGGGGUAGUAGAGUGAUGGUCGGAACGGCGGCAGACCGACAACGCACGAGGUGGCUAUAGCAAGCCGGCGCGUCAGCGUAACACAAGCUGAGGGUGAUGGUGGACAGCAGUACAUCCAGGGACGGAGUUAGAAAAUUGGCAUGGAGGGGGCUAGACUAUAAGCAAUUGGCUUUAUUAUUUUUAUUAAUUACCUCUCUUCCUAAUCGUGUCUUCCAAGUACAAAUGGAUAACUGAAAAUUUCCUAAUUAAUUAUUGAUGUUUGUAACUUCUAAAAUUCAUCCCACUUCUGUAGUUUUAUAGUCACAAAUUAAUCUAAUGUAAAAAAUAGAGCUGAGGCGCAAUCAAAUUAGAUAUAGCGUAAACUAACCUUUCUUCCUUAGACCAUCACUGUCAUGCUUAUUCGUGUGGGUGACACCAGCCGGCCGGCCAUGCGUGGUGCCCCUGCAGUUCUGCAUUGCUGCCCUUCUCACCCUCUAUGGAUCCACUGGUAUCAGCUUGAUCAGGCGCUCUGCUGAAUCGAUGUCCAUUGGCAGGCAGUCGGCGAACGUGCGUUUGUGCGUGUGCUACAAGGACUUGGAGUCCAGAUCGCGGAGAACGGAGUUGCGGACUUCAUCGGCGACUCGGCGUCGGCGCAUCGCGACUCCACCUGCGACUCUCGGUCGCGGCCAGUCAGCUAGGGUUAACCUGAAUCGGGAUCGGGAAGAAGAAUCGGGCCACCCGCGACUCACGAAGACACCGUGUGAUCGGUGUAAUCAGCGGCUACAUGCCUUCCUAGCCCAUGGGCUACCUGCCUACGUAACAGGCUUUUGGGGGGCCCUGGAUUUGGGGGGCCCGGGGCGGCCGCCCCCCCUGCCCCCCCCUCAGGGCCGGCCUCGCAGUGGUUGAAGCUUCUUCAGUUUUGUCGGACUUGAAUUUCUACUCUGAAAAUGAACCACCAUAUAUCUGCAUCCCUGACUUUCUUAUGGGCGCAAAAUGAGAUUGUGUGAACGGUAACCACAACUUGACAAGGACAACCAAUAAUGUACGUAUUUCCGAACACGCCCUGAACUUGCUUUUACAGAUUACAAAAAUUCCUCCGCUAACCUCAUUAACUCAACUUGUAAUAAUGUACUCGUAUUUCCCAACUCCUGAAUCACUGCUAUGAUUACCACUACCAUCCAAGUGCAAUAUCAGGACCAGUCACGCAAACGUACCUGCUAGUUUACUGUAACUGAAAUUAUCAGGGAACUCUGUGAACCAUCCCCACUUGCUUGCAUCUGCUACCCUUUUACCCUACUGCGGAUCUCUUGUCCAGCAAUACCACAGCAUUUUCUAGGAGACCUUUCAUGCAAGGCUUCCUACACACUCACGACUUCCCUUCGGGGAAGGUAAGUAAAACACUGACCUUGUACAGCUAGAAAUUCAGCAAGUUGUUGACAGUCCCGACUAACCAAAAUUACCCUUGCCCAGAUUCUUCAUAGCAAAGGUCUGUGCAGCUUCAGUAUUCGACUAGGACAGUCUGUGCAGCUUCUACUCGCUUAAUUCGCUGCUACUCAAUGUAAAAUAUUUGGGCACCAUGACAGUUCUAAUGCAACCGAUACAGAGGAGCUAACUGCAGUUCCCUCCACAUUUUCUCAUCCGGGCUUGGGACCGGCAAAGGCAGUGUUAAACUACUCCUACUUAAAACACAAAAAUUAGCAAACACUACAAACAAUUAUUCAGGUAAGCAUACAAGCCACGUAAUCAACCAAAGGAAGCACUGACACCACACACGAUUGGCAAUAAAUAUUCACGCAACAUUUUCGGAAGAUCAUCACACAGACAUAGGGCACAAACAAAGAAUGCCAUAAAUUCCAGAACCUGAAUGGGAGUAACUAAUUACACUAGUGGGAUGAGCGCGAUUCAAGUCUUUGCACAGGGAAAGCUUUCGAAGUUUUAGCCAUUAUAGGGUCAGAGGACUGUAAGAUGUGUGAACAGAUACUUCUGUGUCUUUAAAAUCUAUAUAUAGGAUUUAUUAUUUAGUAUGAAACAGAAUGGGUUUGUCCAAGUUUCAAGUUACGAAUAUGCAAUCGGUAGGAAUCAUCAAAUUAGUACUUCUGCUAGUUGCCAACUAUAUUAAAACUAGGAAGUUGCCAGAAAACUAAGAAUAUAUGUAACUCAAGAGAAUAUGUGGUUCAAGAUUCAGAAUCCAGAUCAAAUUAGCAGUUCACCGGCAAAGAAGGUCAAUUAGCCAUUAGAGGAUGUGUGAACGCUAUGAAAUUAUAGAUUUAAGAAUAUGUAAUUGAAGAUUCCAUAAUAAUCCAUAUCAAAUUAGCAGUUUGACAGUAAAGAAGGUCAAAUUAUCCAUUAGAUGACCACAAGAUGUGUGAACGAUAUGAAAUUGUCUAUUUAAUAAGAAUAUGUAAUGGAAGAUUCCGUAAUCCAGAUCAAAUUAGCAGUUUGCCGUAAAGAGAUCAAAUUAGCCAUUGGGGGACCGUAGAGAUGUGUGAGCAUUUUGUGUCUUUAAAUCCAGGAUGAAGUACGAAACAAACUGCCAUAUGUUGAAAGUAAUCAGCAGGAUUCAUCAUCAACUUAGAGUGUGUUCAGGAAUCAUCAAAUUGGCCAGACUGUUCUGCUAGGUGUCAAUUUAACCAAACCGAGAAGAUGCAUUGAAGAAUCCAGAUCUCACUGGAGAAGCACCAAUGAGAAGAACAUCACUUCUGAAAAUCAACUCCAUACCAACAAAGCAGAAUCAUAUUCAGUGAACAUGUUCAGGGCAAAAUAUUUGUUCAAGCUUCCAAGCUCAGAAGCUUCAACUAUCUAUUGUUUUAGCAUAUAUAGCAAUAACUCCUAACCACUUUAUGCAUAUCAAGUCAUCAUUAUUACCCAACUACAGGAGGCCAACCAACACAAGUGCGAGCGUGGGAUCUUUCUUUAUCACCAAAGUAAAAAAUAUGAGCACACCAAAAUUUGAUUUUGUGUCAUAAGAUGGACCUAAACAACGUAUAAUCAUGGACAACAGUAUGUAGAAUAUGACAAAUCCAAGUAUGACCAAUUCAUAUAUAUAUAUAUACAUAUAUAUAUAUAUAUAUAUAUAUAUAUAUAUAUAUGCAUUAACAAUUUUUACUGUGUUCAGAGCUCAUGUACAUACGAUCUUUACUUCCUAUUGGGUGAUAAAUUUGCAAGUUGAAAGAUACAAGCAGCCAAAUAUCACACUUCCUGAAACAGUAUGGUAACCAGGUAAUUUAUAGUCAAAUCAAACUUUGAUAAUCUGCUAUACAAACUGAGUAUGAACUGAUAUUUCCAUUUCGGACCCUUAUUUGAGACUUCUAGCAUUUUCUUGAUUCGAGCAGAAGAUGAGAUCAUAUUCCAUCCAACCACAUGCAAGUUGAAGAAGAUACCAUGACCAGUAAAAUGGCAGAACAGAAACCAAGUAAGAUGCUUCAGGACAGUUGAAAGAAUCAGAUGUGCACACUACCAACUCCAAGCUGCACCAAAGAUAUGAGGCACUGAAUGCAAGUUCAAACUGAAAACUACCACAAAGACCAUGGCAUUAUGCUUCAGGAUCACUAAUCAGAAGUCAAAACCAUCAGGGAAGCCCAUUUGCUUUCACCAAGUCCCAGUGCUGACUGACUACCCAACUCUACAAUCUUGCAAUAAAACCUCCAAUAAUGCAAAUCAAUGAACGGCCCAAAUAUGACAGGCAUACUUAUCUUCAAGGAAAACCAGACCAUAAUGAAAUCUGGGAAAUCAGUUGAAGCAAGCAUGGAGUCCAGGUUUAAGUUUUUGUGGUCAAGGAAGACUCCUCCAUCCAGAACGAAGCUCCCAAACAGCCAUCAGACAAACAUAAAUCAAGGAACUUAAGGUAUAGCCACUCAAAUCUGACGUCACCAAGCACAGAUGAGGAAUCCAGUAAAUCAAUGUGACCAAACAUGGGAAACUGACCUGCCUCAAGUACCCUUCACCGUUCACACACCAUAUGGAGCUUCAUUUCCAGACCAGAUCGAGAUCCAGUCCUGCAAGCUAAAUUGUAGAGGAGGCCAUAACAAAUUAAACAAACAGACCGUCUACAAGAAUCUGACCUUACUCCAUGUACAGAGCAAAGGUUUGGGCGCAAACUCCUAACUAUUAUAUCUUGCCAACCCACACUCGCAGAAGACCAAGAGAGCACAGGGAUCAAGAGUACAGAUAACAACCAUGGAGAGCUAGUCAUUGCCCACAUGGCCUGGGCUAAAGAACAAUCUGCAACCAUAGGAAGGGCAGGGGCAAAAACCUAUAUCAAAGAGAUGGCCAAGUAACUAAUAAAUGAAAUAAAGAAAAUAGGAAGGUAAGAGUCUUUUUCGGUUGUAGGAUGUGCCAUUAGUUGAAAGCUCUGGAUUAUCCUUAUAUUUUUUUUGCAUAUGGAUCUGUAUUUAAAAUAUUGUCUUAUAAGAUAUUUCAUAGGUUAUAUAAGUUAAAAGAAUUGAAACGAUACUAGUAGAUUUAGAAGAUCAGUAGAUGGAUUCACCGGGUUGGAAAGGAGUUCUUCAACUACAACCUGCAGCGAGCAAGAGGCCUUCUCUAUAAAUUUUUGGUUAGGGGAAAUGCUGCUUAUAAAUAGCUAAAGCAUGGAUGAAACAAUGUGGGAACAAGUAAAAGCCUGUCUAGGGUCAGGUAUGAAUGAUGGACGACAACACCGCCAGUUCCGAACUGCAGUUUCCUUUCCAAGUCGGUAUCUGCAAGAGCUGAGAAUUACUAAGGCAAAGAAAACCUAAGGUCUAGAGAGUUCAAUUAUAGAGUAAAAAAGGUUGAAAAGUUUUAGCCACAGAAGGAACUGCCACGACGCAAAAUAGGACCGCCUUCUAAGCCAUAUUAUUCCAAUUUCUGGAGAGCCACCAACAAAUAGUUCAAAUUAGAAUUGUGGGAAACCAAAACAGAACAGUGGAGACGAGAGAGUAAAAGAGAGGGAGUGAUAAUUAUCCAAACGCAAAGCAGCAAGAUGUGUCUCUCCGCUAAGCCAUAUAAUUCCAAUUUCUGGAGAGCCAACAUAUCCAAAUAUAUAUCCUGCGGCCCAGACUUCCUAAAUAUAUCCUGCAACUGAUACACGCAGAAGACCAGCACAGGGAUCAAGAGUACAAACAACAAAUCGAUCCAGAGAGAGAGAUAGACCGCAAACCAAAUGAUUUAACAGAUUCCGACUCACAACCAACAUGGUUUGGGCUCAAUCUGCAACCACCAAAGGGAGGGUAGAAAGAAAAACAUAAAUUAAAGACAUAAACAAGUAGCUACGUGAAACAAAAGAUAAGAGGUGGGUUAAAAUAGUCUUUUUCAUUGUAGGAUGUUCCAUUAGUUUGAUUCUCCUUUGUUGAACCUUUGCAGAUAUGUAUUCAAAAUAUUUCCUGGUAAGAUAAUUUUAAACGUUAUCUAAGUUAUGAUGACUUGAGGAAAUAGUAGAUUUAGAAGAACUGCAAACAGAUUCAACUCAGCACCAGGUUGGACUUGAGUUCAUCAACUACGACCUGCAACGAGGAAGAUGCCUUUCUAUAAGUUAAGAGGAAAACUAGGCUCCGCUAAAGCAUGCAUCAAAUGCUGAGGUGAAGGGUAAGUAAGCCUGUCUCGGCCGCGAAGGUCAGAUAGACAACACUGGUUCCAAUUAUUUUGCUUCCAAGCCAGCAUCUGCAAGAGCUAAGAAUUACCAACCAAGGCAAAGAAACAAAUGUCUAGAAAGUUCAAUUAUCAACGGAGGACAAAAGGCCAGAUAUGUUGGGCCACAGAAAGAACCGCCAUGCUGAGGAAACAUAGGAUCACCCGCUAAGCUGUAUAAUUCCAAUAUCUGGAGAACCAGCAACAAAUCUAAAUCAGAAUUGUUGGACAACUAAUUGAGCUGAGAAGAAAUUAAGAAGAGAGUAAUGAUCAUCCAAACGCAGGUCAGCAAGAAGAUAGGUCGCUCCCGCUAAGCCAUAUAAUCCCAAUUUCUGGACAACCAGCAAGAGAUCCAAAUCAGAACUGUGGGGGACUAAAGUUGAAUUGUGGAGAAUGAAUUAAAUAGAGGGGUUCAUAAUCAUCCAAACACUGAUCAACAAGAAGAUAGGUUGCUCCUGCUAAACGCCCAAUUUCUGGAGAACCACAAACGAAUUCAGAACUGCCAAUGACUAAAUUGUACUGUGCAAACCAAAUAAAUUGAAUUGGGAUGAAAUUCAUUAUCCAAAUGCAGAUCACAAGUUUCAGGUUGGCAAGAGAUCCUAAGCUUCAUUAUCCAAUCAAUCAAAACGACGAACAGAAGCCAAACCUCCACCCUAUGAUUCAUCUGUGCAGAACUACUACACUCCUGCAUCUGCUGCAAGCAAAGGAGCACAAACACACACCAAAAGUGCGAUCAGCUGCUACAAUAAGAAUGCACCAGGACCUCUAAUCCACCUCAUAUUAGCUGAUGAUGCGUGAUGAGAACCAGAAGACAACACCGUCGAUAGCCAUUCAAAUCUGACCUGCUCAAAUCCCCUUCGACAUACAACACCACAGAGAUCUCCACAUUCCAGAUCCAAUCCUGCAACCAAUGUGUGGAGGAACACAACUAAACCAAACAAACCGUUGAUAGAACACUGACCUGACUCACUGUACAGAGAUUUGCCUUCCUAAAUAUGGCCUGCAGUCGACAGGAUAAGAGUACAGAUAACGAAUUGAAACGCAUAGAGAUAGAUUGCAAACCAAACGAUUUUAACAGAUUUCGACUGACUACCAGCACUCUCUGGGCUAAAAUAAAUCUGCAACCACAGGGGCAGAAGCAAAAAAGCCUAAAUCAAAGGCAUGAAGAAGUAGCUACAUGAUAUAAAAAAAAGAGGCAAGAGUUAAAAAUGGAGGAGUCUCUUUUUUGUUUGUAGGUUUUGCCAAGUUUGAAGCUCCAUUCGUGCACCUUUGAGAUAAAUCUGAAUUCAAAAUAUUGCCUAGUGAGAAGAUCUUAAAGGUUAUCUAAGUAUAAUGAUGAAUUGAUUAGAAAAAACUGCAAACAGAUUCAACUCAGCAUCAGGUUGGACUUUGCAUUCGUCAAACCUGCAACGAGCAAGAUAUGCCUCCGUAAAUUAUUGGAAAACUAGGCUCAACUAAAGUAUGCUUCAAACGAGGAGGUAAAAGUUAUAAGGAAGUUUGGGCUGAGAAGGUCAGGUAGACAGCACCGAUUCCAAUUAUAUCCCUUCCAAGAUGGUCACUGUUUCUGCAAGAGCUGAGAAUGACAAACUAAGGCAGAGAAACUUGUCUGGUGUUUUCUAAUUAUGUUAUUAAUAGAGUAAGAAAAUGUUUGAGCCACAGAAGAACCGCCGUGCCGAGGGAAAACUGGACCACCCGCUAAGCCGUAUAAUUCCAACUUCCGUUGUACCAGCAACAAAUCCAAAAUCCAAAUCAGAAUUGCGUGGAGACUAACUGAAGUGGAGAGAAGGAAAUAAACAGAGUGUAAUGAUUAUCCAAACACAGGUCAUGAAGGAUUAAAGUCGCUCCCGGUAAGCCGUAUAAUCCCAAUUUCUGGACAAUCAUCAACAACAGAUCUAAAUCAGAACGGACUAAAAUUGAGCCAUGUAGAUGAAGGAAUUAAACAGAGGGGGUAAUAAUAUAAUAAUCAUCCAAACACAAGUCAAGAUAGGCCGCUCCCUCCCCCUAUGCCUUGUAAUCCAAUAUCUGGAGAAGCACCAACAAACGGGAAUCAGAAUUGCCGUUGACUAAUGUGCGAACCGAGAAACUAAACUGGGAGGGAUUUAGUAUUUAUUAUCCAAACGCGGAUCGUAGGUUGCAGGUUGGCAAGAGACCCUAAGCUUCAUCACCCAAAAGAUCUGACCAUGUCAUCAGAAUAAACAACCGGUGAACUGUAACCAACCAACCAGUCAGAAUAAUCAUGAACAGAAAUCAAACCUCCACCAACUCCACGAGGGCCUUGAUUAAUCCACCUCGUACCAACGAAUUAUUUGGCGGAAUAAACCACAGCGGUCGGGGAACCAGAAGAUCACGCGGGCCAUAUCCAUUUGAUUUGAAAGCUGGAAUAUAUCACGGACGAACGCAGGGGAUGGAACCAAGGAAGCGAUCUGAGAGAGCACGGGAAACUGACCUUGCCUCGGCCUCCGGCUCCACAAUCAGAGCUCCAAUUCCAAAAACCAGGCUCGACGAUCCUGCAACCAACGCGCGCGGAUGCGAACACGAAUACGAGGAACACAGGAUCCACGGUUGCAAGCAAACAGAAGCGGACACGCGAAACAGACUCUGAGAUAGACUCGCAAACCAGAUGAAUGAAUCCCCCGACCCAUCGCUUCCCGGGCUCGCACGGAGGCGGACGAGACGGGCCGGAUUGGAAUGCCCUGCGAGCACAUCAAGGCAACGGCGACGGCGAGUGAAUGAAAUCAAAUCAAACGCGAUUCGAAACGAAUCGGGAAUUGAUGGACAAGGGGUAGGAGACGGUCGCGGAGACGCGAGAAGAUGGCUCGCUCAGGCGAUCGAGGCCGGAGGCGCGGCCGGAACGAAAGCUCCGGAGGAGAAGAGAGGAGGGCAGAGCGCGGGGUGGAGGGGGCGCGCCUGGGGCGCCUUUUGUAGCCGGCGCAGAGGCGGUGCGGGAGGGGGAGGCGGCCUGGCGCUGGCGCCAACCGGUUCCUUACCGGACCGGACACGGCUUCGCCUCGCUGAUUAGGCAAGGGAUUAAUCAGGCUUUCUGGUCACAGGUGGGCGGCGGAAAUCAAACGGGAGUGGACCUGGUGAGAUCCGGACCGGGUUUGGUUCGGGUGGGCGGGUGGCUGGCAGGUCGGCAAAGCAUCGGGUUGGGACGUGGGCCACACCGACGGAACGCGGAAUUUCUAGGCUGCUCGCUGCUCGGGGGUUGCGACGGGCCAUGUGAUGUGAGGCUGACCGUGUCCGCGAGUGCGAGCCGCGACGAACAGGUCCGUGGAUGGGAUGAGAACGUGGAACAGGCGGUGCCGUGGAUGGGAACGUGGUCCGCGGAAAUAUCUGCCGUGUUUACACAAUCAACGUGCUCGCUAGCUUUUUUAUUUUUUAUUUUUGGAAAAUGAUAAAAAAACAAACGUCUGAUUUUUGAAGUUUCAGCCCUAAGCAACUCCAACCUGCCGACCCAAACGGACGGUGCUUUUACCCGCUUUUCCUUUAUUUGGGUCGGUCUGCCGGACACCCAUGUCCGCUUUCGCUUUGGGGUCGGCGCUUACGCCCAACACUGUCCCGACCCAUUUUUGAGCCGGCGCGAAAAAAAACCGCGUUCGCAAACAUUUAAAAAAUAAAAACGUUAAUUAAACAUUAAUGUCGGCUACAAAGGUCGAUGAGAAUUAAAUAAAACUACAAACUACUAGGAAGUGCGCUGCCCUAAAAGGCCUCGUCGUCAUCGUCGAGCCUGGUGAGGUCGAUGAGCGUCGGCGUCGGGCCACCCAACGGGAACGUCGUCGACCAGGACAUCGUCCGCCGCCGGCUGGGCUGGCCCACCGCGGGCAAGACAUACCUCCUCCUCCGCCUCGCGGCGCUUCUCCUUCGCGUCGCGCUCCAGCUGCUCGAGGUACUCGCCCUCGCGACGCUCCUCAGCCAGCCUUUGCUGCCGCCAUUGCUCGAGGUACGUCUGCUCCCGCGCAGGGGGCGCCCCCAACCAGACCGGUGGCGCGCUGACCCACUUGCGCACCACCCCAGUCCAUGAGUAGUGCUCGAUGGGGGUCGGCAUCGGCUCGGCCUUGACGGGGGACAACGCCCUCAAAGGCGGCAGGACCCAGUCGCCGGCCACGGAGAGUGCCACGGCCUCCGCAAUGCGUGCCUGGUACGCCUCCUCCUCCUCCCCCUUGCGCCGCUCCUCCUCGCUUUCAUAGAGGACUGCCGCCAGCGUCGCCUAGUAGGCGGCCUCCGCCUCAUGGUCCUCGUCAUGCUCGACGAGGGCCGGCGGCGGGGAGCCAUGCCGCACGUCGCGGACACCGCGCCUCCUAGCCUCUCAUGCUCGAACGCGAACCAGUGCUCCCAAGUGGGAGAGUCGAACACGUAGGUGGGGGCACGAUGCUGCUCCGGCGUCAGCAGCUGCCACCGGGGUCGAAUCUCCUCCGCGUGCGCCCGCGCCAACCGCGACGCCGCCGCCGGCACUGGGAACCUCCUCCAUCGUGCGCCUGUGUCAGUCGUCUGGCAGCUUCACAUCGGGGUAGGGAAGGGGGGACGCGGUGCUUCCAGUGCCACUUCGCCUGGUGCACUGGCACAUUGAUGCGCUGCCGCGCCCAGCGAGAAGACGCCAACGGGGGAAACAGGUGGCGGGGGGCUUUCCCUUGCCCUUGCCGGAGAAGAAGCCCAUCACGGUGGCUAGGGUUUGUCGCUGACGAGGGAGCAAAGUGGGUUGUUGAGAUGGGGACGGGGGCCUCCGGAAGCGGAUGAGGACGGUUCACGACCGCAGGCUCGGGAUUAAAAAAGGUCGACCGCUGUCACUGGCGCGUGGGCCCGCGGUGGGUGCUUGUCAUUAAUAAAGACGACCGCGAUAGCUAAACGGCCGCCAGGUGGGAACACAGCGGACACCGAGAGGGCGUGCGGCGUGUCCACGUCGACGCAUUUCAUCCGCGAAUGGGUCCGCACAGACGCGAAGCGGACGCGUUUUGGGAAUGCAUCAGCGUGUUGGGCCAGCACAUUUCUCCACGGCGACCCAAACAGACGGUGGCGGGCAAAAUGGGUACCUGCGUUGGAGUUGCUCUAACAUUGUAAGGACCGUUGAAUUGUAGUACGAAUCUUGAAGCAAGAACGAUCAGCCACGUCAGCGAAGGAUAUUGUCGGUGUCAAAACCGACGGAUCUCGGGUAGGGGGUCCUGAACUGUGCGUCUAAGGUCGAUGGUAACAGGAGACGGGGGACACGAUGUUUACCCAAGUUCGGGCCCUCUCUAUGGAGGUAAUACCCUACUUCCUGCUUGAUUGAUCUUGAUGAAUAUGAGUAUUACAAGAGUUGAUCUACCACAAGAUCGUAAUGGCUAAAACCCUAGAAGUCUAGCCUAUGGGAUUAUGAUUGUGUCCUAUGGACUAAACCCUCUGGUUUAUAUAGAAACUGGAGGGGGCUAGGGUUGUACAAGGUCGGUUACAGAGAAAGGAAUCUACAUGUCGAAUCAUCAAGCUUGCCUUCCACGCAAAGGAGAGUCCCAUCCGGACACGGGAAGAAGUCUUCUGUCUUGUAUCUUCAUAGCCCAACAGUCCGGCCCAUGUAUAUAGUCCGUCCGUCCGAGGACCCCUUAAUCCAGAACUCCCUCAGUAGCCCCUGAACCAGGCUUCAAUGACGAUGAGUCCGGUGCGCAAAUUGUCUUCGGCAUUGCAAGGCGGGUUCCUUCUCCGAAUACUUCAAAGUAGACUUCGAACACAAGAAUCGUGUCCGGCUCUGCAAAACAAGUAGCACACACAACCGUAGAGAGUAUAAUAUUUCACGGGCCCAAUCCGCUGACAACUUUUCGUAGCGUGACAUCACGUCACCGCCCGGUCAUUAUACGAACUGUUUUUUUAGCCUGCCGCUUCAUAUUUUGAGGUGCAGUUUUAUUGGCCCAUCUUGUCAAAGCAGAGAUUGUAUCCUCUUAUUACGGGAUUCUCAUCAAUACGGGUGUUGGUAACCCAACCAUUCCGUUGGCAUGAUUCCUUGGGAAUAGGCAUGUUUUAAGGCCUAGGAGGGACGUCUGAUAUUCAUUGCCCUUAUAAAGGAGUGGAGACUCGUCCUUCUUCCUUUACGCCAAGUCCUUUCAACCUUUCCCAUCUCGAGUUCUAGCACCCAAAGCACAAUCUAAUCACUUCGCGCUUCAUGAUCAUGUCUGGCCCCAACCGUCAAGGCUGGUGGGUGGCUUCCUCUGUCACAAAGGAGGAUAUCGCGAAGCUCUGGGAGGCAAGAUACCUGACUACGGAAAUCCUCCACAUGCUUCCUGCUCAAGGGCAGGUUAUUCCCACUCCCAGAUCUAAUGAGAGGGUUGUAUUCAUCUCCCACUUCCUCCGAGGGUAGGAUUUUCUCUUCAUCCCUUCGUCCGAGGGCUCAUGUUCUAUUACGGAUUAGAUUUUCAUGAUCUAGCCCCAGACUCUUUCCUUCAUAUCUCGUCGUUCAUUAUCGUAUGGGAAGCCUUCCUCCGUAUUCCCCCACACUUUGGCUUGUGGCUCAAGACCUUUAAUGUGAAGCCGAAGGUAAUCAAUGGGAAACAGGCGGAGUGCGGUGGUGCUGUGGUGAGCAAGCUCGCCAAUACUACUUGGCCAAAGGGCUCCUUCAUGGAAACUUCCGACCUGUGGCAGCAUGAGUGGUUCUACAUCACCGAACCCCGUGGUACCAGGUGGGCAGCUACUCCUACAUUCCGAUCUGGCCCUCCGUUAUAGCUCGUGUCAUGGAUUAAUAAGGGGCCGGACUGGGGAUCCAUCAAUGAAGUGUAGACGCUACAAAGCCGCAUUCGGAGCCUUAUUGAGAAGGACACCGGUCUCAUCAACGUAAUCCAAGUAAUGCUAGUCCGACGAGUCCUACCGUGCCAGCGACGGCCUCUCCGCAUGUGGGAGUUUAAUCUGGAAGGACCACGAACCAUUCAGCACCUCUCCGGCGCAACGCUCAGAGGAAUGUAGAAAUCAUUCUUCGGGACUCGAAAACAGUGGCCAUGUACUACAGAGGACAUCAGCCUUGACUGCAACCAUCCGGAUACAUCGGUAAGUACUCAACUUCCGAACACUGUUUAGUCAAAUUCCCCAUGACAACAUACUGAGAAAAUAGUAUUCGGUCAGGGCUGGAUAAAGAAAGCGGAGAGGAUUAGGUGUUCGGCACAUCUUCCCGAAGACUCAGCCGAUCCGGUGUUAACAAGGAUGCUGGCUCCAGCGCCCUACCAAGUGUCGGCGAGGGAAGACGAAGAGGAGAAUGAGGAGGCCCAAGGCGGCCUUCAUUCUAAAGGCUCGCCAGGCCCUUUGUCCAGGGAGAUUGGAACUUCCACCUCCAAAGGUAGAAAAGAAGGGCAAACUGACCUCCCUUCUCCUCAUGGGAAGAAAAGGACCGCCUCCAAAGACAUGAAGAGAGAGGCUUCUAAGCGGGAGAAGAUAUCCCGGUCAGGGGGUUCUGGUUCGGGGGGUGACGUUGACAUGCAAUCUUUCCAUAAAGAUAGGCCCUUAGUUGAAUCGUAAGUGAACAAGGGUGUUUUAAACAUACCCCGUUUAUUUUCUUGGCUGUAAGGGUAACAUUUAAAAUGUAUGUUUACAGUCCGGCACGCCGCUUUCCUCAACAGUCCUCCUCUUCGGGGGAUCUUCUUUCGGAGAUGACGGAGAGUGAGACGCCUCCACAGAUCUCCCCGCCUGAUAAGGCGGACGGCGUCGAGGUGUCGUUCGGGAGGCCGGAGGAUCUCUCCCGAUCAACAAGCAGUGCGAGGGACAAUGAAGACCGGGCCCAAAGGUGACACUUCGACCGCCCGGGAUCCGAGGUAUACGGCCCUCACGGGGACCAACAACAAAAGUCCUGGACUAUCAAAGUUCCGAGGGACGACACAACCUGUUCCGGUCUGGAGGCGCCGGAUACAUUGAUGGACAUAUUGCAACAUGCGUCCUUCUUAGAGGAACAUCGUACCUUGAUGGGUACGGUGGUUGAGAGAGUUCGAUCCGCGAAAAGCGAAUUGAAUGAAGCCUUUACGAGCCUACUAAGAGGUUUCGAGGUACGUAAUGUAAUAUUUUUAAUUGUGUUACAAACGCAAAAUGUGCCUGUGUAUAGAUAGUAGCCCCUGAGACUCUGGUUGACGUCCAAAGGGAGGCGAUCAGAGGAUCAAGAAAUAGAUGCCCAUGAAAUGAUCUGACUAAUUGAAACACAUGAUUUUACAUCCGUGGCGACUACCCGAGCGACAGAGAUUGAACAUCCGAAGCAGAAAGUUGAUGUGGCGGAUGUUGACAUCACGCUUAUGAACAGACGGCUCGACAAGGCGCAAGGUAUGUCCUUGAGGCACUCAGUAUAUGCAAUCAUUAUGAGAUGAGCAUGAUGCUGAGAAAUUGUAUACUGAAAUAUGCAUAACUGCAGAUAGUGCCGCCAAAGUUGAGACCCUUUGAGCUGAGCUUGCCCGGGCCAAGGAGCAGUCUAGGAUGGGUAAUGCGGCUGCCGAAAAGGCAGCCACUGAGUUAAAGGCCGAGCAGGCUGCUCGGCGCCAGUGUGAGGAGAUAAUUUCUACUAUGGCGCUUGAGCUAAAGGAUGCCGCUAGCCGAUGCCAAUUUCUUGAGGAAGAUAACAAAGCCAAAACGACCGAUCUUGACAAGGCCUUACAAGAGGCGAGGGAAGCCUGGUCUGAGUCUAGAGCAGCUCGGGAGGAGAUCCGACAAGCUGGGGAGAUCGCGGCUGGUAAGCCCUUCUUAUUACAAACUAAGUUUUGCGAUCCGAAGUAUGCCCCGCUUAAUCAAAUGUGGAGUUCUCCAGAUGCAUUUUUGGACUUGCCAAAGAGUGUUGCCGAUGCAACUCAGUUUUUCCACGCGCAAGAAGGGCAUGCAACGGAAAAGCUAUUCUGGUCGCAAUUCAACAUGCCAAAGCGUCCGUUGUUGAAUGAACAGAUGGCCCAAUGGGCCGAGCUCUACAAGAUGUCCAGAUCUGCCAUGAAGGAUGUCGUAGUCUGGCUAUGGCCGACUGAGCCAAUUCUGAAUAGUUAUUUCGGUUUGGUGCGACGGCUUAUUGAUGCGGCGCCGCGUAUCGAUGCUGUUAAGCGGUCAACAUGGAUAGAAGGUGCAUGGAUGGCCCUUGCCCAUGUGAAGGCAUAUUGGGCGAAGAUGAAGGCCACCGAUAUUGCAGCGUAGAGUCCACCCGAAGGCAAGGACCCUACCGCGCCAGAACAUUACUUUGAAGAUGUCCUAGAAGGUGCCCGCUUGAUAGAGGGUCAGUGCUCAAAAGAUAUUAUGUUCGAGUGAAGUGUACUGAAAUUUUGAAAACAAUGUUGUUUUUAAGGCUAUGUUUUUAUACUUUUGCCCGAAAAGUUUUGGUGCCACAUGUGCGGCCGUUUUUUAUAUAUAUAAUCUGAAAGUUUGCCAGUCGUCGGCUUCAGCCCCCUCGCGUAUAACACGGGGUGUUUGGAAAAGCACUUGAUCACACUUGACCCAACGUCUUGGUCCGUUAAGGAGGUGUCAGUGCGGCGAACCAGACAAUCGGACUAUAGGGCCUUAACACUUUCACUUAGCCAUAGGAGUUUGAUGGUGGGUCUACGAUAUAGCCUCUGAUAUGUACGCGUUUAUCCGAAUACGGUGCGCUUGCAUACGUGACCAGAAGAACGGUCCUUCGUUUAAUACGGAGGGAAUCGGGAAGAUUCCGAUGAGUCAUCGAGUGGUUGACCAGCUCUCGCCGCAUCAUGACAGUCAGUUUUCGGCUUUCUCUACUGAGGUGCUCAUCCAGACGAACCAGGACACAAUCGCAGUAGUUCUCCCUUUACUACCUUAGCCGAUAGAGCGGAACGUAAGGUAGCAAGAACAGGAGCCGGGCAACCCAACUAUUGACCAAAUACAUGAUUCGGAGCUGAUGCAUAUAAGGCCAAACUCGUGACGCCGAACACUCCCUAUAGGUGUUUGGACUUUUUGAAGUAUACCGGGCUGAAUACAGCCCCUGGUAAUGAACCCUGGUGUCAAGGCACGUGUGGCAAUCUGAUAUGGGGGGAGAACGCAGGUGGUGAGAGAAUAAAACUCCGGACAUGAUAUUGACCAAGCUGCUUCUAUAGUAUCCCUUUAUAGUACGGCGAGCUGUGUGCUUACAGAUAAUGCCGAUAACUCCUUAGGACAUUGUACAAGCCCGGAAAGCAUAAAACAAAAAGAGAUAAAAAAGGUUUACACAGGAUCUUAAUCUACAAAGAAACCUUAGUACGGGGCCUUGCUGCACGUCUACGUUGUUUUCUCCUUUGUGAUGUGUCCUUGAAGGGGGUGGUGUCACUACCAAAAAACAAACAUCCCUGACAUUUUGGGCCGAACGAAAAAAACAUAUGUCAUACAUAUGACACUUCUAUGACGAUAAUUGUGACAAAACCCGGUAUCAUCAUAGAUGUGGUGGGCUCCUACUUCUAUGACAAAAAAUCAUGAUAGAAAAUGGGCUUUUUGUCCUGGGCGGGCCAGAGACGCAGCUGCAUGACAUUCUUUGGGCCAUCCAUGACGGAAAAAACCGUGGUAGAAGCGAGGGCGAGGAAAAUUUCAGGGAGUUCCCGGUUACGGUGGGCGGUCGGGGGCCGAGCGAUGCGCGUUUCUCUCGUACACGUACGCGUGUGUGCGCGAGGUGUUGGCUCUAAUUGAACCCGAGCGAGGCGUUGGGCUCUAACUAAACCCGAGCGAUUGCACUGUAGGCUACACGUUACUAAACCCGAGCAAUCGAUCGAUGGCUGUUAACUGAACCCAAUCGAGAGAUUCCUUUGCUACUGCUGCUAACUGAAGCUGAUCGAUGCUGCCUCUCUGGAUGAACAGUGAGCAUUGCAGGGGGGUUGGAUGAACAGUGAGUGGUGGCAUUGCCUCUAGAUGAAUAGGACCCCGUGGUGUGGAGGGCUGGAUGAACAGGACGACCCCGUGGAGGGCUGAAUGAACAGUAGAUGGUGGAGGGGUGCCCGUGGAGGGGUGGUUGAACAGUAGCCGGUGGAGUAGCGUGCGGUGGAGGCUGGAUGAACAGGAGCCCGUGGAGGCUGGAGGAGGUCGACGGUAGCCCGUGGAGGCUGGAGGAGGUCGACGGUGGAGAUGAACAGUAUCCCGUGGAGUCCCGUUUUGCGGUACGCCACACCCCUCUCGAUGAACAGGACCCCCGUUUCGACCGUAGCGCUCCAACACAAGUCCGUUUCGUCCGUUUUGCGGUACGCCGCACCCCUCCCGAUCGACAGGACCCCCAUUUCGACCGUAGGAGGUCCGUUUCGUUCGUUUUGCGGUAUGCCACACCCCUCCCGAUCAACAGGACCCCCGUUUCGACCGUAGGAGGUCCGUUUCCUCCGUUUUGCGGUAUGCCAGACCCCUCCCGAUGAACAGGAUCCCAUUUCGAACGUGGCCGGUCGAACACAAGGCUGUUUCCUCCGUUCUGCGGUAUGCCAAGCCUCGUUUCCAUCGCCUGUUCCGUCCAAGCCCUCCCGAUGAACACGACGAUGCAUUCCGUUCCGACCCAGCCGGUUGGCUCCCCAUGAACACGACGACAACACUGUUUCUCCAUUCCGACCCAGCCAUGUACACGAGCCCUGACCGUACGUAUGCGCAAGUAGGCGUUCGAGACCCCGCCCGUAUGUACACAUACGUGGCCGUAUUUUCUUUCUUGCACACUGGCUGCUGUACGUACGUGUACAUGCUACAUGCGCGCCUCUACUACGACACGUACGCACCUCUACUACGACACGUGUGCGCCUCUACAUUGACCAGUAUAUAUGUAUGUACACGUUCGCGACCAGAAUGAAAAUGCUACAUAUGCUUCGACCAGGUGGGUCCCGACUGUCAGGCACUUCCUUGCGUCCGAAGAUGUAGCUGGUGGGUCCCAGCAGUCAGGGGGGCGAAUCAUUUUGGUUUUUUUGCUCAGACGCACUUCCUUGCGUGCGAAGGUGUAGCUGGUGGGUCCCAGCAGUGAGGGGGGAAACAUUUUUUUCGCGAAAUACGGUGGCCCGUCCGGUGGGUCCCCGCUGUCAGGUGGAGGAAUAAUUAUUUUGCGCGUAAUAAGGAGGCACUUCCUUGCGGCCGCCGUGGACCCAGCUGUCAGCCUCUCCACGCACAAUACUCUUCCAAUGGAAGUCGGUCGUUGACCACAUUGACCACGCCGCGCCGAGAGCACCACGAUGGUGGACGAUGGCGAGGCCUAGGAAGGGGAUGACGCGGAACCGGGGAAGACGCGGCAGUGGAUGCCCACACAAAGAGGAGUACGAGGGUUCACUGGUUCGGCUGCGGUGUGAGGCUGCCGUCCCCGCAGAAUAACAAGGGGUGCGGGUGAGUAGAGGGAUGUCCUGGCUAGCGGUGGGAGUAGUAGGGGGCGGUGAGGCCUCCGCGGUAUCACAACCGACCACGGGAGGCAGGAGCAUGCGGCAUGACCGGCGCUGCUUUGGGCGGCUAGAGAACGAAGACCAGAGGUUGAAGAAGCACUACGGCCGUUGGAUGGACAUCGUACGGUCACUGGAGUAUUGACUAAGUUGACAAAGCCCUUCGUCCCCGUCAACUUAGUAGGCCCACAAGUCAGCCUGCCACUAUACUGGGUCCCAGCUAGCAGGGGGGUAUUCUUUUUUUUUGCGUAAUAAGGAGGCACUUCCUUGCGUGCGAAGAUAUAGCUGGUGGGUCCAAGCUGUCAGCGGCGGUAACGUUUUUUUGGUGGGUCCCAGAUUUCAGGUGGAGGAAUCAUUAUUUUGCGCGUAAUAAGGAGGCAUUUCCUUACGUGCGGCCGUGGACCCAGCUGUCAGCCUCUCCACGUACAGUCCACUUCAGAUGCAUGUCGGUCGUUGACCAUGUUGACCAGGCCGUGCUGAGAGUACCAGGGCGGUGGACGACAACGAGGCCUAGGAAGGGAACGACACGGAGGCAGGGAAGAGUCGGCAGUUGUUUCCCACGCGGAGGGGAGUACGACUGUACGAGGGUUUACUGGUUCAUCUGUCAUCGCCGGAGAAUAACAGCAAGUGUGGGUGAGUAGAGGGAUGGCUAGGCCAGCGAUGGGAGUACGGUGGGGCGGUGAGGCCUGUGCGGCAGCACAGCCGGCCGCGGGGAGGAGGGAGCAGGUAGUCCCGCCAGUGCUUGUUUGAGCGGCUGGAGCAGGAAGAGCAGAGAUUGAAGAAGCACGACGGCCGUUGGAUGGAAAUCCAACGGUCACUGCUUGUGCGUCAACCUUUUUUUAGGAAAGCCUCAAAUCUGUGGAAAACAGCAUACAACCCAUUUGCCACUAUUUCUAAUAAUUUACAGCCCAUUUGCUAAUUCUUAAGGUUUUUUUGGAGCCCAUAUUCUUUUUGUUAGCAUUACAGCCCAUAUUGUGGCCACGGUUAAAAAAUUAUAUGAAAUUUUGCAUAUUUCAGUGUGGUCCGAACUGUUUUUACUCUCGAAAUUUCGAGUCAUAUUCAAAAUGAUUUCAAAAGUUAAUGUAUAUCAAUAUAAAAUCCAACAAGUUGUCCAUGCAUAAAAAUAAAUGCAAUUUAAAAUCUUGAAAUGAAAAAGAGAUAUUUGAAACUAAUUGCCGGUUUGAUGUGUUUUAAAAAUGUACAACCCAUUUCUCAUUACUGAUAGGCCAUUUUCUCGGCCAGCCGAAUGAAGCUCUCCUCGUCUUGAAAGAUUUGCAGCCCAACAGGCCUGACAAACUGACUUACUAGGCAAAUCACAAAAAACUGGGUUGUGGCGAUGGACCCAACUGUCAGCCUCUCCACGUACAGUACUCUUCCGAUGGAAGUCGAUCAUUGACCACAUUGACCACGCCGCGCCGAGAGCACCAAGGCGGUGGACGACAGUGAGGCCUAGGAAGGGGACGAUGCGGGGCCGGGGAAGACGCGGCAGUGGAUGCCCACGCGGAGAGGAGUACGAGAGUUCACUGGUUCGGCUGCAGCGUCAGGCUGUCGUCACCGUAGAAUAACAGGGGGUGUGGAUGAGUAAAGGGAUGCCCUGGGCCAACGGUGGGGGUAGUAGGGGGCGGUGAGGCCUCCACGGCAUCACACCGGCCACGAGAGGCAGGAGCACGCGGCACGACUGGCGCUGCUUUGGGCGGCUGGAGCAAGAUGACCAGAGGUUGUAGAAGCACUAUGGCCGUUGGAUGGACAUCGUACGGUGACUGGAGCUAGAAUCGUUCAUAUUGACUAAGUUGACAAAGCCCUCCAUCCUCGUCAACUUAGUAGGCCCACAAGUCAGCCACCCACUAUGGUGGGUCCCAGCUAGCAGGGGGUAUUCUUUUUUUGUGCGUAAUAAGGAGGCACUUCCUUGCGUGCGAAGAUAUAGCUGGUGGGUCCGACCUGUCAGCAGGGGGAACGUUUCUUUCGUGAAGUACAGAAGCCCUUCCCACAUACAGUCCACGUAUAGUGCGUAAUAAGGACGAACUUUCCUUGCGUGCGACCAUGGACCUCGUGGGUCCCAGCCGUCAGGCUCUCCACGUACAGUCCUCUUCCGAUGACUCUCGUAUGUUGACCACGCCGCGCUGAGCACACUGAGGCGGUGGUCGACAAUGAGGCCCCAGACUGGAAUGACCCGGAGAUGGGGAAGACGCAGCAGUGGAGUCGUAGACGGAGAGGAGUGGGAAACUUGACUGGUUCGGGUGCGGGGUGGGCCUACACUCGGCAGAGAAUAACAGGAGGUGCAGAGUGGAGGGAUGGCAUGGCCAUCAGCGGGGUAGCGUUUCGCUGAGGAGCGCAAAACAACGCCGCUGGAUGCCGAAGACUAGAGCAGGCGGUUCCGGCAAUGCUGCGGGAAGAAGACGAGAGAUUGAAGAAGAAUGUCGGCCAUUGGAUGUAAAUCCAAUGCCUUCUUAGGCUUCGACCUACUGGCCCACAUGUCAGCCAGUCCAUUUGUUUUUUAGUCCAUUUGGUGGACUGGGUGAAACAAUGAUGUAGCAUCUAUGCAGCCCGUUUAAAUCCCAUUUGCAUUUUUCUCAAAAUCCGCGGACUUGCUGGGCUGGGUGAAAAUAUCAUGUUGGGCUAGAUGAAGAAAUGUUAUAAAAACAUAAAAACAUGAUUGCACGUUAUUACUGCAUUGGUCAGUAAAAUAUUUGCAAGCUUAUGUACGCAAUCACUAGGAGUUAACUUGCCAAGUUAUAUAUAAACAAUUAUUAUUAUUAUUUUGUAAGAACUUUCAAUUUACAAAAUAAAAUAUCAUUUAAAUUUGAUGAGUUAAUAGUCCGUGGGGUAUUAUCAUUUUUAGGCUAGACGUGGGACAUUUGAGUUGGUUCUAAAACUCAGUUUACAUCGAAAAAGAAAGUGGGAGAAAAUUCAGAGACCUGUUGGGUCCACCUGAGGAGGGGAAUAUGUUGGGAGGAAGGAGAUUCAAAGCACGGAGGCCGAGUGAACUAGUUUUUUUUAACGGACAAGUGAACUAGUUACAUACAUAAGCAAAUAGCCACUAAAAAAAGCAAUGAGGUUAAUGGGUUCUUAAAAGAAAUAUUUCAGACAAAACAGAUAAUUACGACACAUAGGCUAAUGCAUGAAACACUCAGAUGAUAAAGGUGCUUAUAAACAGAUAAAAGUACAACAUCUAGACCUUUCUGGCACGCUUGAUCAUGACGUUGCGGUUGUCCGUGUACUCGUCGGUUACGGAAAGCAGACACACCCUCAUGUCCAAGAUCUGCCUGUACAUGUCGUAGCAUGUGUAUGCGUCCUUGGCCGCGUAGGUUAUGUAGGCUAUAUUCGGAGGUACCUCCCACAUGUUCAGGUCAUCUUCUUUCAUGUUGGCGUAUCAGGGGUCGAUGAUGGUCUCAGCGAGGUCAACCACUGAGUCCUUCUCCUGCCCGUUGCUGAUGAUCUUGUAUUGCUUCUAGAUGUCGACAAGCUUGUUGCACCAGAUGGACGAAUCGUCGCAUUCUUCCUUCUCUCCACCGUAGUGAAGAUGCAGUCAGCGCUGCCGAUGAAACGGGCGAAUGCUCCAGAACCUGGUGCAGCCAUAGGACUGAGGCGAGGCAGAGCUUCACCGAGUCCGUAUCGUUGGUGUACAUCACAUUCAACUUGGUGCAGCCAUAGGACUGAACGGCGAACUCAAAGGGGAACUCCUUGCUGAAGUCCAUAUCCAGUAGGCUCACCCCUCGGAUCGCCAUUGGAGUCUCUUCAAGUGAACAAAUGUGUAAGCGGCGGCAGCAGUUCGUUUUUCAGCUCUUGGGGAACUGGAUUCAACAGUAAGCUGAGUGUGUACAGGCGACACCGGUUACUACCCCUCCCUCAUCCGCUGCACGCCCGGUAGAAGAUGCACCCUCGGUGCAUUCAAACGCCUCCAUUAAGAAACCUACUCCGGCCACACGUCGGUUCACAAGCGGUCUGUAUUGGUACUAUAAUAACAGGAGUUAGUGGUCACUUUACUUAAAUUUAAUUAGCUUUAAUAGAAAUUUAUACUUAAAACAAGCAAUGCAUUGGCUCGUUCUAUCAGUGCCACAGGAUCAACAUCCACGACAAUUAGAAUUAUUAUUCUCAGGACACACACGAUCAACACAUUUGUCGCACUUUCACAAAGAUAAUACUACCAAAUUUGAAUUGUUUGCUAUGGUUGUUGUCCUCUGCAUCAUCAUGCCGUGUUUCCUAGCUUGCAAGAUUCAGAACCAACAAAUAAGAUCCAAAUAAUUACAACAAAGAUGCCUACACAUCUCAUUGAUUCCCAGCUUGCAAGAUUUAGAACCAACAAAUAAGAUCCAAAUAAUAAGUACAACAAAGAUGCCUACACAUCUCAUUGAUUCCCAGCUUGCAAGAUUCAGAACCAACAAAUAAGAUUCAAAUAAUAAGUACAACAAAGAUGCCUACACGUCUCAUUGAUUCCCAGCUUGCAAGAUUCAGAACCCAUUAGAGCCUUUUGAUAAAGUGAAUAUCGAGAUUAAAUCCAUCUUGGCUAGCCAUGUCAUACAAUCAAAGAACUUGGUGAAUGCUCUUGACCAUCACAACAUCUGUAGUUGAGUAUUCCUGUUUGCACAGCACAAACAAGGAGACAGGAGAGCAUGAUUUCACUUUAAUAGCGGCCUCCUUGAACUCAACCUGCAGCUCCACUAGGAUGAGGUCUACCUGGAGUUCCAUGAUUCAAUUCAUGCGCCUUUUUCUCCAGUUCACCUUAAAUGAAGCAAAGAUUGCAUCAUUCAGCUAGCAAGAAGUACUUGCUCUCGUGAGCUGGCAGGUUCUUCUUUAGUAGUUGCACUAAAAUUGAGGAACAUUAAGGUUGGCUGUCCGGCUCAUGUAAGGUGCAACUAUAAUUUUCUUAUCCUUUUGUGCAGUUCCACUAAAAUAAAGUCCCAUUGUGGUGACCGUGAUGGCUCCAUCUUGCAAAGGCUAAUAAAAUGUUGCACGAGAUUACCAACAGAACUUGACGAAGAUUUUGGAAACUCCAAUCACCAUUUUGUGCAGUUCCACCAAAAUUAAGAGAUGUUGCCCAUGUGACAUUUUAGUUGAACUGCACAAGACACGCAUUCCAAAAAAAAGUGUUUUGUGCAGUUCACCAAAAAGAUUACAAAUAGCAACAAGGUGAAAUGGAUAUCCCUAUCUGCACAAAAAGAUAGAAAGUAAACAGUUGUUGGUCAAUAAGAAUAUAUGAAACAUAUACAUAAUGAAAAUAAGCAUCUUAAUUAUGUUAAUGGCAAUCACGCAAGGACAGUAGAAAUUUUAAAACGUCAGCAAUGCUUCAUGUUACCAGAAGCAUUACGAUCAACAAUGAGAUUCCUCAAAUAUGGGAUUACUUUAAUGCUGGCAUUGCUUGUUUAACAGACAUAGUAAAUCAAUAGCAUCUAAAGAGUUGGUUUAAGGGCAUGGGACCGUGGGGACACCAAGACACUCAGCAGCGUAAAGGAGCAACUUACUUAGGGCCUGUUUGGUUCCAAAUAAGUCACCAACUUAUAAGUCAAAAAGUGAAAAAAGUGACUUAUUUUGCCAAACAGACCCGACUUAUAAGUCACCCCAACUUAUACAUCAUAAGUUGUUCCACCCCAACUUAAAACUUAUAAGUCACCCCCUUUUGCGUGGGUCCGACCACCUGCAUGAUGUUGAUUGGUGUGGGAAGGUGUGUCAGGUGACUUAUAAGUCAGGUGACAACCAAACAGGCAUGACUUAUAAGUCACUGGUUUUAAGUCACCUGACUUAUAAGUCAGGUGACUUACUGGAACCAAACAGGCCCUUAUCAUACUGGGGAAAACAGCAGGAGUGCCAUUUGUAACACAGUUUAAUUGCAUCUUAUCACUGGAGGCAUUAGAUUAACAAUAACACUGGUUAGACAUGUCCCUAAGGUAAUAGUGUGAUCGCCUCAUUUUACAUGCGCCCUUACAUUAACAACAGCAAAAGGUUGGUAUACGGACAUGCGACAGUGGAUGCAUCAGCACAAUGUACCUACAAGGAGGCAUAAAGUGGUGAUGCCGAGUUUGUUCAUGCUAUGUGAGGGCAGCAAACCUAAUCCUGGAGACCUUGUACUAUGUGAGGGCAGCAAAUCUAAUCCUGGAGACCUUUUACUAUGUGAGGGCAGCAAAUCUAAUCCUGGAGACCUUUUACUAUGUGAGGGCAGCAAAUCUAAUCCUGGAGACCUUUUACUAUGUGAGGGCANNNNNNNNNNNNNNNNNNNNNNNNNNNNNNNNNNNNNNNNNNNNNNNNNNNNNNNNNNNNNNNNNNNNNNNNNNNNNNNNNNNNNNNNNNNNNNNNNNNNNNNNNNNNNNNNNNNNNNNNNNNNNNNNNNNNNNNNNNNNNNNNNNNNNNNNNNNNNUGUGAGGGCAGCAAAUCUAAUCCUGGAGACCUUUUACUAUGUGAGGGAAGCAAAUCUAAUCCUGAGACCUUUUACUAUGUGAGGGUAGCAAAUCUAAUCCUGAGACCUUUUACUAUGUGAGGGCAGCAAAUCUAAUCCAGGAGACCUUUUACUAUGUGAUGGCAGCAAAUCUAAUCCUGGACAUACUCUGUUGACUUGUCCACUAGCCACCACUUUCUAUCCUUUUUUCAACCAAUAAUAGAUGUGUUCCUUAUCUAGUUAGUACUGCGUUUUCCCAUUAUUUCCGUUUUCAACCAAGAGACCAGUUGGGUAUCCGGUCUCUACUACUUUCACAUAUUAUUUCCUCUUUGAAUCAAGUCCUAGAUUCAUGCUACAACUUUCCCCCCUUUCUUCGUUGUUUGAACAAAGCCCUAGAUUCGAAUGCAUGAAGUAGCUUUACCUCUAAUAAUACUAAAAACUUAGGUGGCUUUGGAAGAGCUGAUGGGAGUAGAAAAGGAUGCACAUGCAGACACGUGGGGAGCUGGGGCGGUAGAGCAAGGCCGCUUUCGAAGAACUUAUACCUGAGGGUCGCCGGGAUGUCGGCGGCGGCAGGUCAGAUCUGCGGACAAUACGGCAGGGAGGAAGAAGGGUCGGAGGACCUCCCGAGCCGGCGCUAUGUUGGAGAGAACGACACGGGCAGAGGAUCGGGCCCCUCCGGCAGCUGUGGGUUUCCUCCCUCGGCUGUGAUUGAUAACCCCCAAGUAUAGGGGAUCGCAACAGUUUUCGAGGGUAGAGUAUUCAACCCAAAUUUAUUGAUUCGACACAAGGGGAGCCAAAGAAUAUUCUCAAGUAUUAGCAGCUGAGUUGUCAAUUCAACCACACCUAGAAACUUAGUAUCUGCAGCAAGUGUUUAGUAGCAAAGUAAUAUGAUAGUGGUGGUAACGGUAACAAAAAUAAAGACAGCAAAAGUAAUGUUUUUGGUAUUUUGUAGUGAUUGUAACAGUAGCAACAGAAAAGUAAAUAAGCGAGAACUAGUAUAUGGAAAACUCGUAGGCACCGGAUAAGUGAUGGAUAAUUAUGCUGGAUGUGGUUCGUCAUGUAACAUUCAUAACAUAGGGUGACACAGAACUAGCUCCAAUUCAUCAAUGUAAUGUAGGCAUGUAUUCCGUAUAUAGUCAUACGUGCUUAUGGAAAAGAACUUGCAUGACAUCUUUUGUCCUACCCUCCCGUGGCAGCGGGGUCCUACUAGAAACUAAGGGAUAUUAAGGCCUCCUUUUAAUAGAGAACCGGAACAAAGCAUUAGCACAUAGUGAAUACAUGAACUCCUCAAACUAUGGUCAUCACCGGGAGUGGUCCCAAUUAUUGUCACUUCGGGGUUGCCGGAUCAUAACACAUAGUAGGUGACUAUAGACUUGCAAGAUAGGAUCAAGAACAUACAUAUAUUCAUGAAAACAUAAUAGGUUCAGAUCUGAAAUCAUGGCACUCGGGCCCUAGUGGCAAGCAUUAAGCAUAGCAAAGUCAUAGCAACAUCAAUCUCAGAACAUAAUGGAUACUAGGGAUCAAACCCUAACAAAACUAACUCGAUUACAUGAUAAAUCUCAUCCAACCCAUCACCGUCCAGCAAGCCUAUGAUGGAAUUACUCACGCACGGUGGUGAGCAUCAUGAAAUUGGUGAUGGAGGAUGGUUGUUGAUGACGACGGCGACAAAUACCCCUCUCCGAAGCCCCGAACGGACUCCAGAUCAGCCCUCCCAAGAGAGAUUAGGGCUUGGCGGCGGCUCCGUAUCGUAAAAUGCGAUGAUUUCUUCUCUCUGAUUUUUCUCUCCCCGAAAGCCAAUAUAUAGAGUUGGAGUUGGCGUCGGAGGGCCACCAAGGGGCCCACGAGGUAGGGGGGCGUGCCCAGGGGGGCUCGCCCCCCACCCUCGUGGACAGGGUGUGGGCCCCCUGGUCUUCAUCUUGGGCGAGGAUUUUUUAUUGUUUUUUCUUAGGUGUUCCAUGGAGUUUCAGGUCAUUCCGAGAACUUUUAUUUUCUGCACAUAAAACAACACCAUGGCAAUUCUGCUGAAAACAGCGUCAGUCCGGGUUAGUUCCAUUCAAAUCAUACAAGUUAGAGUCCAAAACAAGGGCAAAAGUGUUUGGAAAAGUAUAUACGACAGAGACGUAUCAACUCCCCCAAGCUUAAACCCUUGCUUGUCCUCAGGCAAUUCAGUUGACGAACUGAAAGAGAAAAAGAAAAAAAAUUACAAACUCUGUUUGCUCUUGUUGUUGUAAACAUGAAAAGCCAACAUUCAAGUUUCGGCAAAUAUUAUGAACUAACCAUACUCACAAUAACACGAAGGUCUCACAAUUACUCAUAUCAAUAACAUAAUUAGCUAGCGAGCCAUAAUAAUAAAACUCGGAUGACAACACUUUCUCAAAAUAAUCAUAACAUGAUAUAACGAAGUGGUAUCUCGCUAGCCCUUUCUGUGACUGCAAAACAUAAAUGCAGAGAACCUUUAAAGAUCAAGGACUGACUAAACAUUGUAAUUCGUGGUAAAAGAGAUCCAGUCCAGUCAUACCCAAUAUAAACCAAUUAUAAUGAAUGCAAACGACAGUGUGCUCUCCAGCGGGUGCUUUUUAAUAAGAAGGGUGAUGACUCAACAUAAAAGUAAAUAGAUAGGCCCUUCGCAGAGGGAAGCGGGGAUUUGUAGAGGUGCGAGAGCUCGGUUUUAAAAUAGAGAUUGAAUAACAUUUUGAGCGGCAUACUUUUGCUGUCAAUGCAACAACUAUGAGAUGACGAUAUCUUCCAUGCUAAACAAAUUAUAGGCGGUUCCCGAACAGAAUGGUAAAGUUUAUACUCCCCCUCCUCCACAAGCAUCAAUCCAUGGCUUGCUCGAAACAACGACUGCCUCCAACGUUCAACGGGUCCCAGGGGGAGUUUUGUUUGCAGUUAUUUUGAUUUAGUUUUCAUAAAGCAUGGGACUGGGUGUCACGACCGGUUUUUCAAUAAGAAUAGUUAUUGAGAAAACCAAUCUUUAAAUCCCAGUAUAGGAAAAGUCAUCCUUUCUGGUAGACAAAAGCUUGAUAAACAGAGAACCAGUAGCACCAAAUAUAUUACAGGGUUGAGCUGAGGUAGCUCAACAAUUUAUUACAGACUCGCCAAUAUAUUACAUAUGGGCGGUUAUGACACAGGGGUGGGGUGGCAUGCUACUAGUUCGAGGGAAAAGUGGGGGUGGAUAACUUGACUUCUACUGGCAGUACAUCGAGCGUCGAGGUGAGGCUCAAUGAAUUUAUUCGGGAUUGCGGAAGCGGAUAAUACAAUGACCAAGACAGGAUCGCAAGGGACUGACUGGGACUCCUCUAGGCGUCGGACUCGCUAUCAUACUCUUCAUCCAAGAGAUCGCCUUCAUCAUCAUCUGGCCAAAUCAACAAGCCAGGUGAGUACUUGAAAGUACUCGCAAGACAGUUCGGACAAAAGAUAUAAUCAAUGAAUGCAUGAAUGCGUCAUGAACAAAGUAUGAUGUUCAAAUACAACGGAAUUAUUGCAGAACUUGAUGCAACAAAAUUUAAUAAUUAAAAACCGAUCGGGUGUCUGGAGCGACGCCUCGAAAGGUAAAUAAAUAAAAAAAAUGCAUGCCGCAGUCGGGCGUCUUAGCGACACCACUUAAAGGGCUUUAAAAGAAAUGCCACCGUCGGACGUCUGAGCGACAUCACUGACAGGGCUUUAAAAGAAAUACCACAGUCGGACGUCUGAGCGACAUCACAGAAAGGGCUUAAAAAGAAAUACCACUGUCGGACGUCUGAGCAACAUCACAGACAGGGCUUUAAAAGAAAUACCACCGUCGGACGUCUGAGCGACAUCACAGACAGGGCUUUAAACAAAAUACCACCGUCNNNNNNNNNNNNNNNNNNNNNNNNNNNNNNNNNNNNNNNNNNNNNNNNNNNNNNNNNNNNNNNNNNNNNNNNNNNNNNNNNNNNNNNNNNNNNNNNNNNNNNNNNNNNNNNNNNNNNNNNNNNNNNNNNNNNNNNNNNNNNNNNNNNNNNNNNNNNNNNNNNNNNNNNNNNNNNNNNNNNNNNNNNNNNNNNNNNNNNNNNNNNNNNNNNNNNNNNNNNNNNNNNNNNNNNNNNNNNNNNNNNGGAUGUCUGAGCGACAUCACAGACAGGGCUUUAAAAAGAAAUACCACCGUCGGACGUCUGAGCGACAUCACAGACAGGGAUUUAACAAUAGCAAAAUAACAGGUAUGCCACCGUCGGACGUCUGAGCGACAUCACAGACAGGGCCUUGUAACAAAUGUAAAUAACGAGAUUAGUUCAUCCACAAGAAUAAUCUUUUAACCGGAAUUAUUUCACAAAAAACCCACCGGAGUUUUUGUCACCGAGGCUGAAUACCUGACAAGAUAAGACAAUUAUAGUACUUGAACAAAGUACAAGAUAAUUGAAAGAUUGAGGCUCUGCAGAGUUUGGAAGAACUGAACACAGCCAACGAAUUUCCGUAGUCACGAAGGACUAGUUCCGUUUACGGUAUUUCAGUAGAAACACAUUUAACUAGUACACACCCAUUUCACCUCACGAUGCCAGGAAUCACCCUGGACAACGUCCAAGAAAAACUUUGAGACGGGGAGGCCACAACCUCGAAUAGCAUGGGAUCAAAUUUCUAUACGCGCGCUCUAAGGGGUGCCCCUCUCGGUCCCAACCGGAAACACCCAUGCCCCCUGACCGGAUGACGGGCUUUAAUCCAGGGCCAUGGAACCCUCAUCCCGGCCUCUCCACUUGGUCUGUACCAGGAAAACAAUUUGCAACUUACUAUGCCAUAUUCCUUUCGGAAAACAUGUGACAGUAUAGGAUGGAAUGAAUGGAAAUGUGAAUUGUGUCAUGACGACACGGAAGUCAAAUAAUCUGGCAUAAGACUGGCAUGUCACAACACUGCCAUCUUACCCAUCCUCAUACCAACACAUGGCUUUGCAAAUAUGUAUCCAACAACAUAAUGCUUUCCGGAACUUACUUUCCGAUUACGUGCAUGCGAUAUAUCAUGCAAGGUGAUGUUCAUAAACAUGCCAUGACUAUACUAAAAUGCAAACAUGCAACAACACUCAUCAUAUCAAGAGUUCAAACAUGCUUGCCUGGUUCGGAGUAGUCGGAGUCUAACUGUGUGAAGUUUGCGGCUCCAUCACCUCCUCCGGUAUCUACGGUAUAAGAAAAAUAUGUAGGCAACGUAAAUACCGUGAGUGUACAGAAAAGUGUUCCAAAUAUUUUUCAAAUAAACAUGAUAAAAAACUAGACAAAAAUCUAAAGAGAACAGAAAAAGAAUCAACCAAAAAUUCCCUUCUGAUAAAAAGUUAUAAGUGUUUUAACCCAAGGACACAUCUGUAAUGAAACAAAAAACUUCCAGGGGGUUCAGCGUAAAAGUACAGAUAACGUUUCGUUUAAAAGAAACGGCUGUGAGGCUGACAGGCGGGCUCCACCUGUCGGGUUUGAAAGUUCAAACAGAGAAACAGAGCGCGACGGCGCCCGAGAGGUGCGGUGGUCGCCGGCGGCGAUCCACGGCGAGGCAAGGCGAUCGGGGGUUACCUUCAAGAUCAGUGCACCGUUCCGCGUCUGUGGGUGGUGGUGGUGGUCGCCGGCGAGCAUUGUGUCGACGGCGGCCCUUGCUCCGGCGGACGGUGAUUCGGGCAGUCGUGGAUCUCGCCGGAGGGAGCUGCGGGGAUCAAAUAGGAGUGGGGGUUAGUCUCCUAGUUGCUCGUGAGGGCUGCUGAUGAAGUUAGAGCGCCGGAGACGGCCUCACCGGAGCGAAUCGCGGUGGAGUCCGAGGCGGAGCGCGGUGGCCAGAGUCGGGGAAGAAGGGCCCCUCGGGGCUCUCCCAGUGGCUGGGCGGGGUCUAGUGAGGUGGUGGAGUCGUGCGGGGGCGAGAGCAGGCUCGGGGGUGCUAUAUAUAGCCGGCCCGAGUCGGUUGCCGUGAACGGAUAAGUCCGGCGAGUUGAUUACGGCGGCGCUGUGGCCGGACGGUCGGCUUAGGGGUUUGAGCAUCGCCUAGGUGAAGUAGUGGUGCCAUUUUAGGGUCCAGCUCAGCACGGGAGGGAGGUUUACGGCCUGCCCUCGACGAAACGGCCGCACGGCCCGUCGGUGGCAGAGAGCGCGCUCUGCGCGUGUCGCGCCACGGCGACGGUGCUGCAUGCGUGCGCUGGCAAGGAGGUGGCCACGCGGAGCUACCAGGACGCUUGGGCGGCGCCGAACGGCGUUGCGCCGCCGUUCUGCUUCCUGUCGGCCGCUACGGCGCUACGGCCGCCGCAAGACACGCCGGCGCAGGCGGGCCAGGGCACCACCGACGCCAGGAAGGCGCCAAGCGCGCGUGUGAGGCCCCGGACAAGCAAGCCUGGCCGUGAGCUACGUGCCAAGCGCACUGUGAGCUCGUGACUGAAGUCACUGACAAAGAUCAACACUGAAUUCUGAAUUUAACUGAAUAUGACUAGAACAGUGCAUGCAAGGUGUUCGACAGAAUGAUCCAGGCAUGUAGGGAUUUUUCCUUGAGCUAGUUUUUGGUGGAGGGACCUCUCAUUGCACCUAGAGGUUGCCUGAAUAUUUGUGGAAUUUUUGGAGAUGUAUAGAUAUGAAUUUCACCAAAUUUGGCAAAUCUGGUCCAAACUUGCAGUGAGUGCAAUUUGAAAAAUUUGAACAGGAGAAGAGUGGAUCAAGAUGGUUCUGGGUUGUGGGUACAAAGGACUAUCCAGGGGUGUUGAGAUGAGGUCAAAAAUCAAAAGCAUUAAAGCACUUGCUUUGCAAUCCACCUAGGCUCAAAAGUAUAGACAGAAUUAUUUUGGGAGGAGAAAUAGUUGGAAUAAAAUCCAAAAAUGGAUUUUAUUAGUUUUGACAGAAUGUUUGGGUUGAACUAAAGUGGGAGGAAAGGUUUUUGGGAAAAAUUUCACCAUAGGAAGCAUGGUGAAAUUUUUGAAGGGAUCAAAACCAUAAAGAGCCCAAAACUAAAAGGGUUUUCAUUUUAAAAGAAACCAAAUCCAAGAAAAGGAUUUUUGAGAGGGAAAACUUAGAAGAUGGUUUUUGGGAAGGGUUUAAAUGACCUUCUUUCAAACCAAGCAAGGUUCUUUCUGAAAACAAAAAAAAUCACAAAAAUCUUGGAGUGUCACAGAACCUACCCCCUUAGGAAAAAUCUCGUCCCCGAGAUUUCAGCUGAUCCUUAAACAGGUGUGGGUGCUCUGUCCGAAGAAAAUCCUCGCUCUCCCAAGUUGCUUCAUUCUCGGUGUGAUUGCUCCAUUGAACUCUGAAAAACUUAAUGGUUUUCUGUCGGGUCCUCCUCUCAGAUUCUUCUAAUAUUUUUAUCGGGUGCUCCCGGUAAGUGAGGUCUGGUUGCACGUCAAUAUACUCAUGUGAAACUUGCUUCUCUGGGUUGCUUAUGUAUUUUCUCAACUGCGAGAUGUGAAACACGUUGUGGAUAAUGGACAACUCUCCGGGUAGGUCCAGCUGGUAGGCUACCUUGCCUCGUCGGGCCACUAUCUGAAAUGGUCCGAUGAAUCUUGGUGCUAGUUUCCCCUUAAUCUUGAAUCAUUGCAGACCCUUCAUAGGAGAAACUUUCAGGUAUACGAAUUCUCCGGGUUCAAAACUGAUUUCCCGAUGCUUUCAGUCGUAAUAACUCUUUUGCCGACUUUGAGCUGUUUUGAGUCGUUCCCUAAUCGUCUUAACUUUCUCCUCGGCCUCCUUGAGCAUAUCUGGGCCAAAGAUAUGGCUGUCUCCGGUCUCUGACCAAUUUAGCAGGGUACGACAUCUUCUCCCAUAUAGAGCUUCAAAGGGUGCCAUUUGCAAGCUGGCUUGAUAGCUGUUGUUGUAUGCGAACUCUGCAUAUGGCAAACUUUCUUCCCCACUGUUCCCGUAGGUGAGGACACAUGCUCUUAGCAUGUCUUCUAAGAUUUGGUUUACGCGUUCCGUUUGUCCAUCAGUCUGGGGAUGGUAUGCAGUACUGAAGGCUAGUUGGGUUCCCAGUGCCUGUUGUAGGUGAUCCCAGAACGUAGAGACGAACUGUGUGCCUCUAUCUGAGAUGAUAGUCUUAGGAACUCCAUGUAGGCAGACGAUACGGGCAAGAUAAAGCCUGGCUAGUCUCUGAGUGGUGUAAGUUGUUUUUACUGGAAUAAAAUGUGCCACCUUGGUUAAUCUGUCGGUUAUGACCCAAAUGGCAUCGUUUCCGUGUUGUGACCGUGGCAGUCCAACGAUAAAGUCCAUUCCAAUCUCGUCCCAUUUCCACUCGGGUAUCUUAUUUGGCUGUAACAGUCCGGCUGGUUUCUGGUGCUCUGCCUUGAUACGUUGACAAGAGUCACAUCAUGCAAUGAACGUGGCUAUAUCUCUCUUCAUACCGUGCCACCAAAAAAUUUCCUGAAGGUCUUUGUACAUUUUUGUCCCUCCAGGAUGGAUUGAAUACGGAGCAGUGUGACUUUCAGUUAAUAUCUGUUGUUUGAGGUCCUUGACAUUUGGUACGCAUAGCCUUUCUCCGUACCACAAUAUUCCUUGCUCAUCUAUGUUGAAUUCUGAGGCUCUUCCCGAACUCACUUUUCUCUUUAUGCCCUCAAUGCUGGGGUGUCCGUGCUGGGCUUCCUUGAUGCUUUCCAUUAGGGUAGGCUGUAUUUCUAUAUUCGACACACUGCCUUCGGUAACCAUUAUUAGAUUGAGUCGGGCAAAUUCUUGUUGAAAUUCUGGCCUCAAUUUUGGUAUAUUGUCGUCUUCUGUGCUGGGAUUUCGACUAAGUGCAUCUGCCACAACAUUUGCUUUUUCGGGAUGAUAGUGGAUUCCAACAUCAUAAUCCUUCACCAACUCUAACCAGCGUCGUUGCCGUAAAUUUAACUCUGGUUGUGUGAAAAUAUACUUAAGACUCUUAUGGUCUGUGUAUAUCUCACAACGAUUCCCAAGUAGGAAGUGUCUCCAUUCCUUGAGUGCAUGGAUGACCGCUGCUAAUUCCAAGUCAUGUGUGGGAUAAUUUUCUUCAUGCUUGCGUAGUUGUCUGGAGACAUACGCUACUACCUUGCCUUCUUGCAUCAAUACGCAUUCGAGGCCUUUCCGGGAUGCGUCACAAUAUACCUCAAAGCUCUUGUGUAUAUCUGGCACAAUUAGUACUGGUGCCGUUGUUAAUUUUCUUUUUAUCUCUUGGUAGCUUUUCUCACAUGCUUCUGUCCAUUCAAAUUUCUUGCCUUUCUUGAGCAAUUGUGUCAUGGGCUUUGCUAUAGUGGAGAAUCCUUCAAUAAAUCUCCGAUAAUAGCCUUCCAUUCCCAAGAAACUCCGUACGUCCGUUACGUUACCUGGCGGUUUCCAGCCAAGUACGGCCUUGACUUUUUCUGGAUCUACUGCAAUACCUUCUUGGGUUAGCACGUGGCCCAGAAAACCCACCUGCCUUAGCCAAAAUUCACAUUUGCUGAAUUUGGCGUACAGUUGAUGUUUCCUGAGUUCUCCGAGUACAAUCCUGAGAUGUUCGGCGUGUUCUUCUGGUGUUUUGGAAUAUAUCAGAAUAUCGUUGAUGAAUACCACAAUAAACUUGUCCAUAUACUUCAUAAACACCUUGUUCAUGAGGUGAACAAAAUAUGCGGGGGCGUUGGUUAGCCCAAAUGGCAUUACUGUGAACUCAUACAGCCCAUAUCUGGAGGUGAAAGCGGUCUUGGGAAUAUCUUCUGUUCGUACUUUUAACCGGUGGUAUCCUGAUCUCAAAUCAAUUUUUGAGAAGACUUUGGCCUGUGCGAGCUGAUCGAAUAAAUCAUUUAUUCGUGGCAUUGGGUAUUUGUUCUUGAUUGUGACCAUGUUGAGAGCUCGAUAAUCAAUACACAACCUCAUUGUUCCAUCCUUCUUCUUGGCAAAUAAAAUUGGAGAACCCCAAGGUGAGGAGCUGGCUCGUAUGUAUCCUUUAUCCAAUAAUUCUUUUAUUUGCUUCUUCAACUCUACCAAUUCGGGUGGUGCCAUUCUGUAAGGUUUCUUGUAAAUAGGAGUGGUUCCGGGUGCGAGCUCAAUGCUGAAUUCUAUCUCUUGGUCUGGUGGCAUGCCCGGUAGUUCUUCUGGAAAUACAUCUGGAAAUUCACAUACCACUGGAACCUUGUUCAGCUCAGAAACGUCUACUUUGUUUAAUCUAGGUUGCCGAGGUAUUUGUCUCUCCUUGGCUGAAACUUUUAUUUUCUUCCCUUGAUGGUGGGUGAGAAUUACGGUACGGUUGAAGCAAUCAAUAAAACCUUUGUUGGUGGUCAACCAAUCCAUUCCUAGGAUGACAUCCAGUCCUUUGCUUUCCAGUACAAUAAGAUUGGUGUAAAAUUUCAAUCCUUCAAAUUCAAUAACCACACCUUGACAGUAACUCUGGGUCACUUGCUUAAUCCCAGGGACUUGACGAUCAUUGAUUUUUCCAAGGGAAGCAUCAAAAAAUUAUUUUGCAAAGCAAAACUUUUCAAAACGAAUGAGUGAGAAGCUCCAGAAUCAAACAAAACCAUGGCAGGUAUUGUGUUGACGGGGUACGUACCGAGUACGAUAUCUGGGGCGUUCUGUGCUUCCUCUCUGGUCACGUGGUUCAAGUGACCUUUCCGGUGGUUGUUGUUGGGGUUGAAAUUGCUUCGCUUUGGUGCUGAAUUAUAUCCACCAUUAUUGAACUUCGGGUUUGAGUUCCUUGGCUUGGGACACUGCUUGGCAUAGUGCCCUUCUUCUCCACGAGCAUAACAGGUAACACCUGGGCGAUAGGUGAACUCUUUGUCUCUUGCAUGGAAAUUCUUGGUUGGACGUGAAUUAUUCGCCGGGGUUUUGUGUGAAUCCCCCUUCUGAAAUUCCUUCUUGCUUCUGGGAUUGCGAGAAAAAUUAGUCUGGUCCCUUUUCCGUUUGCGGAUAUCUUCCAGGCUACGUCGCUCAUUUUCUAGGGUAAUGGCCUUAUCCACCAGUGUUUUAAAAUCUGGAAAGGUGUGCACAACUAGCUGGCACUUAGGGGCGUGUGCCAGGCCUUCCAAGAAUUUUUCCAUCUUCUUGCUCUCGGUCAUGCGUUCUUCAUUGGCGUAACGUGACAGCAGUGUGAAUUGGCUGUUGUAUUCUGACACUGUCAUGGCUCUUUGCUUGAGUUCAUCAAAUUCUUUCUUCUUGAUUUUCAUGACGCUCUUAGGAAUAUGUGCCCCACGAAAACCUUCUUUGAAAUUUUCCCAGGUGAUUUCAUUUUCGUUGGGGUGCAUGUGCAGGAAGUUUUCCCACCACGAUGCAGCUGCACCCAUGAGAUAAUGUGGUGCAUACAGUACUUUUUCACGGUCUGAACACUGUGCGAUAAUUAAUUUUCUCUCCAUGUCUCGAAGCCAGUCCUCGGCCUCAAGAGGCUUGUCAGUAUGAGAAAAUGUUGGAGGACGCGUCUUUUGUAACUCAGAUAAUUUGGAUUGUGGUUGAUACUGACCACGGUACUUCCCAUAUUGAUGAAUUGGUUCAUCAUUUCCUGGUGUUGCUGCUGACUCUGUUCAUACAAACGACAAACUUGUGUAAAAGCUGUUUCACUGUCUGGUUGACUUGUCUGACCCUGAGUGAAAUUCUAGUUCUGCGGUGUGCCAUAAAUUUCUUCUGGCUGAGUUGGCAUGGAGCGCAUCCAAGGACGAGACAUCUUUCACUCUGGGGAUAAAUUUUUUGUGAACUCGUAAGACAAGAAGAAGAGUCGCAAAAGUCAAAAAAAAAUCACAGGCAAGGAACAUUUUUAAACUCCAUGGUAUUUUUUUGAAACACACGAUUGCGCGCGGAGAAGGACUAGUGCAUAUCUUACACGCGGGCAUAAUUAUACAUUACAUCACUCAGGAUAUGCGUACAUAAUCCUGACAUGUUAUUUAAACUAGUGCACUCCUCCAGAUCCUACAUGAUGCGCAAAUAGGCUACUUCUCACAACCUGAGAACAUAAAAACAUAUUACACCAGUUGAUACAUCGCAUGGCGUCUAUGCGUACUUAGUCGGAGAUGUUGAUGAUCUCCCUUGGCCUGCCGAGGGUGAGACGCAGAGACGCUGGGGAAUUGACCUCCUCCUCGCUAAUAGGUUCCAGACGAGAAACGUUGUGCUGAGCUGAUGGAGCAGGUGCCCUAGGCGGAAUAACACGAAUACGAGUGGGUGGAAUAGGUGGGGUAGCUCGUAUGGGAGUGGGCGCAACACGUGGUGCAGAGCGGACGGGAGUGGGUGCAACAAGUGGUGCAGAGCGGACGGGAGUGGGUGCAAUAGCCUGGUUAAAUUCCUCUGUGGUAGGCAGACGACGAGCAGAGGCGAGUAUGGUAGGUGAGUGAGAGGCUUUGGAUGACACAAAAGUCAGUGGUGGAGCAGUAUGCAGGAGUUCCCUCAUGUUAGCAGCACAGCCAUGAACUGAGUCCAUGCGUGCAGCUACGAAGUCAUCCACCAUGCAGUCGAAUGCUGCCUCCAGGGCUCGGAGGUACUCGACAAGCAUCUCAAAGGCUUCGUCUCGCUCUCCUCUGGGGCAAGAGAACGAGUAGUGACAGGUGUAAGGCACAUGGCAAGGAAGGUAGCGGUAGCGACGGGUCUUCAUUGCAGGAAGAACAUCCCGAAGAUGGGUUAUUGCCUCGCGGGCAGCCAUCUGCAUAGCAUGCCUUUCUGUAGGCAUGGCUCUCCCCACGAAUCGGAGACGGCGUACUUCGGCAUGGCCUCCCCUGAAUUGCACCGCGGCCUGGUGCAUAGUCAGACUGUCGUUGAUCUUGUGUGGAUAAAGCGUGAAGACUGGGCACACAGAUGGCCCCAUCGCGUCCUGAACGAUGAAGGAGAGGAGUUUGACGAACCCCUCAGGCACGUUGGCGAACAUCUGAGACUCGCAGUCGUUGCCGGCCAUCUACAAAAGUAGGCAAAAAUUCUGAGUGGUCAGAACAUAAAUUUUAUGCCGACUGUCAGAAAAUGACUACAAUUGUAAAAACAUGAAUAACUCUAUCAUGCUAAUAACCAAUUAGCGAUCGCACCUAGUGGCUUCCUACAGUCUGCCUGGCUCUGAUUACCAAGUCUGUCACGACCGGUUUUUCAAUAAGAAUAGUUAUUGAGAAAACCAAUCUUUAAAUCCCAGUAUAGGAAAAGUCAUCCUUUCUGGUAGACAAAAGCUUGAUAAACAGAGAACCAGUAGCACCAAAUAUAUUACAGGGUUGAGCUGAGGCAGCUCAACAAUUUAUUACAGACUCGCCAAUAUAUUACAUAUGGGCGGUUAUGACACGGGGGUGGGGUGGCAUGCUACUAGUUCGAGGGCAAAGUGGUGGUGGAUAACUUGACUUCUACUGGCAGUACAUCGAGCGUCGAGGUGAGGCUCGAUGAAUUUAUUCGGGAUUGCGGAAGCGGAUAAUACAAUGACCAAGACAGGAUCGCACAGGACUGACUGGGACUCCUCUAGGCGUCGGACUCGCUAUCAUACUCUUCAUCCAAGAGAUCGCCUUCAUCAUCAUCUGGCCAAAUCAACAAGCCAGGUGAGUACUUGAAAGUACCCGCAAGACAGUUCAGACAAAAGAUAUAAUCAAUGAAUGCAUGAAUGCGUCAUGAACAAAGUAUGAUGUUCAAAUACAACAGAAUUAUUGCAGAACUUGAUGCAACAAAAUUUAAUAAUUAAAAACCGAUCGGGUGUCUGGAGCGACGCCUCGAAAGGUAAAUAAAUAAAAAAAUGCAUGCCGCAGUCGGGCGUCUUAGCAACACCACUUAAAGGGCUUUAAAAGAAAUGCCACCGUCGGACGUCUGAGCGACAUCACUGACAGGGCUUUAAAAGAAAUACCACAGUCGGACGUCUGAGCGACAUCACAGAAAGGGCUUAAAAAGAAAUACCACCGUCGGACGUCUGAGCGACAUCACAGACAGGGCUUUAAAAGAAAUACCACCGUCGGACGUCUGAGCGACAUCACAGACAGGGCUUUNNNNNNNNNNNNNNNNNNNNNNNNNNNNNNNNNNNNNNNNNNNNNNNNNNNNNNNNNNNNNNNNNNNNNNNNNNNNNNNNNNNNNNNNNNNNNNNNNNNNNNNNNNNNNNNNNNNNNNNNNNNNNNNNNNNNNNNNNNNNNNNNNNNNNNNNNNNNNNNNNNNNNNNNNNNNNNNNNNNNNNNNNNNNNNNNNNNNNNNNNNNNNNNNNNNNNNNNNNNNNNNNNNNNNNNNNNNNNNNNNNNNNNNNNNNNNNNNNNNNNNNNNNNNNNNNNNNNNNNNNNNNNNNNNNNNNNNNNNNNNNNNNNNNNNNNNNNNNNNNNNNNNNNNNNNNNNNNNNNNNNNNNACCGUCGGACGUCUGAGCGACAUCACGGACAUGCCUUUAAAAAUAAAUACCUCCGUCGGACGUCUGAGCGACAUCACAGACAGGGCUUUAAAAAGAAAUACCACCAUCGGACGUCUGAGCGACAUCACAGGCAAGGCUUUAACAAUAGCAAAAUAACAGGUAUGCCACCGUCGGACGUCUGAGCGACAUCACAGACAGGGCCUUGUAAAAAAUGUAAAUAACGAGAUUAGUUCAUCCACAAGAAUAAUCUUUUAACCGGAAUUAUUUCACAAAAAACCCAUUGGAGUUUUUGUCACCGAGGCUGAAUACCUGACAAGAUAAGACAAUUAUAGUACUUGAACAAAGUACAAGAUAAUUGAAAGAUUGAGGCUCUAACAGAGUUUGGAAGAACUGAACACAGACAACGGAUUUCCGUAGUCACGAAGGACUAGUUCCGUUUACGGUAUUUCAGUAGAAACACAUUUAACUAGUACACACCCAUUUCACCUCACGAUGCCAGGAAUCACCCUGGACAACGUCCAAGAAAAACUUUGAGACGGGGAGGCCACAACCUCGAAUAGCAUGGGAUCAAAUUUCUAUACGCGCGCUCUAAGGGGUGCCCCCCUCUCGGUCCCAACCGGAAACACCCAUGCCCCCUGACCGGAUGACGGGCUUUAAUCCAGGGCCAUGGAACCCUCAUCCCGGCCUCUCCACUUGGUGUGUACCAGGAAAACGAUUUGCAACUUACUAUGCCAUAUUCCUUUCGGAAAACAUGUGACAGUAUAGGAUGGAAUGAAUGGAAAUGUGAAUUGUGUCAUGACGACACGGAAGUCAAAUAAUCUGGCAUAAGACUGGCAUGUCACAACACUGCCAUCUUACCCAUCCUCAUACCAACACAUGGCUUUGCAAAUAUGUAUCCAACAACAUAAUGCUUUCCGAAACUUACUUUCCGAUUACGUGCAUGCGAUAUAUCAUGCAAGCUGAUGUUCAUAAACAUGCCAUGACUAUACUAAAAUGCAAACAUGCAACAACACUCAUCAUAUCAAGAGUUCAAACAUGCUUGCCUGGUUCGGAGUAGUCGGAGUCUAACUGUGCGAAGUUUGCGGCUCCGUCACCUCCUCCGGUAUCUACGGUAUAAGAAAAAUAUGUACGCAACGUAAAUACCGUGAGUGUACAGAAAAGUGUUCCAAAUAUUUUACAAAUAAAUAUGAUAAAAAACUAGACAAAAAUCUAAAGAGAACAGAAAAAGAAUCACCCAAAAAUUCCCUUCUGAUAAAAAGUUAUAAGUGUUUUAACCCAAGGACUCGUCUGUAAUGAAACAAAAAACUUCCAAGGGGUUCAGCGUAAAAGUACAGAUAACGUUUCGUUUAAAAGAAAUGGCUGUGAGGCUGACAGGCGGGCUCCACCUGUCGGGUUUGAAAGUUCAAACAGAGAAACAGAGCGCGACGGCGCCCGAGAGGUGCGGUGGUCGCCGGCGGCGAUCCACGGCGAGGCAAGGCGAUCGGGGGUUACCUUCGAGAUCAGUGCACCGUUCCGCGUCUGUGGGUGGUGGUGGUGGUCGCCGGCGAGCACUGUGUCGACGGCGGCCCUUGCUCCGGCGGACGGCAGUUCGGGCAGUCGUGGAUCUCGCCAGAGGGAGCUGCGGGGAUCAAAUAGGAGUGGGGGUUAGUCUCCUAGUUGCUCGUGAGGGCUGCUGACGAAGUUAGAGCGCCGGAGACGGCCUCACCGGAGCGAAUUGCGGUGGAGUCCGAGGCGGAGCGGGGUGGCCAGAGUCUGGGAAGAAGGGCCCCUCGGGGCUCUCCCAGUGGCUGGGCGGGAUCUAGUGAGGUGGUGGAGUCGUGCGGGGGCGAGAGCAGGCUCGGGGGUGCUAUAUAUAGCCGGCCCGAGUCGGUUGCCGUGAACGGAUAAGUCCGGCGAGUUGAUUACGGCGGCGCUGUGGCCGGACGGUCGGCUUAGGGGUUUGAGCAUCGCCUAGGUGAAGUAGUGGUGCCAUUUUAGGGUCCAGCUCAGCACGGGAGGGAGGUUUACGGCCUGCCCUCGACGGAACGGCCGCACGGCCCAUCGGUGGCAGAGAGCGCGCUCUGCGCGUGUCGCACCACGGCGACGGUGCUGCAUGCGUGCGCUGGCAAGGAGGUGGCCACGCGGAGCUACCAGGACGCUUGGGCGGCGCCGAACGGCGUUGCGCCGCCGUUCUGCUUCCUGUUGGCCGCUACGGCGCUACGGCCACCGCAAGACACGCCGGCGCAGGCAGGCCAGGGCGCCACCGACGCCAGGAAGGCGCCAAGCGCGCGUGUGAGGCCCCGGACAAGCAAGCCUGGCCGUGAGCUACGUGCCAAGCGCACUGUGAGCUCGUGACUGAAGUCACUGACGAAGAUCAACACUGAAUUCUGAAUUUAACUGAAUAUGACUAGAACAGUGCAUGCAAGGUGUUCGACAGAAUGAUCCAGGCAUGUAGGGAUUUUUCCUUGAGCUGGUUUUUGGUGGAGGGACCUCUCAUUGCACCUAGAGGCUUCCUGAAUAUUUGUGGAAUUUUUGGAGAUGUAUAGAUAUGAAUUUCACCAAAUUUGGCAAAUCUGGUCCAAACUUGCAGUGAGUGCAAUUUGAAAAUUUUGAACAGGAGAAGAGUGGAUCAAGAGUGUUCUGGGUUGUGGGUACAAAGGACUAUCCAGGGGUGUUGAGAUGAGGUCAAAAAUCAAAAGCAUUAAAGCACUUGCUUUGCAAUCCACCUAGGCUCAAAAGUAUAGACAGAAUUAUUUUGGGAGGAGAAAUAGUUGGAAUAAAAUCCAAAAAUGGAUUUUAUUAGUUUUGACAGAAUUUUUGUGUUGAACUAAAGUGGGAGGAAAGGUUUUUGGGAAAAAUUUCAGCAUAGGAAGCAUGGUGAAAUUUUUGAAGGGAUCAAAACCACAAAGAGCCCAAAACUAAAAGGGUUUUCAUUUUAAAAGAAACCAAAUCCAAGAAAAGGAUUUUUGAGAGGGCAAACUUAGAAGAUAGUUUUUAGGAAGGGUUUAAAUGACAUUCUUUCAAACCAAGCAAGGUUCUUUCUGAAAACAAAAAAAAAUCACAAAAAUCUUGGAGUGUCACACUGGGCAUCCCGGCGACUAGCCAUUUUUCUCGUGAAUGAGGAGUGGAGUCCACUCCUCUUGAGAAUAACCGCCUAACAUGGAAGAUAAGGGCAGCCCUAGUUGAACAUGAGCUGCUCGAGCAUACAAAACAGAAUUUCAUUUGAAGGUUUGGAGUUUGGCACAUACAAAUUUACUUGGAACGGCAGGUAGAUACCGCAUAUAGGAAGGUAUAGUGGACUCAUAUGGAACAACUUUGGGGUUUAAGGAGUUUGGAUGCACAAGCAGUAUUCCCGCUUAGUACAGGUGAAGGCUAGCAAAAGACUGGGAAGCGACCAACUGAGAGAGCGACAACAGUCGUAAACAUGCAUUAAAAUUAAUUUACACCGAAUACAAGCAUGAGUAGGAUAUAAUCUACCAUGAACAUAAAUAUCAUGAAGGCUAUGUUGAUUUGAUUCAGCUACAUGCGUGAACAUGUGCCAAGUCUAGUCACUCAAUUCAUUUAAAGGAGGAUACCAUCCUAUCAUACCACAUCAUAAUCAUUCUAAUAGCAUGUUGGCACGCAAGGUAAACCAUUAUAACUCAUAGCUAAUCAAUCAUGGCACAAGCAACUAUAAUCUCUAAAUGUCAUUGCAAAUAUGUUUACUUCAUAAUAGCUAACUCAGGAACGAUGAAUCAUCAUAUUUACAAAAACAAGAGAGGUCAAGUUCAUACCAGCUUUUCUCAUCCCAAUAAGUCCAUCAUAUAUCAUCAUUAUUGCCUUUCACUUGCACGACCGAACGAUGUGUAUAAUAAUAAGAGUGCACGUGCAUUGGACUAAGCUGGAAUCUGCAAGCAUUCAACUCAAGAGAGAAGACAAGUAAUAUGGGCUCUAAGUUAAAUAAACAUUCAUGCAUAUAGGAGCCACUAAGCAUUUUCAAUAUGGUCUUCUCGACCCCCAAAGAAAGGAAAAGAAAUAAAAACUAUUUACACGGGAAAGCUCCCAACAAACAAAAGAAGAACGGGAAAUAUUUUUGGGUUUUCUUUUUAAUUACUACAAAAAAGAAAUAAACUACUACUAUUUUUUUGUUUUUUCUUAAGGUUUAUCAAACACACAAGAAGAAAGCAGGAAAAAGAAAAUAAACUAGCAUGGAUAUUACAGUGAAACGGUAUGAGCACCGACAUCUAGCAAUGAGUGUGUGUGAACAUAAAUGUAAUGUCGGUGGGAAAGACGUACUCCCCCAAGCUUAGGCUUUUGGCCUAAGUUGGUCUAUUGCCAGGGAUAGCCUGGCGGAUACCCGUAGGUGAAGCUGGGGUCAUACUGUGAUGCAGCUACUAUCGCCGCCUGAGCUGUAGCGUGGCGUCGAGCAGCCUCCGCUCUCCUCUCGUACUCAUCCGCCUCCUCUCUGGUAAUAAUAUAUCUUCCUUUUGUCUGAAAAUCAAAGAAGGCAGGAGCAGGAAGAGCAAUAUGGACUACAUGACGUUUGUUAAAGAUUGGUCGAUACUGGAGAGGUGGUUCAGUCCUCUCAACAAACUGGUGGGAAACCAUAGAAUCAAAAUCUAAAUAAGAAGGGGGUAACUCCAUAUCACCCUCACGAAUGUCUAUCUCAAGAAAAUUAGCUAAGCGGGUUGCAUAAAUUCCUCCAAAGAAAUCUCCGUUAUGUCUAUUCUGAUGCAACCUAUGAGUUACAAUGGCUCCCAUAUGAUAAGAUUGGUAUCCUAACACAGCACUCCUAAGAAUGCUGAGAUCAGGGACACACAUGUGACAUGCUUCAUCCUUAGCAUUUAUGCAUCUACCUAUAAAGAGAGCAAAAUAAUGUAUAGCAGGAAAGUGAAUGCUUCCUAAAGUGGCUUGUGUUAUAUCUCUAGAUUCCCCCACGAUUAUUCUAGAAAGAAAGUCUCUAUAUUCAGAUUUAGGGGGAUCCCUGACACUACCCCAUGAUGGAAGUUUGCAAGAAGAAGUGAAAUCCUCUAAGUCCAUGGUAUAAGAUUUGUCAUAAAGGUCAAACAUGACUGAAGGAGAAUUACGCGAAGAUGAAAACUCAAACCUCCUCACAAAUGAACUUGUGAGAUCAUGAUACUGGGGGCAUUUGUCAGCUUCAAAGUCCUCAAGACCGACGUUGCGCAAAUAUGCGCUAAAUUCUUCUUUGAUUCCCACUUGAUUCAUAAAAUUUUCCGAAGGCCAUUCACAGGGCCUCACAGGAGCGUCUCUUGGUGGUUCCUCGUCAGCAUCACGUAUUGCAAGUCUAGGACCUUGCUUCCUUGAAGGACCACCUUGGAACAUCCUCCUAAACAUAUUGUUUCCUAUGAAAAAUUUCUGAAAUUUUUAGUAACUUCAAAUAAAAGUGAACCAAGUUCAAUAAAAUUGAUAGUAACAACUCCCACAAGUGCCUAGAGCCUAUAUCAAGCAUUAAAACUACUUGGAACCAUAUGAAUUUGACAUGCAAGCUCAAGAACAUGGUCACCUAUGCAACACAAAUUUGCAAUGAAUAAAGCACUAGAACAAAAACUAAUUGAACCAUUGGAGGAGUCACAUACCAAGGAGCAAUCUCCCUAAGCAGUUUUGCGAGAGGUGCUUUGAGCAAAGAGAUCGAAAAUCACAGCAACAGGGGCUGGAACUCGUGCUUGAGUUGGUUUUUCGUGUUUGUGUGAGACAGAGGAAGAAGAUGGGUGCAGGGAUAAGUGGAGGAGGGCCACCAUGGGCACACGAGGUAGGGGGCGUGCACAGGGGGUAGGGCGCGUCCUCCACCCUCGUGACCAGGUGGCAGCUCCCCCCGCGGUGAUUUUUGCACAGUAAAUCCUCAAAUAUUCCUGAAAAAAUCAUAUUAAAUUGGCAUGGCAUUCUGAGGACUUUUAUUUUUGGAAUAUUUUUAUAUUGCACGGAUAAGUCAGGAAACAGACAGAAAAAUACUAUUUUACUUUAUUUCUACUAAAUAACAAAAAAUGUAAAGAGGGUACAUAAGGUUGUGCUUCUAAUUUCAUCCAUCUCAUGCUCAUAAAAAAGAAUCCACUAACAAGGUUGAUCAAGUCUUGUUAACAAACUCAUUCCGAUAAUCAUGGAACCGGAGAAAUUUCGAAUAGCACUAAGUUACCUCAACGGGGAUAUGAAAAUCCCCAACAAUAAGAAUAUCAUACUUUUUCUUGACAGUAGGGAGAGGAAAUUCAAAACCUCCAAAUAUAAUCGAUGGAAUUUUUCCAAUAUAGUUGAUACUAUAAACUUGAGGUUGUUUCCUUGGGAAGUGUACCGUGUGCUCAUUGCCAUUAACAUGAAAAGUGACAUUGCCUUUGUUGCAAUCAAUAACAGCCCCUGCAGUAUUAAGAAAAGGUCUUCCAAGAAUAAUACACAUACUAUCAUCCUCGGGAAUAUCAAGAAUAACAAAGUCCGUUGAAAUAGUAAUGUUUGCAACCACAACAGGCACAUCCUCACAAAUACCGACAGGUAUAGCGGUUGAUUUAUCAGCCAUUUGCAAAGAUAUUUCAGUAGGUGUCAACUUAUUCAAGUCAAGUCUACGAUAUAAAGAGAGAGGCAUAACACUGACACCGGCUCCAAGAUCACAUAAAGCAGUUUUAACAUAAUUUCUCUUAAUGGAGCAUGGUAUAGUAGGUACUUCGGGAUCUCCAAGUUUCUUUGGUAUUCCACCCUUAAAAGUAUAAUUAGCAAGCAUGGUGGAAAUUUCGGUUUCAGGUAUCUUUCUUUUAUUAGUAAUGAUAUCCUUCAUAUACUUAGCAUACGGAUUUGUUUUGAGCACAUCAGUUAAUCGCAUACGCAAAAAGAUGGGUCUAAUCAUUUCGGCAAAGCGCUCAAAAUCCUCAUCAUCCUUUUUCUUGGAUGGUUUUGGAGGAAAAGGCAUGGGUUUCUGAACCCAUGGUUCCCUUUCUUUACCAUGUUUCCUAGCAACGAAGUCUCUUUUAUAAUAAUGUUGAUCCUUUGAUUGUGGGUUAUCAAGAUCAACAGUAGGUUCAACUUCUACAUCAUUAUCAUUACUAGGUUGAGCAUCAACAUGAACAUCAUCAUUAACAUUUUCACUAGGUUCAUGUUCAUCACCCGAUUGUGUUUCAGCAUCAGACAUAGAGAUAUCAUUUGGAUUCUCAGGUGGUUCAGCAAUAGGUUCACUAGAAGUUUGCAAAGUCCUGUCAUUUUUAUUUUUCUUCCUCUUAGAAGAACUAGGUAGAUCAAUAUUAUUUCUCUGAGAAUCUUGCUCGAUUCUCUUAGGGUGGCCUUCAGGAUACAAAGGUUCCUGAGUUAUUCUACCAGUUCUAGUAGCCAUUCUAACAGCAUAAUCAUUUUUCUUACUAUUCAUUUCAUCAAGCACUUCUUUCUGAGCUUUAAGUACUUGUUCUACUUGAGUGGUAACCAUAGAAGCAUGUUUGCUAACAAGUUUAAGUUCACCUCUAAUAUCAGCCAUAUAAUCACCCAAGCGUUUAAUCAUAAAGGUAUUCUGUUUCAAUUGUCUACCAAAAUAAGCAUUAAAGUCAUCUUUCUUAAACAUAAAGUCAUCAAACUCAUCCAAGCACUGACUAGCAAUUUUAGUAGGAGGAACUUCAGCUUUAUCAUAUCUAUAGAGAGAAUUUACCUUUACUACCUGUGUUGGGAUAUUGGGAGGUUCUUCAGUAAAUAAGCAAUUGAGAUCAUAUACUUCUUCAACAGGUGGUAAAUUAAGGCCAUGUAUUUCUUCAAUAGGAGGUAAAUUCUUAACAUCUUCAGCUUUAAUACCUUUUUCUUUCAUAGAUUUCUUUGCCUCUUGCAUAUCUUCGGGACUGAGAAAUAGAACACCUCUCUUCUUCGGAGUUGGUUUAGGAAUAGGCUCAGUAAUUGGCUCAGGAGCUGGCUCAGGAGGUGGCUCGGGAGAUGCCCAAUUAUUUUCAUUUGUCAACAUAUUAUUCAAUAGAAUUUUAGCUUCAUCCAGUGUUCUUUCCCUGAAAAGAGAACCAGCACAACUAUCCAGGUAAUCUCUGGAAGCAUCAGUUAGUCCAUUAUAAAAGAUAUCAAGUAUUUCAGGUUUCUUAAGAGGAUGAUCAGACAAAGCAUUAAGUAACUUGAGAAGCCUCCCCCAAGCUUGUGGGAGACUCUCUUCUUCAAUUUGCACGAAGUUGUAUAUUUCCCUCAAAGCAGCUUGUUUCUUAUGAGCAGGGAAAUAUUUAGCAGAGAAGUAAUAAAUCAUAUCCUGGGGACUUUGCACACAACCAGGAUCAAGAGAAUUAAACCAUAUCUUAGCAUCACCCUUUAAUGAGAAAGGAAAUAGUUUGAGUAAAUAAAGGUAGCGCGAUCUCUCAUUAUUAGUAAACAGGGCAGCUAUAUCAUUUAACUUAGUAAGAUGUGCCACAACAGUUUGAGAUUCAUAACCAUAGAAAGGAUCAAAUUCAACCAAAGUAAUUAUAUCUGGAUCAACAGAAAAAUCAUAAUAAUCCUUAUCGGGAACACAGAUAGGUGAAGUAGCAAAAGCAGGGUCGGGUCUCAUUCUAUCUCUAAGAGAUUCUUUACUCCACUUAACUAGCAACCUCUUAAGUUCAUAUCUAUCAUGGCAAGCAAAAAUAGCUGCAGAAGAUUCCGCAUCAAAAAGAUAACCCUCAGGAAUAGCAGGCAUAUUCUCAUCAUCACUAUCAUCAUCGUAUUCAGAUUCAAUAAUUUCUCUUUCUCUAGACCUAGCAAUUUGCUCAUCGAGGAAUUCACCGAGGGGCACAAUAGUAUCAAGCAUAGAAGUAGUUUCAUCAUAAGUAUCAUGCAUAGCAGAAGUGGCAUCAUCAAUAACAUACGACAUAUCAGAAUUCAUAGCAUAGCAGGUUUAGGUGUCGCUAGCUUACUUAUAACAGAAGGAGAAUCUAGUGCAAGGCUAGAUGGCAGUUCCUUACCCCCCCCCCUCGUAGUUGAGGGCAAAAUAGUAGUUCGAUCGUCUUUCAAGUUCUUCAUAGUAUCCAGCAGAUAUAAAUCCCAAGUGACUCAAAGAAUAGAGCUAUGCUGCCCGGCAACGGUGCCAGAAAAAGGUCUUGAUAACCCACAAGUAUAGGGGAUCGCAACAGUUUUCGAGGGUAGAGUAUUCAACCCAAAUUUAUUGAUUCGACAUAAGGGGAGCCAAAGAAUAUUCUCAAGUAUUAGCAGCUGAGUUGUCAAUUCAACCACACCUGGAAACUUAGUAUCUGCAGCAAAGUGUUUAGUAGCAAAGUAAUAUGAUAGUGGUGGUAACGGUAACAAAAGUAAAGACAGCAAAAGUAAUGUUUUUGGUAUUUUGUAGUGAUUGUAACAGUAGCAACGGAAAAGUAAAUAAGCGAGAACCGGUAUAUGGAAACCUCGUAGGCGCCGGAUAAGUGAUGGAUAAUUAUGCCGGAUGUGGUUCGUCAUGUAACAGUCAUAACAUAGGGUGACACGGAACUAGCUCCAAUUCAUCAAUGUAAUGUAGGCAUGUAUUCCGUAUAUAGUCAUACGUGCUUAUGGAAAAGAACUUGCAUGACAUCUUUUGUCCUACCCUCCCGUGGCAGCGGGGUCCUAUUGGAAACUAAGGGAUAUUAAGGCCUCCUUUUAAUAGAGAACCGGAACAAAGCAUUAGCACAUAGUGAAUACAUGAACUCCUCAAACUAUGGUCAUCACCGGGAGUGGUCCCGAUUAUUGUCACUUCGGGGUUGCCGGAUCAUAACACAUAGUAGGUGACUAUAGACUUGCAAGAUAGGAUCAAGAACACACAUAUAUUCAUGAAAACAUAAUAGGUUCAGAUCUGAAAUCAUGGCACUCGGGCCCUAGUGACAAGCAUUAAGCAUAGCAAAGUCAUAGCAACAUCAAUCUCAGAACAUAAUGGAUACUAGGGAUCAAACCCUAACAAAACUAACUCGAUUACAUGAUAAAUCUCAUCCAACCCAUCACCGUCCAGCAAGCCUACGAUGGAAUUACUCACGCACGGCGGUGAGCAUCAUGAAAUUGGUGAUGGAGGAUGGUUGAUGAUGACGACGACGACGAAUCCCCCUCUCCGGAGCCCCGAACGGACCCCAGAUCAGCCCUCCCGAGAGAGAUUAGGGCUUGGCGGCUGCUCCGUAUCGUAAAACGCGAUGAUUUCGUUUCUCUAAUUUUUUUUCUCCCCGAAAGCCAAUAUAUAGAGUUGGAGUUGGCGUCGGAGGGCCAACAGGGGGCCCACAAGGUAGGGGGCACGCCCCCCACCCUCGUGGACAGGGUGUGGGCCCCUUGGUCUUCAUCUUUGGCGAGGAUUUUUAUUGUUUUUUCUAAGGUGUUCCGUGGAGUUUCAGGUCAUUCCGAGAACUUUUAUUUUCUACACAUAAAACAACACCAUGGCAAUUCUGCUGAAAACAGCGCCAGUCCGGGUUAGUUCCAUUCAAAUCAUACAAGUUAGAGUCCAAAACAAGGGCAGAAGUGUUUGGAAAAGUAGAUACGACGGAGACGUAUCAGUGAUGACCGCGUGAACAAUGCACCUUUUAGUCCUCUACACACACCGGCCGAAGGGAUCCGGCUGGAUCUGUGGCCAGCGGUGAGCAGAGAGAAAAUGUCACUACCGCUGUCUUGUUUAUAUCUGGAGAGGAUGAGAGAAUGAAGAGAGCAACCCUAGUAAAGCAAGCGCUCAGGCCCCUGCGUCCAUAUAUAGUGGAGUGAUUAUCUUUUUUCUCUCCACAACAAGCGUUUCAAUUUGUGUACGUGGCAUUAAAGAAAAGAAACUCUCUAUUUAAGGUGACUACUGUACGACUCCUACUUACUACUAGUAGUACUACAGUAUUGUUCACUUGUGCUCCCCGCCCCUCCAUUCAUUGAACAACCCCACGGAUGAAUAAACAUACAAUAAGUACUGUAUUUAUAUAGAAUAGAACGAACAAGCUCGAACUAUUUUUGCGUAGUUAAAAGUUGAGGGCGGGGCUUUUCCCGGGCAGUACGCGCGGCAGUUUUCGGGUAGGCGGUUUGACAGAGAGGCGAGGAGGGUGAGCGAGUGGCAGAUUCUCAAACAUACUGCUGGAAAGGUCGGGCUGUGCGAUUUGACGGUGCGUUACUGCUGGAAAGACUUGUGAUAUGACCACUCACUAUAGUCAUGAAUUACUGGCGCUCCGACCGGGGUGAUGCCCCCCUCCUGUUCCGCGCUCUAAUCUGGUGCAUGACACGUCGACCCGGAUGCUGGCUCUCCCACAUGUCGGAGUAGUAAGAAGGAGCAAAGAAUGAUGCGGUAUAUACUAGUACUACUACUACCCAGGUCGGAGGAGUGCGAACCACGGCAGCCCAGUGAACCAGCAAUGCGAACCACGGCAGCCCAGUGAACAAGCAGUUCGAACCAUGGUAGCCCAGUGAACCAGCAGUAGAAAACAAUGUGGUGAUAUGGCCAUAAAAAACAAUGUGCUACGGUCCACACUGUAGCAUGUAAAGUAACACUCCUCUUUGUUUGGAUCCCUGAGUUAGAGCUAGUUUGGGUUGAAAUAGCCUCAAAUUAUCGAAACAAGAGGGGUUAGUUUGAGCUAGUUUGCUCUAACCUAGCUAAAAAAACUAGCCCGAUGGAGAGGUUCUAAUUUGGUUAGUUAUCCUCGGGCCCACCAAAAGUGAACUAAAAAAAUUUCCCAUGCCCGCAUGAGAUCACUCCCCCCCCUCUCGCACGACUCCUCUCUGUUCCCCAUAGGGCCGCCCGCCCAAGCACCGCUCGCCCUCUCUCUCCUCCGGCCACCCUCUCCUUCCGUCCUCCGCCGCCCUACUCUGGCCGCCCUCUCCCUCCGGGCUUCGAAGGUCGCCCUGCUCCCCCUUCACCAGUCUUUUUCUCCCUCUGUCGUACGCGGCGGCGGCACAUCUACCAGGGAGGUCGCGAGAGGGUGAGUUUGUUCAUUCCUUCUCUGUCUCACGGUCAUAUCAUUGAUCUUGCUUGCUCUAGCGCUAAUUCUGAUUUGGAAAAGUAGAUCCUGAUCAAACUUGGUAUAGAUUUGUGGUGCAUGCAUGGAAUUGUUUGAUGCUGCUUGAGGAGGUAAUCAAUCUUUCUAGAGGCCCAAUGAUUCAGUUCACCUUUCUAGGUAUUUCAAUUUCAGGCUUGCAUUAUUUCUAGAGGCCCAAAGAUUCAGUUCACCUUUCUAGGUAUUUCAGUUUCAGGCUUGCGUUAUUUCUAGAGGCCCAAAGAUUCAGUUCACCUUUCUAAGUAUUUCAAUUUCAGGCUUGCAUUAUUUCUAGGGGCCCAAAGAUUCAGUUCACCUUUCUAGGUAUUUCAGUUUCAGGCUUGCAUUAUUUCUAGAGACCCAAAGAGCCAGUUCACCUUUCUAGGUAUUUAAAUUUCAGGCUUGCAUUAUUUCUAGAGGCCCAAAGAUUCAGUUCACCUUUCUAGGUAUUUUAGUUACAGGCUUGCAUUAUUUCUAUAUGCCCAAAGAUUAAGUUCCCAGUCAGCAGCAAGCAGCCCUGCUACCGAUGCCGGUGUCGACCUCAACUCGGAAGGGCCGAUGUCGGAGGGGUUCCCGGGGCUUGGGCUCUACAGAGCCUUCCUCCAGAGCGACGAUGGCGAGCUCCUCCCUCGGUGCGUGAGGGGCUCCGGGCUCCCUCCCUAUCGUGAAUGACUUCCGUGAUGAGUUAGCUCAUGCUUUGUUCAUGAAGUGUUUUUUUUAUUUUGUGAAGCUUGAUUGAUGACUUGUAUGUUUAAGUGGGAUAUCUCAUUUGUAUGGACAAAGUAAAAAUUAUCAUGUUUUGCAUGCUUGAUUUGUAUAGAUGGUUCGUUUAUGUCAAUUGUGAGCGGGAGGAGGCCACAGAAGAGCCGGCCACACCAAAUCCGGCAGGAAAUAGGGUCCAAAGUAGUCAAAUGAUUAAGAAAGAGCAUUUAUUGUCAAUCUAACCCUGCCAUCCAUACACCUCUUUGGUUUAGAGUUAGUUCAGGGUUAGAAUCUAACUCUAACCUCUAACUGAGUUAGAGUUCUCCUCGUCUCGGUUCAUCGCCAUCAUACUUUCCCCAUUCCUGUGUUUUCGGUAUCCUGCGAAUCAAAGAGGCCCUUUUUUGCGGGAAAAAUCAAAGAGGCCCUUAGACUGGUUUAGAUCCGGUCAUUUUUUAUAAACGUGUUAUGUCCAAAAUUUAAUGAACGUGCUCUGGUUUCCACGAAAAUAAUUCGGUUUCAUGUAGUAAUUCAUUCAUUUAUUUAUUCUUCUACGGGGGGUUUGCAUGUAAUUCAUGAGGUCUGAAAUGUAAAGUACCCCGGCAUAUGCUCCGAGUCAUGCAUGCACCACGACCCAGAUGCUCUAUGUCCCACAUGUCGGCGAAUGGGAGCAUGUGGAAAUAGCCUAGGAGUACAUAUAGGAGGAUAAAUGCGUGAAAAAAUAUGUACUGUGAAGCAUAGCCGUGGUUCAAAAAGGAGACCUAAAGUGAUGACAGCUAUAGGUCGCACGCAUCCAACUAGUGGUACUAGACAUACGACUAAUUUUUCCCUAAAAAAAGAGGCACGAGUGCUCAGUACUCCUAUUCUAGAAACACGAGUCCCAUCUGACAAUAGCGUCCGUGCUACAGCUAGCUCUCCUUCCCCGUUUCUCUCUUCUAAUUCUAAACUCGGCCGACGCCCGGUGGGCGGGGUGGGUUUGCUCAACUGCGGCCCCACCUCACAGUGAAAACAUUACGAGUGGAGUAAAAAUGCCAUAUACUCCCUCCGUUCCUAAAUAUAAGCCUUUUCAGAUACUAUUUCAAAUGGAAUACAGCAUACAGAUGUAUGUAGACAUAGUUUAGAGUGUAGAUUCACUAUUUUUUUAUUAUGCAUGUCAGAUAUUGUACACAAUCGUACUGAACAUGUAGAGAAAAAGAGAAGACCGUUGCGUGGGAAUAUAAUGUCAUGCAGACGCCGCUCCAUCGUGGGCGAAGUGCCCCCCCCCCCCUCCUGCAUUUCCAGAUUGUAUUCCAGAGGAAGAUAACUGUUCAGAUGGAGAUUCAGAAGGAGCUGACCACGCCUGUUUACCACCUGAGGUGUUUGCUCUAACCUGGCAUGCUGAUGUUGGUCAUAUCAUGCAUAUGGCGCCUUGCAUUUCUUACAUUAUACAUCUUAUAUGUCAUCAGCUUUGUUUAGAUUUGCUUUGUGUGAAUGCCACCUGUUUGGUUUCUAUAUCAUACUCCCACCAUUCCUAAAUAUUUGUCUUUUUAGAGAUUUCAACAAGUAACUACAUAUGGAACAAAAUGAGUGAAUCUACACUCUAAAAUAUGUCUAUAUACAUCUGUAUGUGGUAGUCCAUUUGAAAUCUCUAAAAAGACAAAUAUUUAGGAACGGAGGGAGUAUAUGGGAAUUAUGCAAUGCCAUCUUCUUUAGCCAGGCAUCAUAUACGUGAAUCAUGCAAUGCCAUCCUGUUUAGCCAGUCAUCAUAUAUAUGAAUUGUAUUGUGCCAUAUUUUUUUCCAUAAUGUAUUCCAUUUGUCAACAAUGUUUAUACAUUCAUCUACUCUUCAUGUGCAUCAGCCAUUUGAGUCGGUCAUAGGAAAAUCUGGAGUGAAAACAAGGUCUUCUGAGUAGUCAGUGCUACCUGUCAAUGCAGAUUUCUUGCUGGUUACAGAUAGCUCCUCAGAGGAGGAUUCAGAGACAGAUGGCCAGUNNNNNNNNNNNNNNNNNNNNNNNNNNNNNNNNNNNNNNNNNNNNNNNNNNNNNNNNNNNNNNNNNNNNNNNNNNNNNNNNNNNNNNNNNNNNNNNNNNNNNNNNNNNNNNNNNNNNNNNNNNNNNNNNNNNNNNNNNNNNNNNNNNNNNNNNNNNNNNNNNNNNNNNNNNNNNNNNNNNNNNNNNNNNNNNNNNNNNNNNNNNNNNNNNNNNNNNNNNNNNNNNNNNNNNNNNNNNNNNNNNNNNNNNNNNNNNNNNNNNNNNNNNNNNNNNNNNNNNNNNNNNNNNNNNNNNNNNNNNNNNNNNNNNNNNNNNNNNNNNAACUUGGCUGGGUUAUAUUGCUCAUAUCAUGCAUAUGGUGUCUUGCAUUGCCAUGCCAUCUGCUUAGAUUAGACAUGCUUUGUGUGAAUGCCUCCUAUUUGCUUUCUAUAUCAGAUAUGUGAAUUAUGCAAUGCCAUGUUUUUCAGCCAGUUAUCAUAUAUGUGAAUUAUGCACCAACAUGGAGCCAGACAUCAUAUAUGUGAAUUAUCUCAUGCCAUCUUUUUUUCAAUUACGUAUUCCAUUUGUCGACAAUCUGUGUAUAUUGAACUACUCUUCAUGUGUAUCAUCCAUUUGAGCCAGUUAUGGAAAAAUCUAGAGUGAAAACAAGGUCUUUAGAGUAGGCAAUGGUACAUGUUGAAGCAUAUAUCUCGAUGGUUACAGGGAGCUCCUCAGAGGAGGAUUCAGAGAUAGAUGACCAGUCUUAUAUCCCACCUGAGGUGUAUGCUCUAAGUUGCAAUGUUUAUAUUUCUCAUAUGAUGCAUAUGGUGUCUUGCAUUGCUUAGUUUAGACAUCAUAUGCACAAUAUUGAAUUCUAUCUGCUUAGUUUAGAGAUCAUACAUGCGAGUGCCAGCUGCUUAGUAUAUGAAUCAAUUAUGUCAAUUAUAUCAUGCCAUCAUGUAUACUUAGACAACAUGUAUGUGAAUUAUUUUAUCCCAACCUAUUUUAGAAAGACAUCAUAUAGUUUUGUCCUGUCAUCCUGUUUAGGUACUCAUCAUAUGUUGAAUUAUGCCAUUAUAUCCUGUUAAGUUAUCCAUCAUAUAUCUGAAACUGUGUCAUGCAAUCCUGUUUAGUUAGGCAUCAUAUAUGUGAAAUUGUGUCAUGCUGUCAUGUUUGGUUAGACAACAUAUAUGUGAAUUACCACAUCUGUCUAUCAUACAGUGUCUAUACGUUCAAUUUCUUUUCUUGUUUAUCAGCCAUUUGAAUUGGAGGGGGUGAUGGCAGUAUCUAAGGGAGCAAAAACCCGUUCUUCACAAAAGAUAGUGCUACCCGUCGAUGUAGAUAGAACCAUGGUUGUACUGGCCCACAAACUAGCCCCACCACACAUAAUCGAGACUCUUCCAGAUUGCACACUUACACCAUUCGGCAGAGAACCAGCUACAACCCAUCUAACCGCAACCCCAGCGGAUAGUAACCCACUUCUAGUUGACAAAGCACCAUAUCCACCACAGAGUACCCCCACAUGAGCAGUUUGUAAAGCUAGUGCAGUGCCCAAAGCACGAAGACCACCACAGCUAACCCAAACUCCACGUUUAAAGCAGAAGAGCAAUUGUUCUUAGGUCAGAUUCUGUAGCUAUGGUCCAUACUCCUUUGUUGUUGCAUCACUGUAUUUACUCAUACCAACUACUUCCGAAUUUGAAGGAUCCAAUUGAAACUCCAAUGGCGCAACAGGUAUGUUUUAAACCUAUUUCUUUAACUGGAUUGCUGUUCUAACUUCUUGCUCUAUGUUGAUUUCAGUUUAAGUUGUAUAAACAAUUAUGUUCUCAUGUGAUGCACAUUACAAGUGCUGCCAAUGUUGUGUAGUUUAUCACACUUAUAUUCUGUCUAUGCUGCUGUGUCUUAAAAAUAUAUGAGUUGAACUAUGUCUCUAUCUUGAUUAGGGAACAUAAACUAGAAUGAUAUGGACAAUACAGUGACCAUAGUACAUAGAUAUAUGUUUGUUUCAUGUUGUUAUCCUGUCCACCUUACUACUGAACCGGUUUACCAAAAUGAGUUUCAUAUACUACAUGCUAAACCUGUGAUGUGUCUGCUUGUUUCUCUUGUACGUAGUAUGCAAACAGAAUAUUGGAGAAGAGCACCCCACUAUGCAAUGGUAGAGAAAGUAAUGCAGAUAAGGUUCAAGAUAGUGAGACAACCCUGUUGGUCUCCAAGAAAGGUGAUAAAAACGAUCUUGUAGAUAGUGAGAAAACCCCACAGUCCUGCAUUGAUGUAGUGUUCGAGUUACUGGCCAGUACCGCUGGCACAAGCUCUUCGAACUCACUGCCUGAAUCACUUUGGCUUCUUCAGUCUCAGCUACAAGCUGAAAGGCAUCAGUCAGCUAUGCUGUGGCAAGAAGCCGAAGGGCUGAGGAAGUCCCUGCAGAAUUCAGAUGUGUACUUUCUUGUGCAACAGCAAGCGCUGGAGGAUUUAAGCGCCAAACAAGAGAAAGUUAAUAAGCUUGCUAAGCAUCUUGCCAGCAUUAUGGGUACCCAGGAUAUUGUUUCUUGAACUCUUCUGAAGUGGUUUCAGUUCUGGACUUGUUUUGCUGCGGCGUUUAUAUGCUGCUUUGUUCCCUAUAUUUGCACUGGUGGCGAACUUUGAUGCCCAGUGGAUGUAAUAUGUGUAAUAGCCGUGAUAGCCUAGCAUAAGUUGCUUGCUUAUUUAUUUCCUUGUUGUCUUGUUUAUUUUUUUGCUUGUAGUCAGUGCAAUUCUUUUUUCGCGGUUUGCUAGUGGCUGCAAUAACCUAUUUUUUAAAACUAGGCCACAAUAACCAUGGGCUAAUAUUUAUUGUAGUGACACUGGGCCUCCUACGGGCCGUAGAAACAGUGGGCCUUCUACGGGCCGUAGAAACAAUGGGCCUUCUACGGGCCGAAUCACAAUGGGACUUAUACGGGCCGUAUGACCGAUUGGCCAAACAUGGGCCAAUAACAGGCAGCAUUAUGGCCGUAAAUGGGCUAGAGUUGGAAUCGUCCGUUCAUAGGCCGACCAUAAUGGGCCAUCAUUAAUAGGUCGUAUUUGAUGAUGCUAUGAAAACGGCCCAACGUAUUAACGGACCACAAACGGGCCGACUCUAACCACGGGCUGAAUUUGGCCCACAAGCAAAAAAUGACAAUAACGGGCCGUAAGUAAACGAAUGCUGGAAAUGAGCCCAAUAAUAAAUGGGCUCUGAGAAGGCUGAAAGAUAACAUGGGCUAGAAAUGGCCCAACGGAAUAACGGGUCGUUAAUGGGUAUAAAGUGAUACACUAUUCAUUAUGGGCCAGUUUCACCACGGACCGUUAAUGGGUGUAAAAUGAUACACUGUUCAUUACGGGCCAGUUUCACCACGGGUCGUUAAUAGGCCAAGAGUUACAUAGGGCCUCAUAUGGGCCGAAAGACGUCAUGGGCCAUACAUGGGCCAGAAGUGAAAACGAGCUGGAAUCAUAUUGGAUGGCCCAGAUGACGCUACUGGGCCUAAUUCGGAUAGGGCGUAACAACCCUUGGGUUAGCGGGUUGUAAAUGGGCUAUAUGCGAAUAGGCCGUUAACAGGCUUUACAUGGGUCGGCCCGCCACCUUUUGACCAAGUCAAACGGGCCGGCCUUUUCAUAGGAAUGGGCCUCUAUUGGGUCGUACCACGUGUUGACGUAUCAUAGGCGCCUUCUGUCCAAUGAGUGGAUGACAUCUGUCCCAACGAUGAGCCGACACGUGUUUCCUCCAACCAAUGAUGAUUUUACACGUGGAAAAUCCCCAUUGGUCGGGGCUAUUAACGGGUUAUCGAAUCCAAAACCCGACCCGAUAGCUUAACAACGUUCCAUUACGGUGGAUGCCACAUGUCGGUCACCCUUGACGAAAGCACUUCUGUGACGCGCGAUUUAUCGUCAUGGAAGUGGACACUUUCGUGAUGAUAAUUUUGGUAAUGUCAUGGAACACUUCUAUGACAGCACAUGUAUGACUAUCUUGAUUAUGUCAUAAAAUCGUCAUGGAUAUACAUGCAUGACAAAAACGUGACCUACUGUAACGAACACGUAUCAUCACAGAAGUGUAUUUUUUUGUAGUGUGUGAUGGUCACCUAUAAAAAAAGAAAAACACUGGAAAAGAAAAUCCAGUGUGGCCGUACAUAAAGUCUGUUUGAUGAACCUUUAAAGGUAACCGUAGAGUCCGAAUAGGGUCAAGCCGAACUAUGGACUAUUUGUGUGCAGUAUGCCCCCAGCGCUGCUCAAGGGAUUUUGAGGAUGUACUUGUGUAUACGAGGUACGUAUGAUGUCGCCUUAUGAGGCAGUCGAUAGGGGCGUAACUGCUAAUCGAGCUCCGGUUUAUCUGAGCUGCCGCACUAAGGUGUACUUCGGACACGUUUAGUUGUGUCUGUGGUCUUAACGACCGCUGAUCUGUUUGGCUUGAGUAGGCCGUUUUGGACUUUGACUGCUAGGGCCGCAGUGUCCUUCUCCUACGGAGAGAGUGUUCCAUAUUUCCACUGACCGUAAUGACGCCCCGUGGUCUGGGGAUUUUGAGCUUUAAAUAAGUAUAAUGUGGGACGACAUUAAAGCGGGCGAAGGUCGUUCUUCCGAGUAGUGCAUGAUAGCCACUUCGGUACGGAGCUAUGUCGAAGAUUAGCUCUUCGCUUCGAAAGAUAUCAGGAGAGCCGAAUACGACUUCCAAUGUUAAAGAGCCCGUGCAGCGGGCUUCUACGCUCGGUAUAACUCCUUUAAAGGUCGUGCUACUUGGCUUGAUUCUUGACAGGUCUACCCCCAUUUUGCGGACAGUGUCCUGAUAUAUCAGAUUUAGGCUGCUGCCGCCGUCCAUGAGGACUCGAGUGAGAUGGUGUCCAUCGAUUAUUGGGUCGAGCACUAGGGCAGCCAAACCCCCAUGGCGGAUACUAGUUGGGUGGUCCCUGUGAUCAAAGGUGAUCGGACAUGCCAUCCAUGAGUUGAAUUUGGGAGUAACAGGCUCAACGGCAUAGAUGUCUCGGAGUGCGCGUUUGUGCUUCCUCUUUGGGAUAUGAGUGACGUAAAUCAUAUUCACUGUUUUGAUCUCCGGUGGAAAUUUCUUCUGUCCUCCUGUGUUCGGCUGGCGAGAUUCAUCCUCGUCUUCGCUCUGAGGUCCCCUCUCCUUGUGUUCGGCGGUGAGCUUGCCGGCCUGCUUGAAUACCCAACAACUGCGGUUGAUAUGGUUCACAGGUUUGGUGGGGGUGCCACGGAUUUGGCAGUUCCUGUCUAGUAUUUUGUCUAGGCUAGAUGGACCAUCUUUGUUUCCUUUAAAUGGUUUCUCCGUUGACCGGGUCUGGAGCCACUGAAUCCGACAUUUACUGCCGUAUCAUCUGGGCUUCCCUCAUUGUUUCGACGUUUGUUUCUGUUACGUCGUGGCUUUCCAUUGCCAUCCCUGACUUCGGAUGUGCCAGGUUUGCUGGUGCUGCUAUGGGCUAGCCAGCUGUCCUCGCCCGCGCAAAAACGGGUCAUCAGUGUAGUUAGGGCUGUCAUUGUCCUUGGUUUUUCCUGGCCGAGGUGUCUAGCUAGCCAUUCGUCUUGGACGCUGUGCUUGAAGGCUGCUAAGGCCUUGGGGUCCGGGCAAUCAACAAUUUGGUUCUUCUUAGUGAGAAACCGGUUCUAAAGCUUACGGGUUGAUUCCCCAGGUUGUUGGAUUAUGUGACUUAGGUCGUCAGUGUUCAGGGCCCGGACAUAAGUCCCUUGUAAAUUGGCCCAAAAAGCAUCCUCAAGUUCUUCCCAACUUCCAAUGGAAUUUUCUGGGAGGCUUUUCAGCCAGUGUCGAGUUGGUCCUUUCAGCUUGAGGGGUAAGUAUUUGAUGGCGUGGAGAUCAUCUCCCCGAGCCAUGUGGAUGUGAAGAAUAAAGUCUUCUAUCCAGACUGCCGGAUCCGUCGUUCCAUCAUAUGCCUUGAUGUUUACGGGUUUAAAUCCUUCUGGAAAUUCGUGAUCCUGCACCUCAACGGUGAAGCACAGGGGAUGAGCGGCACCCCUGUAUUUGACUGUGUCGUCGCGUGGGUUCGACGGUUGUGAUGCUCGGCAUUGACUCUAAACUGCUAUAUGACCAGCAUAUUUGGUUUGAUAGCCACAAUCCCGUGUGGGGGCACGGUCCAUAGAUUCGUAGAUGGAUCUGGCUUUACUGGCCUUUUUGUCCAGGUCCUCACGUAGAUCGUGUUUCUGGUCUUGAGCCGCAACCUCCCUUCCUUUACGGGGAGGGGGUGCAGGCUUGUGUACGGCAUUGCUAGCCGCUCUGUCUCGACCACGAGGUGGUCGGUCCGGCUUGUCGGCCGUAUUGUUUUUCGGUGGUAUAGGCGCAAUAGCCUCGUCGUCGAAUUCGGGCAAUAUUACGCUUAGGAUAGCCCCUUGUUUGGCGAUUGCAGCCAUAUUUUUCCUCGGCGUCUAGCACUUCGUUCCAUCUGUUAUUGAGCGUAUCCUGAGUGACUUUAAGCCACUGCUCCUGCUUCUUUAGGCUCCUUGCGGUGGCGAUAAGCCUUUGAUGGAGGCGUACUUGUUCUAAGGGUUCUUCUGGGACGACGAAUUCGUCGUCGCCCAAGCUGACUCCUCUUCGGAGAUAGGUUGGUAAUUGCUAUCUUUGGCAUCGCUACGAUCAGACAACAUCGCCGGACUGUGCUCGCCGUCUUCUCACGCAUCCUGCUCCAACGCUGGGUCUGCGGGGUCCUUAGUUUGGUUCGGAUUAUCAUCGUCGUCAGUGACAAUGUUGCUGUUUUUCCUUCUGCCGGAUCAAGGUCGGUGCUUCUGACACCGACGCUUGGAGGUUCAUCGACAGGCAUACUGUUAUCGUCGUCGGCCUCCUUCUCUUUAGGUGUGUCCACCAUGUAUAUAUUGUAUGAGGAUGUAGCCGUCCACCACCCUAUGGGUGGUGGUUUUUGUGCCUGCUCCUCUCCGACAUCGUCGUCCAUACCGUCGAUGUCCUCGGAGCCAUAAUCGAGCGUGUCGGUUAAGUCUUCGACAGUGGCAAUGAAGUGGGUGGUGGGUGGGAAGCGAAACUCCCCGUCAUCAGAUUCCCAUUCAAGCCGGAAAUAGUUCGGCUGAGAUUCUCCUGAUAAGGAGAGGGCUCUUAAUGAGCUCAGCACAUCACCAAAAGGUGAGUGCCGGAAGAUGUCCGUGAAGCUGAACUCAAUGAUCGGCGCCCGAUCAGGUUCGAUGGGCACGGAUGCACGUGGUUCGGGACCUAUGGCCGGAGAUGAAUCUGAGGUUCCGAUAACACAGGGCCCACUUGAGGUUGGAUCUGUGUGCGGCUCUAUCGCCGCUGAGUUUGCGCCUUCCGUAGCGGGGUUGAGCAUCCCGUCCUCGGAUGGCGCGAUCUGCUCCGGAUCUAGGGCCAGAGCAAUUGUAGGUGUUAUCUCCUGAGCACGGUCCGAUGACAGAUUUAGGUUAUGUUCAUCGUGGUGACAGGGAGCGGCCGUCAUGGGCUCGAAUCUAUCGAAAAUCAAAUCUCCGCGGAUAUCCGCCACAUAAUUCAGGCUUCCAAAUCUGACCCGAUGGCCAGGGGCGUAGCUAUCGAUCUGCUCCAGAUGGCCAAGCGAGUUGGCUCGCAGUGCGAAGCCGCCAAAUACGAAGAUCUGUCCGGGGAGGAAAAUCUCCCCCUGGACUGCAUUGUUGUAGAUGAUUGAUGGGGCCAUCAAACCUUUUGAUGACAACGCAGCGGAACUCUCAAUGAAAGCACAAAUGUCAGUGUCAAAACCGGCGGAUCUCGGGUAGGGGGUCCCGAACUGUGCGUCUAAGGUCGAUGGUAACAGGAGAACGGGGACACGAUGUUUACCCUGGUUCGGGCCCUCUCUAUGGAGGUAAUACCCUACUUCCUGCUUGAUUGAUCUUGAUGAAUAUGAGUAUUACAAGAGUUGAUCUACCACGAGAUCGUAAUGGUUAAAACCCUAGAAGUCUAGCCUAUGGGAUUAUGAUUGUGUCCUAUGGACUAAACCCUCCGGUUUAUAUAGACCGGAGGGGGCUAGGGUUGUACAAAGUCGGUUACAGAGAAAGGAAUCUACAUGUCCGAAUCGCCAAGCUUGCCUUCCACGCAAAGGAGAGUCCCAUCCGGACACGGGAAGAAGUCUUUUGUCUUGUAUCUUCAUAGCCCGACAGUCCGGCCCAUUUAUAUAGUCCGGUCGUCCGAGGACCCCUUAAUCCAGGACUCCCUCAGAUAUCGUUCCAAAAAUCGUAUCGUGGUCACAAACGCUCUCCAUCUCCCUUUCGUAUCUUAUAUGCCAACCACACCGGCCACUCCCAGCCACACAUCCACUCCAUUGUAUCCCCCUCUCCUCAAGCUAUUUUUUUUAAUAAUACACUUUUUUAUUAAUUUUCAAAAAUAUUACAUCUAUAUUUAAAAAGAAAAAUUACAUCGGCGGCCUUCUAGUAGCCGACUGGAUCCAGUAAUCAAGGAGAAAGCCGAUUGGCACCCUGUCGGCUACAGGGUGGUCGAUUGGCCUCCUGUCGGCCAAGGGGUUGCCGACAGCCCUAUCGGCCGCUGGUUGUAGAUCUUGUCGGUUACCUAGUGGAUGGCAGGAACUAAUUGUAUUCCUGCGGAUUAGGUCUAAUUGGCUUCCCCUAAGCCGAUAGGUGCAUGCACCCAUAUUCUCCCACUAUGUUUCCCGCCAGUAUCUCCCGCCAUAUUUCCCGCUUUCUAGUUCCCGUCAUAUUUUUCUCGCUUUCUAGUUCUCGUCACAUUUUUUUGAUUUCUAGUUCCCGCCAUAUUUUCUCGCUUUCUAGUUCCCACCUAUAUCUCCCGCCAUAUUUCCCCACUUCCGAGUUCCCGCCUAUUUUUUCUUCUCAACCUAUAAAACACUCACGGCACUAUGGUGGGUAAGCAUUCUAGUGUAGUGCCUCGCGAAGAUGUCCAGGUAUCCUUUUGAUCAUAGUUUUCACCCUGGUAUGUCCAAAUGUCUUCUAUGUUUAGCCACCGAUUUUAGGUUGACAUAUGAACUCAUCAGUAGUGACACGCUACUGAAUGCGCUAGCUCACACGUAAGUAUGUGCGGGUGGAUUUCCAGGACCUUUCAGGAGAUACGGAAAGAACUUCUCAGGUUGCAUGGAAGAUGGAUGAAGAAACAAUCUAAGAGUGAAAAAUACCUAAAGGUUGCAGCAGAACAUACUUUUUUUUGGACGGCCGACCGCGAGGAUGAAGACGAUAUCUUCAUGCCAAGCACCAAGGCCAAGAGUACCACACCGUCGAAGGGCAAGAGUUGUGUAUCAUCGAAGGACAAGAGUUCUUCAUAGUCAAAGGGCAAGAGUUCUGCAUCGAGGAGAAGGACGAUGAUGACUUCAUGUCGUUUUUACGUUGUGUUUUAAGUUCAAUCCUACCGUUUAAUUCAGAUGUAGUUAUAUCCAGUUGUUUGUACUAUUUUAUUGUACGAGUAUGUUCUAUCUAAAUAUGAUGUUGUAGUUGGCGCACGACGUUGGAUAACAGAGUACUAAAAUAGAGGAGGCAUAUGUAUCAUGUUGGAAAUAUGCCCUAGACGCAAUAAUAAAGUGGUUAUUAUUAUAUUUCCUUGUUCAUGGUAAUCGUUUAUUAUCCAUGCUAUUAUUGUAUUGACUGUAAACUCAAAUACAUGCGUGGAUAUACAGACAACAACAUAUCCCAAGUGAGCCUCUACCGGACUAACUUGUUGAUCAAAGAUGGCUAUGGUUUCAUAGUCAUAGACAUGAGUUGUCAUUUGAUAAUGGGAUCACAUCAUUAGGAGAAUGAUGUGAUGAAAAAGACCCAAACUAGAAGCGUACCAUAUGAUCAUAUCAAGUUUAUUGCUAUCGUGUUCUGCAUGUCAAGUAUCUGUUCCUAUGACCAUGACAUCAUGCAACUCACUGACACCGAAGGAGUACCUUGUGUAUCAAACGUCGCAAAGUAAAUGGGUGACUAUAAAGAUGCUCUACAGGUAUCUCCGAGGGUGUCUGUUGAGUUGGCAUGGAUCAAGACUGGGAUUUAUCACUGUAUGACGGAGAGGUAUCCUAGGGCCCACUCGGUAAUACAGCAUCACAAUGAGCUUGCAAGCAAUGUGACUAAAGAGUUAGCCACAGGACCUUGUAUUAUCGAACGAGUAAGGAAACUUGACGGUAACGAGAUUGAACUAGGUAUGGAGAUACCAACGAUCGAAUCUCGGGCAAGUAACAUAUCGCCGGACAAAGGGAAUUGCAUACAGGAUUGACUGAAUCCUUGACAUCUGGUUCAACCGAUAAAGAUCUUCGUUGAAUAUGUAGGAACUAAUAUAGGCAUCCAGGUCCCGCUAUUGGUUAUUGACCGGAGAGGAGUCUCGAUCAUGUCCGCAUAUUCCCGAACUUGUAGGGUCGCACGCUUAACGUUCGAUAGCCUUAGGGUAGUAUUGAGAUAUUAAUAGUGGAAAGUACGGAGGUUGUUUGGAGAUCCGGAUGGGAUUCGGGACAUCAUGAGGAGCUUCAGAAUAGUCCUGAGGUAAAGAUUAAUAUAUGGAAAGUUGUUAUCGGGGUUCCAGAAAAAGUUCGAGUUUUUUCGAUAUUGUACCGGGAAGGUUCUGGAGUAGGGCCCACCGGCAUGGGGGACCCACAUGAACGUGGGUUGUGGGGAAAGUCCCCACGACCCUAGUCAAGGCGCACCAAAAUCCUCCCUUAAAAGGAAUAGUAUCAUAUCCCAACAUAUUAAUAGUUGAAACAGGAUCAAAGCUCUUCAAGGCANNNNNNNNNNNNNNNNNNNNNNNNNNNNNNNNNNNNNNNNNNNNNNNNNNNNNNNNNNNNNNNNNNNNNNNNNNNNNNNNNNNNNNNNNNNNNNNNNNNNNNNNNNNNNNNNNNNNNNNNNNNNNNNNNNNNNNNNNNNNNNNNNNNNNNNNNNNNNNNNNNNNNNNNNNNNNNNNNNNNNNNNNNNNNNNNNNNNNNNNNNNNNNNNNNNNNNNNNNNNNNNNNNNNNNNNNNNNNNNNNNNNNNNNNNNNNNNCAUCGCCCGACCCGAUGUCGGGCCUUAUGCAUUUGCCCGAAGAUCUUGAACCAAGGGUAGGAGGUCGGAGAUCUCCACGGCAACGCCUCCAAGGAGGGGAACGACGCCCGCGGGCGCCACCGCUGCCGGUUGGCAACAACCGGGCAGCUCUUCACCCGAAGCAUUUCGAACACCACCUCCACGCGCCGCAAUCCGCUGACCCGCUCGCCUCCCACACAGAAAUCACGCUGUCGCCAUACGGGAGCCACCACAUACCUUGCCGGCACCAUGCCGGGCUAGAUCCGGCUGCAACCGAAUCACCAUCUAGCCUCACCCAGAACCCCAGCCGCCUGCAGCCACUGAACAAAUGAAGCCGCCGGGCUAGCAAGCCGGCCAGAUUUGCAGCACCGCUCGGGAGGGGGCUGCCACCCUGCCCCAUCCCGCAGCGCGGAGCUGCCGGCCCAAAGCCCAGGCAGCUUGCAGUAGCCGCUGCACCGCCAAGAGGGCGCCGCUGAAUAGGCAGAAGCCGUCGGCUGCCACCCCAUCUGCUGGAUCCACACGCCAGGAGUCACCAAGCCGCCGCCAUCCGCUGGAUCCACAAUGGCAGGAGCUGCCAGAGCACCACCGAGACGCUGCUGAGCCGAGCACCACCAUCCCGUGCAGACCGCAGGCACCGCUCGUCGCCACGCUAGAUCCGCACCUGGCCGCGCACGCCCACAGCUCCGCGACGCCAAGGGAGAUGGCCGCCGCCAGCACCGCACGGCGAUGAGAAGAAGAAGAUGAUGUAUAUCCUAAGGAAGUCUAUCAAUAUUUUUGUUACUCAUGGAUCAAUGCAUUCUGGUCCUAUGCUUUAGAAAGGAAAAACAGUUUGAACCCCACAACGGUUAGGGUCACUUAUGCCGAAUAAUCCAAAAGUUCCAGGACAUCAGCAUCCACUCGACAAACAACUGCGGACAUUCUACUCGCCAAUGAUUCAACAACAUAUAUUAGCAUCUGCGCUGAUAAGAUUUAAGAUACAGCGCGAUGAAAUUACGAGAUGAGACAGACUCUGUUGUUGGAAUUUGUAUACAGCCGAAACUGCAGCAACAUCUACAGUAGUGCGCAAAGCUUGACUGCCGGUGUGUGUAGCUGAAAGAAACAAGGGCACGUACCUCUACACACGAGGUGAUGAAGGACGUCUCCAGAGGGGAUCGCAGUGGUUGAAGCUUCUUCAGUUUCGUCGGACUUGAAUUUCUACUCUGAAAUGAACCACCAUAUCUGCAUCCCUGACUUUCUUAUGGGCGCAAAAUGAGAUUGUGUGAACGAUAACCACAACUUGACAAGGAAAACACCUCUGCUAACCUCAUUAACUCAACUGAAAAUACGUAUUUCUGAACACUCCCUGAACUUGCUUUUACAGAUUACAAAAAUUCCUCUGCUAACCUCAUUAACUCAACUUGUAAUAAUGCACUCGUAUUUCCCAACUCCUGAAUCACUGUAAUGAUUACCACUACCAUCCAGGACCAGUCACGCAAAAGUACCUGCUAGUUUACUUAGGUAACUGAAAUUGUCAGGGAACUCCAUGAACCAUCCCCACUUGCUUGCAUCUGCUACACUUUACCCUACUGUGGAUCUCUUGUCCAGCAAUACCACAGCAUUUUCUAGGGAAGCAGUUACCCACAACAAUUGUGGUACAGGAGGCCUUUCAUGCAAGGCUUCCUAUACACUCACGACUUCCCUUCAGGGAACGCAAGUAAAACACCGACCUUGUACAGCUUGCCACCACAUUGUGUGACGAUUCGGUAUUCGACUAGACAAUCUGUGCAACUUCUACUCGCUUCAUUCACUGCUACUCAAUGUAAAAUAUUAGGAGACCAUGACAGUUCUAAUGCAAAGGAUACAGAGGAGCUAACUGCAGUCCCCUCCACAUUUUCUCAUCCGGGCUUGGGACCGGCAAAGGCAGUGUUAAACUACUCCUACUUAAACACAGAAAACAGCCAACACUACAAACAAUUACAUUCAGCUAAAGCAUACAAGCCACGCAAUCAACCAAAGGUAGCAUUGGCACACGAUUGGCAAUAAAGUAUUCACGCAACAUUUUUGGAAGAUCAUAACACAGACAUGAGGCACAAACAAAGAAUGCCAUAAAUUCCAGAACCUGAAUGGACUAAUGUAUCUAGUGGGAUGAGCGUGAUUCAAAACUUUGCACAGAGAAAGCUUUGCAAGAUUUAGCCAUUAUAAAGGGUCAGAGGACCGUAAGAUGUGUAGACAGAUACUUCUGUGUCCUUAAAAUCUACAUAUAGGAUUUAUUAUGUAGUAUGAAACAGAAUGGGUUUGUCUAAGUUUCUAGUUAAGAAUAUGCAAUCGGCAGGAAUCAUCAAAUUAGUACUUCUGCUAGUUGCCAACUAAUUUAAAACUAGGAAGUAGGCAGAAAACUAAGAAUAUGUAAUUGAAGAGAAUGUGUGGUUCAAGAUUCAGAGCAGUUCACCGGCAAAGAAGGUCAAUUAGCCAUUAGAGGAUGUGUGAACGCUAUGAAUUAUAGAUUUAAGAAUAAGUAAUGGAAGAUUCCAUAAUCCAGAUCAAAUUAGCAGUUUGCGUAAAGAGAUCAAAUUAGCCAUUGGAGGACCGUAGAGAUGUGUGAGCGCUUUGUGACUUUAAAUCCAGGAUGAAGUACAAAACAAACUGCCAUAUGUUGAAAGUAAUCAGCAGGAUUCAUCCUCAAAUUAGCCAGUGUGUUCAGGAAUCAUCAAAUUAGCCAGACUGUUCUGCUAGGUGUCAAUUUAACCAAACCGAGAAGAUGCAUUGAAGAAUCCAGAUCUCACUGGAGAAGUACCAAUGAGAAUAACAUCACUUCUGAAAAUCAACUCCAUACCAACAAAGCAGAAUCAUAUUCAGUGAACAUGUUCAGGGCAAAAUAUUUGUUCAAGCUUCCAAGCUCAGAAACUUCCAACUAUCCAAAGUUUUAGUAUAUAUAGCAAUAACUCCUAAACCUCUUUCUGCAUACCCAACUACAGGAGGCCAACCAACACAAGUGCGAGCGUGGGAUCUUUCUUUAUCACCAAAGUAAAAAAUAUGAGCACACCAAAAGUUGAUUUUGUGUCAUAAGAUGAACCUAAACAACGUGUAUAUAUAUAAAAUUAUAUACAUAAACAAACCAAGUGCAAUCAUGGACAACAGUAUGUAGAACAAAUCCAAGUAUGACCAAUUCAUAUAUAUAUAUAUGCAUUAACAUUUUUACUGCAUUCAGAGCUCAUGUACAUACGAUCUUUACUUCCUAUUGGGUGAUAAAUUUGCAAGUCGAAAGAUACAAGCAGCCAAAUAUCAAAACCAAACUUCCUGAAACAGUAUGGUAACCAGGUAAUUUAUAGUCAAAUCAAACUUCGAUAAUCUUCUAUACAAACUGAGUACGAACUGAUAUUUCCAUUUCGGACCCUUGUUUGAGACUUCUAGCAUUUUCUUGAUUCAAGCAGAAGAUGAGAUCAUAUUCCAUCCAAACCACAUGCAAGUUGAAGAAGAUACCGUAACCAGUAAGAUGGCAGAACAGAAACCAAGUAAGAUGCUUCAGGACAGUUGAAAGAAUCAGAUGUGCACACUACCAACUCCAAGCUGCACCAAAGAUAUGAGGCCACUGAAUGCAAGUUCAAACUGAAAACUACCACAAAGACCAUAUCAUUAUGCUUCAGGAUCACUAAUCAGAAGUCAAAACCAUCAGGGAAGCCCGUUUGCUUUCACCAAGUCCCAGCGCUGACUGACUACCCAACUCUACAAUCUUGCAAUAAAAACUUCAAUAAUGCAAAUCAAUGAACGGCCCAAAUGACAGGCAUACUUAUAGUUUCUUCAAGGAAAAUCAGACCAUAAUAAAAUCUGGGAAAUCAGUUGAAACAAGCAUCGAGUCCAGGUUUAAGUUUUUAUUUUGUGGUCGAGGAAGAUUCCUCCAUCCAGAACGAAGCUCCCAAACAGCCAUCAGACAAACAUAAAUCAAGGAACUAAGGUAUAGCCACUCAAAUCUGACGUCACCAAGCACAGAUGAGGAAUCCAGCAAAUCAAUGUGACCAAACAUGGGAAACUGACCUGCCUCAAGUACCCUUCACCAUAUGUUCACACACCAUAUGAAGCUUCAUUUCCAGACCAGAUCGAGAUCCAGUCCUGCAAGCUAAAUUGUAGAGACCAUAACAAAUUAAACAAACAGACUGUCUACAAGAAUCUGACCUGACUCCAUGUACAGAGCGGUUUGGGCCCAAACUCCUAACUAUUAUAUCUUGCCAACCCACACUCACAGAAGACCUAGAGAGCACAGGGAUCAAGAGUACAGAUAACAACCAUGGGGAGCUAGUCACUGCCCACAUGGCCUGGGCUAAAGAACAAUCUGCAACCAUAGGAAGGGCAGGGGCAAAAACCUAUAUCAAAGCGAUGGCCAAGUAACUAAUAAAUGAAAUAAAGAAAAUAGGAAGGUAAGAGUCUUCUUCGGUUGUAGGAUGUGCCAUUAGUUGAAAGCUCUGGAUUAUCCUUAUAUUUGUUUUGCAUAUGAAUCUGUAUUUAAAAUAUUGUCUUAUAAGAUAAUUUAUAGGUUAUAUAAGACGAUACUAGUAGAUUUAGAAAAUCAGUAGAUGGAUUUACCGGGUUGGAAAGGAGUUCUUCAACUACAACCUGCAGCGAGCAAGAGGCCUUUUCUAUAAAUUUUUGGUUAGGGGAAAUGCUGCUUAUAUAUAAAUAGCUAAAGCAUGGAUAAAACGAUGAGCGGGAACAAGUAAAAGCCUGUCUAGGGUCAGGUAUGGAUGAUGGACGACAACAACGCCAGUUCCAAACUGCAGAUUCCUUUCCAAGUCGGUAUCUGCAAGAGCUGAGAAUUACCAAGGCAAAGAAAACCUAAGGUCUAGAGAGUUCAAUUAUAGAGUAAAAAGGUUGAAAAGUUUUAGCCAUAGAAGGAACUGCCACGAUGCAAAAUAGGACCGCCUUCUAAGGCGUAUUAUUCCAAUUUCUGGAGAGCCACCAACAAAUAGUUCAAAUUAGAAUUGUGGGAAACCAAAACAGAACAGUGGAGACGAAAGAGCAAAACAGAGGGAGUGAUAAUUAUCCAAACGCAAAGCAGAGCAAGAUGUGUCUCUCCGCUAAGCCAUAUAAUUCCAAUUUCUGGAGAACCAACAUAUCCAAAAAUAUCCUGCGGCCCAGACUUCCUAAAUAUAUCCUGCAACUGAUAACACGCAGAAGACCAGCACAGGGAUCAAGAGUACAAACAACAAAUCCAUCCAGAAAGAGAGAUAGACCGCAAACCAAAUGAUUUAACAGAUUCCGACUCACAACCAGCAUGGUUUGGGCUCAAUCUGCAAACACCAAAGGGAGGGUAGAAAGAAAAACAUAAAUUAAAGACACAAGCAAGUAGCUACGUGAAACAAAAAAGUAAGAGGUGGGUUAAAAUAGUCUUUUUCAUUGUAGGAUGUUCCAUUAGUUUGAUUCUCCUUUGUUGAACCUUUGCAGAUCUGUAUUCAAAAUAUUUCCUGGUAAGAUGAUUUUAAAGGUUAUCUAAGUUAUGAUGACUUGAGGAAAUAGUAGAUUUAGAAGAACUGCAAACAGAUUCAACUCAGCACCAGGUUCGACUUGAGUUCAUCAACUACGACCUGCAACAAGGAAGAUACCUUUCUAUAAGAUAGGAGGAAAACUAGGCUCAGCUAAAGCAUGCAUCAAAUGCUGAGGUGAAGGUUAAGUAAGAGGUAAAGGGUAAGUAAGCCUGUCUCGGCCACGAAGGUCAGAUAGACAACACUGGUUCCAAUUAUUUCGGUUCCAAGCCAGCAUCUGCAAGAGCCAAGAAUUACCAAGGAAGGCUAAGAAACAAAUAUCUAGAAAGUUCAAUUAUCAAGGGAGGACAAAAGGUCAGAUAUGUUGGGCCACAGAAAGAACCGCCAUGCUGAGGAAACAUAGGAUCACCCGCUAAGCCGUAUAAUUCCAAUUUCUGGAGAACCAGCAACAAAUCUAAAUCAGAAUUGUUGGACAACUAAUUGAGCUGAGAAGAAAUUAAGCAGAGAGUAAUGAUCAUCCAAACGCAGGUCAGCAAGAAGAUAGGUCACUCCCGCUAAGCCAUAUAAUCCCAAUAUUUGGACAACCAGCAACAGAUCCAAAUCAAACUGUGGGGGACUAAAGUUGAAUUGUGCAGAGACUUAAAUAUAGGGGGUUCAUAAUCAUCCAAACACUGAUCAACAAGAAGAUAGGUUGCUCCUGCUAAACCUUGUUAAGCUCAAUUUCUGGAAAACCACAAAUGGAUUCAGAACUGCCAAGGACUAAAUUGUACUGCACAGACCAAAUAAAUUGAAUCGAGAUGAAAUUCAUUAUCCAAAUGCAGAUCACAAGUUUCAGGUUGGCAAGAAUCCUAAGCUUCAUUAUCCAAUCAAUCAAAACGACAAACAGAAACCAAACCUCCACCCUAUGAUUCAUCUGUGCAGAACUACUACACUCCUGCAUCUGCUGCAAGCAAAGGAGCACAAACACACACCAAGAGUGCGAUCAGCUGCUACAAUAAGAAUCUACCAGGACCUCCAAUCCACCUCAUAUUAGCUGAUGAUGCGUGAUGAGAACCAGAAGACCACACCGGCGAUAGCCAUUUAAAUCUGACCUGCUCAAAUCCCCUUCCGACAUACAACAUCAUAGGGAUCUCCACAUUCCAGAUCCAAUCCUGCAACCAAUGUGUGGAGGAACACAACUAAACCAAACAAACCGUUGAUAGAACACUGACCUGACUCACUGUAAAGAGAUUUGCCCAUAAGCACAAACUUCCUAAAUAUGGCCUGCAGUCGACAGGAUAAGUGUACAGAUAACAAAUUGAAACGCAUAGAGAUAGAUUGCAAACCAAACGAUUUUAACAGAUUUCGACUCACUGCCAACACUCUCUGGGCUAAAAUAAAUCUGCAAUCACAGGGGCAGAAGCAAAAAAGCCUAAAUCAAAGGCAUGAACAAAGUAGCUACGUGAUAUAAAGAAAAAGAGGCAAGAGUUAAAAAUGGAGGAGUCUCUUUUUUGUUUGUAGGUUUUGCCAAGUUUGAAGCUCCAUUCGUGAACCUUUGAGAUAAAUCUGAAUUCAAAAUAUUGCCUAGUGAGAAGAUCUUAAAGGUUAUCUAAGUAAUAAUGAAUUGAUUAGAUUUAGAAAGAACUGCAAACAGAUUCAACUCAGCAUCAGGUUGGACUUGCAUUCGUCAAACCUGCAACGAGCAAGAUACGUCUCUGUAAAUUAGGGGGAAACUAGGCUCAACUGAAGCAUGCUUCAAACGAGGAAGAGGUAAAUGCUAUAUGAGGAAGUUGGGCUGGGAAGGUCAGGUAGACAGCACAACACCGAUUCAAAUUAUAUCCCUUCCAAGAUGGUGUCUGCAAGAGCUGAGAAUGACAAACUAAGGCAGAGAAACUUGUCUGGUAUGUUCCAAUUAUAUUAUUGACGAGUAAGAAAAUGUCGAGCCACAGAAGAACCGCCGUGACGAGGGAAAAUAGGGCCACCCGCUAAGCCGUAUAAUUCCAAUAUCUGGAGUACCAGCAACAAAUACAAAAUCCAAAUCAGAAUUGUGUGUUGUGUGAAGACUAACUGAACUGUGGAGAAAAGAAAAUGAACAGAAAGGGAAUGAUCGUCCAAACACAGGUGAGGAAGAUGACAAGUCGCUCCCGCUAAGCCGUAUAAUCCCAACUUCUGGACAACCAUCAACAAAUCUAAAUCAAAACCGACUAAGAUUGAACUGUGUAGAUGGAGGAAUUAAAUAGAGGGGGCAAUUAAUCAUCCAAACGCAGAUGUUGCUCCCGGCUCCUGCUAUGCUGUGUAAUCCAAAUUAUAAUUCCUGGAGAACCAACGAAUUCAGAUCAGAAUUGCCGUUGACUAGUGUGCAGACCAAGAAACUAAAAUUGGGAGGGAUUUAUAAAUAUUAAACGCGGAUCGCAGGUUCAGGUUGGUAAGAGAUCCUAAGCUUCAUCACCCGAGAAGAUCUGACCAUAUCAGGACAGCCGCUGAACCUCAACCAAUGAAUCAAAAUAAUCAUGAGAAGAGAUCAAACCUCCACCUCUGUAGAACUAGCGCACCCUCUGGCUUCCUCUGCAUCUACAUAGGGUGAGAGGACAAAGACAUACCAAAACCGAGAUCAGCCGGUACAACAAGAAUCCUCCACGAGGGCCUCGAAUUAACACACCCCGCACUAACGGAUGACACGGAAUAAACCACAGCCCUCGGGGAACCAGAAGAUCACACGGGCCAUAUUCAUUUCAAAUCUGGAAUCACGGACGAACGCAGGUGACGGAACCAAGGAAGCGAUCUGAACGAGCACGGGAAACUGACCUUGCCUCGGCCUCCGGCUCCAUAAUUAAGCCCCAAUUCCAAAAACCACGCACGAUCCUUCAACCUGCACGCGCGGAUGCGAACACGACGAGAAACACAUGAUCCACAGUUGCAAACAGAAGCGGACACGCGAAACAGAUUCUGAGAUAGACUCGCAAACCAAACGGAUGAAUCCCCCGAUCGAUCGCUUCCCGAACUCGCACGGAAGCGGAGGAGAGACAAGUCGUCGAAUUCGAAUCCCCUGCGAGCACAUCAAGGCAACGGCGACGGCGGGUGAAUGAAAUAAAAUCAGACGCGACGAAUCGUCACGAGGAAAAGAGAAAUUGGAAGGGGAAGGAAACAGUCGCUCAAACGCGAGGAGGCGCGGCACGUCACGAACGAGAAAGGUCGGAGGAGAGACGGGGCCGGAGCGCGGGGAGGAGAGGGCGCACCUGGGCGCGUUUUAUAGCCGGCGCGGGAGGGGGAGCCGGCCUG